rnacentral:lncRNA from 1 species
GAGCUUCACAUCCACAGCGGAAACACGACUUACUUGGAUGAUCUUGCUCGGGCACUUAAGGGAUACUCAAAUGUAAUCUUAGCUGUAGCGGCGGAAUGUCCUAUUCCUGACCCUGCUCUCGACACAACUAUCAGAACUGGAGUCGUCGAUCAGGUGCGGGUGGAAUUUUUUGACAACCCAUCUUGUCAGUUUACCCCUCCAAAAGAUACCAGUCUCCUCUUCCGGAGCUGGGACAAUUGGUCUGAUUAUCCAGGCGUUCAUAAAUUGUACCUGGGAAUACCUAUCUCCCCUACUAUCGCACCUGAGGGCGGUUACAUCCCACCUAAUGAGCUAGUUUAUCAUGUUCUUCCCUAUCUGAAGAAGUCUCCUGUUUAUGGAGGCAUCAUGGUUUUCCCCUACCUUCAUCACGAGGUAAAUUUCCAGUCCAUGCUACGGUCCUAUGCUCGUGCUGCCUGAUCAGUUCCUCUCGAUCGCUAUCUGCUGAAGGAGGGAUGAAAUCAAAUGUACUCCUGCUUGUUAAUGCCGGAGACGAAAAUGAUAAAUAAAUAAACAAUGCGUUGUUUAUAAGUAUUUUUUCUUUCAGUUGUCCUAUGUAUCAUCACUAGAUACACAUUCGUUCUCCAGUACAAACAUAUUCACGCAAGAACCUCUAUGGUUCGGAACAAUAGCUCACGAUGACUUGAAACAGGCACAAUGACUUGAAGUCUUCGUGGAAAUCAUUACAACAAUAACUACAGAAUAUAAUGGACGUAAAUAUUAAAUGCUAAAGAUAAAAUAUGUAGAUAGAUACUACAACAAUAAGUACAGAAUACAUAAUAAAUUUUAUCACUCGAUGAAAACAUGUAUCAGCAGCAUAAAGUAGUUACAUACUUCAUAAUAUCAUUAUUCGGCAAUUUUUUGGAAUAAACAGUCUAAGAAUCAGUCAGGAUAAUUGAUUCAAUUGCUAUACUUGUGGUUGGCUAACGGAUGGUACUUAGUCUAUUCUUCUAAGAAAUAUACUGCGAGUUAAUUUUUCUAGUUCACUUUACAACAAGACAAGUGUUUUUGUCGGACUAAAUGGUUGUCACGAAACUGAUGAACGUUUCGGAAGGUUCAUGACUCAGAUUUUGCCAAUAACAUAAAAAUUCAUGUUGUAAAGGUGAGAUAACGAUAUAUGUAACUCUAACUCAACAAACUUGGAGGGUCGUCGUGAACAGUAGUUUAAGUAUAUAACAUGUGUGUUUUAAGAGUUUAUUACAAAUAUUUGAUAACUUGCCUGUUGAUUCCCUUUUACAUCGUUUCGAAACGAUUCUACUGACGAUUGUCAUUACCCCUCUCCCAUUCCUGUCAUAGCCAACUUGUUUUUGGAGAUGAUUUUUUUUUUUUUUUUUUAUCAAGCUUUCUCGCAAGUGACAAUUGAUUAAUAAGCUUAUUUAAUGCAGCAAAAGUGACAGGAAUAUUACUACCAAAUCAAUCAGCUAAUAAUGAUGAAGUAGUAUUAAGGAGAUGCGUAUUCAAUUCCUUUGGUAUUGGUCGUCUGAUAAAGUAAGCUCUGAUAAAGCAUCAUCUAUGGUUCUAAAUGCUUGUAGAAAAUUGCUGAUAAAAUGACAAUGACUUAAAGUUCCUGAAAAAUAUGUAUUCAUUUGUCGAUCUGUAUCAGAGUUACUGCCAUGGACCACUUAAAUAGUAACUGGUUGCAGUAGUCUAUUUCCAAGAAUAACCCAAAAAAAAAAUUAAUUACUUAUAGAAUAGGAUCCACAUACUUUACAAAGCCUUUACAGAUAUUUGCAUGGAUCCAGCUAUAUUUCUUUUUUUUUUUUGUGGUAAAAACUUUGUUUAACACGUUCAAUGAGACUUGAUAAACUCUUCUCUUUUUUUUUUUUUUUUUUUUUUAAAUAUAAGCAAAACAUUUUGGUGGUUUUGAAUAUAUAAAAGGUUGAAGCUAAAAGAAGAGUAAACAGAUAUUUAAUGAAUUUCAAAUGCACAUUUAAAUUUUGGAGUAACCAAAACAAUCGUAAAUGAACAGCCUUCAAUAUCUCGACGUGCCCAUAUAGCGUUCGAAAUUGGGUACAAACUUUGUGACGUGUUGAGUCUGGCAACUACAAGUCUACCCGUGAAGAAAUUAAAGUCAUGACCCACAGUGGUAGAGAGGCUGGACGUUGCAUGCAGCCUUUCAUAUACUAUAUUCCUCCCAAUCCAGUGACAGCAGCCAGAGGGGCUGGAUGCUGCACACAGUUAAAUUACAUUUUACUCCCCUAUGAUUUAAUAUUUUUUUAUACAUAAUCUUCUUAUGAUUUCAAAAGUUAUACAUAACUCUCUUAUUGUCUGAAUUAAAGCGUCAAAUUAACGAAAUUUGCAAUCUAUAAUGGAAUCAAUUAAAAUAUAAAAAAUGCCCUAUAUAAAGUUGAAAAUUAUUUAUUAACUAUAAGGGGAUUAUGUAUAUAUAGUGAAAGCCAUAAGGGAGUUAUAUGGUAAAACAUUAAAUUAUAAGGGGUUCUAUGGUAAAAUAUAAAAUCAUAUGGGGUUAGAGUGUCAUACAUAUUAUGUUUAUGUACUUUGUUCGCUUCAGCCAUUUGAGUUUCAAAACAAGGGUAAUUUCAACUUUUAAAUAAGUUUCUUUACGAAUAAUCAUUUUGUGACGGCCCCACCUUCUCCUAGGGCAUACCCUAGAAAUUAGCGGACCACCUGCCUGGCUUUCGCCAGGGUUCAAUCACUUACAUUAAUGUCAGAGAUAACAUUUCGAUAAACCAAAACCAAACGCUCAAAUCUUUUACAAUACCAAGUUCAAUAUAAUAGCCUCAACCAUAAUAUGAUAUUAAAGGAUUUACAAUCACAAAAGUGUUCACGUUAACUCCCUAAGAUCCCUCGUUCAUUCCCUGACCACCAACUCCUGUAAGGAAAACAAAACUAAAAGGUUGAGCUAAAGUUCAGUAAGGUUUGUCGAACAAGUAACAUUCAAUAAACACUUAACCAGUAAAAUUAAGCAACUAAUGCACAUUUCACUGUAUAGUCACUUUUGAAAGGAUACAACAACCAAUUAGCAGUAUAAAACAUUCACCAAACUUAACAAUUCAGGAUAUCAAAUUUAAUAAAAGUAAUCAAUCACCUCAAAGGAUACGGUACUGAUACGGACUCUAGAGGUGGCUCCUGUCCGUUCCAGACGUAGCACUUAGUUCCGUUCAGUAAUUCAGUGUCAUUUCAAUGUCAUUGCACACUCGUUUCAGUGUCAUUGUACAUUCAUUUUAAUAUCAUUGCACACUCCGCCAAUCCACCUCCUUAUGUCCUCUAAAACAAUAAACAAUCCCCUACAUUCAGUAAUCAGUUGAAUAAUCUCCCAACUUCAGGGUAAUACUCGAGUAUACCAAACAGUUACCCAAAGCUUCCGUCCUAUCCGACCAAGCCCUUUGCUGGCUCAAAUAGUCUAUUGAACAGAGGGUUUUGAGGCCCAUUUUAGCCGAUGCGAUAAAGUACACAUACGGCUUACAUUCAUACACACUAACAGUAACAUUUAGUCAAUUAUCAACCUUCAACCUCAACUAAGCCGAGUGCGAUAAAGUACACCAUCGAUUUAGAAGGCGAGAGACAAUUGAGAUACACUUUACAAUAAAUCACUAGCAAUAUACAUAAUAAGCACAUUUAUCACAUAAUUUCACUUAAAUAAACAUAAAUAGUUAAACACAUAAAUUCGGAAACACUCACCCUAAUCAAAAGUUACACUUCGAUCUCUUAAUUGCUUUCUUGCACACCGCUGUCUCCUGAGACAAGUUAUAAUUGCCAUAAUUAUUUAACUACUCAUUUGGUGAAGUUCUAAAGUAUAAUCAACAUACGUGUUGUAUGCCAGCCUUAAGUCACCAUUCCACCCGAAAUCUAAGUCAUUGCUAUGUUUAAAUGAGGCGACUAGUGCAUUUUCUCACACUCACUUGUUACUUCGACUUUUAAUUUCCAAAAGAAAGGAAGUUUAAGUAGCAAUUCCAGUAAUGUCACUUCACUACUUUUAUACUGUUAGAUUUAUCAUACUAAAACUCAACAUUAACGUUUAACAAGGUAAGUUUAGAAGUAGCUAACCUUAAAGUACUUUCUUGUCACAUAAUUCCAUCUGUUAUUAACCAAGACCACAUGCAUAACUAGUUUAUUACCUUAAGAUGUGUAUACAAUUUAUAUAGAGCCUAUUAAACCAAGUAAUAAAUGGAUAUCUUCUUAUAUAAGUUACAAGGCUCCUUUGAUUCCUAUAGUUGGUAUAGCAAACUUUCCCUUCCAUUUUAACUAUUUAGAUUUUAUUUCCAGCCACCAAUCACUCACUAACAAACUCAUAAUACACCAACAAGUACAAAUCAAGCAUUUCCAGCAAAUUUUAUACUAAAAUAUCCAUUCAAAUGCCAAGAAAUUCCAUUAACUAAACUGUAAAUGGUUUAUUAGCCUAACAGUCUUUCAAACAAGAAUCCAGCCGUAAAAAUCACAUUUUCACCCCAAAAUUCACAUACAUGACCAUCUAAUGAUAUUAUAAGGUGUAAUCAACCUUAAUAUGAAAGUUUACAGCCCAAAAUCUAUAGAGAAAUAUCAGAAAAUAUCCCUUCCAUCUCUCUCGGCUGAGGUUGAAAAAUUCCAGCAAGUAGGUAGUUUGAAAAACAAGUUUUCUCCAUAAAAUUCUUUAUUUUCCUCAUUCAAACUUAAUAUCUAGGUGAUAAUUAUUAUUCUAUGAGGUGUUUUGAAUCACAAUAUAGAAUUUAUAGCCAAGGUUUGAAGAGAAAAAAAGUUGGAGAAUACUCUCUUUUGUUCUCUCAGCCAAGAUGAAGGAAAAAAGUAUGAAAUUUCCUCUAAUAAUCUCUUCAUUUUACACUCAAAUCUAACUUGCAAUCAUAUAAACAUUAGAGUGAGAACAUGCAGCUUCAAACGAACAUUUCCAACUUUGACAACCUUUGUUUUCCAGAAAGUUUUCUUUUACUUGGUUCCAACUCAGUCUAAAAGACUAUUAGCUAAACGUAGAAGAAAAGGAAGAGAAAGACAGUAGUUUACCUCUGGUUCUUAUGGUUCUAAGUUAGGAAAAUAAAAUUCUGGUUUCUCUCUCCCAUUCUUAGCUCGAUAGACUGCAUUCCUGCUUUCUUUGUGGCUGGUUCUCACGGUUGAAGGAGGCCAGAAAUGAGUUCCUAGUUGUUGUUGUUGUUUCUUUCUUUUGGUCCUUCUCUCCUUUUCCUCCUAAUGUCUCUCGGGUAGCUAAACUAAGGACAAGAACUCAUUUCCUCUAGAAUUCAGCAAGUGCAGAUGGCUCCAAGUUGAGCUUCGGUUCCUCAAAAUUGCACCAACUCUCACUCUUUCUUCAAUCUACUUCACUCUCAUUCGAUUGAGCCCGUUAAGUGAAGUAUACCACCAGAAUUUCUCUCCCUCUCACUCACUUUGGCUCACGGUUUUGAGGUUACAAGCUGGAGAAAUAAAGCUAGCAAAUGUCUAACUCUCUUCCUCACUCUCUCGGUUGAAAACUGGAACAAGGAAGAACCAGAAAUAUUUUCCAUUCUCUCGGUUGUGCCUUGAGAUGAAAAGAAAUGGCUUAGUCUCUCAGUUUUGCUCUUGGUGUUUGGUUGGUAAGAAAAGAAUUGAAGCCUCGCUUCUCCACUCGGCCACCGCCCAACUUAGCAAGCCACUUUCUAUUUGUUUCCUCACUUCCACCGCUUGACUUAGCAAAUUAUUGGCUGUGGAUUUCUCUUGAUUUUUCCUUCAGCCACCGCUUGGACUUAACAGCUUAUAAGACUCUAGAAUCAGAAGGAACAGUGCACUCGGUGGUCAAUGUUUCCCAGUCGGUGCUACUUACUACUUGAGCUGUUUUCUUCCUAGUGUUCUCUCAAUCACCGCUCUAGUAAUUAAGCAUUUGAUUGCCUAAGUUCCUCGGUUGUCCAGAUGCUCAAUUCCUCUCUUGGUUGCAUGGUUAAUUGUCCAUCCAUUAAUGGUUAAAUUGGUCCUUUAGUUUAUUAUUUCAUACAUUCACUCCUAACUUAAUUUGUAUUUUCGUGGAAAAUUUUCUUACGUUGAUCUAGUAGAUUUUCACACAUUUAGCUUUAAGAAGGAUUUAUUAGACAUGUACCUAUUGAACUAUAUAGUAUAUGUUACGUGUCUAGUAAUAUUUGCAAAUGACAUAAAUUACGAUAUGAAUGCCAUAUAUUUAUUUAAUUCAUAAAAUUUUUCUACACUGUUCUAGGAUAUUUUCUAAAUUCUCAAUUUCAUAAGGAUUCAAUUAGGCAUUUAAUUUAACCAUUUAUUCGUUAUAUAUAAUAUUUCUAAUAUCAAAGUAAAUAAAAUGAAAUAAAUUUAGGGCGCACACAUAAUUUUCUCUGGUUCUCACACAUUUCCGUUAUAUAUAGCUUUUAAAACAAAAUUCGUUAGUUGCAUAUCGGAUUACUAUUUUACUACACCGGUAUCAACUCCAGCGCGAGAUGCGGGACUCAUCCCCAAAUGCAAAAUAAGUAGCAGUAGUAGGAGUAGCUUGCCCCUUUGUGUCAUUAAAGUUCACAAACAUAAUCCACACAUCAUCGAAAGCAAUGUCGAAACGGGCUGCCUUAUUUAGGAAACUUUUAUGCAUCUUCAAUUAACUUUGUACCUAGCCAAAUUCAACAAUAAAUAAUCCAAAUUCAUCAAUAAAUUACUAUAAUUUGAAUAAUAGCUUGAAUUUAUGAAUAAAAAUCAAUCAAAAAAGAGAAAAAUUUUUCACAAUUACCAUUAUUGAAUAACAUGACCUUAGAUAUUAAUGGACAACAAGAAUUUCACUAUCCCUCUAACAAGGUUUUUCAAAACAUUCCUAGAACUAAUGGCCUAUUUGGCAAAUGAAUUUUUGGCUAAGUUUGUUUCCUAUCAAUUUUUUAACAACUUUAAUUACAUAUUUCAAAAUAUCCAAAACACACAAAAAAAAUUUUCUUCCUCCUUUCUCCUUCCAUCUCAACCCACCACCACCUCGGCGCCGGCCGAUCUUUUUUUUUUCUUCCUCUUCUUCCUCUCCCCCUCUCCUCCUCUCUUUCCCGCCACUUCUCUCCCCCCUUCUCCCUCCCUCACCACCCUUCCCUUACCCCUUUGCCCGAUCUGGUCACACGACUAGAAAGCACCCGGGAAAGGGGCGAGAGGGGAGGGGAGAGAGAAGAGAGGGAAAGAGAAAAGAGCAAAAAAAUUUCUUGUUCCAGCUGGAAGGGAGAUGUGGCAGGGGACGGGGAAGGGAGAUGAAGAAGAAAGGAAAGAAAAGAACAAAGAAAGAAAGAAAUAAAAAGAAAAAGAAAAAGAAAUAAAAAGAAAAGAAAAUUUUUUUUCAUUUUAAAAAUUUUUCCUACAAUUUUUACAGUAAGUUAUAGUAAAAUUUUAGACAAACAUCCAAAAAACUUAUUCACCAAACGAGGCCUAAGUUUUACCCAGAUAUUUAUUGGGAGUUAUUUGCCAAAUAGGGCCUAAGUAAUAUCUCAUUCUCUUAUCAACUUUUAUCAAACUUUAUUGGAAUUGCCCAGUUUUUUAGAGUUUCUCUCUUUUUUUAUGAAUUUUAAUUUGUGAUUGGGAUCCGUUCAUAUAACAUUCCUCAUUGGGAGGAUGUUCAUGAAACCCCUUCUGCUCUUACAUGUUUGUUUAAAAGAUCAGGAGGCCUAGGACACAUUUUUAUUGCAUGUCUACCAAUUAUUGAUUGCAAGAAUUAGUUUCUAAUAGGACCAUUUAUGGCAUUCGAUGAGUUAGAAAUUUAAUUUAUGUUCAUUAGUUUUUCUCACAUGGCUUUAUGAUCACUUGAUUUGAAUCUUAAAACUACUUGUAAUUCUAGAUUGAAAAUCAUGAGUGGGUGAUGUUAUUGAAAAGGAUUAUAUCUUGAAGAAAUUUCUAGGUGGUUAUGUUAUAAUAUUUCUAGAUCCACUGUGAUGGCAUGUAGUAUGAAGUAAAUUCGGGGUGCAACUGAGAAUCUGGCAAAUCAGAAAGUGAGAGCACGGAAUUUACUAGUGGAGUUUUUAUUGAUAGUAGGUUACUUUAAUGAAUAGUAAGACAUGAUUAUCACUUUAGAAAUAACUAAAGUUCAAAUGAAAAUAAGGUUAAUUAAGUGGAAUUUCUUCUUGAUGUUUGGAUUUAUGUUGACGCAAGGGAAACGUAAUGGGCAUCAGGUGUUUGAAAUUUCUAUGGCCUUGUAAAAAGAAUAGCGGAUUUGAACAUGAAGCAACCCUUCUUUGGUCUAGUGAACCUCUUUGAUAUACAGGUGAGAUCUUCUUCCUCCAGCCCCAUUGGUCCAGUUGGAUCAUUCCCUAAUAUUGGUUAGAGUAGGAGUAGUAAUAGGAGUUGACGAUUGACCAAAAAGGUGAGGAGGGGAAGGAGAGAGGGGGGGACAUGAAUUGUCCUUGAGUAAAUAAUAUCUAUGCUCUAUGUGAAGGUGGAGAAAGCUUUUGUGGUAAAUAUAUAAAGGGGGAGAGGGCUUUUGGUAUACAUAAAAUUUUGUCAUUUUAUAUUAUUUUUUAACUACCCUUGCUAGCUACCCAAUGUAAUCAACUAUCGAUUAUGGUUAUGGAUUACUGCUAAAUAACUAUCUAUUUGUACACUUAUUUUCAUGAAUUUUCCAAUAUCCAUUGUCAAAAAUAUAAAACCAAUUCCUUUGAAAAUGAUUUCAACAAAUUUACUCAAAAUUUUAAUAAUAUGUUUUUUAUUAGGUGUACACACAUUGGUUUGUGCCCUAAAUACUAGUAGUUUAAUUAAUACUUGUUCAUGUAAAGUGAUAUAAUUGGAAGGGCAGUUUGUUUUUAUGCUAAUCUGGUCAAAUUAAGUUUCGAGAAUGAAACUUGGGUGGGUAGAAUUAAUGUAAUACCUGAAAAUCAUUAGUUGGUAAUUCAUAAGAGUUGUUGGCAGAAAAGCUAGAAUGUAUAUCAAUUAGAAAUUAAACAACUAAAUCAAUUAUUAGCAUAAAUAAGUAUAGAAUUCUUCUAAAGUGUUUAAAUCUGUUGACGCAAAAAUUAGAUCAGUAAGCAAGAUAAACAACCUAUAAAUUGCUUAGCAUAGAAUAUUUAUUGCAUACAAAUGCGAACAGAAAAAUAAUUAUUUCACAUCCUAUCAUCCUUAGAUCUCCGAGCGAAUAAGGAGGAACCCACCAGCAGCUCACAUUCAGAGCAAAUAAGUUUUCAGAUAGGUUCAAUAACUUUAGAUCUCCGAGUUUCGCAAAAUGGUUUUCAGAUAAUACUCCAGUUAAUGAGUUGGAAGAAAUGUCCAAUACUUGCAGCUUCGAAAGUUGGUAUUGACCCUUGCAUGUCAUUAAAACUCAGAUCCAAAUAAUUAAGACAGCUCACAUUGCAAAGUGACUUCAACGUUGAUGCAUCAAAGCGGUUUUCCCCUAGAUCGAGAUCAACUAGAGAGGUCAUUUGUUCAAAUAGGCCAUGAAUUGGACUAGAAAGAUGAUUAGAACUAAGACCAAGAUCAUAGAGACCAGAAAGAUUAUGGAGCCAAGGAGGGACCAUGUGGUUGUUGAAAUUAUUUUCAUCAAGGGAAGAAAGAGAUGAGAAAUUGACCUGUGAAGAUGUAGAUUGAUGAAAAGUUCACAACCAUCUAAUUCUAGUCGUGUUAGUGAAGGAAGCAUGUUAAUUGUCUGUAACCCAUUUUCAACGGCACUAAAAUUCACCCCAGGCAGAACUAGGCCCUCCAGAGAAGAGAGUCCAACAAUCUACCUGAGAUCCUUCAUUGUCAAUUGAUUCAGUGUUAAGGAGGGAGUUACACCUCCAAGUUCUAAAUGCCCUAAACAUGAGAGAUUUCCUAGAUGGUGGGGAAUUUCACCAUCAAACGCUGCAUUUGCAAGAUUUAAGUAUCUCAGGUUUUUCAACAAUCCAAGGAAUGUGGGAACUUGGAUUCCUGAAAAAUUAUUUGAUUGGGAGCCAUAAACGAUCCAAAAAAGAUUGAAUUGGAAAUAUAAUCACAGAUGGGUGAUAGGAUCGAACUGGAAAGAUAGAUUAUGGGAGUCCAAAGACUAGCAUGAAAUUAAAAAUGGAGUAGGCUAGAUAGACAAGCUAAUAAUGUCUUGACUUGAGCUGAUAAUAUCUUAAGAGUCUGGUCAUUCGAUCUGCAGAUAUAGAUUUAGAUGAAGUGAAAUUUAAACAAGAAGACCAGUAAACAAACAUGAUUAAUUUGUGUAGAAAACUUGACCAUCUGUUGCGUCCGACGACUGCAAAUCCACUGGCCAAUGGAAGUCCCGAUCCGCCGUAGAAAAUCAAUAUAUUAAUUCUUCGGCUUGGAUAAUUUAAGGACUACAUCAAAUAAUAUGCAUCAGUAAAAUUUUUUAUUUAUGUAAGUGCUAGCUUUUCUGUUUCAUGGAUUAUAUUCUUAAUUUUCCUUGUUAGACAGUCUAGCAAGGAAAUGAUUUAAUUGUGGAGUUAGCCUUUUAUACACCUGACGGAAUAUAUUCUAUUAUCCAACUUUGAAUGAAUGAUAAGUAAUGUAAAUUCGAAUUGAAAUUUUAAAUUUUAAUUAUGUGUCAUGCAUCUAACAGCAAUAAUAUAUACACUAUCAGUUUUACUCUUAGCCAUUUAAUUGACUGUGAUAUGGUAAAAGCCAUCUGCUUAAGAUGUAAAAAGCAACAGGGGUAAGCUAUGAUUAAACAAAGCUGAAGGGGCUAAUUAACGAUAUUGCUAAUCCUGACUUCAACGGGAAUGGAUUAUAGAGACUUCAAUGGGAAUAUGGUUGGUGAGGCAUUUGCGUUCUAAUCAACUCCAAUUGUGACGGAGGACUGACCUGUUAUUCGGAUGAGAAAAGCAAAUCUAAGCCCACAACUUUGUAUGGAUGGGAAUGAUAGAGUUUGUCCAAUGGGAUUCUGAAGAAUAGGACGAAACUAAUCAGAAUAUCAGACGAGCGGCUUAUAAUUGCAACUACAAGUUAAUUCUGAUUUAUGAAUUAACUGGACAUUUAUGCUGUAGGUUUUCCCGGUUGGAAAGAGACUUGUAACAGGAAGGCGACAAGUAUCGCAUUGGCAAUCAUAAUAUUGAUGAAUUAUUUACUGAUUUACGUUGCUACAUAAAUAAGUUUGGAUCCUCUCUUUUGCAGUUCAAUUAACAUGGAAGUUUCCUGCAAGAAAUCACCAAAUAAAUUGAAUAUUUUGCAGAAAUUCGAACCUAUAUUUUUUAUUAUUAUUAUUAAGGAGGGAGUUACACCUCCAAGUUCUAAAUGCCAUAAACAUGAGAGAUUUCCUAGAUGGUGGGGAAUUUCACCAUCAAACACUGCAUUUGCAAGAUUUAAGUAUCUCAGGUUUUUCAACAAUCCAAGGAAUGUGGGAACUUGGAUUCCUGAAAAAUUAUUCCAGCUUCAAUUCAGGUGUCGUAAAUUGGUUAAAUUGACCAAAAAUAGACUUAAUUGGUCUCCCAAGCAAUUUUGCAGUAAAUAAUUAUAUCAUUUGGAUGUAACGGGCUCGCAUUUUAUAGAUCAAGUUUCACCAGACGGUCAGUGGUUUGAUGGUAACCAACGUCUUCCCAUAAACAACAGUCCUCUCCUAUCCAAGAUGACAGACGAUUUGAUUCAUCUGUCAACCCAUCUCUGAAUUGAAGAAGAGCUUGUUGUUCACUCUCAAUACAAGAGACAUUAGAAUGAGUAUAAGCUUGUUUGCUGCUGCCACAUGAGAACUGGGAACUGGCUGGUGACAAGAAUAGAACUGAAUAACAACAGUAUUAGUAAAGAGGAAGGAGUACAAUGAAGAUGAUGCUCCAUUGGAUUUCUUUUGAUAUUGGUUUAUUUGACAAAGUAUGGUUAGAUGAGCGGUUUAAUUUAUACACGUUUAAAAGUAUCAUUUCGCCAUUUUGCAUUUGAAGAAACUACAUGAAAGUGAUAAAAUGACAUUUUGCGUUCAUGGAAAAGUCGAGCCAGUAAAGAUUUUUUGAGUGUUUAACUGACUACGACAUAGGAAAAGCAAUCUACUUAAGAUGCAAAAUUAACAAUAUUCUUCUACUUUUCUUGUCUUCGACUCUUUUAAUGGCUAUGGAUCAUGGAGUUGGCGAGGCAUUUGCAUUUUAGUCUACCCCAUUCCGAUGGUUUAAUGACUUGUUAUUCCGGUGCAUUAUUUGAUUGGGACCCAUAAACGAUCCAAAAAAGAUUGAAUUGGAAAUAUAAUCACAGAUCGGUGCUAUGAACUGGAAAGAAUAGAUAAUGGGAUUCUGAAGGCUAGCAUGAAAUCAAUAAUUUGAGGUGAGUAGCUUUCAUUUUACAAGUUAAUUCUUGUUUAUGUUUGCAUUCGCAUAUUCGUUUCCAAUUUGUCAUCGAACGUGCAACAAAAUACACCAAGCACCAUGCUUGGGAGAAAAAAUGAUAAAGGGUUAUUGGAAGACAGAAUAACUUUGCUAAAAUUUGUUUUCCUAACGUGGUGGUUAGAUAGGCAAGCUAAUAAUGCCUUGACUUAAGCUGAUAAUAUCUUGAUUCUGCUCAUUCAAUCUGCUGAUCUAGAUUAUGAUGACACGACAUUUAGACGAGAAGACCAGUAAACAAACUUGAUUAAGUUGUGCAGAAAACUUGACAACGUGUUGUGUCCGACAACUGCAAGUGCACUAUGAUGGCAUAUUAAAUCAAGGCUCAAAAAUAGAAAUUUUUGUAUUAUUAUUUAGUAGUAUUUUAUAUUAGGGUUUUAGUAAUUCUAUUUGAUUUAAAUUAUAGUAGUUUCAUUGUUUAUGAAUUAGUAUUUUAUUAGAAAAUUUUUUGUGGUUGUAAGACUUGUUUAUCAAAUCACCUAGUCUAGUCUUAUUAUUAUUAUUACUAUCAGUCAAGAAGAAUGAAUUUUGAGAACCACGUUAUUAUGUAUAAUUAAUAAUAUAUUAUUGAUUUUUUCCUCUUCUCCUGUGCAUACUUGUAUGUGUGCAAUUUGCCUUCCCAUCUACAUUGGUUCUAUGAAAUUUGUCUCCUAUAACUUUCCAUUGGAAUUUUUGUGGGUCCUGCACACUGGACAAUGACCCGCCAUGGAAAAUCAAGAUGUUCUUGUGGAGACAUAUUCUGCAUUCAACUAAUGGAAAUGUUCAUUCCUUAGCAGCAGCUAGUCGUAAAAUUGAUUUGUUGAUUCACGUUAUCCCACAGCUUCGGCCCUCUCGUUUGCAAUUUAAAUUAGGAUUAAUCUUUUGUAUCGUAGUAGUGUAUACAUUAACGGAGUUUGAUGCAUACUACAUAUGCAAAAUAUUUAUAUUUCGAACUCAAAUUCAUAUCAGUGGUCAUGCAUCCGAUCUUAAUGGUAUGUAUUGUCAGCAUAUAGAAAAAUAAAAUAUUUGACAGAAAAUCAGCAAAUCAAUUGAAAACUUUACAAAUGGAAAAGAUGACACUUUAUAACUCUAACUUAUGGGGUUACACCAUUUUCGCCUUUAAAGUUUUAUGAAUUUACAUUUAGUCCCAAUAAUUUAAUUUUUAACUAUUUCAAUACUAGUAACGACAAAUCAUUUAAUCUAGAAGGACAAAAAUAUUUCGCACGUAGUUCAUUUAGUCCUUUAAAUUAACCCUUUUUUUUCUAAAGCAUCUUUAAUCUCCAAUCUUUUAUUUUAUUCAUGUAGCCCUUUUAUUUUUAAUUCUUAGGCUUGGAUGGUUUAAGGAUUGCAGAAAAUAAUAUGCAUCAGUAAAAUUUUUAUAUUUAAUAGAAAUGCUAGAUUUUCUGUUUAGUGGUUUAUAUUGUUAAUUCCCCUGUCAGUCUAGCAAGCAAAUGGCUUAACUAUUUAAUUGACUGCAAUAUAGCAAAUGGUAUCUGCUUAAGAUGAAAAAACCAAAAGAGUAUCUGCUUAAGAUGUAAGACAUUAGGGUAAGUUAUGAUUAAACAAAGCUUAAGGGGCUAAUUAACGAUAUUGCUGAUCUUAACUUCAAUUGGAAUGGAUUGUGGGAUUGGUGAGGCAUUUUCGUUCCAAUCAAGUCCAUAGUGGUGAGUGCCGAUUGACUUGUGAUAUUCCCGGGCAUUAUUUGAUUGAGGCCCACAAAUGAUCCAAAAUUGCUGGGAGAUGCAGCCUCAAUUGUAAGAUUUAUUCAUGAUAAAGAAGACAGGACAAGAAGACAUCCUAUCUCAUUUAGAUCCAAGCAUUGAGGAUGUGCAUUUAGCUUUACUAGAUCAGCUUUAUAUUGAUAUUCAAUGAUUCCAAGAGAAGCAAAAUAAGGUAGUGCAUACUUAAUAAAAAGCCAUAGCAAAGACAAUAGAAGUGAACGAGCUGGUGUAGUAAAAAGUGUCGGCGCCGCAUAAAUUGACGGAACACUACGGACUUAGCAUGGCGGCCGCCAAGCCGCCGGAUAUCCAUGGCAGCGGUGCUGGAAGAAGCUUUGCUGCAGUUGUUGCCAAUGGGUCGCCAGAUGCAGUGUGUGAUGAAGGGAUCGGUGAGGUUUCGCUUUAUCGGGGGGAGCCUUCGCUACGUCUCUCCAGGCAAGAUAUGUGUGCUCUGGCGGCACCAUACCGGAACGCACUGGUAGGGAGAUUUGCUGCAGCCAGACCUUCAAUGGAGGUUGUGCGGAAAUUUUUUGUGUCGCUGGGACUCAAGGGAGAAUGCGAUGUGGGGCUGCUGGAUCAGAGGCACAUUCUGAUUCGGCCUGCUCUUGAGGAGGACUACACCAGGCUCUUCUUGCGUAGGGUCUGGUUCGUCAAUAACGCUCCAAUGGUGAUCUCGAAGUGGACCAUGGAUUUCAAGACCAAUCAGGAGCCUUCCAUAGUUCCGAUAUGGGUAGCUUUUCCGGGCUUGCCGAUCUUUUUCUUUGCAAAGAAUCUGGUUACCAAACUUGCGGCCACGCUGGGAAGAGUUCUCAAAAUCGAUUCUGCAACAUCCACGCUGCGCAGACCAUCUGUAGCCAGGGUGUUGGUGGAGAUGGAUGUUUCUAAGGAGCCGGCGAAAAGAGUCUGGAUAGGUGAUGAUGACUAUGGCUUUUGGCAGCCGGUGGAAGUGGAAAACUGGCCUUUGUUUUGUCACUUCUGUGACCGGGUUGGCCACAAGGAGGAGGAGUGCUUUAAGAAAAACCCAGCUCUGAAACUUGCUGGUGAGAAGAGGACCAAUCUGCAGCAGCAUGGGAUGAGGGAUUCACGACAGGCUUAUCGGGUAAAGGAGCGAGAUAUCACAAAGGAGCAUACAGCGGAGUUGCCAGGCAAUACCAGCACGAUUAAUGCAGCGAAACCACCAAAUGGGAAUAACUUGACAGAGACUAAGGAUACGGCGGAGGCCUUAACUAGCAGCAGUGAUGUGCGGGUGGUGGGUUCGGCCGCACUUGUGCAGCGCACGGAUGAAAAUGGGUUGGUCACAGCAGGAAGGUCGGAGCCACCAAGUGGAAAUAAGUUGAUAGAGUUCAAGGAUAAGCCCGAGGACUCAACGAGCGAUAGUGGAGUGCAAAUGGUGGACGCAUUUGUGCAGUUCGCGACUGGACAGGGCCUGGUUGCAGAAGGAAGGCCGGAGCUUGUCUCCCUUCCGGGUGGCAUGUCUGCUGGUGGCCAGCAAACUGCCCAGGAGGAGGGAGCAGAUGGCGGUGGUAGCAAGGCCAAGCGGUGUGGCCAGCAUGUGCAGACUGCUACGCGCGCUCUGCUGGCUGUGGAUGAUGGACAGAUUUUAUCUAGCAAGGAUGAGGAGGUGGCAGAGGCAAUGCAAGCAGUGGGGGAGAUUACGGUGCUUCUGCCUUUGUCAGUAGUUGAGCAGAGGGAUACUGGUGCCCACAUAGAGGUGGUUGAAGGGACGUAUGGCAAGUCGAAUCAGCCCUCUGCUGCCUUGUUUGGGAGUAGAGGCUCAGUGAGUGAGGGGGAGGAUGAGGAGAUAACGGAGCAAGAGGAUGCGAGAGGUGUUGGUGAUGGCUCGAGUAGGGAGGACACUUUACUCCGGUUACAUAUUGAUCAAUCCAAGGUGAUGGACAACGGUGGCAAGCGUGCGAGAAAGAAAGGUCUGGCCCCAUCAGAUAGACAACUUCGAUCGACGGUAACACACUCUCACAAUGCUCUACAAAGUUUAUCUCAUGAUUAAUGGUCUGUUUUGGAACAUACGAGGGAUUGCCAAACCCCCUAACUUGCGCAGAUUGAAAAGAUUGAUUCGUUUGCAUGAUUUUAAGUUUGUUGCUAUAUGUGAGCCAAAAAUGGAUGUUUCUCAAAUUGAUUCGAUUAAGAUAAGAUUACCCUUUGAUUCGGUCGUAGUGAAUUCAUCGACUGAUAUAUGGGUAUUUUAUAAUACCCCCCUAGUGUGUGCUGUACUUGGUAAUUCUUCACAGCACAUAACGAUAUCUGUCCAGCAUCCUUGGCUGGCCCGGUCCUUGUGUUUUUCCUUUGUGCACGCUAAAUGCACCUUGGAGGAGCGGAGGACUAUGUAGCAGGACUUAUUGGUGGAUAAACCUGAUUCAAUGGCAUGGUGUGUGUGUGGGGAUUUUAACGUCAUUGGGGAUCCUAUUGAGAAGCGUGGAGGUCGGCCUUUCACUAAUUCUGAAGGAUUGGAAUUACUAUCCUUUAUGGAGGAGGCCGAAGUCUUUGAUGCAGGUUUCUCUGGGGCUAGUUUCACUUGGUGCAAUAAUCGGCAAGGACGGGCUAGAAUCUGGAAGCGAUUGGACAGGGUACUCAUCAAUGGUGGGUUUGCUGAGGGGGCACAAAAUUUAGCGGUGGUCCACCUGGCACGUCACCCAUCGGAUCAUGCACCGCUCAAGAUUUCAUUCUCUUCACGCAUGGGUAAUAAACCCAGGGCCUUCCGAUUCUUAAACGUUUGGACUACGAAUCCUGGGUUACUGAAUGUGAUUCGUCAAGCCUGGCAGGAGGAGACUCCUGGAUCACCUUUGCGGGCUCUUUGCUCCAGGCUCCUGCGCACAAGGAGGGCCGUCCAAGAUUGGAAUAAGGGGGUCUUCGGGAAUGUAUUUGAGAAUGUUCGGAGGGCAGAGGAGAAGGUUUUAGCUGCGGAGAACCGCACGGAGGAGGAUGCCUCUACGGAGGCUCAAGUCGAGCUGAAUCAAGCCCAGGCUGAGCUACGGAAUGCACUUUUGAAUGAGGAGAAGUUUUGGGGACAGAAGGCUAGAGUCAAGUGGCUUCGUUACGGAGAUAGGAACUCUAGAUUUUUCCAUGCAACUGUUCAGCAACGUAGAGCUCAGGGGGCGAUCCACAGAGUGAAGAAUGAGGAUGGUGCAUGGGUAGAGGAUGAUGAGGGGAUAGCCGAUGUGGCUGUAAAAUAUUUUACGGAUAUGUUCUCGGUUGCUGCUGAGGGGACAUCGAACGAGUGGGCCCAUCUAAUUCCAAAUGUUGUUAACCAAGCAGAUAGGAUGGCUCUUGAAGCUUGUCCAACGAUUGAAGAGGUGAAGCGGGUGGUGUUUGAGAUGGACGGGGAUAGUGCAGCAGGCCCAGAUGGCUUCACCGGUCAAUUUUUUACAUUUGCAUGGGACAUUAUUGCGCAAGAUGUUUAUACUGCUGUUUUAAGCUUCUUUUGUGGGGCAGAGUUGCCUCGCUUUGUGACCUCUAUAUCCAUUGUCCUAAUUCCCAAAGUGCCUAACCCUCAGGAUUUUUCUAAAUUCCGUCCGAUUAGUUUGUGCAAUUUUUUUAAUAAGGUGUUGUCUAGGAUUUUGGCGGAUAGGUUGGCAGUCAUACUGCCCAAGGUUAUAUCUUCUCAGCAGACAGGGUUCGUCAAGGGCAGAAACAUCACAGAAAAUUAUCUCCUAGCCCAGGAGCUUCUGUCGGGGAUCAAACACAAGUCUAGGGGGGGUAAUGUAGCGGUAAAGCUUGACAUGGCAAAGGCGUAUGAUCGUGUGUCUUGGGCUUUCACUGUAAACGUUUUGCGUAAAUUUGGAUUUGGUGAAAGGUUUAUUGACAUGGUGUGGCGAUUGUUGUCUAACGUUUGGUUUUCAGUCAUUAUCAAUGGGGCAUCGUAUGGAUUUUUCAAAUCGAGUCGGGGCGUUCGCCAGGGCGAUCCGCUAUCGCCAGCGUUGUUUGUCAUUGGAGCUGAGGUCUUAUCCCGAGGGCUUAAUAGCCUAGCUUUGCAGUCCGGAUUCUUGGGGUUCACUGUUCCCAGGGGAUGUCCUACGGUUACUCAUCUAGCCUUUGCGGAUGAUGUACUUAUUUUUGCGAAUGGCUCUGCCAGAUCUUUAAAACACAUUAUGCAGGUAUUGGAGAUGUAUCAAAGGGCAUCUGGUCAAUUGGUAAAUCCCCAGAAAAGUGGAUAUUUAGUGCACCCAUCAGUGUGUCUCUCUCGCCGAAGGGUAAUAGAGCGUAUUACAGGUUUUCCAAGGCAACAGUUCCCGGUUCGGUAUCUGGGAUUUCCUCUUUAUGUAGGCAGAGUUAAAUCCGCGUAUUUUGGGGAGGUGUGUCAUUCCAUCUCAGCAAGAAUCCUUUCCUGGCGGUCAAAGCUUUUGUCACCUGGGGGGAGGUUAGUCCUAAUAAAGCAUGUGCUCUCGGCAAUUCCGACGCAUCUUCUAUCCGCUGCGGUCAUUCCGAUGGCUAUUUUUAAGGAUAUUGAGCGGUUAUGCGCUACUUUCCUGUGGGGAUCGUCUGACGAGCUGAAUAAGCAUCAUUGGAUAAAGUGGUCCCAGCUGUGUUAUCCGGAGGAGGAGGGAGGCGCGGGAUUUCGGCGGGUCCGAGACGUAUAUAAGGCUUUCUCAUGUAAGUUAUGGUGGAUCUUGCGCACAGGAUCGUCUUUGUGGGUAUCCUUCAUGAGGGCAAAGUAUUGCAAAGGGGUUCACCCAUGUCAGGUGGGCUGGGCUCAAUCUGCUUCAGCAACAUGGAGGCGCAUGCUUGAUGUGAGCCGCCAGAUGGAACUAUCAAUGUUAUGGUUGUUAAAUGAUGGGGACUGUGACUUUUGGUAUGACAACUGGGUGGGAAGUGGAGGUCUUUUCCUUAGAGCCCCAGUGGUGCCAGCCAGUUCAUUUGCAGAUGUUAUGACUAAUGGUGCCUGGGACAGGGGUCGUUUGCUGCAGAUUCUCCCAUCAGACACUGUGGAUUUGGUGAUGAAAACUCCGGUUCCUAGUGGGAGGGGGACAGAUCAAGUGGUAUGGAUGCCUACGAAGUCGGGGACAUUCACUUUGGCAUCUGCGUAUCAGGAGGUAAGGCAGGGACGCACUACCUCGCUGGAAUUGUCCCGUAUAUGGCAGGCUAGGAUACCGUUGAGGGUAUCUUUUUUCAUGCUUCGCUUGCUUAUGCGGCGCUUACCGUUAGAUGAUGUCCUAGGUGAGAUGGGUUUCAAGUUGGUGUCAAAAUGUUUUUGUUGUGUGGAUGCAACGGGUGAGACGUUGGAACAUAUAUUCUCCACGGGACAACUGGCACUGGAGGUCUGGAAUUACUUUCAGAGUAUAUGUGGUAUAGCUAGUGAUAGCUCUAGCAUUAGGUCACAUUUGUUUGCCUGGUGGUUGUCAUUGGCUCCGUCGGGCGAGCAGAGAUUCGUCUGUUCUGUUACCCCGAUAUUUAUUUGUUGGAACAUUUGGAAGGCUAGGUGUCGAGUGGUGUUCGAUGGGGCAAGGGUUCGGGCGAAGGAGAUAUGUGGUGCAGUAUUCCAGGAUGUGAAGGAGGCAUUUGAGAUCCACUUCAAGGUGGCCGUUCAAGGGAGUAAUUUCCAGGUUUUCUAUACGGUAGUGUCUCAAGCGCCGUAUUUGUAUGAGUGCAGGAUAGUCCGCUGGGAGGCAGGGGGAUAUGGAUGCACGACGCUUAAUACGGAUGGGUGUGCUAAGGGUAACCCUGGAGUGAGCGGUGGAGGUGGAGUGCUUAGGGAUUCCGGUGGCCAUGUAUUAGUGGCUUUUUCGGCUUACCUGGGUGAGGGUUCUAGUCUUCACGCUGAAACGCUGGCCGCCUUAUUGGGGAUUCAGCUGUGUCUUGAAAAGGGAGUUGCCCCCAGGGUGAUUCAGUCUGAUUCGUUGUUGCUAACGGAAAUCCUCCAACGACGCUAUCACUGCCCCUGGCACAUUAGGAGAGAAGUGGAGCAAAUUUGGCACUUGGUGGGGGAGGCUAGGUUCGUGCACUGCUACAGAGAGGCGAAUAAGGUUGCUGAUAUUUUGUCCAAUGUGGGUGUCUCUCAUUCGCAACUGUUGGUUAGAGUUUAUGAUAGUGAGUUGGAUCUUCCCGUGUUGGCUCGGGGGGAGGUUAGGUUAAACAGAUUGGGUUUGCCAUCAAUUAGACGUGUUAGGCUGAGAAAGGUAUAGGAUGGCCCAUUUUGGGUACUGCCCGAUGUGGUUGUAAUUUCGUUUUUAUUAAUAAAGAGCAUUAAAAAAAAAAAAAAAAAAAGGUAUAGAUAGAUUUCCAUUUAAUAUUUGACCCAUCUCGUUACUGUCAGAUUGACAAAAUUAUUUAGAUUAAAAUUCUAAAAAAAAAAAAAAAAAAAAAGGUAGUGCAUACUUUAACCCAGCACGCUAAGAGUGCUAAUCUUUUUUUAAUCUCUUUGAAAUUCCCUUCCAAAUUUCGUCAAGCAACUCAUGGACAAUUUCCUGUUACAUCAUUAAUAAAAUGUGUCAAUCUUUUUUUUUUUUUUUUAUCAAAAAAGGCUCAUGCUAAAAAAAUAAAAGAUUUACAUCUGAAUUAUUCGUAUGGACCGCUUAGUUACUGGCUGGUUGGAGUGGUCUAUGUCCAAGAAUAAAACCAACCAAAAAUUGAUAACUUGCAAAAUAGGAUCCACACACUUAAGGCACAUGCUAAAAAAAAAGAGCAAAUUAUCCGGAUGACCACUAAACUUUUGCAAUCGUCGAGUUUUGGCCACCCAAUUAUUAAAAGUCUGGUUUUGACCACUAAAAUGUAUAAAGUUAAGACUUGAGGCCAUUCUAUUAGAUUUAAUCGUUAAGUUUGCCGAUCUGUCUGUCCAAGCGAUUUCCAAGACAAAACAGAGGGUCAAUUUAGGAAGUUGAAAAUAGCACUUGCACCUCUUCUUCCUCUCCUAUGCAUCUGUUCUUCGUCUUCCUUUUAUUUUUGCUUAAACCCAAACAUCAAACAUUCGAGAAAUGAAGAAAAAUGAAACAACAAAGUGAAUGGGGGUAUUGAGAGUCAGCAGGAGGGGUUGACAAACAAGAUCUUAUUUCCUGGAACGAUGGAUUGGGUGAUUAUAACAAGAGGCCAGCAUUUUGAUCCAUUUGAUGCAUACGGUAAAGUUUUAAAAUCCCUAACUUUGAAUAAUGUAUGUAUGGCAAUUAGUGUUAAUUAAGGGUCAUAGGAAGAUGAUUAUUGUUUAGUUAUGGUGGUCCAGAAUAGAUUGUCUGUUUCCUGUAUGGUCCUACCUUUUACCAUUGUUUUGGUUUUUUGCAAUAAAGUAUAUAAGUAUAUAUAGUACACUGAUUAAAGUAUUCUUAAUGGUGGCUUAAGGGGUUAAUUAAUAAUUCAUUCAUUGAAUUUGGGUUUACUAGUUUUGACUAAAAUUUUAGUUUUUCUAACUAAUUGCAUAUCAUGCAGUGCCAGGUUCUUCUCUUUUCACCAUACGGAUGUAUCAUGGGGGUAAAUUCAAUUGGCAAAAUUACAGAUACAUUGAUGGGCAUGUAGAUUAUGUUGAUUUAUGUGAUGCGAAAACAAUGUCUGUGCAUGAAAUAAACUACAUGGUGGAUAAAUUAGGGUAUUACGGAUGUAUAGUGUAUUACUAUCUUGAGCCAGGAAAAGAUUUUCAAAGUGGGUUGAAGGAAUUAUCUACUGAUAAAGCCAUUAUCAGUUUUUGCAAUUGGGCUUAUAAGCAUAAAAUCAUAGAGGUGUACUGUGACCACAAGACAAAGAAUGAAAUCAAGAGGAUGGCCAUGAAGUCCCUUCCUUUUGAUAUGGAACUGAUUAAAAAACCUGGAGUCACCAUUGAGGAACUUGAUGAAAAUGGAAAUGUUAUUAGGGAACGUAGCUUUAAACUAGUGCCGUUGACAAGAUUGUUUGACAAGAUAGAUGCUGAGAACUGUUCUAGAGAGAAUGUAUUGAAUAAUGGGGAUGAUGGGGAUGAAAAUGAUAAGAGGAAAUAUAAAUGGCCAAGUGGAGACUGACACUGAUUCGGAUGGAGACUGUAAUCGUUUUAGUGAUGAUAGGGAUUUCUGUAGGGAUGAAGAAAUGUUAGAAGAAUUGAUUGUUGACGGUCUAAAAUCUGGUGUAGAUGAUGAGGCAUUCGAGUCUUCUAAUACAGAGCAACCUAGAUCUUCACAACAUCCCACUUCUAAUGAUGAUUGUAAUGAUGAUUCACAACAGCAAGAAUCAGUUGCAGAUGAGCAAUUCUCACAACAGCAACCAACAAGGAUGGAUCCAUGGUCACAACAAUCAGGACUUGAAACUGAAUUUGAACAUCAGCAGCACCCUGAGACAAAUGAAGAACAACCUAUACAUUUGGGAACUGGAAACCAGCAGUCUUGGAGGAAGAAGCAAGUUAGAAGGAGAAGAAACAUCUCUACAGCAUAUAGUGAAGAGGCAACUCCCCAUUUAGCUGAUGUCCAUGCAUUAGAGAAAGAUACAGUAGUGACCGAGUUGCAUAGUGAUGCUGGCUCCUCAGAUGAAGAGAAUAAUGAUGACUAGAAGAAUAUGUAUGCUGACUUCAAUCCGGAAAGAGAUCUAAAAGACCCAAAUUUUGAGUUUCACAUAGGAAUGAAGUUUGAAUCAGUUGAACAGCUAAGAUUAGUUGUAAGAACAUAUUCCAUCAUGAAAGGAAAAUCAAUAAAGCCAUACACAUAUGGAAAAAAAAAGGCUUAGAGCAAAAUGCAAGCUUUCUUGCCAAUGGUUUGUUUAUGCAUCAGCUGAGACUGCUCUUGGGACAGAUGAUUUGGUUGUUAAGAGCAUGAAUAAUGUGCACACAAACUGCAAUCAUGCAUGGGAGAACAAGAUUAUUUCUGCGAAGUGGCUUGCAAACAAGUACAUGGAAAGGUUUAGAUGCAAUAUUAAAAUGCCUCCAAGAAUGUUAAGACAAAUAGUUUACGAUGACUUCAAAGCAAAAAUUUCAACAUGGGUGGCAUACAAUGCAAGGGCAAUUGCUAAAAAGGAGAUUCAAGGGAAUGCAAAACAGCAAUAUAAGGAUAUAUGGAGAUAUUGUGCAGAAAUUAAGAGGACACACCCAAAUACCACAAUGGAAGUUAUGUUUACUCCCUUCAGACAACCUGGUUGCAACCUAAAGUUCAUAAGACUUUAUUGCUAUUUGAGACCAUUAAAACAAGGCUUUAAGGACGGUUGUAGGCCCAUUAUUGGGGUUGAUGGAUGCCACAUAAAGGCUGAAUAUCGUGGUCAACUAUUGACUGCUAUUGGAGUAGAUCCCAACAAUGGAUGGUGGGCAAUUGCCUGGGCACUCGUUGAGAGGAAAGCAACUGAACAGUGGAAAUGGUUUUUUGAGCUGCUGAAGAAUGACUUGCAGAUUGAAAAUGGGUAUAGCUACACCUUUAUUUCUGAUCAGCAGAAGGUAUUAACUCCAUCCCUUUGUACAUGCACUAUACAUAACCUAUAUCAGUUUACUAAUGCAUUUUGUUUGUAAUAAUGUAUAGGGUCUUGACCGAGCAUUGUCUGAGGUACUACCAAACAGUGAGCAUAGAUACUAUGUGCAACACCUUUAUAACAACUUCAAGAAAAAACAUCGCGGAUUUGCCCUGAAGACAAAACUAUGGAACAUUGCAGCAAGUACUACUGAGAAACUACUCAAGAAAGCAAUUGAAGAUCUGAAAAAAUUUGACAAGGAAGCAUAUGAAUGGGUGAAGAAAGCACCACAUCCCAGUCAUUGGUGUAAGACUUUUUUUUCGGAACAUACUCGAUGCGAUAUGCUGGUUAAUAAUCUGUGUGAAAGUUUUAAUGGUCAUAUCCUUGAAGUUAGGCAGCAGUCAAUUAUCACAGUGUUUGAGACCAUUAGGGUAUUUCUAAUAGAGAGGAUAUUUCUAAUGCAGAGAAGGAGAACUACAAUGUGAAUGUUUGAAUUGUCCAUUGGCCCACUAAUUCGAAAGAUAAUUGAUAAUAGAGUGAUAGAAUCAAGGCAGUGGAUGACUAUUUGGAAUGCUGUGGAUGGAUACCAAGUUAGAGGACCAAGAGAGGCCCAGUUUGCUGUUUAUUUAAAGAAAAAGUCGUGCACAUGCAAAUUAUGGAACUUAUCAGGUAUUCCUUAUUGUCAUGCUAUUGCAGUAAUUCACAGAAAUAAUAGUGACCGUUAUAAAGAAGUUUAUGACUGGUACAACAAAGAUCUGUUUCUAAAAAUUUAUGAUAAUAUUCUAUAACCUAUCAAUGGACAAAGCAUGUGGCUUGAAACUGAUGGGGUGGAUCUUGAUCCACCAGAAAGGAUAGUGCAACCCGGUAGACCUAUGAAGGCCAGGAGAAGAGAUCCUACUGAAACUCAAAAGAGUGAAAACAGGUUGCGGAGAAGGAUAGUCAUCCAUUGCAGAAAAUGUGGUGUUGCAGGCCAUAAUAUAGCUAGUUGCAAGUGGCAGUAACAAGACAAUCAACAAAAGCAACAAGGUUGCGAGGAACAACAAUUCGAGUAUCAACAACACCAGCAGCAGCAGAAUAUGCAGCAUCAACAGCAGAACCAGCAGUAGCAUCAUCAUCAUCAGAACCAACAGCAACAGUAGGAUCAACAUCAACAGCAGCAAAAUCAGCAUCAGAAACAGAACCAACAGCAGUACUAGCAGAAUCAACUACAACAGCAAAUCAAUAUCAACAGAAUCAGCAGCAGCAGCAGAGCCAACAUCAGCAGGAUCAAGAGCAGCAGCAGAACCAACAACAACAGCAAGCAGAAUCUGCACAGCAGCAACAGAAUGAAGAAGUUUUACGAAACCAACAGCACACAAGCCAAGGGGUGCGUCAACCCAAAAAGGCAGGGAAACGAAAAUUAACAGAUUCAGAAAAGGGUUACAAAUUAUGCAUAUUUAGGUAAAGAACCUCCUUUCACAAUCGAAAAUUGGAGAGGAAGAUGGAGUAGAGAAACAUCUACAAGAGGAGGAACUUCACCUGCAACUACCAGAGGACAACUAAGAGUUAAAAGAGGAUCAACACCUGAAAAUUGAAGAAGAAGUAAAGCUAUAGCUAGAUUAGGAUAUAAUUGAACUACAUUUUGCCUUUCUACUAAAUUCUAGCAGCUGCUGCUCUUUGUCGUAGAUGCCAAAAAUGGUCAUUGAACAUUAAUUACGUGAAACAAAAUACUUUUUGCCAGCUGCUGCUCUCUGUCGAAACGCCAAAAAAAGGUGCUUGCCUACUUAAAACAAUUUUGAACCAACUAAUUUGAAUCAAAUUUCGUGGCUUGCAUUCUUUUCUAGACUUCUUCUCUGAUUCUUCGUGGAUCAUUCCUCUUCUUUAAUAUAUAUAUAGAAUCGAAUUUAUCGUGUAGACAAGAAAAAAAAUUUUAAAUCAAUUUUGUUUUAACUCUCCGCCAUGUCUCAAGUCUCAACUCCUCCUUUCCUCACUUUCAGUUUCAAACACAACCCACAAGGCUUCAACAACCUACCACUCCCAUGUCCUCCUCCUCAUCAUCAGGCCUAGGAAUUCUUCCUCUUCUUUCUUAUCUUCUUUGUCCUCCAGAAGCCUACUUUAAUUUUUUUUGGGGUAAGUAGCCCACUUUAAUUAGUAUUAUCCUCACGAUAAGUUAGGUUUUGUUUGAAUUACAUUUUUCUAGACUUUUUGUAGAAAAAUUACUAUAAUAAUAUGAUAUACGUGAGAUAAAAAGAUAAUUAAAAAAUAUGUUAACGUAACAAUUUUUCUUUGAAAAAUUACAAUCCAAACACACCUUAGAUGUUUGAACAUCCCCGAUUAAUUUUGGAAUACAUUUUUAAAUUAAAGGAAUUAAAAUUAAAUCGAUGAUCUUACGUCAAAGAGAUUUGUCCAAAAUAAAAUAUAUAUUGCCAUCUCGUAGUCAGUUUUGGGAUGGGAAAGUCGAUUGGCUUAUAGCAAUAAAAUACUUCUACAAACUUGUCGGUGGUUGGUUAAAGGUUGAAAUAUCUGGUGGAUAUAAUCUGCAGAUGUGUUUGUGUGUCCUCUGAGUGAGAAAGAGCAAGAGGAGGAUGGUGAAACAAGGAGGAAACGAAGUAGAUAUAAAGAAUUAAGGACUCGGCAUAACUAAAGAAAAAACAGGUGGUAACAACCGAGUCAGCGAGGUUCGGGAUGGAAUUUGUUGGAGGGAAGAUGACUAGCUAAGAGUAGUGGAGAAGGUGAUGAUAGUGUUCGGUAGUUGGCAAGGGUUGAGUUAAAGUGCACUGUGGAGGAAGGAGCGAUUGCUCUGCCUUUGUGCAGAGUUACGUCAUCAAGGUUUUCCGACUCCAAUUGGUGUCGUUUAGCCUAGAAAGUGUUUUAAAAGGCGAAAACCGUGGGCAGGACAUUCUUUUAUUUUUUAAUAUUUUAAAAAUAUAAAAAUACAUACAUAUAUAUAUACAUCUGCGUAUAUAUAAUAUUAAAAAUACCCAAAAAUAAAGAAAAAUUAUAACCUUAUGUGAUUAAAAUAAAACCUGCUUGUGUAACUAAUGACAUCCUAUGAACAGAAACCCAAUAAACCACUGUAAACUUCGAUGAUUAUUUACAUAAAAAACUUUAUUAUCAUCCCGCAAACUAAUGAUCAUAGUUGCGAAAGCUCUUUUCUAAAAUACUAGCAAAUGAUACUUGUGAGGUUUAACUAUCAAAAAAAGUGUCUUUUUCCUAUUUCUUUAGAGUAUCCUCAAUGUGAGGGACAAAGUUUUGAAAUAUCUCCUCCUUUGUAUUAUCAAACUCCAAACUAACAUUUAUGUUUGCCAACUUAAAUUUAUAGGCUAAUAUAAGAAAAGUUUUCAGAAAUUGCAAGUUGAGUUUAAGGAUCUCAACUUCUUUAAGCAAGUAAAGGGAAAAUCCAGUUUAGAUUUUUGUUGGAACUUUAAAAAAUGGGAAAAAGUACUAGGAUUUUAAAUGUAUAUAUUUUUUAUGCCUCAAAAAACAAAACUUGCCCAAACGGUCUGGCGUUUGCCUCGAUCCUUAGGGCGAAUGUCCCACAACAAUAACGCCCCAUUUAACCAUCCAAGGGUAAUUUGAGAAUAUCUUGCCCUGGGGCUUGCCCUGAAACUUGCCCAAAUACGCUUUUCAAAACACUGAUAACACUGAUCUUCAAUCGAGAGUUAGAAAGACAACUCGGAUAGAGGAUAUGAACCACUUUCUUUCUGCCCCUGGCUUCUCUACAUGUAAAACCUUUUAAUUAUCCAUUGCAUUACUAUUACAUAAUAAUUUCUAAUUGUUGGGUCAAAUCACUAACAAAAACCCAAAGUUCAUCUUCAUUACGUUUCCAAGUCAGUGUUUGACUUGAGAUUAUAAACUGGUACCAGAGAGAGCCACGAGUUUCAUCAUUAUUGAAACAAGAAUAGCAUCAGUCACUAACCUUGUGAGAACGAAUUUGUAGUUUAUGGAAUCCAAAACUAAAAUUUGUAUUUGUAUUUUUUUUUAAUAAAGAGUUAUUUCAUUGCUAAAAUGUAGAGAACAAGGAGCUACAGGCUACAUCGGUCUCAAGGUGCGACAAGAGGGCUACUCCCUCCCAUCUUGGGUACGAACAAAAGGAGUUCCCCUACUAUCCAAAAGCAAAGUAGCUCUAACUUCCCGCGGGAGUUGCUGGAAAGCCGUGCUGUAAAAAUCACCCUGGAGAUCCAUCGUUGCUAACUUAUCUGCCGCGGCGUUCGCCUCUCUGAAUAUGUGCCUAGUGGUGGCACUGAAACUCUGAAGCAGGGCCCGAAUCUGCCGUAACGAGUUACAUAACAGCCAUUUUGCCAAGGACCCUGAGUCUAGCAAUUGAACGAGUCCCGUCGAAUCCACCUCCACCAAUAACCGUUGAACCCGAACUCUGUUACAGAAGAGUAAACCCUGCAGCAAUGCCCUACCCUCAGCAGUCAGUACAUCGACCUCCCCGAACUCUUUAUAGAAUGCAAAAAUCAACCUACCCUCAUGGUCCUGCAGCAAGCCUCCUCCUGACACCUUCCUUUUUGUCACACUGACAUCCGUAUUUAGCUUGACCACACCCUCCGGUGGCGGCAACCACGAGGUCACCAAGUGCCUUGUCACCUGCGGCCUCCAUGUAGCUAAACGAUCCCAUGGGUCCUCCGAGUCACCCUUGAAAUGCGCUAUGGAAAAGAUGUUCGACCUCCCUAAUCGCUCCACCAUACUGCCCACUACCCAAAUUAUCCCCUGCGGAUCUAUCCGAGCCCCCUCAAACCGUGCCUUUAUUUCGGGCUGGCCAUAUAUACCAUAGGACUAAACAUGGCGUAAUCGUCCGUAUAUGAUUUGCCGAGCCCACUGAUGUUGAAGAAAACCAAGAUAAACAGUCCGCCAAGACCGACUACGAGUUAGUUCGAAGGAUACCGAACCGUCCGCGGAAGAAGUCCCAAACCUGCUCCACCACUGGCCCACCUAGAAAAAGAUGCUUCGAGGAUUCCUCAUGCAAAGAGCAGCAGUUAUACCUAGACGCCAUCAUGAUGCCCCGCCUUUGCAGAUUCCCCUCUACCGGGACCAAAUUACACAGCACUUUCCAAACUAGGAAGAGGAUUUUGAGCGGAAGGAUCCUAUUCCAUACGAACCUAUCAACCAGAGAUAGGUUCCUUCUUCGGUGCAGAGCCUCCCACCCAUACCAUCUCAUCUUCCUGAUCUGGAUACAAGGUAAUCUCUUGGACCUGGCACACCAAACCCAUUGGUAGCCACACCUGUAGCAAUCCAGUGUUCCAUCCCCCCUCUCCAAAGAAUUCCGCCACUAGCAUGUGUGGCAGGUCAAUCUUGCCUAGCUCCUCAGCCAAGGGCAUCUCUAGCAACCACCUGUUAUGCCAAAAGUCGACAAACCUUUUACCCAAGCACCAUCGAAUCCUCGUCUCCAUAAAAUCCCGGACCUGCGCUAACCGACGCCAAAUCCCCAUGGGCCUACUCACUUGCACCAUAGACGGGUGCCCGCCUUUAAUGUACUUCACAUGCAUGAACUCCGCCCACCUCGACCUAUUCCGACGUAACUGCCACCACAGUUUGCAAGCAAAGGCCGCACUCAAGUCCCCAAAUGACCUUACCCCCAAACCCCUUUCUGGCGUUGGGAAGCAAACCCUAUCCCAAGAUGUCCAAUGAAUGCCCUUCGAGCCAUCGGCUUUACCCCACAAAAAGGCAUUACAUAUUCUACCCAACCUCUGGAAAAUCGCUUUCGGCGGAUGAAGAACAUGCAGCAAGUACAUUGGAAUGGAUUAAAGUACAUGCCGUAGGAGGACCAACUUGCCCCUUGCCGAGAGCAGCCGAGAGCUCCAAUGUGACAGCCGACUCUGCAUUUUUGUGAUACUGGAUCGAAGAGUGUGCACGCCUCCUUGCCCCUGGAGAUUGGAGCUCCCAAAUAUACAAAUGGGAGCGUUUGCUAUUGAAACCGUAACUUCUCUCGUACCAGAGCAACACUAUCCUCCGAGGCCCUGUUAGACAGAAUAAACGAGCUCUUACCCCCGUUUAUCCACUGCCCAGAAUAAGCCUGGUAGCGAGCGAAAAACGCCCCCAGUGAGUCCAGACAAUCCUUGGAACAGCGAGUGUUUGUAGUUUCAUCAUCAUUGAAACCAGAAUAUGUCAAAAAAAGUUGUAGUCUUAAAAAUGAAUUUGUAAUAGAUGCACUUGGUUGAUAUUGAUGAUGUCGUUGUCAUCUAGAUGCUCCAAUAGAGCAGUGUGUUCUUCGCUACACAGUUGAACUCCGGAUAGAUUAGUGUAUGUAUGUAUGUAUCUCUUUGCAAUCAUAUUUUAUGUUGUUAUUAUAGUAUUUGGCUUGAUUAUAUGUUAGAAGUUACUAAUCCUAAAAUUUAGACAAUUUUUAUUUUUUUCCUGUAAUUAAUUAUCUCCUUAUUUAUAUCCUACUUUUCCAUUCUCUUUUUUCAACAAUUAAUUAUCUUCCUUUUUGACUUUCUUAGUUAUAGCAACUUUUAAUGAAUUACAUAUGAGCCAUUCUAUGUAUGUAAAUUGUGUUCAUGAAUCAUCAAUAUCCAUCAAUAUUUCUACAAAUUUAUUGCACAAAAUGUUUACUACAAUUUUUUAGAUCUUCAAACUAAAUUCUUUUGCAUCUUCAAAAACAAAAUGUUUACUUUAAUUUUAUUGUUACCAAAAGUAAUUUUCAAAUUUAUAGAAUCUUUCAACAAAUUAUUUGUACUCCGGUUGAAGUAACGGUUAAGAACUAGUACGAUUAUGUUAUUGAAGAUCAGACUCUUGUUGGCUUACGUUUAAAGGCCAAGUUUUAAUUGAUCGAAUUAAAUUCCCAUUGAACAUGUUAGUUUCACUAGAACUUCUUGUUUAAUUUUCACCACACCUCCACAUAUAAAUUUGAGAUGCAGAUUGGAUGACAAGAUAACAUCAGCUGAAGUCAAUUUUUGAAGCUAUGCAUGCAUCCAUCAAAACGGUGUCCAUUUACUCGGAAACUUUUGAAAGUCUUAUAAUUAAUUUUGUUGAAUUAAAUGAAUUGUAUGCAUGAUGCAAUUGCAGAGAAUCUCUAUUCGAUUGGAAUUUUGAAUUUAACGUCAUCGCCCAAUAGGGUGGCUUUAUCUGUUUUCCUUCUAAAAUAACUCAUAUAAAUCAGAGGCAUGAACAGUUCAUUGCUUGGAAGAGAUCCCUUCAACAAUUGAAAGUAUUGGAACCCUAAACCUAUUAUCCUAACCCUUUUGAAAUGCUACACAUGGACUUCCUGAUCUUGAAGGCAACAUGCUUUGUUUGGAUUGCAUUUUUGUAGAUUUUUUGUAGAAAAAUUAUUGCAACGAUUUGAUAUAUGUGAGAUAAAAAGGUGAUUGGAAAAUAUGUUCACGGAAAACGUAGUAAUUUUUCUUUGAAAAAUUGUUGUCCAAACAAGUUUCUUCGUUUUUCUUGAUUUGAUAUCUUCAUUCCAGGUUGCUGAUCUAUCCUUUUUUCUUGAAGGCAACACUUUAUGAUGUCACAUUAAUGUCAAAGAAUGCCUUCAUUGCAGAGAGAAAUUUGGAUUAGCUCAAAAAAGUCAAAAAGGAAAAAGGAGUUUCAUACGUACAUGUCCUUUGAGAGAAACUAAUAGAGGUCAUCCAAUUAACGUGUUUGUCACACUAAAUGCAACUCACUUUAUGUAUAAAAUGUUUUUUGAAUGCUCAAAUAUCUUAUUCAACGAUGUAAACUUUUAAAUGAUCAAAUUUUGACAAGGAACAAGAAAAAAAAAAAUAAAAAAGAAAAAGAAAAAUCAAAGUCUGUACAAAGCUUUUUUUUUCACAAAGUGUGUACCAUUUUUGGUAGCCAUCCAACACGCAUUGCGGACUAUUUUUUUUUUUAAGUAUUAAUUUUGUCCCUCAUGCUUUAGAAUUUGUUAUUCUCAUGGAAACCUAAUUUACUUGCUUGCUUCUUUAACGUUGACCUAUCAACUUUAAGGUAUGUGACAAAUUUCCAAUCUGUUUAAUGAUUUUAUGCCAAACAAUUUUAAAUUAAUUUAGAUUACAAAAGAGGGGAUCGUAAAUCAAAAAAUCAAUUUCACAACUAAUUAUUUAGUGAUUUUAACAAACAAUUUUAAAUUAAUUUAGAUUACAAAAGAGAGGAUCGUAAAUUGAAAAAUCAAUUUCACAACUAACUGAUAGAGAAUCAAAAUUUCCAUGAAUUCAGCACAAAUUUUCCACUGUAGGUCAUGACUUCCAUUGAUGGAUGGACUUAGACCCAACACGUCGGCGAAAUUUCUACCCAACUUGGAGCAUUUUAUGUGGCAGUUAAGAUUUUGAAGGCUCUUUAUUUUGGCUUUCUUUACUUCUCCUAAUUUUAAAUGCACAUUUGAAAUUCUUGAGCUGUUUAUUCCUCUUUUGGCCUCAAUCUUUUUAUAGUUUAAAGACCACCCAAACUUUUAUGCUUAUUAAAAAUUUAUCAAGUCAAAAUAAAAAGAGUUUAUCGAGUCUCAUUGAAUGCGUUAAACAAGGUUUUCACGACAUAAAGAAGUAUAGAUAUACACAACUAUACAUUAAUGUUGUAUAUAUUAUUACUAUAAAGAUUUUUUAUACUAACAGAUCUAAAUAUAUGACAUAUGAGGAAAAAUUGAAUUCAAAAUUUAAAUAGUGAUAAUAUGACAUUUAUCUUAACCUACUUGUAUAAAAAAAAUCUCUACGCUUCAUAUAAACAAUGUAAAGAGUUUUCAAGAAACAAAGUUUAAAUUUCUUUUUAAUGUGUGUACCAGCCCAUUUUAUUGAAGAACAACCGCAGGCUCAUCUACUUAGCAAAGUGUGUGGAUCCUAUUUUGUAAGUUAUCAAUUUUUGGUUGGUUUAUUCUUGGACAUGGACUAAUCCAACCACAAGCGUGUUGAUCCUAUCUUCUAAGUUAUCAAGUUUUUGAUUGGUUUAUUCUUGGACAUGGACUAAUCCAACCAGCCAGUAACUAAGUGGUCCAUGCCGAUAAAUCUAAUGCAAAUCCUUUUUUUUAAGCAAAUUAUCUGGAUGGCCACUAAAAUAUAUAAAGUUAAAACUCAAGGCCAUUAUGUUAGAUUUAGUUGUUAAGUUUGCCGAUUUGUCUGCCCAUGCGAUUUUCAAGACAAAAGAAAGGGUCAAUUUAGGGAGUUCAACAUGCAUCUUCUUCUUCUUAUUGUAUAAACCUAAAGAAGGCUCUGCUUCUACUGCAACAAGAGAGAAGGAAAUGGAAGAAACCCAGUUUGAAUUAGAGGAAGUAGGACCAAGCUCAACGUCACCAAGAGCCGUGCCAGCAAGAUCCAUGCCACCUACAUCGAUGCCUCAUCUGCCUACUUGUGUUUGUGGGAUUAAGACAGUAAUGAUAACUUCAUGUAUUGCACAAAAUUCGGGAAGAAGAAGCUUUGCCAAAUGCGCAUUGGGGGAGGUUUGUAACAUCUUUCUAGAUACUUAAUUUAUUAUUGUGUAAGAAACAUAAUGAAUUUGUUUAUUUUUGAAGAAUGGAUGUGGCUAUUUGUGACGAUCCCACCUCCCCCUAGGGCGUACCCCAGGGUUUAGCGGACCGCCUGCCCAACUCUCGUCAGGACUCACUCACUCGUAGCUCGGGAACCUAACUUACAUCCAGAGAAACUAAAUAACACAAUAAAUUCAAACUUGAUAUAUACAUUGAUGCUCAAACCCAGAUACAAAACUUCUACACACCAAGACACUUUCAAGUGUUUACAAUUCAAGUACAAUCAACCCUAGUCGGGUGCUAGCACGAGUACAAUUACAAAAUUUUCAAAAACUAGACUACGCUAACCUGUACCAGUCUCACGCCUCGCUCGUACCCCCUGUUAGGAAAAUAAAUGGAGUGGAAUGAGCUAAAAACCCAGUGAAGUUCCAAAUAGCAAGUUGACAAUUAUUGAAAAGUUCACGUAUCAAAGUGGCAAAAUAGCGAGCAUAACCAGUCCAUAAAAGUGAGCGAUAACACUUCAGGUAACAAAUCUCAAAAUGAGCGACUGUAAAAUUCUUUUCUAAAAAAAACAAUAACACUACGAAUAACAAUCAAAGUAUAAGGAUACAAAUGGCUCUCAGGAGCCAAUUUUCCGUUGCUUCACCAAAGUUUGAUCAAGUAUUAGUUGACACUCCAUCAACCUUCAAGUAAAGGAACCAAUCUAGUAGUGCUUCGUUUAACACCAAUCCGUCCACCAUUCAACCCCCUUACCUGGCCCGAACACCAACUAAACACCGGUGGUAAUACUCGAGCAUACCGAUUAGUCGAGGAAAUAACACUCCACUCGACAACACUAGAUACCCAUGGUUCGUUAUCUAAUCGACUAAGCCCUUGCCGACUCGACUCGAAUAACUAGCCAGUGAGGUUUGGGUCCCCAAAAAGUCGAUGAGAUAACACUCCAAUCGACUGAAUCAAGAUAAAAGUAAGGAGACGGGAAGGAGAGACACCUCCCACUCGGAUUGAGUGUGGUACAUGCAGCCACUCAACAUUUACAAGCACAAGUACAAAUACAAGUAUAUCAAAUCAAUUGCAACAAUAAAUGAGUACAUAUCACAUUAGGGCAAGUGCGAUAAAGUACAUCCUUGCCCGGCCAUACCAAUCACAUAUCAUUCGAUCACAUUGGUUAAGUAUUGGAAACAAGUGUCAAGUUCAAUCAGGUAUUUGGAAGCACUCACCAAAGAUGUAGUGCCUUUACGGAUCACGUUCAGGUAUUACUCCUUGUUGGGAGUCCAAAUCUGCGAUAAAACAUCGUUUAAGAGCUUUGAAAUCACUAAGGUUCGAAACUUAAACGUUUCGUUUAACGAGGAUCAAGUGAUUGAAAGUCAUUUGAAGAAUAUUCAUAAAACUCAUGCUCACUCUUAAAACUUUGAAACUUUGAAGCGAUUAAACUUUGAAAUCACCAUUUGAGUCGAAGAGACGAGGAAAAUGUAUUUCUAUUAGUCGUCACUUUCAUUUUUUCAAGGGCACAAGUUUCUGCCGAAUUCUAUCUUACAUACCUCCAUGAAAGAGGAUUUGAAUAAUCUAGACAAUUCAACCCCAACUCUUUGUUCAAACUACAAGUGCACACGUCUAGUCCUCGAAUGAAAAUUUGGGCAACACGCCAUUUGUAUUUACUUAUUUUUCAACCAUUUAUGGCUUCAUUAUUUUUCUCAGAUCAGCCCCAAAGUCUCACACAAGCAAUGUUACCAUUAUAGCCCGUCAAUUAGGCUCCGAAAUCAUCCAAUUACAACACUUGUCUAAUAAUACAACCGGAAAUCAGUUUUGAAGACAAAAGGCUAAACAGCAGAUUUGACAUCUUAUAGCAUUUUGGUCACAACUGGAGCUACAUUUAUCGGAUUAGGGUACACUUUAUGACGUUUCGAAACUAAGACAAAGGGUUACAACUUUUAUGAAGACAAGUCAACCCAGUUCACAUUUGAUCUAGGUCAAAUUUGCAGAUUACAAAACCAGAAUUUAAAUGUCAGUCUGGUUAUCAGCACUGGAUUUGAUGACAAUAACUCAAACUACAAAUUUCUGAUUGAGGCGUUUUCAGAUGCGUUGGAAAGCUGAAAUAUAGGGUUAAAAUUUUCAUGUUUUGACCAAAUGCUGAUUUGAUAUGGAUCAAAGUGAAAUGAAGCCAAAAAUAUGAAAUCUCAAAACUGUCCGCGGAAAAAAAAAACAUUUGGCAGUCAGGGGUAUUUUGGUCAUUUCACAUGUUACAGUGCUUCGAUUGAGUUAAAAUUUUACAGACAUCUAUAUAACACCAUUUCCUACAACUUUCAUGUUUUGACCUAAGUCUAAUUCGGCCUUUAACAUGGACGAAUGAAGUUGGUCAGAAGCAGGGCAGAAUUCUCUACUAAAGCUGGAAAAUGAAACCCUAGGCUGAAAUUCCAUCAAUCUUCACCAAUCUAGGUUAUCAUCCAUAAAACUUCUAAGUUUCAAGUCAUUUAUCCAAUAAAAUGCAAGAUAAGAGAGAGAAGAAGAGUUUCUUAACCUAAUACCUUCAAACCUCAAGGAAAAACACAAAACCAAGGCUGCCUAUGUAAAAUCAUUCCACCUCAAACUUCCUUGUCACCUUGUUGCAUCUUUGUUCGGAUUAGAUUUGUGGUUCUUGUUGAUUUCUCUCCAAAUCAAUCAAAACCCAAGAUGAAAUGUGAAGUUUCUCUGCUCUUUUAUCUCUCUCUAGUUCGGCCAAGGGACGAAGAAAAUGAAUAGGCUUUGAGGAGAGUUUACAAGAUAAAGACUAGAAUGGUCUUUGGUCAAAGUUGACUUGAUGACCACCACUUGUUGCUCUAUCAUUUUUCCUCUUAUUUUUGUUCUUUUUCCAUUUUUGGUCAAAAAUUUCGGCCAUCUUAAGAUAAAAUUAGGGAAAGAAAAAAUAAAAUAAAAAUAAGGAGAUUAUGGUAAGAAAGUAUUGGUCAAGUGUGGUACUUCACCGGUAACAAAUGGCUCACGUCGGUUCAAGCCUAUUUUCCUUAACUCUGUUGCACUUGUGUUUUAACUUAUGAUUCACUAAUUUAUUAUUAUCACUUCUAAUCACACACUUUCUCUUAUUUAAUACUUCUUCUUAUCCACCAAAUUUAGUACACAUACCUCACCAAUUAAUCACACUAUCAAAAGAUGUAAAAAUCCUAGUUUACCUUAACGAUGAAAGUAAAGGAAAAACCCUUGGUUCUAUGAUUAAUUGUAACUAUUGAGGAAGUGAAUGAGUAGUAAAACUAUUGUAAAAUAAUGGAUUCCAAAUAAAAGGAAAUUUUUAAGAAAAUAUAAGGGAUUUUACAAGUUCUCACAAUCACACUACCAAAAUGCACACAAAAACACACACCAAAACCCUAGUAUGCACAAAAACCCUAACUUAUGCCCUUCUUUAGAAAACUCAUAACUUGAGUUAUAAAUAUAAAAAAUUUAUACAACUUGUCUUGUUAAAAACUAGACUUCAAAUACUAAAAAUCUUUAGAAGACACCUCAAAGAGAUUUAGUUCAUAAGUUGGUCAAAAUGAGCCAUAAGCUACUACAACAUUCCUAUGUUUACUUUGUGAUACCCCGACUUUUAGGAUAUUACGGUUUCUAUAUUUUAUUUUUUGUUUUAAGAUAUUGUUUUGUUUUAAAGAUUAGAAACCCUAAAUUCUAAUCUAAAGGAAAAAAAAAACCCUAGUUUACUUGUGACUACCCGAUUUUCCUAAAUCCCUUAUAUUUUAAUCGAAACCAUAAUUGUAACCAAUGGAAUUGUAAAAUCCCUCAUAUUUUCUUAAAAUUCCUUUUAUUUAGCAUUUAUUCCUUUUUAAUAGCUUUACUACUCAUUCACACCCUCAGUUAUUACAAUUCACCAUAGAAUCAAGGGUUUUCCCUUUAGGUUAUUCGUUCGAGUAAAUUAGGGCUUUUUGCGUAUUUUCACCGUGCGCUUACUUGGUGAGAUGUGUGCACUAAAUUUGGUGAUUAAGAGUGAGUUUGAGAUGAUAUUAAGUGUUUGAUUAGAAGUAAUAACCAUAGGAUAGUGAAUUAUAAGUGAAAACCCUAGUACGUGCAAAAUAAGGAAAAUCGGGUUGAACCGAAGUGUACCGUUCGUUACCGACUGAGUGCAUCACUUGACCCAUACUUUAUUACCUUAAUCUCCUUGUUAUUAAUUGAACAAAAACAUACCUAAAUAUCUCCUUAAGCCAACCGAAAUUGUGGACCAAAAUAAGAGAGAGAAAAGAAAAUUUUAAAAGCUAAUCUCAUCGCGACAAGUGGCAACCAUUCCAUGGUUGUUUGACCAACUUAAUUCCUACCUUCUUAUCUUUUUUCUUAGAUGAUUUUUCUUCAUUUCUUGCUGGUCUUGGUCAUGGCUUUGGAGGGAAAAAACAAGAGAAAGAGAGCUUCAAUCCAUCUUGGGUUUUGCUUGAUUGAGUGCAAACAAGAAAAACUAAACCGAUUAAUCACUAGUUUGGAAGCUUGGGAAGCUUAAGGAACCAAAAAUUUCAAGGAGAGGUGGAGGAUCAUUCUUGCAAGCUCUUGUCUUGUGGUAUAAUGGCUGAUCAACCUUUCUUUCUCCAUUAAUCAUGAUUAAGUUGGGUAUUAAUGGUAGUAUUGUGCUUGUGAUGCUUGUUUCAAGUGAUUUUGAUGAUUAGAUGGAAGACUUUUGAGUUAGGAUUUCUUGUGGGUUAGGUGUUAUAUGAUGUGUAUAUAUGGUAUAUAAUCUUGUAAAGGAGAAAUUAGUAGUAGUUUAAGGUAAAAAUAUGAAUUAUAGCUUGCAUAUAACAAAAUUCCAGAAUUGAGAUUUCUUAUGGUUCAGUUCUGCCUGUUUCUGUUUGAGUAUGUUAGAGGCUGAAUUAGGCUUAGAAUAAAACAUGAAAGUUGUAUAGAAUGAUAUUUUAUAGUUGCCUACAAAAUUUCAGGCCAAUCGGAGUAACGUAACCUGUGAAAAGACCAAAAUACCCUUACUGCCCUAGGAUGCAUCCAGUGAUCAGUUUUAGACAGUUCAUCCAAUUGACCGUGUCUAUUCGCUAUGAUCCGUGCUGAUUUAGCCAUUUGUCAAAAUAUGAAAGUUUUAGUACUUUGUCUUAGUUUUCAACGCCUCCAAGAACGCCUUAAACGGACUUUGGUAGCUUGAGAUAUGGCCAUUUGGAAGUAGUACGGUUAACUGGCCGGUUAGUUGGAAUUUGGUUCUGUGAAUUGGGAAUUUGACUGGAUUACACUGGAAAUUAGACUAGGUGGUCUUCACCAAAGUUGUAGCCCUUUGUCUUAGCUUCGAAACGGUAUAAGUUACACCUCAAUCCGAUAAGUGUAGCCUCAGAUGUGUCCAAUCCGUAAAAACCCGUCAAAUCUGUCUUUUGUUAAACUUCAUUUCCGCACAUUUCAUUAGCUUGAUUUUUGUACUUGUAUUACCUUGAGUCUAUUGAACGGCUAUUGAAAUGAAUUUGUGCUGUGUGUAACUUUGGGUUUGAUUGAGGAAAAGAAUGAAGGCAUAAAUGGCUGGAAAAUAGGUAAAUACUAAGGGCGUGCUGCCCAAAUUUACGCUCGAGAACUAGGUAGAUAUGCUUGCAACUUGAGUAAGGUUUGAGAGUGAAUACCACUUGAACCAUCUAGGAUAUUUGCACCUUCUUUUAUCAAGGUAUAUAAGUUAGAACUUGGCCGACCUUGUACCCUUGAAAAAAAAUGAAAUUUAUGACUAAUAGAUAUACUUUUCUCCAUUUCGUCGACCCAAAUGGUAUUUCAAAGUAUAAUUGUUUCCAAGUUUCAAAGUCUUAAGAGCGAGCAUGAAUUUCUUAGAAUUUGAUAAGUAUCUUGAAUACUACUUAAACGAGUUGCAUUUACUUGAUUUUCUUGAAGCGAAACUCCUAUAUUUCGAACUCUAGAAAGUUUUACAUUCGUAAAUAAUAUUUUAUCGCAGAUUUGGACUCCAACCAAGGAGUUGGACCUGAACGUGGGUUUUGAGAGGCACUAGACUUUUGGUGAGUGCUUCCAAAUAUCUGGUUGAAUUGGACACUUGUUUUAAUACUUGAUCCAUGAAAAUACAUGAUACGAGAUUUGUUGAUCGGGCAAGGGUGUACUUUAUCGCACUUGCCCUAAUAUGAUAUUUACUUGUUUAUUGUUGCAAUUGAUUUGAUAUACUUGUACUUGAGUUGUAAGUGCGGAGCGGCAGUAUGUACCACACUUAAUCCGAGUGGGAGGUGCCUCUCAUUCCCGUUUUCGUACUUUUAUUUUAAUUCAGUCGAUUGGAGUGUUACCUCAUCGACUUUUGGGAACCCCAAACCCCACUGGUUAGUUAAUCGAGUCGAGUUGGCAAGGGUUUGGUCGAUUAGAUAACGAACCAUGGGUAGUUAGUAAUGUCGAGUGGAGUGAUAUCUCCUCGACUAAUCGGUAUACUCGAGUAUUACCACCAAUAUUUAUUGAGGAUUUUGGGCCCAGUAGGGGGUGUGAAUGGUGGACGGAGAGUAGUGUAAGUGGUGCUCUACUGGAUUGGUUACUUACUUGAAGGUUGACGGAGUGUCAACUAUUACUUGAUCAAGCUCUGGUGAUACAAUGGGAAUUUGGCUCCUGAGAGCCAUCCGUAUCCUUAUACUUUGGAGUGAUUAUUGUUUAUUGGAUUAUUGUUUCUUUUGAAAAACUUUUACACUCGCUCACUUUGAGAUUUGCUACUUGAAGUAUUAUUGCUCACUUUUAUGAACUUUUCAUGCUCAUUACUUUGCUACAUGAUACUUGCACUUUUAAAUAAGGGUUAACUUGCUAUUUGGAACCUCACUGGGCUUUUAGCUCAUUCCACAUCAUUUGUUUUCCUUAUAGGGGGUACGAGCGAGGCGUGAGACGUACAGGCUAACGUAGUCUAGUUAUUUUGACUUUUGCAAUUGUACUCACGCUAGUACCCGACUAGGGUUGAUUGUACUCGUAUUGUAACCACUUUGAAGUAUUUUGGUGUGUUGAAACUUUGUAUCUGGAUUUGAGCAUCAAAGUAUGUAUAUAUUAAAUUGAAAUGGGUAUGUUAUUUAUUUUCUAAGGAUGUGCGUUAUUUUUUUCCUUGAGCUAUGAGUGAGUGAGUCCUGACGAGAGCUGGGCAGGCGGUCCGCCGAACCCUUUGGUUUGCCUUAGGGUGAGGUGGGGCUGUCACAUACUUGUGCAAGGCAGAAUUGUCAGUCAACUUUGCCAAUUUCCUAGAAUUUAUAGAGAUUGAAUCAAACUCUAAAUUUUACACCGUAGAAAGCUCUAUGAGUCUAGUUUCAAACGCAAUAACCGGAACUCAAUUCCGACUUUCCUAUACGAAAUUAUAGCCAAUUUCCCAAAACUGUGCAGAGCCUCCUGCGAAAAUUUCUAGAAUUUCUAACAACUUGAGAUUAUGAAACUUUUCUUAGUAAAAUUCACUCCCUUGGCUCAUAUUCAACCAGGAAUCUAAGGCAAGUAAGUUCAAAUAAGAGCUAUAAAGACAAGUAAAAUUUCGGGGUCUUACACUAUUGGGGUUGGAUAGAUGAUGAAAUGUGCGCUCGAUCUAUAAUGAUUAUACCGGAUCUACUCGGAAAGAUCAAUAUAAUAGAGGCAAAAAUGGCUGAAUUUGAGAAAACUGCAAGAAAGUGGGAAGCAAAAACUAUGAAAUUGGAGGCCAAAAUGAAGCCACUUGAAGCUGAAAUUACCAAGUACAAAUCAACCAAUAAGAGACUCAUUCGAUGUACAUUGUUGCCUUGGCUAAUAGUUGUUUUAGGAAUGUUUGUUAGAAGAAUAGAUAAAUCUGGUGGCAUGCUACAAAUUUGUGGAGUCGUUAAAAAUCACUGAAGAAUAGGUACUCAGUUGGAUGUAAUGGUAGCAUAUUGAAAGGGCAAAUGGCUUUAUAAAGCCCCUUUUAUACCCUCAGUUAUAAACAAUGAUGUAUAAAAGUUGACUUGUUCAUGUGAAAUUAAGUAUAAUUUGGUGUCAAAAAGGUUUCAAACAACACAUUUCAAUUCUACUAAUUUCAUCAAUGACAGAGAUAUAAGAACUAAACAGACAAGUGCUGCAUUAACAUAGACCAAUUUGCAUCAAAACGGAUAAAACAAAUUGUUUGUACAUGUGGACCAUGUUCCUAAUAGGUCAGCAUAUCAAAAGAAAGAUUACUUAUAUUGUUAUUUAAACCCAAAACAAACAAGAUAUUACUCUCUUGUUCACGCAGUUAAGAUACCCUCUAGUUCAUAAUUCCAUACCAAAACUCAGGCUCUUACCGAAAAUCCACCGUCCUACACAAGAACCUACAUUCUUAACACAAUCCUCAAGAAGGAUUAUAUAUGAAUCAUUUAUGCUUGCCUCUUGAGGUUCAAACUUCAUUCCAAACUUAUUAUCAUAUGAAAUGAAUAUUUCUUCAUUAAAACACACAUUAGAUGCAUCACUUUGAUCAAAAUAUAAUCCAUUGUCACAUACAGCAUUCCUACCAUUCAUAAUUGGGUCAUUUUGCAUAUUAUUAGAAGAAAUAAUUCCACACAAUACAUGUAAUUGUUCUUGUAUUCUACAAAAGUGAUAGGUUAAUUCAUCUAAUCUUUUCUCAACCCUAUCAAAACGAUCGGAACUCAUAUUAGCUAGUUUUUCUAUGGCUAAAUCAAAUUAAUUAGAAGAAUUUUCUACAGCUAGCACUUUCUAAUUCCCAAGGUAGAGGUGCAUUAGCUAACUUCUCUAUUGCCAAUUCUAAAGAUGGUUUUGAUUCACAGUGGACACAUUCGGAUUGGUAAUCAUAUAAACAAAGAAAAGCACUAUUAGCAUAUUGAUUAUCCCAACCAUAAGCACAAGAAUUGCUCCAAUUAAGACCAUAAAGAUUGCAAUGCCCAAAUUCAUCAUAAUAAUCCACAUUUUGUGUUUGUCUACAUGUAUGAGAAGCAUGAUAACCUCCACACAGAUCACAAAUCAUAUGAUUAGAAUUAAAAGUAUUAGCAUUCCUCUUUUACUCAAUCUCAUGCAUAAUAGUGUCCAUUUGUUUUAACAUUAUACCAUCAAGUUUAGCCUUUAAGCUUUUUAAACCAUCUUCAAAUGACAUACCUUCGAUAAUUUCUUGGUUACCUCUAUUCAAGGAGUUUUGCACGUAGUAACCAUCCAUUGCCAAUCUUUCACUUCUCAUGCAUUGUCCUCCAAAUUGACCUACCCUCCUCAUCACUUAAAAUUACUUUUAAAUAAUCUCAAAAGCAAGAUUAGUCAAGAAGGAUAACUACUAAAACACAUACACACAUAAAACACAAAAAUAAAAUAAAAUUCAAGACUAACACAACAAACUAGACUCAAUUAAUACAUAAGAAAAACUACUAAAAUGCCUAAACUAAUAAAGUUGUUCUUUACACCGAUAUUGUCACAAAUCUUCCUCGACAAUGGUGCCAAAAACUUGACAGAUUUUUUAUAUAAGUACAAGUUUAAAUCCAAUUUAUACCCGUUUUAACUGCAACUAUACAGGUCAACUAGUAGUUUAGCACAUAUAUCGGGUCGAUCCCACAAGGAAGAUUGGAUAAUUACCAACACUACUAAAGCUUCUCUAUUAUUUAGACGAUCAAUGAAUUAAAAGAGAUAAAACUAUGCUAAACUUAUGCAAGAAAAUAGUAAAUAAAAGCGCCUUAGGCUAUGGUAUUCCUAACUACUCAGGCAAGUGCUACCUUUGGAUCAUUGAGUACUACUAUCUUGGCUAGUUAUGGCGUAAUUUCCUUACGCAUGUGAAACCAACUUUCGUAGUGAAUCAACUAUAUUUAUAACUAAUCCAUACCUACUCUCGUGAUUAUGAAAUUAGUUACAAGUUCAUUUCUUCAAUGAAAUUACAUGAAAUGAAUCACUAAAACCACAUAGGUGCACCUCUACUCUCGUGACUGUACUCCCUAGGUUUACCACUUCUUGAACUAGUAUUAAAUCUCAAUUUCCAUUGAAGAAACAACACCUUUAGAUUAUCACAAUUAAUAGUACCAAAUUAAUCAUGAUUUAAAGAACUAAAGUUCUAAAUAACUUGCUCAAAAUAAUAGCAUCAAAUAGCCAAAUAAUAAACACUAACAAUCAUAGAAAGUUCACCCAAAACCAAGGCAUAAACUUUAGAAUGUCAUAACAAACAUAAAAUCCAAACUUGUAUAUUAACCAAACAAUAGAAUCAAGUACAAAAGAUAAAGAGUUUAGGAAGGAAUGUAACCCUUGUCACAUGAGUUCAUCUCCUUGCAUUCUUCAUUCACCAACCUCUUCUUUAUCUAGCUAAUAAACAAGAAAGAUGAACUAACUAGCUAAACUAUCCUAUACUAUACUAACCUAACACUAAGAAAAUGUAAGAACUAUAUUUUUGGUAGUAUUCUUGCACUCCCCAAGCUCUCCUUGAUCUUGAAAGUCCAUGGCUAUAUAUAGAGGACUCUAGUCAAGAAAUGAGGCUUCAAACAUCACUUUUACAGUUGCAAAGUUGUUGUCACACGUCCAUCAAUAACUGUCAAUUAUUGGAGAAGGAAACAAGCUGUGCAAGUGGAGAGCAACCAUUUCUGACCAGAAUCCAGCCAUAAAUCCGGCCGGAUUGCUCCCCUGCCAUUCUUAGCAAUUUCUGUCCAGUGUUCAAUGUUGCUCCAAUUCUGCUUCAAUUUCAACUGAACUUUUCUUGAUAAUAAAAGCUGAAUUAACUCCUGACCAAAACAUAGAACUUGUAGCCUUUUGAGUUAGCUUUCCAAUGCAUCAAGAAUCACCUCAUUUGGAUUUGUGUAUGCUCAAAAAUGACUGAAAUACCCUUGACUACUCAUUGCCUUAUCUCAGCUUCGACCAUAGAAAAUUAGCUACUGUCAUUUGGCUUUUUGACCAGGAAAACCUUCAAACUGGAUUUCGAUGUCUUCAUAAGAUUUGUAUAUCUAUCUCUUAUCUUCAAAAUGGUUCAAGAAUCAUCUCAAUCCAAUCAUUGUAACUCAAGUUAUAGCCGAAAUACGAAGAUGUGUCUAAGCUGUCAACUUGCUUUUCAUCCAAAUGAAGUAUAUUUCCAACUCCUGUACAAAUUAUGGACAAAAUGCGAGUAAAAAGUGACAAAAACCUCAUUUAAUCACUUAAUAGUAUUUUACAUCAAUUAUAGCCAAAAUGAUCCAUUUUCUUCCUAUAAUAUUGUCCAAGUGACUAAAAAUAGCAUAAAAUAUCAUUCAAAUGUAGCUCAAAUUAAUCACUUAUCAAUUACCCCACACUUGAAUCAUUACUUGUUCUCAAAAAAUUCAAACGUAAUCAACUACAAUGAUUCACGAGGUGAAACAAUAUAUGCAUUUUUUUAAAAUUUAAUUCCUCAUAAUUUGGCAAACACUAAUUAUACAAUUGUUCAAAUUACACUAAAUACUUAUAAUAUCAAGUAAAGGAAAGAUAAUUAUAUCCUAAUUUUAACAAGUUAAACUUAAUCUCUUUCCCUAACCUAAUUUUACAAGCAAGCAAAUCACAUAGUCAAUUUAUAACUUUCCUCCUCUCAAAAUCAUCUCUUUCUCUAAUUUUUUAAUUAAGAGAGAUUUAUUCAUACUUGAUUUUUACUCAAAUAGUGAAAAUGCCUUUUGACACGAAAAUCGACACUUUUAGAUGAAAAUCCCCGGUUACUCAAUAUUUCACGUAUUCAAGUUGCUAUUUAUACUCUUAAUUCAAGUACCUUUUUACACGAAUGUCGACAUUUAUAGAUGCCAACCCCUGGUUACUCGGUACAUGAAUCAUUAGAGUAGAACAAAAAACUCUUAUUCUUCUUUUGUUUUCUUUUAUUCUUUUUAUUGCUUCUUUUUCAAGAGUAAAAGACAAUAAAUAAAUAUUCCCUCUUAACAAAUACACAAGAAUAAUCAAAAGAAGAGUAUGGCCUUUAUUGACUAUAUCAAUCACUUACUUGCAAAAUUAAAUAAAGAGGAGAAAUCUCAUUAAACAUGCAAAAUUAUAGGCAUAAUUUUCCUCACUUUACCGGAUAUACUUUCUAAAAUGCAAAAAUCCUAAUUGCAUAAUAACCAUUUCUAAAUCAAAUGAGGACUACAUCUUUCAAAAUACAUAUAAAGUUUCAACAAGUGGAAGAAUUAGACACUUAAAGUUGGAACAAUUUGGUCAUUUUUAAAUAAAAGUGCAAAAAUUUGAAGAAUUUUUGGGUCAUAGUGAAAAUAUUGGAAAAGAUUUUGAAAAAUUUUUGACAGAGUUUCCCCUUAUAAAUGGACGAAACUCCCUGCCAAUAAAUCCAAUUUCAAGAAAAUUAUCCACAUGGCAAGUAAUUCAAACACAAUUCCAACAUUUCUAGAGUAUUUAAAUCCACAAAAUGUCAUCACAUGGCAUUAGAAUGCAAGUUCAAAUAUUUUCCUCCCCCACACUUAAACGUCACAUUGUCCUCAAUGUGAGAAAAGAAAAUAAAUAAAGAGUAAAAGAAAAUACUGCCCAUAUGAACUUGCGCUAUCCAAAUCCAUGGGCCAAAUGAUGAAUUUCCAACCUUAAGAAGUCUGAAAGCACUAAAACCACAACAUAAAUGAAGAUCACUUGGAUGAGUUUAUACAAAAGAAAUAAGAAAAACCACUAAAAGAUAAACAUGAAAAGCACUAGGAAAAACAAAAGAAAAAUAGUAGCAAUGUCAAGUGGUGAUGAGCACUCCCUCAAUUAGCCGUUUGAUCAGGUGAAGAGGGUGGAGUCGGAGGAGUUUCGAUGCCAAGUUUGGCCUCAAUGCGACGAAGACGCUCGGAAUUCCGUUUGUUCUCUUGUCUACUCUUCUUCACCUCGGUCUCGACACAAAGCAAUUUAUCCAUGAUCUUCUUGAGAAAUGACCGAGUGUCUUGAGGUGAAGAUGGGCAACGUGAGAAGGACGGAUCAGCUGAGACCGGGGGGGUAAUUGUCUCGACCCCUUGAGCUUCUUCAAUACGUGCAAUUUCAGUUUCUUCCUCUUGCCGAAUGUCACUUUGAGCAUCUCCUUGAGUUGAAGGACCACUAUGUCUUUGCUCAUCAAAAGAAACCUGCAAAAAUCCAAUGUGAAGAUGUCCUUCUUCUUGAGGUCUGUAGGGAUAGCAUUAGAGAAAUCAACUCCAGCUCUUUGAAACACCAAGGUCAAGAAGCGAGCAUAUGAAAAAGCAUGUUUGACAUCAUUAUUUCGAACCACAGCCCACAUGUGGUUGGUGAUAAUGCUUCCCAGUGGAAUGCCUUGGAUGUUGCCUAGACUAUGCUCCAUUUUAUCCAAGAAAUAGAUGUCGCUUGUGCGCGCCUCAUUGGUACUGCUUGCUCUUAGAAUUAUAUUGGAGGCAAACAAGUAGAUGAGAAGGCGAUGCGACUCCGGAAAUGAGGAAGUCAACACGGAAUAUCGCUUAGUCUUACGAGUAGACUUGUACUCAACUCCCAAGCGUACAAGUGCCUCUAGCAUGUUCCAAGAGUCCAAAUCACGCGGUUUGAAUGCUUUUUUCAAAUCAACCUUAUACCCAACGUCAGAAACUUGAAGAUAGCUUUCCAAAUGAGCUCUAUGGAUUCGAACUCUGGUUCCUCGCGCUGUACUUGUAAUCACUUCGGACUGUACUUGUAAUUACUUCCGUGUCGAAGUGAAAAGCCUGUUUGCCCUCCACAUUGGCAUAAAAUUCUCGGACAAGCUCGUCAUAAUAAAUGUUCGGAAUGUUGAAGAAAUUCUCCCAUCCCAAUUUGGCAAAGUAGGCCUUGAGAUGGUAGACCUCCUCAACAUCCGGAGUGACAUCCUUCUCAACCAACACCUUAGCUCCCCUCCUAAAAUUAUACCAUACUUCAUUUUCGGCGGAGGUGAAGUGCGACCUAUCAUAAGCAGCUUGCUCCUCUUGUUCCUCUUGUUGCUCCACUUGCGGUUGAGUUUCCUCUUCGGAUGAUGGUUCGUCUUCAAGUACAAGUCAUCUACUUGCUUUUCUUUUCAUCUGCAGUGGUCUAGAAGUAGACGUAGAGGCUUCUCCUUUUCUCUUGGGAGGAGGAGAUUUCACCCCGACUUUCUUGGUGCGAGCCAUUGUACCUAAAUAAAAUUAUUAAACAUUAAUUUCAUUUAAUAGGUACAUUGUCAAAUAAGGAUAACAAACACUCGUUCACGUUUACCUUUUAUCUUUAAAGAGACAAACUCAUAGCAAUUAACACCACAAGUAAGUAUCAAAAUCGAUUAUCAACAACAAGUGCUCUUAUAAUUUCUCCAAAUAAAACAUUUAAGCAUAUAAUGUCCAAAUAAUUAGAGGAAGCAAUUAAGCAAAUACACACUGACUCCCAUCUUAAUGAUCCAAACAAUUAUAAUUAAAUGCUAAAUAGCACAUUAACCAUAAGUUUUACGCUUUAAAAAGUCAUUAAUUCACCUUUCACCAAAAAUUCUAGAAUAAACAUGCCAAAAAUCAAGAGAUAAGCAAAUUAAGCCUAAAAUUAGCAUGUAAAUAUUCUAGAGCAAUCCAUCUAUCUCAUACAAUUUUCUUCAAUUCAAUUAACUCAAGAAAUUAGCUAAUAAUUAUUAAGUCACAUUAAUCUUCAAAAUUAGCUAAAAAUUUUCUAAAUUCACCAAAUAAUCACAAACCCAUGAGUUAAACAUCACCAAUAAUCAUUAAUUACCUCAAUAAGCACAAUGAAAAGCACCAAACUUCAUAAAAUGAAGAAAUUAGAAAUUGCCCAAAAAUUAGAAAAAAAGUGAAAAAUGGCAAAAUUGAAAUGACAACAUUUGGUGAAGAUUUGUUACCUCAAACUUGUUGUUUGAUGAUUAUAGAUGCAAAUGGUGAAGAAACCCCUGAAAAUCUCACUCCAAUUCGGCUUCAAAUGGAGAGGCUUGUUUUUUAAGAAGUUUAAGCUAUGAAAUAAUCUCUAGAAGUUAAGGGGAGUAUUUUGGUGAAGUUAGUUUGAAGAUUGGAUAGUGAAAAGAGUGAUCUUAGUGAGUAGUGUGUGUUUUAGGUAUGAGUGUGUGUAGGUUGAAGAAGGAGGGAAAGAAGCUUUAAUCCAGCCACUAAUCCGGCCACUUUAUAGUCGGAUAUACGGCCAGAUUGUUGGCCGGGUUCUAGCCAGAAGCUGGAAAUUUUUUUUUUCAAAGUCCCUUGUUAAUCCGGCCUAAAAUUGGCCAGAUUUGUGACCGGAUUUACUGCAGAAAUUUCUGAUAUCUGCAGUUUUUCCUCCAGUUUUCUACUUGAUCAAGUUUACGCACUCACCCGAUUUUCAACUGUUUUCAUGUUCUUCAAGAAAAAUUCACUUUAAACCAUAAAAAUGUGCUUUUUUCAACCAAAUACACUUAAAAAUACAUGAUCAUGCAUUAAUAUAACACAAAUAUAAAGCACUUUAAAUGCAUGAAAUGCAUCAAAUGAACAUGAAAACUCCCUUUUUGUUUCAAUAUAGACACUUUUGCAAUUGAGAUCAUUUGCAUGAAUCAUUGCCUUUGCCACCUACAAAACACACAAAAAUACUAAUCAAACAACUAAAACAUACUAAAAACAAGAAAUCGUUGGGUUGCCUCCCAACAAGCGCUUCUUUAUAGUCAUUAGUUUGACUAUAGCACCUCAUUAUCAAGGAGAUUUAGUUAAUGAAUAAUUCACUAUUAAAGGAUGUGAUGGAUCAUUAAAAGGUGGCUUAACAACUAGAGCCACGUGUUCUAAUGAUAUGAGAGGUGGAAAUGGCUUACCCAUCUCAAGCGAUUCAUAGAUAUUACCUUGUACACGUGUCACUUGAGUAUUCACCAAAGGAACGUCCAUAUGACUUUCUUGGGCUAUAAUGACUUUUGAACCUACAUUCUUAACACAAUCCUCAAGAAGGAUUAUAUAUGAAUCAUUUAUGCUUGUCUCUUGAGGUUCAAAUUUCAUUCCAAACUCAUUAUCAUAUGAAAUGGAUAUUUCUUCAUUAAAACACACAUUAGAUGCAUCACUUUGAUCAAAAUAUAAUCCAUUGUCACAUACAACAUUCUUACCAUUCAUAAUAGGGUCAUUUUUCAUAUUAUUAAAAGAAAUAACUUCACACAAUACAUGGAAUUGUUCUUGUAUUCUAUAAAAGUGAGAGGUUAAUUCAUCUAAUCUUUCUUCAACCCUAUCAAAACGAUCAGAAGUCACAUUAGCUAGUUCUUCCAUGGCUAAAUCAAAUUGAUUAGAAGAAUUUUCUACAGCUAGCUCCCAAGAUGUAUUUGAAUCAAUAACUAAUGGUUCACUUUCUAAUUUCCAAGGGAGAGGUGCAUUAGCUAACUUCUCUAUUGUCAGUUCCAAAGAUGGUUUUGAUUCAUAGUAGACACAUUCGGAUUGGUAAUCAUAUAAACAAGGAGAAGCACUAUUAGCACAUUGAUUAUCCCAACCAUAAGCACAAGAAUUGCCCCAAUUAUAACCAUAAGGAUUGCAAUGCCCAAAUUCAUCAUAAUAAUCCACAUUUUGUGCUUGUCUACAUGUAUGAGUAGCAAGAUAACUUCCACACAAAUCACAAAUCAUAUGAUUACAAUUAAAAGCAUUAACAUUCCUCUUUUGCUCAAUCUCAUGCAUAAAGGUGUCCAUUUGAACUUUUAACAUUAUAAUAUCAAGUUUAGCCUUUAAGCAUUUCAAACCAUCUUUAAAUAACAUACUUUCGGUAAUUUCUUGGUUACCUCUAUUCAAGGAGUUUUGCAUGUAGUAAACAUCCAUUAUCAAUCUUCCACUUCUCAUGCAUUGUCCUCCAAAUUGACGUACCCUCCUCAUCACCUAAAAUUACAUAAAACAUAAAAAUAAAAUAAAAUUCAAGACUAACAUGACAAACUAGACUCAAUUAAAACACAAGAAAAACUACUAAAAUGUCUAAACUAAUAAAGUUGCUCUUCACGCCGAUAUUGUCACAAAUCUUCCUCGACAACGGUGCCAAAAACUUGACAGAUUUUUUAUAUAAGUACAAGUUUAAAUCCAAUUUAUACCCGUUUUAACUGCAACUAUACAGGUCAACUAAUAGUUUAGCACAUAUAUCGGGUCGAUCCCACAAGGAAGAUUGGAUAAUUACCAACACUACUAAAGCUUCUCUAUUAUUUAGACGAUCAAUGAAUUAAAAGAGAUAAAACUAUGCUAAACUUAUGCAAGAAAAUAGUAAAUAAAAGCGCCUUAGGCUAUGGUAUUCCUAACUACUCAGGCAAGUGCUACCUUUGGAUCAUUGAGUACUACUAUCUUGGCUAGUUAUGGCGUAAUUUCCUUACGCAUGUGAAACCAACUUUCGUAGUGAAUCAACUAUAUUUAUAACUAAUCCAUACCUACUCUCGUGAUUAUGAAAUUAGUUACAAGUUCAUUUCUUCAAUGAAAUUACAUGAAAUGAAUCACUAAAACCACAUAGGUGCACCUCUACUCUCGUGACUGUACUCCCUAGGUUUACCACUUCUUGAACUAGUAUUAAAUCUCAAUUUUCAUUGAAGAAACAACACCUUUAGAUUAUCACAAUUAAUAGUACCAAAUUAAUCAUGAUUUAAAGAACUAAAGUGCUAAAUAACUUGUUCAAAAUAAUAGCAUCAAAUAGCCAAAUAAUAAAUACUAACAAUCAUAGAAAGUUUAACCAAAGCCAUGGUAUAAACUUUAGAAAGUCAUAACAAACAUAAAAUCCAAACUUGUAUAUUAACCAAACAAUAGAAUCAAGUACAAAAGAUAAAGAGUUUGGGAAGGAAUGUAACCCUUAUCACAUGUGUUCAUCUCCUUGCCUUCUUCAUCCUCCAACCUCUUCUUUAUCUAGCUAAUAAAUAAGAAGGAUGAACUAACUAGCUAAACUAUCCUAUACUAUACCAACCUAACACUAAGAAAAUGUAAGAACUACAUUUUUUGGUAGUAUUCUUGCACUCCCUAAGCUCUCCUUGAUCUUGAAAGUCCAUGGCUAUAUAUGGAGGACUCUAGUCAAAAAAUGAGGCUUCAAACAUCACUUUUACAGCUGCAAAGUUGUUGUCACAUGUCCAUCAAUAGCUGUGAAUUAUUGGAGGAGGAAACAAGCUGUGCAAGUGGAGAGCAACCAUUUCUGACCAGAAUCCGGCCACAAAUCCGGCCGGAUUGCUCCCCUGCCAUUCUUAGCAAUUUCUGUCCAGUGUUCAAUGUUGCUUCAAUUCUGCCUCAAUUUCAACUGAACUUUUCUUGAUGAUAGAAGCUGAAUUAACUCCUGAUCAAAACAUAGAACUUGUAGCCCUUUGAGUUACUUUCCAAUGCAUCAAGAAUCACCUCAUUUGGAUUUGUGUAGGCUGAGAAAUGACUGAAAUACCCUUGACUGCUCACUGCCUUGUCUCAGCUUCGACCAUAGAAAAUUAACUACUGUAAUUCGGCUUUUUGACCUAGAAAACGUUCAAACUGGAUUUCAAUGUCUACAAAAGAUUUGUAUAUCUAUCUCUUAUCUUCAAAAUGGUUUAAGAAUCAUCUCAAUCCGAUCAUUGUAACUCAAGUUAUAGGCUAAAUACCAAGAUGUAUCUAAGCUGUCAACUUGCUUUUCAUCCAAAUGAAGUAUAUUUCCAACUCCUAUACAAAUUAUGGAGAAAAUACAAGUAAAAAGUGACAAAAAUCUCAUUUAAUCACUUAAUAACAUUUUAUAUCAAUUAUAGACAAAAUGAUCCAUUUUCUUCCUAUAAUAUUGUCCAAAUGACUAAAAAUAGCAUAAAAUAUCAUUCAUAUAUAGCUCAAAUUAAUCACUUAUCAUUAGGUUUUGUUGAAUUAUUGCUUGAAUUUUGACUAUGAAAUAGUAGUGAAUGCAGAAACGUGGUGCUUGUAAAUUUUUUUUUUUUUUUUGUGGUAUGAUCCACCCAUACCCUAAAAAAUGAAGAAUACGCUGGCUACAAUUUUGAGGGAACUGAGAAGUGCCGAGAGGGAGAAUGUAGCACUGAACAUUGAAAUCAGUAAAUUGAAGGAAAAAGUGAAAAUAUUGCUCUUGGCUUGUACUUGUUGCUGCAUUUUAGUUAUUGCUAUACUCGGGGGCAGUCAAAGGCAAAAAGGUAGCUUGUUAAAAUUGAAGAUGUUGCAAUAGUUUGGACAUCAUAUGAAAGUUUAUUAUUCACAUAUUUUGGACCAUGUAAUGCUGCCCUCUUCGAAUGAAGUAAUUCCCGAGGUUUCAUGUAAUAGUUUUGGAUAUCGAUUAUUAUGGAUUUGUAAUAGUUUUGAGUUCCCAGUUGUAUGUUUACAAAUUCAAUGUUGAAUAUCAAAGACAACAGCUUCAUUAAGUGAGUUUUUGGUGAUGUAUAUACGUUAUUUGGUCAUUGUUGGUUAGAGUGGAAGAAUUGCUCAUCAGAUAUUAGAGGGGCAAGAAGAAGGCAGUCAACCCAACAUGUGUUGAUACCACAGCGCAAGGGAAAUGGUGCAAGUAAAAGAUUGACAGCUAGAAUUUCAUCCAAAAUUACAAAUACACUGUAUCAUGUAGCCACUACGUAAUAAUCCUCACUUUCUAUGCCUUUGACCUGUACCCUAAACCCAAAUCUCUUUUACUCAGAAGGAGUUUUGAUUACAUCCAACAUUUCUAUGUAACUUUUCCCCAAUGGAAAGGCUCCCUACAAAAAUCAUGUCAUGCAGUAUUUUGAAAGUACACCUCUAUAGAGUAAAAACAAAUCCUUGGUAAAAUCCCCUUACUUCUUUUUAAGCCAUCUUCACCAUGUCCAAUCGAGUCCUUGACUCUAGCCCAAGUUAAAUACGCAAACACAAAGCAGGAAUGUUCAAUUUAGAGCUCUCAACUAAAAGUUUCUGGUCAGCUGAUACCUUUGGGAUGGCUUUCAGUAAACGAACUUCGUUGUGUUGUAAAGCCACAAGAAUCUGUGCAGCAUCGAAAAAUCUGAGGUCAAUUUCCCCUAGCAACUAUAUGAUGCCAUCUCCAAGCAGCAUCCAUAACCUAGGAAAUCUAACAGAUCCAGAACUCAGUCACAACACAUAAAAAAAAUUUUAAAAUCCAAAAUUCAUUAGAUUCGAAGUCUUAGUAGCAAAAAACAAUAAGUUCCAGGAUUCAUUACAAAAACAAGUGAAUCCCAUGAUAUAAAGUUCCACAUACAUCAACUUGCAGUUGUUACUACCAAAAAAGACAAAAGACAAAAAACAACAAACUUGAUCAACUACAACUAUUUCAGCAACUCGACAGUUUUAGCAGCCCAAAAACAGUCAAAACAACUUCAUCAGCAACUUCAUCAUCCAGUUGCAUUCAUUUUCACUAAUCAUCUGGCUCGUCGAGUAUCCUAUGAGACUGCAAAUUCAUAUGUAGUGAGAACCUCCAAGAGUAAAUAACAAUUAAUAAUUUAUAUACAAUUUCGUGGCUGCAAAAAAGUUACCCUUUGUUUUCUCCUUUUCACAGUAACCAUCCUGUUUCUCCACACUUGUGCUUGGCAACAAGUGCAAGUUCUUUUUGUCUGGCCCGAGGCAUGACAAAAAAAACAACACAUGGUCCUACACAGCCUCUGAGAGCUUUCAGUUGGAGCAGUAGGUUGAACAUCAAUUUCUUCAAGCACUUGAUCAACUUGCAUUAUAAAAACAUGACAAAUUUCAGAUGUAUUCAACAAAAUGACCAAACAAACAAAAAAUAAGGAGCUGCAACAACUAUAAAAUAAAAAAGGAGCUGCAACACAGGUGGAAAAAUAAAGAGCUGCAACACCUUCCAAUAAUAAGGAGUCGCAACAACAGCCAACAACAAUAACAAUAGUACUAAAAAAACUUAAAAGCAAAGAAUACAUGUUGCCGAUUCUUGCAAUAUAGCAGAGUAUUGAAAUGUCUCAUUGUCACGUGGUAAGCUAGUAUUCCCAAUCACAGAAGGAGCUACAACAACAUUUGAGAUUAGUAGCUGCUAACUACAACAGUGCAAUAUGAAAGAAGAUAGGAGUUCAACCAUACCAGUUUCACCGUGAGUUCCGUCUUUUCCCUUGGCAUCCAAUGGAUAAGUUCUUGCAUUAUGUCCAAGUUUCUUGUAUUUUCCACACCUAUUACUAUUCACAGGUGGUAUUCUUUCAUUGCUAUCCACUCCUUCCAUGCUGAGGUGCCAUCUUCUUUUAGUGUGGCCCUUUUGAUGACAAAAAGAGCAAGUCAUACGUGUAAUACCGUUUCUAAACAGUCUUGUGCACCCUUUGGAAUCACUUCAUGGCGCAUCCGACUCUCUCCUCCUUGCCUUCUUAAGCCUACCGGGAAGUUUUAGUCUCUUAGAUUCAUACAUAGGGACCUUCUUAGAUCUUUUCCAGUUAUUAGGUCCAUUAAUUGGACCAAUAGCUAGCUCGUAAGCCUUUAGAUAUGCAUCCCUUGAGUAAUAUGGAUGCACUAGACUUUCAAGUUCAGCUCCGAUCAAAGCAAUGCAGCCUAUAGCAUGAGAGCACGGUAAACCAGUGAGUUCCCAUUUUCUACAUGUACAUAUCUUCGCCUUUAAGUCAACAACAAACUUGGUUCUGUACAUGUGUCACCUCAAACCUGUCAUUAUUAGACCACCUGGCUAUAUUUGAUCUAGCAUCAUCCUUUGCCUUGUCAAGUUUUUUUUUGAACUUUUGGACAAAUAAUAUCAUUUAUUUUUCUCAUCCACUCCUUUUUUGUCCUAAGUCUUUCCAUUAGGUAUAUCCUAAUGUUUUCAAGCAUACCAAGGAUGGGCUUUUCUCUUGCAUCUAAUAUGACAGAAUUAAAGCUCUCGCACAGAUUAUUAAGAAGAAUAUCACACUUCGCUGUGGUUAUAAAAUGUGAUCUGGACCAAUGGUAUGGUGAUGUGUUGUCCACUAGCCAAUUGUGUGCUUUCUCAUCAUACUGCCUUAACACAUCAAUUUCAGCUUCAAAUUUAUUGACAUACGAGAAUCUUGCACAAGCCCAAAACAUACACUUAAGUGUUUCCCCGGGAUGGACCUUUUUGAAAUUGUUGUGUAAAUGCCUAACACAGUGUCUAUGCUCCACUCCAGGAAGAAUAUCUUGGAUGGCAGAACCUAAACCCUAUUAGAUAAAAAUAUGAAAAAAUUCACUAAUUAGUCAUUAUAAAGUAGUUUUUGAACAAAAAAAUUUUGUAAUUAAUUACUAUACCUUUUGCCUAUCACUGAUAAAUGUCCAUUGUUUUUUAUGCUGGAUCGUGAGAUCAAACUUUAAGAACUCAAUGAGCCAUGUCAAAGAUCUCUUGUUCUCGGUCUCAACCACUACAUAUGCAACAGGAUAGUUGCAAUCAUUAGCAUCUAUCCCAACAGUUGUCAAAAGUACUCCCGGAUAUGGUCUUCUUAGGUGGCACCCAUCCACACCAAGUACAGGCCAACAACCUUCUUUAAAACCUUUUUUCAAGGCUGCAAAACAAAUGUAUAGUCUUUUGAAUCUCUCUUUUCCGCUAAAUUCAUCAGCUUCCGUCUCCAUAUGCACUGUGGAACCAGGAUUUGAGCUCAACAAUUCCUCACAAUAGUCCCAAAUUCUUGUGUAUUGCUGCUUAUAUUUUCCUUAGAUCAGAAUUUUGGCAUUCCCAAAGGUUUUAUAAGCCUGAUCUUCUGUGAUGUUCACGUUCAGUUCUUCAUGCACCUUGUCCUUAAAUGCACCAACCAUAACCUUCCUAUUCGUCCGCAGGAACUCCAUGUAAUGCCUAGCCAAAAAACCUGAAUUUGCAUGUUUGUGAUAGAAAGUUCUACCACAUUGAUGUUCUGGUCCCAUCGUUCUUAUCACAAAUGCAUCGCAAUCUAGUUCUUUUGCAGCAUAAACAAACCAGUUGCAUUUCUCUUUCUUGCAUUUUGCUCUGAUCCUAUUCUUAUCAUUAUUUUGCCAACCAUGCUUCUUGCCCCACUGCACAGAAUAAAAUUCAACAGCUCUUUUAAACACCUUCUUAGUGUCAAACAGUAAACCAACAAAUAAUUUGGGGUCCUUUAUAUCAAUUUCUAGCUUGAACCUUACAUAUUUCAGCUUCUUUCUUGAGGUAUUUUCAUCCAAGCUACUAGAGCAACUAUUAAAAUCCUCUGUGUUGAUGGAAUCAAAUUCCUCUUGGAUAGGAAUCUGGUCACCAUCAUAAAUAUCACAGUCAUGGUUAGUAGCAAGAGUUCCUUUUGCUUUUGCUUUUGCUUUUUGUGGUUGCUCUGAUCCUUUCUUCUCUUCACCAGCUAGUAUGGCAUUUUCCCCUCCAUAACUAGCAUCAUCUACACUCCUCUGACCAUCAAUUGCCAUAUCAACAGUAGUUGCACAAUUCUUGUAUAUUAUGUCAUCUUCGUCUUCCCUAAAAUCAUAGUCACUAUCAUGAAAGUUUUUACCACUAUCCGUUGACUCUAAUUCUGGUUCAUUUUCAUCAUCUACACCAUCAUCUUUUUCAUUCAUAGUAGCACCUCUCCGUUUACCCUUUUUUAUUUCCCCCCAAUCUACUUUAGUUACAUCAACUGCAAGUUCUUCAUUCCUAAGGAAUUCAUCAAAUGUGAUGUCCACAUACAGUAGAUCUUUUUUUUCAUUCUCACCGUCUCUCUCGAAAACUUACAUGAUCUUGCUAGGUUCCAUGGAUCUAAUAUGAAACUCAUGGACAAUGUAAAGUUCAACUUUCCCAAUUUGUUUACCUAUAGCAGCUAUGUCCAUGACAUCCUGUUCACUGUCUAUUUGUCUAAGUCUCAGUCUCCCAUCUAUGGUAGGGAUUCUAUAUUUGUAACUGGCGUUUUCAUCACACCCAAGUAAAUGACCAAAGCUUAACACAGAAGUUAUGUUAAUCUUGGAGGCUAAAACCCCAUCAAAAUUCUCCAUGGUACCCCCCACGUAUUUUGGUUCUGGUUCUUCAAUGUAUGCCCCACCAUAGUAGAUAUACAGAGUGAAAUAAAAAAAAUUACUACCAUAAUUUGUAAUUUACAGUCAUUGUCUGCCUUUUAAGAAACAUGAAAACAACAUGACAAAUUAGUUUUAUAGUCAUGGACCACAUGAACCCCUUUUCAGAAAAAAAAAGGAAAAACAGAAAACAAAGCCCUUUUUCCCACGACAUUUCAAUCAAUCUUGCUAUUAAAGUACAAUACUUGCUGUUCACAACAAGACAAACCCACACCGAACUUCAUCAAACUAUUAACAUAACAAAUCAAAGAGAUUUAAGUGGCUCAACUUACUCAAUUUGCUUGACCACUCUUUCUCAAAAUUUCUUCUUUCGCGCCUUUCGUCACUUGCUGCCUCCAUCCUUCGACUUCCUACGCCACUACAUUUCCUUAUUCAUCAUGAUUUCAGUAGAUUUUGUUCAACAUAUCAUUCACUAAAGCUUUGGGUUUUUGCAAGAAAAAGUUGAGGUUUCAGGUUUGGAUUUUUCUCAGUGAUAAAAAUGUGCCGAUAAAUUUUCAUUUUGGUUUUUACUUCUGAUCUUACAGCCCCAUCAGUGAAGUACCCGAAAUACCUCUGCUUAAGUGUUCAAUUAGAAGUUUGAUCGAAAUUACAAGGUGGCACUGCUGCGGCGUUCCUCAAUUGGAACCGAUAAAUAAGUAUAGGGAUUAAAUUGGCAAAAAAAAAUUAAGCAAGGAUCAAAUUGACAGUAAAAAAAGUUUAGGGACUAAAUUGGCCAUUUUUCCAAAUGGAGCCAUACUUUGUGCAAUAUUUGUGAAUUGUCGUUCCUAAACUAAUUUUCAUAAUAUUAAUAUUUUCAAUUGGAAUUUCAAACUUUGAGUAGUUUUGUAUUAUUGCGUAAAUUUAGCUUCCUUUAACUUUUCCUACAUCUCCACAUCGCCACCUUCCUGCUUCCUUCUUCCCUUGUCCUCACACUCUACCUCGCAACAGCCCCAUUCCAUGCUGAAUGCAAAUCGUCCUUUCUGUAGAUGCUUUUUGCAUCCUUUAUGUAGAUGCUGCAUCUAUGGAGCCAAAUUUUGUGCAUUAUUUUCAUAUUACCCUUUCUAAACUAAUUUUUGUAGUUUCAAUAUUUUUUUAGUUCAAAUAAAAAAAUUUAAGUAGUUGCAAAAUAUCCUUCUCCAUUUCUUUAGUCAUAACUAUGACAUAAUUUUGAUUUUGAUUGCUCAACAAAAGAAUAGGUAAAAAUAUUAUAUUUCUUUUUUAUACUCGAACAAAAUCUAACAAUUCUAGUAGCAGGGAUAACGUCCGAUUAUAUAUAAUUCAGGUCCAAUUUUAGAUCUAGGUCUGGGCCGAAAUUUAGAGCUAUUUUUUUUAUUUUCUGUGCAUGAUGAUUCUAAAAUUGAAGUAUCUGAUAAGUCUAUUUCAUUUUUUUUUAUUUUGGGUAUGAUUUGUAAAUUUUAGUUAGGAACGCAAUACAAAAAAUAUUGAAAUUUUUGUUGUUCUCUUUUUGUAUUCUUUUCAGUCAAUUUUGCUAAUUCGCUAAAUUGUUCAACUAUAUGAUUUGGAAUCUUGUUAUAUCUUUGGAGGAUAGGAACUUAGAUAAGUUCCCUUUUUUUGGGUAUGAUUUGUAAAUUUUAGUUAGGAAAAGAAUACAAAAAUGUUGAACAUUUUGUAAUUUUGUGUUGUGUUUGUUAGUCAAUUUUGCUAAUUUGCUAAGCUGUUCAACUUGUAUGAUUUGGAAUAUUGUUAUUUCUUUUGAGGACAAGAACUUAAAUUAUUAGUUUAUGUUAGUCAAAGAUUGUAUUUUAGUCAAUUUUUUAUAUUGAUUAUUAUGGAUAUAAUUAUUUUUAGUUUCAACUAUGUAUAGAUAUUUUUGGUAUAUUUAUUUAAUUGCAUUAUUAGAGGGUUGAAUAUUGUAGGGCAUGUUUGAAACUAAGUAAAAUAGGGAACAGAAUAAAACUAAGGUAUGCUACAAUACCUAAUCCGAACGUUAUGUUUGGUAUGAUUAAUUAAUUGCAUUUAUUAAGGGAGUGACUAUUAUAUGCCAUGUUUUGGGCUACGUUAAAAUUAAGGAAUUAAAAGCAACAAAGCAAUGCAUGACAUUAUGGUGAAUCCAAACAGAAGACGUGAGUCAAUUUUUGAAAAAAAAAUAAAUUAAAAUUCUAGAAAAAUAGGAUGAGUAGUUGAAGGCUCAAUAUGUUUUGAGCCUUCAAUAACGCAUGAUGCAGGGUGGAAUUUAAGAAGCAAAGAGAGAGAAGAGGGUUUUGAGCCUAAAAGAUCUCUAAUUAUUGAAUUCUUGACCUUAACCAUUAAACUUUUUUCUCCGUGUUGUAUCACAACGCGGUUGCAUUUGCACCUGGACUGCCACUCAAACUCACUUGUUGAUCAGGUCAGGGGAUUGGCUUUCAAUGUUGUGGCUAUGGACAGCAAGGAAUUUUUCUAUGUUUCAGCAGAGACAUAUCUCGACUACGGACAUAGUUUCUGCUGUCUUGGCUUCUGUAAAGGAAAUGACGGCAGGUUAGAGGAAGAUCCCUUUAACUAGAACCAACCGGGAAUUGGCUUUGGAGCUUGGCUUGCCUCUGCGUCUUAGCUCAUGAUGGUUAAUUCGUGUGCUUAAACAAUGAUUAGUUGGAUGUAACUGGAAUCUAUACAUUCCCAUGUACGAGCUUCACUUCUGGGAUCAGUAAGAACAUAUUUUGCUAUGAGAUUAUUUAUAUAUGUGAGUCACAUUUCACAUUGACGUCGAGGAAAAAAAAUUCUUUCUUGCUCAAGACCGCACGUAACAGCACCAUCACAGCUGUUGAAUGAAGGAUUGAGUGGGAAAAUCUUAACAACUUAAACAUGAUUAAAUAAGGGGUGAUUUGAACUCUACAUUUCUACCAGGAGUUAUAUAUUUUUAACAUAAUUAAAUGGUGUUGUAGUAUUUUAAUAAAAUAAUAAAUUCUCAAUUAAAUGUGCAUGUUACAAGCGAAAUAAAUUUUCUAAAAUUUAUAGGUAUUUGAAUGGUUUUUACUAAAUAUUUAUUGUAUGAAGUUAUGGCUUUUCAAUUACAUUGAAGUUUUGUAACUUACAAUUCAAAUUUUGAUUUGAAUGGGUAUUGUCCAAAGAAUCAUUAUGUGAAAUUAUGAUUUUUUAAUUACAAUAAGUUUUUGUAACCUACAACUUUGAAUGUGUUUUGAAUGGCCAAUAAUUUCAACAUUUACUUGGUGUCUUAUUAGUAACAUAAGUUAUAUGUGUCUAACUUUUCUUCACCUAUAUAUAUGCAUAGUUGAGAUAGAAAAGUUUCACUACAACAACAUAUGUCUUUUUAGUACAAAUUCACUAUUUUCUAUCUCAUAGUAAGGCAAGAAACAGAAGGUGUUUAUAGAGCUUUACUCUCCUAGUUGUGCAAUCUAGAGAGAGUGUUAGCAAGUGUGGUUAGGCUGUUGUAUCCUGGGGGUGACAAGCUAGAGAACCUGUUGCAUCGGAGUUAAUUCUUCCGCGGAGGCUUGAAUCACCUUAAAGAGAGCGAGAUACCCGUGCCUCAACCCUCCACACUUGAGUACUAAUAUAUUGUUAUUGUCUAAUCUUUUUUUUUGCAUAUCUGUUUUUAUUUUUUGUUCCAGAUGAACAACAAUUUUAAGGUGAUUCAAAUCAAAUGGAGACCAACCCGCAAGUUCAUAUCAAAGACUCAAGUGAUUUGAACAAGCCAUUUCAUUUUAAUGGAGUCCACUUCAAACGAUGGAAGGGAAAAGUUCUCUUCUAUCUUAGUUUGAUGAAAGUGGCUUACAUUCUAACGGAGAAAAAUCCCAAAAAAAUUUCAACAAUUGAGAUGAGUGAUGAGGACAAGAAAGUUCUUGAAGAAAAAAAUCAAGAAAUGGGAAAACAAUGAAUUUCAUUGCAAGAAUUACUUGUUAAAUUGUCUUUCUAAUGAAUUUUAUGAGAAUUCAUAUCCUACUGCUAAAAGGAUUUGGAAAGCUUUGUAGAAAAAAUAUGACACUGAAGAAGCAGACGCAAAGAAAUAUGCCGCAAGCCGCUACUUCAAAUUUCAAAUGGUGGAUGGAAAAUCUGUGGUGGCCCAAACUCAUGAACUUCAAAUAAUUGGACAUGAGUUAAGGUCCGAAGGAAUUCAGAUUGAUGAACAACUUCAAGUUGCUGCGAUAGUGGAUAAACUUCCACCAUCUUGGAAGGAAUUCCAAAAGAGCUUGCGACACAAGCAAAAGGAGUUUUCAUUAGAAAGUCUCAUCACUCGUCUAAGGAUUGAAGAAGAAGCAAUAAAUCAAGAUGCCAAAAGUGGACAAAAUGGUAAUAAUUGCUACCAAUGAAAAUGGUGCUAGCAAGGUAAAUUUCAUUACUUCCAAUGACAACAUGUCCAAUGAGAAGAAUGCAAAAAAUAAUGCCCUUCUGAAACCAAAGAAAAAGAAUACGAAACAUGGGCAUAAGCAUCAACACUCAAACCAGUAUAGAAAUAACUUCCAUCAGAAAGGCAAAAAUCAAAGGCCCCCUUUUAAAUCAGUCGCUUUUCCAAAUGAUGGUUGUUAUGUGUGUGGAAAGUAGGGACAUUUUGCUAAAACAUGCAAAUACUAGAAACGUGGGUCUGUACCACAGGCCAAUGUUACCGAAGAAUCUUAUGUGGCUAUGAUCACGGAAGUUAACAUGCUUGGGGGUUCUAAUGGUUGGUGGAUAGACACGGGUGCUUCAAAAUAUUUAUGCUUUGAUCGCACUUGCUUCAAAAGCUACACACCCGUCGAGAAAGAUAAGCAAGUCAUGUUUGGUGACUCUCAUACUAUCAAAGUUUUGGGUUCUGGUGAGGUUGAACUAAACUUUACUUCUAGUCGAACACUUCUUCUUAAAGAUGUGCUUCAUACGCUUCUUAAAGGAAUCUCCUAAUUUCCUUACGAGCUAAAAGGAGCUCUUGUUGUCCUUUAGUGAAGGGACUAUCGGGUAACUCCUUUUGAGUUUUGGAAACAUUAUAAACCUAAUUUAAAUUAUUUAAAAGUUUGGGUUGCUUGGCUUAUGUAUGAUUAAAUGAUCCUAAAAGACUAAAGUUGGGUGCUAGAGCUUCUACAUGUGUUUUUGUUGGUUAUUCUUUAACAAGUAAAGCCUAUAGAUUUUUAGAUUUGGAAAAUAAUGUGGUGAUUGAAUCUUUAGAUGCUAUUUUUCAUGAAGACAAAUUUUCCUACGUGUCUAGAAAUAGUGGGGGUGAAGAAAUUACUAAAGAUAAUGCAUUUGCAUCAACAUCUUCUUUGGAAGACCAACAUAUGAGUGAUAUUGAACCUAGAAGAAGUAAAAGAGUUAGAAAAGAAAAAGAUUAUGGUCCAGAUUAUUAUGUUUAUAAUUUGGAAGAAAUUCCUAAUACUAUAGAAGAGGCUUUAUCAUCACCUGAUUCAAUUUUUUGGCAAGAAGCUAUUAAUGAUGAAAUGGAUUCUUUAAUUUCUAAUAAGACUUGGAAACUAGUUGACUUGCCACCUAGUUGUAAAACUAUUGGCAGCAAAUGGGUCCUUAGGAAAAAAUAUAAACCAGAUGGAACAAUAGAAAAAUAUAAAGCAAGAUUAGUUCCUAAAGGUUUCAAGCAAAAAGAAGAUAUUGAUUUCUUUGAUACUUUCUCAUCAGUUUCAAGUAUAGUAUCAAUUAGAUUUUUAAUUUCCAUUGCUUCUAUUCAUAAUUUAGCUAUUCACUAAAUGGAUGUAAAAACGGCUUUUUUGAAUGGUGAUUUAGAUGAAGAAAUAUAUAUGGAUCAACCAGAAGGAUUUAUUGUAUCUGGCCAAGAAAAUAAAGUGUGUAAAUUAAAUAAAUCCUUAUAUGGUCUUAGACAAGCUCCUAAACAAUGGCAUGAAAAAUUUGAUACUUGCUUGCUUGAAAAUGGUUUCAAAUGUAGUGAAUGUGAUAAAUGUUUAUAUUUUAAAAAUAUUGAUGAUCGACAUGUGAUUAUUUGCUUAUAUGUGGAUGAUUUAUUGAUAUUUGGUUCCAAUUUAGGUGUAGUUGAGAAAAUAAAAACGUUGCUAAAAAGCUAUUUUGAUAUGAAAGACUUGGGUGCAGCUAAUGUUAUACUUGGAAUGAAAAUUUCUAGAUUGAAUGACGGUAUUUCUUUAGAUCAAACACAUUAUAUUGAAAAAUUACUAAAGAAAUAUAAUUAUGGUGAUACUAAAUAUGUUACUACACCGUUUGAUCCUAGUGUCCACUUAUUUCCAACUGAAAAUGGAAAUGACGUGUGCAAUCAAAAAGAAUAUGCUAGUAUAAUUGGAAGUUUACGUUAUGUAGCCGAUUGCACAUGGCCUGAUAUUGCAUAUGUUGUAGGAGUACUUAGUAGAUUUACUAACAAACCAAAUAUCACUCAUUGGCAUGCAAUUGACCAUCUAAUGAAAUAUUUAGCUAAGACUAAAUCUUAUGGUUUAUUUUAUCAAAUUACCCUACUAUUGUUGAAGGGUUUUGUGAUGCAGACUGGAAUACAUUGUCUGGAGAUUCAUUAUCCACUACUGGACAUAUUUUUACUUUAGCUGGUGGUGCUAUAUCUUGGAAAUCAAAGAAGCAACAAAUUAUAGUAAAAUCUACAAUGGAAGCUGAAUUAAUUGCAUUAGUUUCAGCUUGUGAAGAAGCAAGUUGGCUAUGGGAUCUUACACAUGAGAUUCUAUUGUGGGAAAAACCAGUGCCACCAAUAUUAAUACAUUGUGACAGCACUGCAGCUAUUGGCAGGGUAAAUAAUCGAUACUACAAUGGAAAAUCAAGAGCAAUAAGAAGAAAGCACAGUAUUGUGCGAGCAUAUAUUGGAAAUGGUACCAUCAAUGUGAAUUAUACAAGGUCAAGGGAUAAUAUAGCUGAUCCCUUGACAAAACCUCUAGCUAGAGAAAAAGUUUGGGAUACCUUGAGAGGGAUGAGAUUAAAGUUCAUAAUUACAUAAAUCACAUGUAAGGAUACCCAACCUAAUGAUUGGAGAUCCCAAUAAUUAGGUUCAAAGGGAAAAACGAAUUACAUAGUGGUUUGAAUAAAAAUGUGCACAACCUUAUUAAUAUUCUAUCUCUAUGGUGUAUGUGCAUAUAUCCUGUAAUGUAAGUAAGGUUCAGUUUCUUUACUAUAGCUCUUAUGAGUGAAGUGUUUGAAUUACCGGAGCACUCUUGAUAGAUUUCACCUAUAUGAGUGUUAUGGGUGGGGCUGCCCUAAAGAGAAUUAGACUUAUUCUCUAAUACACUCAUGAAACUGGGAUUGAGCACAUGGCCGAAAAGUGCCAGUUUUGAGAGCUCAUGAGAACACCUAGACUAUUAUAUGUGUAAGGUAAUAUCUAAUAUCCCAUAAGCAGCCAUAGUUCAAGACUGUAGUUCACUACUGGCUAUGGUAUUAGAAAUUACUGCAACACUAAAUAUAGGUUCAGGGCAUUACUACCUAUAUUAAGUAUGAUAGUCUUUUCUUGCCAUUUAAAUUUUAUACUAUUUUAUUAAAAUAAGUGGGGGAUUGUUGUAGUAUUUUAAUAAAAUAAUAAAUUUUCAAUUAAAUGUGCAUGUUACAAGGGAAAUAAAUUUUCUAAAAUUUAUAGGUGUUUGAAUGGUUUUUACUAAAUAUUUAUUGUAUAAAGUUAUGGCUUUUCAAUUACAUUGAAGUUUUGUAACUUACAAUUCAAAUUUGGAUUUGAAUGGGUAUUGUCCAAAGAAUCAUUAUGUGAAAUUAUGAUUUUUUAAUUACAAUAAGUUUUUGUAACCUACAACUUUGAAUGUGUUUUGAAUGGUCAAUAAUUUCAACAUUUACUUGGUGUCUUAUUAGUAACAUAAGUUAUAUUUGUCUAACUUUUCUUCACCUAUAUAUAUGCAUAGUUGAGAUAGAAAAGUUUCACUACAACAACUUAUGUUUUUUUAGUACAAAUUCACUAUUUUCUAUCUCAUAGUAAGGCAAGAAAUAAAAGGUGUUUAUAGAGCUUUACUCUCCUGGUUGUGCAAUCUAGCGAGAGUGUCAGCAAGUGUGGUUGGACUAUUGUAUCCUGGGGGUGACAAGCUAGAGAACUUGUUGCACCGGAGUUAAUUCUUCCGCAGAGGCUUGAAUCACCUUAAAGAGAGCGAGAUACCCGUGCCUCAACCCUCCACACUUGAGUACUAAUAUAUUGUUAUUAUCUAAUCUUUUUUUUUUUUUUUGCAUAUCUAUUUUUUUUUUGUUCCAGGUGAACAACAAAUGGGAUCAUUCCAACUGACAUAUUUUGCAGUUACUUUUGAGGUGGAAGUAUUGAACUUUGCAUUUCUACUAUUAUUGAUACAUCCAACUAGCAAGGGCUUGUUCUGCAAGUUACCUGAUUUUUAAAGUUACAGAGUGAUGGUAAAAAGUGGACAAUAGUAUAGUUGCCCCAACCAUUAUUGCACAUUGAAAGGCGCUUAUUUCACUUUAUUGUACCAUAGUUGAAGGAUUUCGUAGACUAUUUGAACACGCUUUUCACUUCAAGAAUGUUCAUAGAAAUUUUACAAUUCAAACAAAACUCCUAGUUUGCUCUCUGAUUGAUCCAGGGUUCAAACUUUGCCUUCCAUUAAUUAUCAUUUGAUAUUCAAUUUCUUCUAAAAUUUAGUUGAUGUUUAGAACAUCCGUCUAAUUUAAUAGUGAUUCAGUUCUCGUUGGUUUCAAAUGUUCAUUUUUACCUAUUCCCCUUCCCCCAUAGCUGCCAUGUAAUGUCCAAAAAAAUUCAAAAAAAAAAAGAAUCUUUCUUCAUCCAGUUGCGAAUGAGGUUAGGCGAGUACAACGGUAGUCUCCUGCAAAAUUAAAAACACAAAAAUAAUACGAUUGACCUUUUUGAGCACGGAAAUGAGAAAUCAUGCCAUUCACGUUUUCUUGUACGCAUGUUUGGAUUUUCUAGAUGCUGAACAUCCACUUGAGAUAAACUCAUCUAUAAAAUGGUCAGUCAUUAUGCAAGUGAACUCACCAAAGCAAAGCUGCAAAAAUCACUGAAAAGAAAGAAAAAAAAAUUGGUUGCCUCUUUGCAACCACAGUUCUCAGCAAUAACAUUCCUGUUGAUUGCUUCUCUGAUUGGGUCCUCCGAAACUGCUGGAAUUGUUUGAUACUGGGGCCGAGGCCAUUCAGAACCAUCAAGUUUGGCUGAGUUCUACAGGCAAGAAUUCACUACCGACGUCAAUAUUGUCUGUCUGGAAGAUUUUGGCAGUGGCCAUAUGCCUCAAUUGCACAUAAUUCAUCCUUGGCCGAGCGCAGCAGACAUAGAAUCUUGCCAGAAAAAUCAGACCAAAGUGUUUAUUACUCUCGCAGGACAACCGAUGCUUUCUUCCGUCGAAAAUGCAAAAGAAGUGGUAGCCUAUAUCUAGAACACUUACUUAGGCGGUGAUUCAAGCGACCGUCCAUUCGGCAAAGCUGUUGUAGAUGGCGUAGAGCUUCACAUCCAUAGCGGAAACACGACUUACUUGGAUGAUCUUGCCCGGGCACUUAAGGGAUACCCAAAUGUGAUCUUAGCUGUAGCAGCGGAAUGUCCUAUUCCUGACCCUACUCUUGAGGCAACUAUCAAAACUGGACUCGUCGAUCUUAAUGCAACUAUUAGCUGUGCGGGUGGAAUUUUUCGACAACCCAUGAUAGAGUCAUUAUUGGGCACAUUUUGUACUGUUAUUUUGUCCUAAUUUUAGCUACUUACUGUGGUAAAUAUUGAGAUUUUGGUCAUAUUUCAUAUUUUGUAUAAAUUAUAGGUGGUUGGUAUUAAAAGUGAUAUCGUGAGGCAAAUUUUCAGAAGACUCUUUAUUUCAUGGCGUGCCCACGCCAGAAACUGAAGAGAUACACCUCAAAGAUGGACCCUGCGGGAUUGGUAAAAGGAGUGGGCAAUUAGGAAAUCAGAUUCACGUGGGCUGCGGAGUUGCAAAGGAUUAAAACUCCUAGAGAAAGUUUUGCCCUUGGACAUUUUUCCUUCUGCUGGCGGCGCUACUUGGAAGAUACAAAAAGAGGAAAGCCAGAUUCACGUGAUAAGAAGAGAUUAGCUUUUGCUUUUGUUCUGGAGGCGUUUUCUUUCUUUUCGGCGGCCAAUAGAAACAAAGCCAGAAUCACGUGUGAUAUAUAGCUUAGCUUUUAGUUUUCCUUGUCAGACGAUUUUAUCUCGGCUUUCUUUUAGACUUUGUACAAUUUUGGCUAGACUUUUUCUUUUCCCUUCGUGGCUCCAGUACGAACACGAAACCCACAAAGAAAAGCAGGACUUUUUGUCUGUUCUGUUGUUAAUUCAUCUUUCCCAAUUCUUUGGCAAUUGUGUGGAUGGAAUUAAUUAAACCACGCGAGAUCAUUAUGAUGAGGAGCAGCUAGAUUUGUCCUCUACACAAGGGUUAACGCGAAGGCGCGGUCCAUAACAUUUGUGAGAUCUAAUCGAACUUUCACUAUUUCUUCCAAUUUGUUACUAUUCAUGCGUUUCCUGUAUUAAUUGUUCAUAAUUUUUUUAUUAAUUGAGUAUCAAUGGCCGAAUAUUUAAUUUAAUUUAAUAGCCUAUUGUCACGUUAGCUAAAUUGAAUCCGUAAUUAUUCGUUUAGUUGACAACUAAUGACAACCAUCAUAAUUGACUUUGUAUUGGGGAAACGUAAGAUCUAGUUUAAAUAAACCCCCUUAGCGUGUUUAUUGGUUAGGGUUGGGUUCUUCUAGUUUUAAUACAACUGGAUAAUUAAAUUCCUCUGAUCGUACCUAGAAUUAUUUUCUGGUCAGAGAAGCAGUCAAAGGUCGUACCUUGGCUGUCGAAAAAGUAAGCAAGAAUUGGCUGUCAGAACUUGUUGGUGGCUAUAACCAACCUAGUGACGAAUGAAUGAAACAUCUUUGCAUCGAUAAUCAGUUAAUUGGACCAUGCCUGAAGAGUUGAUGCUUUUGGUAGAAUUUUAUUAAUUGCUAUUUUUAGUAAAUUGCACUUGUUGAGUUAGCUUUUGAAUUUUGUUUAUUUUAUUUUCAUCUUUAUUCCCUUAAAUAUCCCCCAAUUUUGUUCUAUUGACUUGGAAAGAAACAACCUCCUAUCCGUUCCCUGUAGAAUUGACUCUACUUGCCAUUGUAUGCAAAUUUAAUACUUUUAUAGACAAUUCUGGUAUAUCGGAUCAAGAAAACUCUUCGAGAACAGGGUAAAUCAAGUAACCCAUUGCACAUCUAGGGUCCCUGCUCCACUACUUGGAUUUGUUCUAUAAUUAAUUGUGGUGGUAAUUAGGACUUUUUAGUAUUAUUAUUGCACAUACUCGACACCUGUCAAUUUUUGGUGCCGUUGCCUGGGAACGGUGUUUUGGUUAAUUUUAAUUUUUUCUAAGUUGUUCUCUUUGGAUUUUUCUGGCAUUUUUCUAGUUUAUGCCUCGUUCUCUCGUAUAAGCGAAUUGAUUUUCAACCCGGAAGUAGAGAAGACUGCGCGCCAAAUUAGGAAAGAGACUAGACAACUCAGAGAGGAGCAAUCUAGCACUGCAUCUCAGAGACUGGAUCCUGAGGUUGAAUCAACAGAUUCGAGUGGUGAUAAUUCAAGUGACCCAAGUCAAAAGGACAUCCCUAUGGCGAAUGCAAGAACACUAAGGGAGUUAGCUGCUCCGGAAUUGCCCCAACAGCCGUUGUGCAUCACAUUUCCAACUCUAGCUGAGAAUACCUCCUUCGAACUGAAGUCGAGAUUAAUUCACCUCUUACCCACAUUCCAUGGCCUCUCGGGUGAGGAACGCCAUAAAUACAUCCAGGAGUUUGAUGUGGUAUGCUCCAGUAUGAAGCCUUCAGGAAUUACUGAGGAGCAGAUCAAACUUAGAGCCUUCCCUUUCUCCCUCAAGGAUACAGCAAAGGAUUGGUUGUACUACCUACCUGUAGAUAGUAUCACAACAUGGGCCCCACUGAAAAAGAAAUUUUUGAAAAAAUUCUUCCCUAUAUCCCGCGCUGCAAGUCUAAGAAAAGAGAUAUGCAGCAUUAAGCAGUAUCUUGAAGAAUCCCUAUAUGACUAUUGGGAAAGGUUCAAUAAGUUGUGCACUAGAUGCCCACAAUAUCAAAUUAGCGAGCAACUAUUGAUCCAAUACUUCUAUGAGUGACUUUAGUCAUCUGACAGAAGUAUCAUUAAUGCUGCGAGUGGGAGAGCACUGGCAAAUAAGACGCCGAGAGAAGCAUGGCUGCUCAUUGAAGUUAUGGCAGAAAAUUCUCAACAGUUUGGCUUUCACGAGAGUAACCCUAUCCGUAGGGUCAAUGAAGUAGAGACGUCGUCCAUUCAACAGCAGAUAUCAGAGUUAACAUCUUUUGUGCGCAAAUUAGCUAUGGGGAACGUACAUCAAACAAAGGUUUGUGAAAUUUGCACAAACGUGGGCCAUCCCACUGACUCAUGCCCUAUUUUACAAGAGGAUGGGGUUGAAUAAGUAAAUAUGACUGGAGGCGUACCCACACCUCGUAAGCAGUACGAUCCAUACUCUAAUACGUGCAAUCCGGGGUGGAGAGAUCACCCCAACUUCAGUUAUAGGAAUAGGCCAUAGAAUUUAUUCUCAAAUCGCCCACCAGGAUUUCAGCAACCAUGGCAACAAAAGUCUCAACUUUUGUCCUCUAAUUCAGGAAGCUCUCUGAAAGAUAUUGUCAAGAGUCUGGCCACGAGCACCACUCAGCUCCAGCAAGAAACGAGGCCAUUGGUCACGAGCACUGCUCAAUUCCAAUAGGACACUAGAUCGGGUAUGAAAAAUCUGGAGACUCAAAUGAGUCACAUGGCGACUGCGAUUAAUCGCUUAGAGUCCCAGGUUUUUGAAAAAUUGCCAUCGCAACUCGAGGCAAACCCUAAGAAUGUAAGUGCCAUGACAUUGAGGAAUGAUAAAGAAGUAGAAAGGCCUAAGGCCACGAACCUAAAGAGCAAAAGUGAAGAAGAGAUCGAGAAGGAGAUGGAAGAAGAAGGACGCAUCCGUGGAGACCCUGAGGUAACUCUUACUCCAUCGGUACCCAUUAAAUCUAAUUUACCUCUUUUUCCAUGCAGGUUGGAGAAGACGAAGAAAGCGAAGAAAGAGAAAGAGAUCCUGGACGUAUUUCGCAGAGUAGAGAUCAACAUCCCCUUGUUAGAUGCAAUUAAGCAAGUAUCGAAGUACGCAAAAUUUUUCAAGAAUUUAUGCACCCAUAAGAGGAAGUUGAGAAGCGACGAAAGAGUAGUUGUGGGAGAAAACGUAUCGGCCAUACUCCAAAGAAAGCUCCAACCCAAGUGUGGGGAUCCACGUGUGUUCACGAUCUCUUGUAAAAUAGGAAAUACAUCGAUUAGAAAAGCUAUAUUAGAUUUAGGGGCGUCAAUCAAUGUGAUGCUAAAAACCAUUUAUGUGUCCCUAAAUCUCGGGCCAUUAAAAGAAACGGCCAUCAUAAUCCAACUAACUGACUGCACCAAUGUUUAUCCAGAGGGGCUAGUUGAGGAUGUCUUGGUUCAGGUAAAUGAGUUAGUUUUUCCAGCAGAUUUUUAUAUCUUAGAUAUGGGGGAUGAGAAAUCGAUAAAUCUGUCACUUAUUUUGUUAGGUAGACCGUUUCUUAGCACUGUUAGAAUUAAAAUAGAUUGUAAUGAGGGUACUUUAUCAAUGGAGUUUGAUGGUGAAACUGUAAAUUUAAUAUUUUUGAGGCGAUGAAGUAUCCAGAGAAAUCUAACUCAGUCUUUGUUUUGAAUGUCAUUGAGCCCCUUGUACAGGAAACUUUCGAAUUGGAUGGUGAAAAUACAUUGGAAGUGGCCUUGAUCAAACAUCUUGGGUUGGGUGUAACCCUUAAUAUGGAUAUGAGAGAUGAGUUGCACCACGCAUUUGAAGCAUUACAUUUACUUCCAACCAUUCAUCCAAGGUAUGAACUUACUUCUCUUUUUGUGCCAGAAUCUCAUACAAAAUUGUUGCUGUCAGUUGUGCAGACACCGGAACUAGAACUUAAAUCUCUCCCGAAACAUCUAAAGUACGCAUUCCUGAGAAAUCGAGAGACACUUUCGGUAAUCAUGUCUGCACACUUAUCUCCGAGCCAAGAGGACAAACUGGUGCGCAUCCUUAGGGAUCAUAAGGAGGCGAUUGGUUGGAGUAUAACAUAUAUCAAAAGGAUAAGUUCGUCCUUAUGCAUGCAUCGGAUAAGGCUCGAAGAUGAUGCGAAAUCGGUAAGACAGACACAGCGGAGGUUGAACCCCAAAUGAUGGAAGUUGUGAAAAAGGAGAUACUUAAACUCCUAGAGGUGGGGAUUAUCUUUACUAUCUCGAACAUUCCUUGGGUGAGCCCCGUUCAAGUGGUCCCGAAGAAGGCGGGAGUGACUGUAGAGGAGAACAAGGAAGGUGAGAUGGUCCCAGUCAGGAAAGCUAUAGGCUGCCGCCAAUGCAUUGACUACCGAAGACUAAAUUUUGUGGCAAAAAAAGACCAUUUCCUCUCCCUUUUAUUGAUCAGAUGAUAGAAAGGUUAGCUGGUCGUGUUUACUAUUGCUUUUUGGAUGAUUUUUUAGGGUACUUUCAGAUCGCGAUAGCGCCGGAGGACCAGGAAAAGACUAUAUUCACCUGCCCAUUUGGUACAUUCGUUUACCAUCGGAUGCUUUUUGGUCUCUGCAAUGCUCCAACAACUUUCCAAAGGUGUAUGGUAAGUAUUUUUUCUGAAUAUGUAGAAAAGAUUAUUGAGAUGUUCAUGAAUGAUUUUAGUGUAUACGAGAACAACUUUGAUGAAUGUCUUGAUAAUCUAGCUCUAAUUUUGAAAAAAUGCAUAGAAACAAACUUGGUUCUUAACUAGAAAAAAUGUCAUUUUAUGGUACAGCAUGGUAUUGUCUUAGGGCACGUUGUGUCGGUUAAGGGAAUAGAGGUAGAUAAAACUAAAAUAGAUCUUAUUUCUGCUCUAUCUUAUCCGGUAUGUGUACGAAAAGUACAUUCCUUUUUGGGUCAUACAAGAUUUUACAGGAAGUUCAUCAAGAAUUUCUCAAAGAUAGGAGUACCCCUGUUCAAGUUGCUGUAAAAGGACGUGGCAUUUGAUUUCACCGGUGAAUGCAAGGUGGUUUUUAAUAAAUUAAAGAAGUCAUUGACGUCGCCGCCCGUCAUUCAACCCCUAGAUUGGAGCCUGCCGUUUGAAAUCAUGUGCGACGCGAGUGAUUAUGCCAUAGGAGUCGUGUUGGGGCAAAGGAUAGGCAAGGCGGCGCACACGAUCUACUAUGCGUUGAGAGCAUUGAGUGGAGCCCAACUUAACUGCUCCACGAUGGAGAAAGAAUUACUAGCCGUUGUUUUUGCACUAGAAAAAUUUAGGUCAUAUUUAUUGGGUGAAAAAGUAAUUGUUUUCUCUGAUCAUGCAGUCUUGAGGUACCUGCUGGCGAAAAAGGAUGCAAAAUCGAGACUCAUAAGGUGGAUCUUACUCCUGCAGGAGUUCGACUUAGAAAUUAAAGAUCAGAGCGAGGCCGAGAACUUAGUAGCUGAUCAUUUGAGCCGACUGCUUACGAAUAAGGAGGAUCCGCCGUUGAGAGAAUCGUUUCCCGAGGAGCAAUUACUAGCCAUUGAUUCGUCAGUACCUUGGUAUGCGGAUAUUGUCAAUUUUUGGAUAACGAAUCAGUUAUUUGCAGGUUGGCCAAAAGUUAAGAGAGAUAAAUUGAAAAGUGAAGCCAAACACUAUAUUUGGGACGACCCUUACCUGUGGAGGCAAUGCUCGGAUCAAGUGCUAAGAAGGUGUGUGAGUGCAGGUGAGUUUCACUCUAUUCUAACUUUUUGUCAUUCAUUUGCAUGUGGAGGACACUUUGGGCCAAAGCGAACAGCUCGUAAGGUGUUGGAAAGUGGUUUCUAUUGGCCCACUCUGUUUAAGGAUGCAUAUUCAUUUUGUAAAUCUUGUGAUAAGUGUCAAAGGGUGGGGAAUAUUUCUCGUAAAGACCAAAUGAGUCAAACCCCCAUGUUUUUUAUUGAAAUUUUCGAUGUUUGGGGUAUAAAUUUCAUGGGUCCCUUUCCCUCGUCUUUUGGUUUCUUGUACAUUUUGCUUGCUGUCGAUUAUGUUUCCAAAUGGGUGGAGGCAAAGGCCACCCGGACUAACGAUUCGAGAGUGAUUGCAGAAUUUAUAAAAUCUAACAUUUUUGUCCGCUUUGAAAUGCCGAGAGCUAUAGUGAGUGACAGGGGCACUAAUUUUUGCAAUAAAAUGAUCGCUGCCUUGUUCCGUAAGUAUGGCGUGCUCCACAAAGUGUCCACAUCCUAUUAUCUGCAGAUGAACGGUCAGGCCGAAGUAUCGAAUAGAGAGGUUAAGUCAAUCUUAGAAAAGAUGGUGCGGCCAGAUAGAAAAGAUUGGAGUUUGAAGUUGGAAGAUACUCUAUGGGCUUACCGCACCGCAUAUAAGACGAUGAUUGGAAUGUCCCCGUACAAAUUAGUUUUUGAAAAACCGUGUCACCUCCCAAUAGAAUUGGAACACAAGGCUUUCUGGGCAAUUAAGCGGUGUAACAUGGAUCUUGUGGAGGCCGGGGGACGUAGAAAACUCCAAUUACAAGAGUUGGAGGAGCUAAGAAAUGAAGCCUAUGAAAACGCCACAAUUUAUAAGGAGAGGAGCAAAGUCUUUCACGAACAACAUGUCUCAAGAAAGUCAUUUGCCGUAGGGCAAAAAGUCCUACUUUAUCACUCGAGAGUUAAGCUUUUUUCGGGUAAGUUGUGUUCGCGUUGGAUUGGUCUGUUUGUCAUUUCUAAUAUUUUUCAUUAUAGUGCAAUGGAAAUUCAAAGUUUGAAGACAGAGAAGAAGUUUGUGGUGAAUAGUCACCGUCUAAAGCACUAUUAUGAGGGGUUAAAUAGUGAGCAAGUGGAGGUCAUAUGUCUUGAUGAUCCAAAUUGUGUGGCUUAAACAACCAUUACUGUGUUUAGCUAAAAACAUUAAAGAAAGGUGCUACUUGGGAGGCAACCCAAAGACUGCAGUAUUAGUUAUUGCCAAUUUUCGUUACUUUGCAAUUUUGCUGGUCUAUUCUUCUAUUAUAAGUGUUUUUGUGGUGAUUAACAGAAGACUGAGAUUUUCAAGGCGUGCCCACGCCUUACAAGGGUACGCCAGGAGCACUGUGCAAAGUGGAGACUAUCGGUUCCAAGACCUUGAAGGGAACUCUUUUGGACAUUUUUAUGCGAUGGUCAGAAGACCAUAUCCUCCAAGGCGUGCCCAGGACUUCCAACCCUUCAAAACGAAAGUCAAAGGAAAAAAUUUUUUGACCGAGACCUUCUCUAGCCCCAUUUUUUUUUACUUUUUCUUUUUCUUGUCUUGUCUUGUCUGAUCUUGUCUAAUCCCUUUCCAAUUUGUUUUGUCCUAGUUUCAGUCUUCUUCUUCCUGUUCUUGUUGGUCCGCCGCCAUCGCCCUUCGUUCGCCGUCGCCACCUCCCUCCCAACCGCGGUUGAACGCCGCCCUUGCCCACUAGAUUCACCACGCACGAGCACGCAGCGAGUCCACUAACGCUGCCCAGGGCGGAUCUCCCCCAACGAGUGCCCGCGAGCUCCCUCGCUCGCACCCGGCAGCCUCACCGCUCCAUCGGCACAGCACGAGGCCAUCUCCUGGGCGCGAAGUACGUGUGCGCGCGAGCGUCAACCCAGCAGCACGCGCAAUCGGGCUCGAGCAGCAACAAGCGCGCGACUGUACGCAUGCCUUCACCAGUGCACCUGCCAGGACCGCCCAGAUCAAGGGCGCACUUGCGCACUACAGCCAGCUUGCGCUUCACAGUGCUCCACCCACCAGAUUAGGCGCGACCAGCGCGCCUCUGCACGCUCGCCCUUUUCAUAGCGCAAGCCCAGCCCAGCCCAGCGCGCUUGCCAGCGUCCCAGCCAGCACGCGGCCUUCGCGCAAGCACUUCCCUACCGCAGUCGCGCGCUUAGCAUGCCUAGCAGCACUCACGUGCGCCGCGGGCCAGUCAACCGCACACCUUGCCCAGCAAGCGCGCACCUCCCUCGUGCGCCUCUCUCGUCGUGCGUCACCACCACGGUCUCCUCCAGCGUGGCAUAGUGGUAUCUCUAUUUUACUAUAUUUUUGUCACUAGUCGUUAAAUUUGGAAUCUGUGCUAUAUUUGACUCGAAUUUGGACUUGAAAUAUCCGUGGGCUCUGGUGGAUCUGAUAUUUGGUACACGUGGUCAGUGACUCACCGAUUGUUAACUAUUAUUGACUGAUAUUUUAAUUUGUGGGGUGUUGGAUCUGUUUUCUUUAUUGUUGCCUGCCAAGUGACGCCAGUGGGGCAUUUUUGUGUUUGUUGCCUUGUCGUUAUUCUGGUGGGGUAAUUGUGUUUCUCUCUGCUGCUGGGUUGUUGAUUGUUGAGUAUUAUCUGUUGACUGUGGUCCCCUGUCCCCCUUUGGUGGUUGCCUAGCUGUUUCUGUGCUUAUUUAUAUUCAUUUCUGUGGUCUCUGAAUGCCUCCCGAAAAAGGCAACAACUUCUGGGCCAUCUGGGUCCCAGCCUCGUAAGAGACGAGCCCCAAUUCAACCCCCCACUCGGUCCCGUUUAGGUCUCUCUAAGAGUACUAUAGCUCCUAGCAGUUGGGGGGAACCUAUCACUGACCUUACAUAGGAACAAAAGGACCGUUUGACUGGCUUAUUGUCGCGUCCUUUUGCUCCGUGUAAGUGUUUCCAUGCCCCAACCCUCGAUCAUUUGCAAAUUGCACGAGAGGUUGAACAGUUGUUCACUGCAAUUGGUUGGGAGCGGUACUUGGUCCUUGACUAUCCUACAUUUGAGGAGCUGUGUUAUGAAUUCUACUCUACUUUUGAUUUCACUAAAAAUGAAUUCAUCACUUUGGAUGAGCAGAGGGUGAUUAAAUUUAAAUUAAGAGGUACCCCACAGGAUAUGUCCAUUAAUGACUUUAAUCUACUUUUGGGGUUUGUCAGUGAGGAUACCAUUUCCUCCGGGAUGUAUAGAAACAGUGCGUGUGAUUACACUAGAUCUUUUUCUAGUGAUUACAUUGACAUAUGGAGAGAGUGGUCUACGGACCCUCAACUUUAUGAUUUGAGCCAGUCCAAGGCCUCUUAUCUUAAGGAUCCGGUCUUGAAGGUCAUCCACAGGUUCUUAGCCUACAAUUUCUCAGGCCGGAAGGACGCCUCGGGCAACCUUGCCAAGGCCGAAUUUUAUUUUCUUUGGUGCAUGCGCAAUAAGAUACAGGUCAACUUUAGGUGUUGGGCAGCCACACAGAUGUAAUCAGUCAUUCAAAAGCGGCAUAAGCCGGUGAUUAUGGGCUCGCUUAUUACUCACAUGACCGUUCGGUUAGGAUUGCUUGACCUCGACAAAGAACACAAGUUCACUCUAGCUCGAGAGAUUGAACCGUUGGAUUUGCGUAGCUUGGAGAGAAUGGGAGUUAUUUUCAAAAUGGGAGAUGUAUGCCAGAUGACGCCUGCUGGCGAGGGCGGGCCAUGACCUCGGGUUCCUCUGACUGUCCCUCUUACUGAUUCACUAUGAGGGUCUCAAAAUUUCAUUAAUUUCUGAAAAUUAAAAUAAAUAUUAUUUAAACUUUAAAAAUUAUUAAAUAAUAUGAAUUUAUAUUUAAAAAUGUGUAUUUAUAUUAUUAAUGAUGUUUUCACUUAUAUAAAUGUUAUAUUUUAAUUUACAUGAAUUUUCAAAAUUUAUUUGACGGUUCGCGUUCGGCUAAACAUUAAGUUGGAUUUUCGCACUCCCAUACGCAAUAUAACUCUAAGUUGAACUGUAUGAUAUGUAGAGGUUAUAAAAAUGUAUAAUUAAGUUGAGAAAAUGCUAGAUGAGGAAUUUCUACUAGUAGAUAAGAAUUUCGCGCUUAAACGCGAUUUAAAUUCGAAAUUGUCACCAUUAAUGGCAUGCCCAAAAAGUCUUCAAACCUAUACCUCUAGCUUACCUUCAUUUUCAACCCAUCUUAUCACCAACUACCAGCCGUUUCUCUUCUCUUCAAGCUCGAUCAUCUGGUGCAAGAAGAGGUAAGAGCCACGGCCAUUCCCAGCUUCCAACAGCCCUCCAUCUUUAACCAUUCCCAACCCCAACGUUCACCUUCCAUUUCCAGCUUCAACCUUCGAUCGUUGCUGUGCUGCGGCGGACUAGUCUGACCGAGAGAAAAACGGAGUGCAAGGGGUGCCGACUGACCUCAGUGAUUCUAGGAGCGAACUUGGGGAACUAGGCACUUCAUUUAGCUAGUAAACAACCACCAAAGGUAACCCAAAAACUUCCGCUUCACCCCUUAGCCAAAAUUUCAGAUUUGUUGCAGCUUUUGGUUCUUGAAGUUUUAGCUUGUCUUGGUGAAACAUGUUGGGUUGCUGAUCCUCUAAGCUAAUGAUUGAUGAAGCUAGAGGUGUUUUAUGUGCUAUAUGUAUGUUUUGAGGUGGUUAAAUGUUGGGAAAUUUUUUUUUAGAAUGAAGCUGGGGUGCUGCCGAAAGAAGGGAAAAUUUUCCAGAUUUGUACCUGUUGAUGUUUUGCAAAUUUCGCUUAGGUAAUGAACUGGAUUGUUUGUUUGGGGGCUAGACUAGUUAGUGGUGAUUGUUAGGGACUUAAAGUAUGAAUUAUAAGUUGGAAAUGGUUGAUCAAAAAGAAGAGAAAAAUUUUGCUCUGCAACAGAACCAGCAGGCCUGUUUUUCUUCCAACUUUGGCCAGAUUCUUGAACUGGAUUUUGUGAAGUUAUUGAGCUAUUUAAAUCAUGUAUAUGUUCACCUAUAUGUGUAGAGCAGUUUUGGUGAAAAUGCAGCUUUGGUACAAUGGGAAAUUCCAUUGAAAAAUCAAAGAGAAAAAUGCCCUUGAACUGUCCCAAAAAUUCUGGAAAUUUCCAGAUUUUUUGGCGAAUUUGGGGUUUGGUUUUGACAAGUUUUUGAACCAUUUGAGCUGUAAACAUGUUAACCUAUAUGUGAAGUAUUGUUUGGGUAAAAAUGUAGCCUUUAAGUAGUUGAAAAAUUUUGGACAAAUUGAAGAGAAAAGGGACUACUUGUACCGAAUGCACUUGGAAAUUUGUCCAGCUUUGCAUGAGACAUGUUGAAUAAUCUUCACGUUAACAUGAACCCAAUUUGACUUGUGUUUAGUUAAGGGGUGUGUAUAGCCCCAUUUGGGGACAAAAUCUAGUAGAGUUUACGUUCAAAAGUGGGCCAAAAUUUUAUUCUUCACGAGGCUACCAAAACAGAAAUUUUGUUUGAAAUUAGAAAUGAUUUUGACAUUUGGAUUUCAUUUUGAUUAAAUGUGGACUAAAUUGUCCCGAAAAUGUUUUCUAGCAUUAACCUUUGUUGCUAGGUCCACUUCGAGUCAAUAACCUUGAAUUUUAUUAGACCAAAUGCCCUAUUUCAAGAAAUAUGCCAAAUCUGGAAACUUUCUUGAAAACUCAAGUUUUUGCUUUCAUAAAAAUCCUUGAACCAAGUUGGUCAAUGGAAUUUGGCAAACUUAAGGAGUUUCUAUUUUAUAGAAAUUCCAACGACUAGUUUUACUUGGUUUAUAUGAUUUCCUCUUAAAGGAAUUUCCCAAGAUAUUUUUGGGAAAAAUUAGAAGGGAAAAUUCCUCUAAAUGGGUAAAUGUGAUUUUUCUCAACCUGUGACACCAAAGUGGUGUUAAUUGCUUAUAUGACUCUAGAACUUGGUUAUUGAAAUAUUUGACGAAUUUAGCAAGUUUUUGGUUUUAAAGAAACCUCAAAAUUUAAUUUCACUCGAAAUUUGAGGAUUUCACUUUCAGAAAACGAUUAAUACUAGUUUGGGAUUUUUGAGUGAAAUUAAAUGCUAGUUGACUCGAGUUAAAUUCGCCAACUCAAAAGUGGAAAUUUAUGUGAAAUAUUUGUAUGAUUUUAGGAGUUGGUGAAGAGCACAAUCUCGAUCAAAGUUUGGAAUUCUAGACUCUUCACUUGAGGUGAGUGUCUCUUGCAUGAAUCGUGUUUAACUGCUAGUUGAACUACUUGUUAAAAGUACUUGCUAGAGAUAUCAUGAAAUGUUACAUGCUAUGUGAUUGCGUGAAAUAUCACAAGUACAAGUGUUGCAAUGUCGAUUGGAGCGUGGUCUCGUCGACUAAAUAAACCAAACGGAUGCACGUACCACGCUCUAUUAGAGUGGGAGGUACCUCUCAACCGUCUUGGUAAAAGUGCUUGCAAAAUUCGUGUUGGAGUCGGGCCCGAAAAUAAGGGGGAAGUCGUUGCUAGGAGAUAAGUAGAGUAGGAAAUAUUCUACAUGGAGGUUAGGUAGUGAAAGUUGACGGAGUGUCAACUACUAAAAAUUUCCUGAUCAAGCGCAUGGACUUUGGCUCCUGAGAGCCCCGUAUCCUUUUCUUGUCAUGUUACUUUGAUUUCCUAAAUUGUUAAUUGCUUAUUUGUCCAUUUGUACUUGUUAAAUUGCCAUAUGUGAAUUGCAUGUUUCGAGGCACCACUGAGCUAUUGGCUCAUCCCUCCCAAUUUGUUUUCCUUGACAGGUUCUGAGUUGCAUGAAGUCUUGGAGAACUAGAAAAGAAAUGUUAUAUUUUGAAUGCCCACUUUUGUAUAUGUCCUUAGGGGAAAACUUUAGUAUCUUUUGGAUGACUUUUGUGUCUUUGGGAAAAUGUGAAUCCUGUGGUGCUUCUGUGCCCUGGUUUAGAAAUUUUAAAUUGUAAAUUAAGUUGAAUUUAAGUAUUUUAAGUUAGACAUUUUCUUUGAUGCUUGAAAUUGUACUUUUGGAGAGAGUAAAUUGAAUGGUACGGUUUGUUUAAUUACUUGGCUUAUGCGAGAAGUAAAGUUUAUUUACGAAUUAUAUUUGAUGAUGUUGGAUGAUUGAGUGAGUGAGUCCCGGCGAGCGUUGGGCAGGCGACUCGCCGAACCCUCUGGUUCGCCUUAGGGGGAGGUGGGGCCGCCACAGGUGGUAUCAGAGCAUUAUGUUAGAAUGUAUUUGAGAGAAUUGUUAGGUAUUUUAUUCCUAGAAACAGGAAUGAGAUAUUUAGAUAUAUUUUAAGUGAUAAUUGAUCAAAUUAAUGGUGCUAAGGCUUAACUUUGAAAGUUUUGGCUGUUUUGUAGGUAUGGAGAACCCUAACGAGAAUGGACAUGCUGCUAAUGGUAACGGGCACGCGAAUGGUCACGCGCCGCCUCUUAGGCCUAUUUUUUAUCAAGUUCAGGGUGGUGGAGCUCGUGUUCAGUACUCGCCCGCCACCAGGGUUCCUAGGUGUGACUGUAGGUUGACCUUCUCUUACCCCAACCGCUUGGUUCUGGCUAUAGACGAUGAGCGUCGCCAGUUGGUGAAUUCCAACCUGGCCCUGAUUCAGGACGUGGAUGAGUUAGGUGCCAUGGUGACUCAUCUGUAGAAUAGGGUAACAGAGCUGACUGGACGGGUGAUAGAGGAGAGAGCUAGGGCUGAGGCAGACCGUGAAGAGCUGCAGAGAGCGAGGGACAGCUUGACUAGGAUGAGAGACAUAGUUCGUGAGCGAGCCUCUGGGAUACUAGCGGAUGCUACCAUGCUGGUGGAUGAGGUGAUGGACGAGAUCUUAGAGGUAGCUCCUAGUACUGAGGAGGAUGCAGAGGAGGACCCGGAGGAGGAUCCAGAAGAGGAUCCUGAUGAGAGGAAUCCAUCUGAUGGUCCCGCUGAGGACUAGGCUUAGUUAAACUCUCUUUUGACUUGUAACCGGUAAACAUUGGUUAGGAUGGUGCUAACCUUGGGCCAUUGUAUUUUUGUAACUGUAUGACUUGCUUUUGUGGUGUUGCACUUCUUUUGAUUAUGAAUGACUGGUUGCACCUUGUAGCACGUUUGUGCUAUAUUUUUGUAAAAUCCCAACGAAAUGCUAAUUGUAGGAAUUUCGAAUGUUAAUAUAUGUGUUAGUUGUGGUUAUUUUUAUCGCCCUCAAGUUGAUCUUCAUUUGGCAUAAUUUUCUGCUUUGUUUCUCAAUUUUACGUAAUUUUCCUGCGUUGCUCUUUAGACUUUGCGUAAAUUUCUGCAUACUUACUUCUUGUCUUGCGUUAGGCAUAACUAGGUAUGGAUCCCCGUGGUAGAGGUCGAGGCCGAAAUCGAGGCCGAGGUCGAGGGAGACGGGCUGAACCCCUUCGUGAUCAAGGGGGCGAUACAGUAUCGGAAGUGAACCAAAAUCGGGGACCCGAGGGCGGGGGCGGAGAUCAAAUGGCCACCGCUAUUAAUAGGAUAAUCGAAGUGCUAGAACGUUUGACGGACCGUCAAGGUCCUGGACCAGUGCAUCAACAACCUGGUGGGAAGUUAGAUACUGAAGAUAGGGCCUUGGAGAGGUUCCUAAAGUUUGGACCGCCUAAGUUUCAAGGUGGGCCAGAGCCUGAAAUAGCUGAGGGAUGGUGGGAGAGAAUAUCUGAUAUUUUUGCCACAUUGGAUUACACUGAGACGCGGAAGGUGACUUUUGCGUCAUUUCAAUUUGAGGGAGCUGCACGGUCUUGGUGGAAUUUGAUUAAGGAUAAGUGGAAUAGAGACCGUACCCCUAGUACUUGGGCAAACUUCACCCGUGAGUUUAAUGCCAAAUUCCUUCCACCUCUAGUCCAAGAGAAAAGGGAGGACGACUUUAUUAAGUGCAAACAAGGGGCCAUGAGUGUAGCAGAGUAUGAGACCCACUUCACUAAAUUAGCCCGAUAUGCCCCUGACCUGAUAGCCACUGAGCAGAGACGCAUUAGGAGAUUUGUGCAAGGGCUCAAUGUGGAGAUUCAAGAGGGGCUAGCAACUGCUCAAAUUAACACGUAUAGUGAUGCCGUAGAGAAAGCUCAGAGGUUUGAGACGGCUAGAGCCCAAUCUAAGUCAUUCUUUGCUAGGAAAAGGAAUGCCCCUAGUGGUAGCAGGGACCCAAUUUCUACAAGUGCCCCACCGCCUAAGAUGGGUAGAGGAAUUGGGGUAGUGAAUAUCCCUAGUGCAUCAAGAGGUGCUUUAGCAAGGGGUGCUAGAACUAGAGGCUCUGUGGCGAGAGGAUCUGGAGUGAGAGGAGGUAAAAGUGGAAGGGGACCCGCUAGGAGUGCUCCACAAGGUGUACAAGUGUCAACCCCUCAGAUAACCUGUGGUUACUGUGGAAAAGCCAAUCAUACCGCAAAUGAGUGCUGGAGAAAGGAAAGCAAGUGCCUCAGGUGUGGGAGUGCUGAGCACCAAAUUGCUAAUUGUCCUAAGAUUUCCGAGAAUGGGGGAAGCCAAGGAGGUGCCACAAGUUCUAGGCAAACUGCUUCUGGAGAGAGUCGGCCAAAGGUCUCGGCCAGGGUUUAUGCCCUAGAUAGUCAACCUGUACCUGACCCUUCGGAGGUAGUCGAAGGUACACUUCCAAUCUUUCAUCGAUUAGCUAAGGUUUUAAUUGAUCCUGGUGCGACUCAUUCGUUUGUUAAUCCUGCUUUUAUGUGUGGAAUUGAUGUAAAGCCUGUACGAUUACCCUAUGAUUUGGAAGUUAGGACUCCUACGGGUAAUAAAAGCAUACUUACUAGUUUGGUGUAUAAGGAGUGUGAAUUUUGGGUUGGGGAGCGAAAAAUGCUAGUUGACUUGGUGAGUUUGGACCUUAAGGGGUAUGAUGUGAUUAUAGGAAUGGACUUUUUGUCUUACCACCAUGCUAAACUAGAUUGUAGGGCUAAAGUGGUGAAAUUUUGCAUCUCAGGUGAGGCAACUCUCAAGCUAGAUGUAAAGGGUAGAUUAGUUUCGUCUGCUUUGAUUUCAGGGAUUCGAGCUAGGAAAAUGCUUCACAAGGGAGCCCAGGGUUUCUUAGUUUUCUUAAUUAACGCCCCUAGUGAUCAAGUGAAAUUAGAAGAUGUGCCAAUCGUGCGAGAUUUUCCCGAUGUCUUCCCGGAAGAAUUAACAUCUUUGCCACCUGAAAGGGAGAUAGAGUUUAAGAUUGAUUUGGUUCCAGGAGUAGCCCCAAUUUCAAAAACUUCUUAUAGAAUGGCUCCUGCGGAGUUGAAAGAACUAAAGAUCCAGUUGCAGGACCUACUAGAAAGAGGUUUUAUUAAGGAAAGUGACUCACCGUGGGGAGCUCCAGUUUUGUUUGUAAAGAAAAAGGACGGGAGUUUGAGAUUGUGCAUUGACUAUCGAGGUUUGAAUGAGGUGACUAUUAAGAAUAAGUACCCUUUGCCCUUGAUUGAUGGAUUAUUUGACCAAUUGCAAGGAUCGGUGGUGUACUCUAAGUUAGAUUUGAGACAAGGGUACUAUCAAUUGAGGAUUAAAAAGGAAGACAUACCUAAGACCGCUUUUAAUUCUCGAUAUGGGCACUUUGAGUUUGUGGUAAUGCCUUUUGGGUUAACCAAUGCCCCAACUGCUUUCAUGGAUCUAAUGCAGAGAAUCUUUAAGAAAUAUCUGGACCAAUUUGUGGUGGUAUUCAUAGAUGAUAUUCUAGUAUAUUCUAAGACCCGAGAGGAUCACGCCAAGCACUUGGAGAUAGUUUUACAAGUGUUGAGGGAACACAAGCUUUACGCUAAGUUCAGUAAGUGUGAAUUUUGGCUGGAAGAAAUUUCUUUUCUGGGUCAUAGAAUUUCUAAGAAUGGAAUUGCAGUGGAUCCAACUAAAGUGGAGGCAAUUACUUUGUGGAAACAACCAGAGAAUCCAACUGAAGUUAGAAGUUUCUUGGGAUUGGCGGGUUAUUACCGUCGUUUUAUAAAAGAUUUCUCAAAAAUUGCUGGGCCAAUGACGGAGUUAACUAAGAAAAACCAUAAGUUCAUUUGGAGCCCUAAAUGUGAAGCGAGCUUUCAAGAAUUGAAGAGGCGAUUGACUACGGCUCCAGUAUUAGCCCUACCUGAGGGAGUUGAUGGGUAUGUAGUAUAUUCCGAUGCUUCUAAAGAAGGGUUAGGUUGUGUUCUAAUGCAAAAGGGAAAAGUUGUGGCCUAUGCUUCUAGGAAAUUGAAACCUCAUGAAAUGAAUUACCCGACCCAUGACCUAGAGUUAGCCGCUGUUAUUUUUGCUUUGAAGAAGUGGAGACAUUACUUGUAUGGGGUGACAUUUGAGGUAUUCACCGACCAUAAGAGUCUUAAGUACUUGUUUUCACAAAAGGAGUUGAACUUGCGAUAGAGGCGUUGGGUAGAAUUUCUUGAGAAUUAUGAUUGUUCAAUCAAUUAUCACCCUGGAAAAGCAAAUGUGGUUGCAGAUGCACUAAGUAGGAGGGCUCAAGUAGCGGGUCUAAUGGUGAGAGAAUGGGAUAUGUUAGAAGAAGCGAGUGGUUGGAAUCCUCGUUUAGAAAAGUUGAAAAUCUUGUUUGGAAAUCUAUCCUUAAAAUCCCCUUUGUUAGAAAGAAUUAAGGAGGCUCAAAGGAAUGAUCCGAUAGUACAAGGUUAUUUGGAGAGAGUGGGAAAGGUGGAAACCCUAGAUUUUAAGCUAGGACCUGAAGGCAUUUUGAGAUUUAGGGAUCGAUAGUAGUACCUAGUGAAGAGGGUUUGAAAAGAGAAAUUCUAGAGGAGUCACAUCGGUCCAAGUAUACUAUUCACCCUGGAGUUAACAAGAUGUAUCAGGAUGUGAAAGGGCUUUAUUGGUGGGAUGGCUUAAAAAGGGAUGUGACGAAAUUUGUACAAACUUGCCUUGUGUGUCAGCAGGUUAAGGCAGAACAUCAAAAGCCUUCUGGUUUGUUACAACCUUUAGAAAUCCCUGAGUGAAAAUGGGAGCAUAUUACCAUGGAUUUUGUGACGGGUUUACCUAGAAGUCAAAGGGGACAUGAUGCUGUUUGGGUGAUAGUGGAUAGGCUUACAAAAUCUGCACAUUUCUUACGGUGAAUAUGAGUUACUCUUUGGAGAAACUAGCCAAGUUAUACACAGAAGAAAUUAUGAGAUUGCAUGGGAUUCCUGUAAGUAUAGUCUCCGAUCGAGACCCUAGGUUCGUUUCCCGCUUUUGGCAGAAAUUUCAGGAGACUUUGGGGACUAAAUUGAAGUUGAGCACUGCAUAUCAUCCACAAACAGAUGGACAGUCGGAGAGGACCAUACAAACCCUAGAGGACAUGUUAAGAUCCUGUAUAUUAGAUUUCGGAGGGAGUUGGAGCCAGUACAUGACGUUGGCAGAGUUUGCUUAUAAUAACAGUUAUCAGGCUUCAAUCCAAAUGGCACCGUAUGAGGCGCUUUAUGGUAGAAGGUGUCGAUCCCCUAUUCAUUGGGAUGAAGUAGGAGAAAAGAGAGUUUUAGACCCGACAGCUAUUCCAUGGAUCGAGGAAGCUUAUGAGAAGGUUAAACUGGUUAGGGAGAGACUUCAAACUGCUCAAAGUCGGCAGAAGAGUUACGCAGAUCCCCGAAGAAAAGACUUGGAAUUUGACGUAGGGGACAAAGUCUUUCUAAGAGUGAAACCUAUGAAAGGAGGGGUAGUAUCCAAGAAGGGAAAGAAAUUAAAGCCGAGGUACAUUGGACCCUUUGAAAUUCUUAAACGAGUUGGAAAAGUGGCUGUGAGGGUCUCAAAAUUUCAUUAAUUUCUGAAAAUUAAAAUAAAUAUUAUUUAAACUUUGAAAAUUAUUAAAUAAUAUGAAUUUAUAUUUAAAAAAUGUGUAUUUAUAUUAUUAAUGAUGUUUUCUCUUAUAUAAAUGUUAUAUUUUAAUUUACAUGAAUUCUCAAAAUUUAUUUGACGGUUCGCGUUUGGCUAAACAUUAAGUUGGAUUUUCGCACUCCCAUACGCAAUAUAACUCUAAGUUGAACUGUAUGAUAUGUAGAGGUUAUAAAAAUAUAUAAUUAAGUUGAGAAAAUGCUAGAUGAGGAAUUUUUACUAGUAGAUAAGAAUUUCGCGCUUAAACGCGAUUCAAAUUCGAAAUUGUCACCAUUAAUGGCAUGCCCAAAAAGUCUUCAAACCUAUACCUCUAGCUUACCUUCAUUUUCAACCCAUCUUAUCACCAACUACCAGCCGUUUCUCUUCUCUUCAAGCUCGAUCAUCUGGUGCAAGAAGAGGUAAGAGCCACGGCCAUUCCCAGCUUCCAACAGCCCUCCAUCUUCAACCAUUCCCAACCCCAACGUUCACCUUCCAUUUCCAGCUUCAACCUUCGAUCGUUGCUGUGCUGCUGCGGACUAGUCUGACCAAGAGAAAAACAGAGUGCAAGGGGUGCCGACUGACCUCAGUGAUUCUAGGAGAGAACUUGGGGAACUAGGCACUUCAUUUAGCUAGUAAACAACCACCAAAGGUAACCCAAAAACUUCCGCUUCACCCCUUAGCCAAAAUUUCAGAUUUGUUGCAGCUUUUGGUUCUUGAAGUUUUAGCUUGUCUUGGUGAAACAUGUUGGGUUGCUGAUCCUCUAAGCUAAUGAUUGAUGAAGCUAGAGGUGUUUUAUGUGCUAUAUGUAUGUUUUGAGGUGGUUAAAUGUUGGGAAAAUUUUUUUAGAAUGAAGCUGGGGUGCUGCCGAGAGAAGGGAAAAUUUUCCAGAUUUGUACUUGUUGAUGUUUUGCAAAUUUCGCUUAGGUAAUGAACUGGAUUGUUUGUUUGGGGGCUAGACUAGUUAGUGGUGAUUGUUAGGGACUUAAAGUAUGAAUUAUAAGUUGGAAAUGGUUGAUCAAAAAGAAGAGAAAAAUUCUGCUCUGCAACCGAACUAGCAGGCCUGUUUUUCUUCCAACUUUGCCCAGAUUCUUGAACUGGAUUUUGUGAAGUUAUUGAGCUAUUUAAAUCAUGUAUAUGUUCACCUAUAUGUGUAGAGCAGUUUUGGUGAAAAUGCAGCUUUGGUACAAUGGGAAAUUUCAUUGAAAAAUCAAAGAGAAAAAUGCCCUUGAGCUGUCCCAAAAAUUCUGGAAAUUUCCAGAUUUUUGGGCGAAUUUGGGGUUUGGUUUUGACAAGUUUUUGAACCAUUUGAGCUGUGAACAUGUUAACCUAUAUGUGAAGUAUUGUUUGGGUAAAAAUGUAGCAUUUAAGUAGUUGAAAAAUUUUGGACAAAUUGAAGAGAAAAGGGACUACUUGUACCGAAUGCACUUGGAAAUUUGUUCAGCUUUGCAUGAGACAUGUUGAAUAAUCUUCACGUUAACAUGAACCCAAUUUGACUUGUGUUUAGUUAAGGGGUGUGUAUAGCCCCAUUUGGGGACAAAAUCUAGUAGAGUUUACGUUCAAAAGUGGGCCAAAAUUUUAUUCUUCACGAGGCUACCAAAACAGAAAUUUUGUUUGAAAUUAGAAAUGAUUUUGACGUUUGGAUUUCAUUUUGAUUAAAUGUGGACUAAAUUGUCCCGAAAAUGUUUUCUAGCAUUAACCUUUGUUGCUAGGUCCACUUCGAGCCAAUAACCUUGAAUUUUAUUAGACCAAAUGCCCUAUUUCGAGAAAUAUGCCAAAUCUGGAAAUUUUCUUGAAAACUCAAGUUUUUGCUUUCAUAAAAAUCCUUGAACCAAGUUGGUCAAUGGAAUUUGGCAAACUUAAGGAGUUUCUAUUUUAUAGAAAUUCCAAUGACUAGUUUUACUUGGUUUAUAUGAUUUCCUCUUAAAGGAAUUUCCCAAGAUAUUUUUGGGGAAAAUUAGAAGGGAAAAUUCCUCUAAAUGGGUAAAUGUGAUUUUUCUCAACCUGUGACACCAAAGUGGUGUUAAUUGCUUAUAUGACUCCAGAACUUGGUUAUUGAAAUAUUUGACGAAUUUAGCAAGUUUUUGGUUUUAAAGAAACCUCAAAAUUUAAUUUCACUCGAAAUUUGUGGAUUUCACUUUCAGAAAACGAUUAAUACUAGUUUGGGAUUUUUGAGUGAAAUUAAAUGCUAGUUGACUCGAGUUAAAUUCGCCAACUCAAAAGUGGAAAUUUAUGUGAAAUAUUUGUAUGAUUUUAGGAGUUGGUGAAGAGCACAAUCUCGAUCAAAGUUUGGAAUUCUAGACUCUUCACUUGAGGUGAGUGUCUCUUGCAUGAAUCGUGUUUAACUGCUAGUUGAACUACUUGUUAAAAGUACUUGCUAGAGAUAUCAUGAAAUGUUACAUGCUAUGUGAUUGCGUGAAAUAUCACAAGUACAAGUGUUGUAAUGUCGAUUGGAGCGUGGUCUCGUCGACUAAAUAAACCAAACGGAUGCACGUACCACGCUCUAUUAGAGUGGGAGCUACCUCUCUGCCGUCUUGGUAAAAAUGCUUGCAAAAUUCGUGUUGGAGUCGGGCCCGAAAAUAAGGGGGAAGCCGUUGCUAGGAGAUAAGUAGAGUAGGAAAUAUUCUACAUGGAGGUUAGGUAGUGAAAGUUGACGGAGUGUCAACUACUAAAAAUUUCCUGAUCAAGCGUGUGGACUUUGGCCCCUGAGAGCCCCGUAUCCUUUUCUUGUCAUGUUAUUUCGAUUUCCUAAAUUGUUAAUUGCUUACUUGUCCAUUUGUACUUGUUAAAUUGCCCUAUGUGAAUUGCAUGUUUCGAGGCACCACUGAGCUAUUGGCUUAUCCCUCCCAAUUUGUUUUCCUUGACAGGUUCUGAGUUGCAUGAAGUCUUGGAGAACUAGAAAAGAAAUGUUAUAUUUUGAAUGCCCACUUUUGUAUAUGUACUUAGGGGAAAACUUUAGUAUCUUUUGGAUGACUUUUGUGUCUUUGGGAAAAUGUGAAUCCUGUGGUGCUUCUGUACCCUGGAUUAGAAAUUUUAAAUUGUAAAUUAAGUUGAAUUUAAGUAUUUUAAGUUAGACAUUUUCUUUGAUGCUUGAAAUUGUACUUUUGGACAGAGUAAGUUGAAUGGUACGGUUUGUUUAAGUACUUGGCUUAUGCGAGAAGUAAAGUUUAUUUACGAAUUAUAUUUGAUGAUGUUGGAUGAUUGAGUGAGUGAGUCCCGGCGAGAGUUGGGCAGGCGACUCGCCGAACCCUCUGGUCCGCCUUAGGGGGAGGUGGGGCCGCCACAUUCACCGCCCUUCACUGAUCAGGCAGGUCCAUCCUUCUAUCAUACUCCCCCUGCUUGGGAUGCCCAAUACCGUUCCCUCCAAGAUUCUGUCCAUUAGCUAGGAGAGCGAGUUGAGGGCCUCGAUGACCGUCUUGCAGCGUUGCAGGUUUUUGCCCGUAUUCAGGCGGAAAAUCAGGCAGCUUUUUUUGCUCAUAUUGGAUUCUAGCAAUCUCAUCCUCUUCCCCUUUAGUGUCUAGCUACACCCUCUCGACAGUCAGGGAAGUUCGCCCCUUUAACCUUACAGUUUAUUUUGUCUUUACUACAUUGAGGACAAUGUAGAUUUUAGGUGUGGGGGGGUGAUUUCUAUUAUUUCUUUUUGUUUCUAUUAUUUCUUUUCGUUCGUAAAAAACAAAAAAAAGGGCAAAAAAAGAGGAAAAAUGAAACAAUCAGAAAACGAAAAAAUAAAGAAAAAAUGUGUAGUUGGUUCACUUUUUGCUAGAGCAUUUUACUAUGAUGGAUUAUACAAUCAAGGUGCACGUGUAUGUGGUCAUAUAUGCUUGCUGUGCAUUUUGCUUUUCCUUGGCAAUAUCGCUAAAUGUGGAUAUGCUGGACUUGACCCAUUCUUGAAACUUUUGGGAGUUUUUGAGCCAUGCACGAGCACAUUAUUUUUGUUUGCUUCGUUUGUGUUGUUGAGUGGGUAUCACACAUGGUGUUGGUAUUCUAGAACUUACUAUUUCAUACAUGUCGAGACCACAUUUUGUUGAACUGAAUGCAUUUGAAAUGAUAAGGGCAUUUAGGAUCUAACCUUCUUUAGCUUUCUACAAACCAUGCCUUCAUCUUGUUUCCCAAUAGUGAACCAAUUUGAGCUUUUAGCCUUCUCUUUUGAUUGUUGCCUUGUUUGAUAACCCAGAAUCUUUUUAAACUUUCUUGUUCAAUCUUGUGUCGUUAAGAGAUGUCUGAAUUUCAUUGUUUGCGCAAGAAAAAUAAAUCUAGAGUCGCAAGUGUUGUCAGAAUAGAUGCUGUAUGGUGCUGUUUCUGUGCAUCUAAGAUCGCAAGAAGAAAAAAAAUGGGAGAAAUUGUCAAUAAGAUGGUGAACAGAACACUCUGGCUUACAGGGCGUGCCCACGCCUUGCAAGACGUUUCCCCUUUUUCAAAAAAAAAAAAAAUUCGACACUUGCACAAUGGGUAUAGCAAAUGGAAAUGCCUUGUUCGUGGAAUUGCUCCAGUAAAGUGUUGAGGUUAUGUAGUGGAUAUCGGACAUUCUCUUGACACAUUACGCCUUAUUUUUUACCUUCUUAUCCCGCUUUUUACCUAAGCCCCAUUACAACCCUAUUAAAGUCCCUUUGAUUUUUGUAUUGAGUUCACUGUUGAGUGGUGGAGAUGUGAUAAAUGUGCAAACCUAUGAUAAUGUCAUUCCGUGGUGUUGAUUUGAGCGUCCCUAAUAUCUAUACAUUUUCUUGGAAGUGACGAGUACUACUGCUCAUAUUCUUUGGAUUACUACUCGUCCGGUGUAUUCUAAUUUUGGCGACAUUGUCAGGAAUGCGAGAUGUUUGUGUUAGUGUAGGUGACUAUGAAACCGCUGCUAUCUUGAUUGUGCUUCUGAGUUUCGAAAUGCUUGAGGGCAAGUAUUGCCUAGGUGUGGGGGGAUUUGAUAGAGCAAUUAUUGGGCACAUUUUACACUGUUAUUAUGUCCUAAUUUUGGCUACUUACUGCGCUAAGUAUUGAGAUUUUGCUCAUAUUUCAUAUUUUGUAUAAAUUGUAGAUGGUUGGUGUUAAAAAUGAUAUCUUGAGGCAAAUUUCCAGAAGACUAUUUAUUUCAUGGCGUGCCCACGCCAAAAACUGAAGAGAUACACCCCAAAGACGAACCCCACGGGAUUGAUAAAAGGAGUUGGCAAUUAGGAAAUCAGAUUCACAUGGGCCGUGGAGUUGCAAAGGAUUAGAACUCCUAGAGAAAGCUUUGCCCUUGGACAUUUUUCCUUCUGCUGGCGGUGCUACUUGGAAGAUAUAAAAAGAGGAAAGCCAGAUUCACGUGAUAAGAAGAGAUUAGCUUUUGCUUUUGUUUUGGAGACGUUUUCUUUCUUUUCGACGGCCAAUAGAAACAAAGCCAGAAUCAUGUGUGAUAUAUAGUUUAGCUUUUAGUUUUCCUUGUCAGACGAUUUUAUCUCGGCUUGCUUUUAGAUUUUGUAUGAUUUUGGCUAGACUUUUGCUUUUCCCUUCGUGGCUCCAGUACGAACACGAAACCCACAAAUAAAAGCAGGACUUUUCGUUUGUUCUGUUGUUAAUUCAUCUUUCUCAAUUCUUUGACAAUUGUGUGGAUGGAAUUAAUUAAACCACGCAAGAUCGUUAUGAUGAGGAACGGCUAAAUUUCUCCUCUAUCCAAGGGUUAACGCGAAGGCGCGGUCAAUAACAUUUGUGAGAUAUAAUCGAACUUUCACUAUUUCUUCCAAUUUGUUACUAUUCGUGCGUUUCCUGGAUUAAUUGUUCAUGGUUAUUUUAUUAAUUGAGUAUCAACGGCCGGAUAUUUAAUUUAAUUUAAUAGUCUACUGUCACGUUAGCUAAAUUGAAUCCGUAAUUGUUCGUUUAGUUGACAACUAGUGACAACCAUCAUAAUUGGCUUUGUGUUGGGGAAACGUAAGAUUUAGUUUAAAUAAACCCUCUUAGCGUGUUUAUUGGUUAGGGUUGGGUUCUUCUAACUUUAAUACAACUGGAUAAUUAAAUUCCUACGGUCGUACCUAAUGUUGUUUCCUGGUUAGAGAAGCAGUCAACGGUCGUACCUUGGCUGUCGAAAAAGUAAGGAAGAAUUGACUGUCAGAGCUUGUUGGUGGCUAUAACCAACCUAGUGACGAAUGAAUGAAAUAUCUUUGCAUCGAUGAUCAGUUAAUUGGACCGUGUCUGAAGAGUUGAUCCUUUGGAUAGAAUUUUAUUAAUUGUUAUUUUUAGUAAAUUGUACUUGUUGAGUUAGUUUUUGAAUUUUGUUUAUUUUAUUUCCAUCUUUAUUCCCUUAGAUAUCCCCCAAUUUUGUUCUAUUGAUUUGGAAAGAAACAACCUCUUAUCCGUUCCCUGUGGAAUCGACCCUACUUGCCAUUGUAUGCAAAUUUAAUACUUUUAUAGACAAUGCUGGUGUAUCGGAUCAAACAAACUCUUUAGGAGUAGGGUGAAUCAAGUAACCUAUUGCACAUCUAGGGUCCCUGCUCCAGUACUUGGAUUUGUUCUAUAAUUAAUUGUGGUGGUAAUUAGGACUUUUUAGUAAUUAUUAUUACACACGCUCGACACCUGUCAACCCAUCUUGUCAGUUUCUGCAUACAAAUGAUACCAGUUUCCUCUUCCGGAGCUGGGACAAUUGGUUUGAUUAUCCAGGCGUUCAUAAAUUGUACCUGGGAAUACCCUUUGUGUCAUUAAAGUUCACAAACAUAAUUGACACAUCAUCGAAAACAAAGUCUAAACAGGUUGCCUUAUUUAUGAAACUUUUAUGCAUUUUCAAUUAACUUUAUACCUAGCCAAAUUCAACAUAAAUAAUCCAAAUUCAACAAUAAAUUACUAUAACUUGAAUAAUAACUUGAAUUUAUGAAUAAAAAUCAAUCAAAAAAGAGCAAAAAAUUUUUCUCAAUUACCAUUAUUGAAUAACAUGACCUUAGAUAUUAAUGGAUAACAAGAUUUCACUAUCCCUCUAACAAGGAUUUUCAAAGCAUUCCUAGAACUAAUGGCCUGUUUGGCAAACAAAUUUUUGGUUAAGUUUGUUUCCUACCAAUUUUUUAACAACUUUAACUACAGUAAUCUCAAAAAACUCUUCAAAAUUUUUAAACUACAUACUUCAAAAUAUCCAAAACACACAAAAAAUUUUCUUCUUCCUUUCUCUUUCCACCUCAACCCACCACCACCUCGCCGCCGGCCAAGAUCGACCGGCACCAAAGGCCACCUCUUUUUUUUUCUCUCUCUUCUUCCUUUUCCUCUCCACUGCCCCUCUCCUCACCUCUUUCCCGCCACCUCUCACCCCCUUCUCCCUCCCCCACCACCCUUCCCUUACCCCUUUGCUCGAUCUGGUCACACGACUAGAAAACACCCGGGAAAGGAGGGAGAGGGGAGGGGAGAUAGAAAAGAGCAAAAAAAAUUCUUGUUCCAACGGGAAGAGAGAGGUGGUAGGGACGGGGAAAGGAGAUGAAGAAGAAAGGAAAGAAAAGAACAAAGAAAGAAAGAAAGAAAAAGAAAUAAAAAGAAAAGAAAAAAGUUUAUCAUUUUAAAAAUUUUUCCUACAAUUUUUACAGUAAAUUACAGUAAAAUUUUAGACAAACACCCAAAAAACUCAUUCACCAAACGAGGCCUAAGUUUUACCCAGAUAUUUAUUGGGAGUUAUUUACCAAAUAGGACCUAAGUAAUAUCUCAUUCUCUUAUCAACUUUUAUCAAACUUUAUUGGAAUUGCUCAGUUUUUUAGAGUUUCUCUCUUUUUUCGCGAAUCUUUAAUUCGUGAUUGGGAUCCGUUGAUAUAACAUUCCUCAUUAGGAGGAUGUUCAUGAAACCCUUCUACUCUUACAUGUUUGUUUAGAAGAUCAGGAGGCCUAGGACACAUUUUUAUUGCAUGUCUACCAAUUAUUGAUUGCAAGAAUUAGUUUCUAAUAGGACCAUUUAUGGCAAUCGAUGAGUUAGAAAUUUAAUUUAUGUUCAUUAGUUUUUCUCACAUGGCUUUAUGAUCACUUGAUUUGAAUCUUAAAACUACAUGUAAUUCUAGAUUGAAAAUCAUGAGUGGGUGAUGUUAUUGAAAAGGAUUAUAUCUUGAAGAAAUUUCUAGGUGGUUAUGUUAUAAUAUUUCUAGAUCCACUGUGAUGGCAUGUAGUAUGAAAUAAAUUCGGGGUGCAACUGAGAAUCUGGCAAAUCAGAAAAUGAGAGCACGGAAUUUACUAGUGGAGUUUUAAUUGAUAGUAGAUUACUUUAAUGAACAGUAAGACAUGAUUAUCACUUUAGAAAUAACUAAAGUUCAAAUGAAAAUAAGGUUAAUUAAGUCGAAUUACUCGUUGAUGUUUGGAUUUAUGUUAGCGCAAGGGAAACGUAAUGGGCAUCAGGUGUUUGAAAUUUCUAUGGCCUUGUAAAAAGAAUAGCGGAUUUGAACAUGAAGCAACCCUUCUUUGGUCUAGUGAACCUCUUUGAUAUACAGGUGAGAUCUUCUUCCUCCAGCCCCAUUGGUCCAGUUGGAUCAUUCCCUAAUAUUUGUUAGAGUAUGAGUAGUAAUAGGAGUUGACGAUUGACCAAAAAGGCGAGAAAGGAAAGGCGAGGAGGGGGGACAUGAAUUGUCCUUGAGUAAAUAAUAUCUAUGCUCUAUGUAAAGGUAGAGAAAGCUUUUGUUGUAAAUAUAUAAAGGGGGAGAGGGCUUUUGGUAUAAAUAAAAUUUUGUCAUUUUAUAUUAUUUUUUAACUACCCUUGCUAGCUACCCAAUGUAAUCAACUAUCGAUUAUGGUUAUGGAUUACUGCUAAAUAACUAUCUAUUUGUACACUUAUUUUCGUGAAUUUUCCAAUACCCAUUGUCAAAAAUAUAAAACCAAUUCCUUUAAAAAUGAUUUCAACAAAUUUACUCAAAAUUUUAAUAAUAUGUUUUUUAUUAGGUGUACACACAUUGGUGUGUGCCCUAAAUAUUAGUAGUUUAAUUAAUACUUGUUCAUGUAAAGUGAUAUAAUUGGAAGGGCAGUUUGUUUUUAUGCUAAUCUGGUCAAAUUAAGUUUCGAGAGUGAAACUUAGGUGGGUAGAAUUAAUGUAAUACCUGAAAAUCAUUAGUGGGUAAUUCAUAAGAGUUGUUGGCAGAAAAGCUAGAAUGUAUAUUAGAAAUUAAACAACUAAAUCAAUUAUUAGCAUAAACAAGUAUAGAAUUCUUCUAAAGUGUUUAAAUCUAUUGACGCAAAAAUUAGAUCAGUAAGCAAGAUAAACAACCUAUAAAUUGCUCGCUAUAAAAUAUUUAAUGCAUUCUAAUGCAAACAGAAAAAUAAUUAUUUCACAUCCUAUCAUCCUUAUAAUCGGUUGUAAAUAAAAAACAAUAAGAUUCUCAUAGUAUGGAAUGCAAAGAAACAUAGGAAAAUGCAAUGUAAAUAUGAAGAAUAGAGGAGAAUUAUUAGAAAUCAAACUUUUGAGAGAGUAAAAAUAAUUGCCAAUAGAAAGAGAGAAUCUAGAGAAAGCAACUAAGGUUUUGGUACCUAGUUUUUAAGAUAAAAAGUUCCAAAAGUUAAGGAAUGGAAAUUUCUGGUCUUCAAUCACGUAAUAGUUUAUUGGGAAAAUUUCCUUUGCGAGAUACUGAUUUGAUGCUAGAAUCAUCUACUGCUUUUGGUGCGUUAUUCCUUUGUUGAUAUAACUUAUUGAGCUUCUUUGUCUUGAAAAAAAAAAAGAAAGAAAACUAGUAAGCUAUCAUUUUCUUAUUGAAUAAGAAUCGGUCAAGUUGGGACGCAUAAAACAAAUCUUUAUUACAAAUUACCAUAGUUUUGCAAAUUCUCAAGGAGAGUAUGCUACUGUGUGAUAUGAAAAACAGAAUAAAUGUGCUUUUACAGGGUAUUACUUAAUGGAAAUUCCUCCUCAGCUGAUUAGCCUUCAAUGCAAUCAUUACGCAAAUUUUGUCAUAGACAUUUUCCAGAAACCUGAAGUAUGCAUAGCGCCAUGACUUGUUGAACUGAAGUAUUCCCAAAACUCCCAAUAGCCCGACAGCAUAACGCGGUUCUAUACCAGCAUAAAACCAAGACCAAUUAGACUCGUGUGGCCUAUAUCAUCAUGAAUAUGCCCAUUUUCCAUAGGCAAUUUAUGUUCCAGGCAAUCAUUUGGGAGUGGCUUGCCACAGAGUCCAAUGUUUCCUUCAUAGAUAGAUGGAUCGGUUCAGGUCUGAAUUUGAUUCCCUGAUGGUAUUGGCCCUGAUAGCUUAUUGUGUGACAAAUUCAGGAAGUUCAACUAGUUUAAAGCAGAUAAGCUUUCAGGGAUUGCACCGAAGAGUUCAUUCAUUGAUAGGUCAGUUCCUGGUUCACUUGAUACCAUCAUUGAGAAGUUGAUAAAACAAUGAGGAAUAGAUCCUGUUAAAUUAUUAUUCGCUAGGUUCAGCACGAAGACUUGAGAGUAGGCAGAGCUCAUCAGAAAUGACUCCAUGGAAGUUAUUUGACUGAAAUCUUAGAAACUUUAAAUUUGAUAACCUUUCCCCAAUCCAUGUUGGUAUAAUAUCUGUUAGUCCAUUGUCACCGAGAUCAAGAAUUUGUAAAUUUAUCAGGCGCUGCAUUGAGGAUGAGAGCUUCCCAACGAAUUUAUUUAGAUUCAAAUGCAGAAUCCAAAGUUGCCCCAAGUUGCCCAGUGAACUCGGAAUUUGACCGCAUAGACUAUUAUUUGCCAAGUUUAGGACCCGCAGGUCUGGCAAAUUUCCCAAACACAGAGGAACUCUUCCGGAUAGAAAAUUGUUGGACAGAUCCAGAUAAUUUAAAUUUUCCAACUUGCACAAGUCUUCCGAGAUACUGCUUGUGAAAUGAUUAUCACAGAGUAAGAGAAAACGAGUAGAUGCAACAGUUUGACCAACAUCAGGCAAUGGAAUAUGUCCGGUAAGAAAAUUUUGUGAAAGAUAUAAUUCAUAAAUAUAAGACGGAAACGAUUUGAGAGAUCCAUCCAAUUUGUUGGACUUUAGAACUAUGCUUGGAGAAUUACCAUCGGAGGACUCUUCUUCAUUUGUUUGAACUCCAACGGAUUCCAAGUUAGGUUGUUGUUGGAGAAAUCUACAAUAUAAAUUUCAUAACAAAGCACUCCAAACCAGUUGGGUAUGCUAUCAGAAAUGCCUGCAUUCUGCAUCUCUAAACUUUGAACCUCCUUUUGCGUUCGAAGCCAAACUGGAAAUAGGGGUCCUACUUUGAUGGAUGACAUCAUAAUUUCUCGGAGUUGAAAAGGAGGAACCCACCAGGAGCUCACAUUCAGAGUGAAUAAGUUUUCAGAUAGGUUCAAUGACUUUAGCUCUCCGAGUUUUGCAAAAUGGUCUUCAGAUAAUACACCAGUUAAUGAGUUGGAAGAAAUAUCCAAUACUUGCAACUUCGAAAGUUGGCCUAUUUCACUCGGUAUCGACCCUUGCAUAUCAUUAAAACUCAGAUCCAAAUAAUUAAGACUGCUCACAUUGCAAAGUGACAUCAACGUUGAUGCAUCAAAGCGGUUUUCCCCUAGAUCGAGAUAAACUAGAGAGGUCAUUUGUUCGGAUAGGCCAUGAAUUGGAUCGGAAAGAUGAUUAGAGCUAAGACCAAGAUUAUGGAGACCAGUAAGAUUAUGGAGCCAAGGAGGGAUCGUGUAGUUGUUGAAAUUACUUUCACCGAGUUCAUGGGAAGAAAGAGAUGUGAAAUUGACCUAUGAAAGAUGAGGAUUGAUGAAAAGUCCACAACCAGACAAUUCGAAGCUUGUUAGUGAAGGAAACAUGUUAAUUGUCUGUAAACCAUCUUUAGCGGCACCGAGAUUCACCUCAGACAGGAUUAGGCCUUCUAAAGAAGAAAGCCCAACAAUCCAGUCGAGAUCCUUCGUUGUCAAUCGAUUCCAUGUUAAGGAGGGAGUUACACCUCCAAGUUCUAAAUGCCGUAAACAUGAGAGAUUUCCUAGAUGGCGGGGAAUUUCACCGUCAAACACUGCAUUUGCAAGAUUUAAGUAUCUCAAAUUUUUCAACAAUCCAAGGAAUGUGGGAACUUGGAUUCCUGAAAAAUUAUUCUUGCUCAAGUCCAGGUAUCGCAAAUUGGUCAAAUUGACCAAAAAUGGACUUAAUUGGCCUCCCAAGCAAUUUUUGCAAUAAGUAAAUACAUUAUUUGAGUGUAACGGCUUCGCAUUUUGUAGAUCAAGUUUCACCACAUGACCAGUGUUUUUGUGACAACCAAUACCUUCCCAUGAACAGCAGUCCUCUCCUAUCCAAGAUGAUAGAUGAUUCGAUUCAUCUAUCAACCCAUUUCUGAAUUGAAGAAAAGCUUGUCGUUCACUCUCGAUACAGGAGACAUUUGAAUGAGUAUAAGCUUGUUUGCUGCGGCCAAACGGAAAAUGGCUGGUGACGAGAAUAGAACUGAAUAAGAACAUUACUAGUAGUAAAGACAAAGAAGUGCCAAGAAGAUGAUGCUCCAUUGGAUUGCUUUUGAUAGUGAACUAUAUGAUAAAGUAUGCUCAAAGAAGCAGCUCAUUUAUACAAGUUUAAAAGCAUCACUUUCACCGUUCUGUGUUUGAAGAAACUAUGUGAUGACCGGAAGUCUUGGUGGAAAAGUUGAGCCAGUAAAUGAUCAAGUAUUUAACUAUCUACAAUACGUGUUUGGAUUGUAAAAAAUUACACUUUAUUUAUACCUUAUUUACACACACUGAUUUGUUUGUAUCAUCAACAUAUUUUUCAAUCACCUUUUUAUCUCACAUACAUCAUAUCAAAAAAGUGUUACAGUACUUUUUCCACAAAAUUAUCUUUCAACAGCGCAAAGAAACACACGCACACAGAAUCUAAGGUAAUUCCACCAGUUUACCCAAAAGGCAAUUGCUAACUUCUGGGUAAACUCACGGACCUUAAAUCCUACACACACACACACCUCUCAUAACUGAUGUGGGAACAAGGAGUUGGGGGAAAGGGAACGCAGGAAGUUUAAGAGCCUUGACUAAGAACCCAUACUCACACUGACACUCCUCUCCUGUUUUCCUUUUUCUUUCAACAGCGCAAAUAAACACACACACACAGAAUCUAAGGUAAUUCCACCAGUUUACCUCAAUAAGAUGCAAAAGAACCUUUUUACUUUUCUUGUGAUUAAACAACCUCAAGAGGCUAGCUAACGAUCUUUUUAGGGUUUAGGGUUUAGGGUUUAGGGUUUAGGGUCACGCACACAAAAUUAUCUCAAUAAGAUGCAAAAGAACCUUUUUACUUUUCUUGUGAUUAAACAACCUCAAGAGGCUAGCUAACGAUAUUCUUUUUUAAUGGGUAUGGACCAUGGAGUUGGUGAGGCAUUAUUUGAUUGGGACCCACAAACGAUCGAAAAAAGAUUGAAUUGGAAAUAUAAUCACAGAUGGGUGAUAGGAACUGGAAAGAUAGAUUAUGGGAGUCCAAAGACUAGCAUGAAAUUAAAAAUGGAGUAGGCUAGAUAGACAAGCUAAUCUUGACUUGAGCUGAUAAGACAAUGCUUUAGUAACAAUAGUUAUGGUAACGAAAUAGUUUUUACCUAAUAUAACAUAUUGUUGCACUUUUAGCGACCAUUUAAUUAUUUAUUGGACCUAUCCACCUAAAUAGGAUAUCACCUAAAAAUAUGGAAGUAAGUUUCCCAUCUAAAAUAGUAAGUUAACAUUAAUAGAUUAGUAAUUUUUAUACCUCAAAAGGUAAAUUGGAAUAAGUAUUAAACUUACUUUUUAAAUAAAUAAAUUAUUACUUUAUAUCCCAAACUUACUUUUUAGAGAGUAAGUUUAGUUCAACUAACAAUAAGUUUUUAUACAUAAUAGUAAUUUUUACUAAUAACAUGGUAAAUUUGAUUAAUGAUCAAAACUUACUGAUUUUUGGAAUACAUGUACAAUUUUACAUUAAAAACUUAUCUCAAACUAGUAUUAGGAAGUUUAUUUGAAAUAAUGAUAAAAUGUUUUAUUAAUGAUUAAAACUUAGUACCUUAGUUAUUAAGUACUCGUAAUAUACUUGUAUAAUAAAUGAUUAUAUGUAUAAUUUAAAUUUUUUUUGUAUUUAUAUAUUUUAAAAUACUAUGAAAAGUUGUUUCAUUUUUUAGAUAACCUUGUAAAAUAUAUAAUAAAAUUUUGUCAUAUUAUAAGUUUUUAAUCAUUUUCAAUUUUUGAUUUUUGAAAAGUUUAAAAGUUUGGAUAACAAUAACAACAAAUCUUCCUAGUUAAAUAUAGAAUAUCACUUGUUUGUAUAUCACAAUUUUUAUAAUUUAACACCUAUGAAUAUAAUAAGAUGAUAAAGUUUUAAAAAAUUUACAUCUGGGACACAAGAAUUAAUAAGAGUUAAAGCCCAAACAAAAUGUGGGCUUUCGGAGGAUGUAUUGCGUGCCUUUGGGUGCAAGAUGUGGUGGAAACUGCGGUCCGGAUCUUCCCUCUGGGCCCGUUUCAUGCUUGCCAAAUACGCACCAGGUACCCGUCACAUCAUUGAGGCUCCACUGAGACCCACAAGCUCGCGAAUAUGGAGACGGCUGGUCGCCUGUCGAGACCUCAUGGAAUUGCUUCUCCGAGAGGGUACCGCGUCAUUCUAUUUUGACAACUGGUUAGAGACAGGCCCCAUCACAGAAGGGAAGGGACCCAUCCCGUUGCCUAACGUCAAAGUUGGGGACCUUUUCGAUGGAACAACAUGGCACCUAGUCCAGGUGCGCGAAGCGCUGACAGGUGACGAGCAAACUCGAAUUCUUGGAUCACAAAUUCAGCUCUCUGAGGGGCGAGACACGUGGGUCUGGACACCUACCACAGAUGGUAGGUUCGGGGUGCACUCGGCUCUGAAAAUGCUUCGAACGCCUUCCAACAAUUUGAUCUCGCGAAAAUUAAUCUGGGAUCGACGUAUCCCCCUCAAGGUCUCGGUCUUCAUGUGGAGACUCCUCAACGGCUGGCUUCCCUUUCCGGAUAAACUACAGCAAUUUGGCCUUCAUCUGCCUUCCAAAUGCUCCUUUUGCUUAAAUUCAGAGACCCUACAACACUGUUUUGUCCACUGUCGCACCGCUAAACAGGUUUGGGAUCAUUUUGAGUGCGCACUAGGACUCAGGAGUGUGGCGGACUCACUUCUGGAAAAGUUGCAAGGGUGGUGGAUCCAUGCUUCGGGGACCUCACUGAGGGCAGUCCUAUCCCAUCUCCUACCAAUCCUGAUUUGUUGGGAACUCUGGAAGGCCAGGAAUCAGGCGAUUUUCAACAGUAUAACAGUACGGCCGACCCAUAUUUGCCGCCAAGUUGUCUGCCUCCUCAGCGGUAUUAGAGAGGCCCACCCCCUGGCCUUGCCAAAUUCGGAGAACGAUGCCUGGAGCCGGUUGGGGUUACUUCCGUCUCCUGUACGGCCGCCGCCGCUAAAAUGGAUUUCCUUGGUUUGGUCCUUACCCUCAUUCCCCUACAGCAAAUUGAAUGUUGACGGAUCAUCUCUUGGAAACCCUGGGCACUCGGGUGGGGGUGGCAUAGUCAGAGAUCAUCAUGGCCAGGUACAGGGCAUAUUCUCCACCUACUACGGUUACUGCACGAAUAUGGAAGCGGAAACCAGGGCCCUCCUGGAAGGACUCCAAUUUUGCCUCUCCCUCGGCCUGGUUAGAGUGAUUGUGCACAUGGAUGCGGAACAGCUUCUUAAGGUGGUGCUGCGAGGUGCCUCUACGCCUUGGAAGCUAGAUACUCCCAUUUGCCGUAUACACCACCUAUUGGCCCAAGCGGAUUUCAUACUAGAGCACAGCUACAGGGAGACAAACUCAGUAGCAGAUGCACUUGCUAAGCGGGCAGCAACCACACGCCAGUCGGAGACCUACGGUUCCGCCACCCUCCCAACGCACGUUCGGGGGCUCACCAAGUUGGAUGCAUGCCAAUACCCUUAUCUUCGUCGGGUGCCCAGAGUUAGCCGCCUAGUCUGCUAGGAUAAGAAUCGUGCAAACACAUGUGUAAGCGCAAGCGCCUUUCAUGUACUUCUACCGCUUUACAUCAAUAAAACCAGGGGUUUAAAAAAAAAAAACCCCAAACAAAAUGAGAAAUAGUAUAACAAUAAAAAUGACAAAAUUAGUAUAACAGUUAAUAUAAGAAAAUCAGUAUGAUCUGGAUUUUUUUCCUUGGGAGAUUGUUCAUAAAAAAAAAGAUCCAACAAUUAAAUGAAAAUCACUUGCACAUAUAAUCUAUUGUAUAAUUUAAAUUAAAUUUAGUUCACGUAUAAAAUGGUUCUAAAAUAAUUAGCGCACUAUAAUAUUAAUCCGUUUCAAUUAACUAUUUUUAGAAGUGUUUUUGAAAAAUUUUACUGUAGCAGUGUAUAUGAAAAACUUUUACUAUAAAAAUUUUUUGAAAAUUUUGAUAUGUUGUAUGGAUAAGAUGUUUUUUGAGUUAUUGUAUAUUACCAUAACAUUGUAUUUGAAAAAAUUGUUUUUAAAAAAAUAGCCAAUCCAAAUGGAACAACAAAAAAUUUUUUUACUCAAAGUCUCAAAUAUCCAUGACAUACAUAUGAAGGAUAUUUUACCAUAUUUGUAUCUAACUGUAAGCACAAAUUUCGUUGCUGAAAAUAAAAGGACAUGAAAACUUGCACAAAUAUCAAAUUUAUUAAAUCAAAUAAUAAGAGAGUUACAAUCUCUAAAAAUUCUUUUUCUUUUGAUAAUUACAAUCUCUAAAAAUUCUUAAAUCAGAGAAAUUAAUCCCCUAAUUCUUUUCUUCAAAAGCACUCCUAAUUAAAGCAUAAUAAAAUCAAGUUUUUUUUAACUUUUUAAUGCAGUAGUUAUGUUUACUAAAAAAUUAGUAAACCAUUCCUACAAUGCAUUGUUUCUACUAAAAGUACUAAUAUUUUGUAAAUAAAUUGAAAUAAUUUUGUAAAACAUUUUAUGCAUUUUCACUAAUAUAAUCAAGAGAAUUUUGCACUUUUAAAAUAUAAAUAGGAAGAAAAGAAAAUGGUAUGAGUAUAAAGGUGACCAAAUGCAAUAUACAUCACAUCAUGUGUUUAGAUAUAAUUUGUUAAGUAAUCAGUAAUUUAGUCCUGGUCAAUAUAUGAUGCAUAUUGAUUCCUUGUAAAUAAAAUUAUAAAUUAGCAAUUAUUCAUUAACAGAAUUCAUAGUUUGAAUGCAAUCAAUUGAGCACCUAUUUCCUUUUUUUAAGUAGCUAUUGUUUAUUUUAUUACUUAGGUUAUAUAUUUACAUGUAAAAUAACAACAAUAGCAUGCCAAUCCUCGGACCAACAGAACUUCAAUUAUUGUUAACUAAACUAAUUUUACAUUGAUAAAAAUUAGUCUAGAAAAUGAAAUGUUAAUGGCAACAAUUUGUAAAAAAUAGCAAUCUUUUAAUUUUGGGAAAACAAAAAAUAAGUUCCCAGAAUAUUUCACUUUUAUUUUUAAAAAAAUCUCAACUUGUUAAUUAAAUUCAAAAUGAUUUUAUUAUACAAAAUAUUCUUCCUCAAAUUAACAUCAAUGAUUAGACAUGAGAUACAAAUAUGGGGAAAAAAAGAUAUAAAAAUAUGGUAAAAUAUCUCUCAUACAUAUGUCAUGGAUAUUGGAGACUUUUGGCAAAAAAAAAAUUUUUUUGUUAAAAGUAAUAUGGUAUUGUAGUGUGCUAAUUAUUUUAGGAUCAUUUUGUACAUGAACUAAAUUUAAUUUAAAUUAUACAAUAGAUUAUAUAUGCAUAUGAUUUUUGUUUAGUGGUUGGAUCUUAUAUUCGUGAACAAUCUCCAGAGAAAAAAACUCCAGAUUAUACUAAUUUUGUUAUACUAAUUCUGUUAUUUUUAUUGUUGUGUUAAUUGUUACACUAUUUCUCUCAUUUUGUUAGGUCUAUAUUAAUACAAGUUUAAUUCUUAUUAUUUCUUGUGUCCCAGACAAUAAAUAUAUUAAAACUUUGUCAUCUUAUUAUAUUAAUAGGUUUUAAAUUAUAGAAAAUUCAUAGAUAAGUGAUAUUCCAUAUAUAACUAGGAAGAUGUGUUGUUAUUAUUAUCCAAACUUUUAAACUUUUCAAAAAUUAUUCAAAAUUAUAAUACGGCAAAAUUUUAUUAUUUUAUAAGGUUAUGUGAAAGGUCCAAAUAUUUUUCAUACUAUUUUAAAAUAUAUAAAUACAAAAAAAAUUAAAUUAUACAUAUAAUCAUGUAUUAUACAAGUAUAUUACGAGUACUUACUAACUAAGGUACUAAGAUUUAAUCAUUAAUAAAACAUUUUAUUGUUAUUUCAAAUAAACUUCCUAGUAUUGGUUUGUUAUAAGUUUUUUAAGCCAAAUAGUACAUUUGUGCCAUAAAUUAGUAAGUUUUGGUUAUUAAUCAAAUUUAAUAUGUUAUAAGUAAGAAUUACUAUUUAUGUAUAAAAACUUACUAUUACUUGAACUAAACUUACUCUCUCAAAAGUAUGUUUGGGAUAUAAAAUAGUAAGUUUUAUAUUUAUUCCAAUUUACCUUUUGAGACACAAAAGUUACUAAUUAUUACGGUUAACUUACUAUUUUGGAUGAGAAACUUACUUCCUUAUUUUCAGGCAUUAUCCUAUUUAGGUGGAUAGGUCCAACAGGUAAUCAAAUGGUUACUAAAAGUAUAAUACCCUGUUAUAUCAGGUAAAAACUAUUUAGUUACCAUAACGAUAGUUACUACAACAUUUUCCUAUCUUUAAGAGUCUAGUCAUUCAAUCUGCUGAUAUAGAUUUAGAUGAAAUGAAAUUUAAAUAAGAAGACUAGUAAACAAACAUGAUUAAUUUGCGUAGAAAACUUGACAGUCUGUUGCGUCCGACGACUGCAAGUCCACUGGCCAAUGGAAGUCCCGAUCCGCCGUGGAAAAUCAAGAUAUUCUUCUGGAAAAAAAUCUCCUUGGAGAUUUAUUCUGCACUCAACUAAUGGAAAUGUUCAUUCCUCAGCAGCUGGUUGUAAAAUUCAUUUGCUGAUUCACAUUAUCACACGAAUUCAACGCUGUCAUUUGUAAUUUAAAUUAAUUACGAUUAAUCUUUUAUAAACUGAUAAUAUAGAGGAUAAUGGAGUUUAAUGAUUGUUGCAUUUGCAAAACUUAGAUUUUAAAUUCAAAUUCUUAUCGGUUAUCAUGCAUCCAAUCUUGAUAGUAUCCAUUAAUAAUGUGCAAAAGAUUCUUUACUAUAAAAAUGCUUGACAAAAAAUCACAAAACCAAUUGAAAAAUAUAGUUAUUCACUAUAUUUUUAAUUUUUAACUAUUUCAAUACCAUGAAUGACAAAUCAAUUAAUUUGGAAGGGAAAAAAAAGUUUUGCAAGUAGUUCAUUUAGUAGUUUAACUUUUUUUUUUAAUCUAAAGUAUCCUUAAUCUCCAAUCUUUGAUUUCAUCCAUUUAGCCCUUUUAUUUUUUUCUCUUACCAAAGCUGCUCUUGUCUUACUUCCUUCAGUGGCAUUAAAGGGCGUGAACAAAAUUUUAACUGUUCUUGUUAAAACAGAAACUGACCUUUACUUUCUUCCAAUUUAUGUUUAUUUGUUAGAUAUGUUUACUCUUUUCCCUUUUUUUCUAACUUUCUUAAACACUCCCUCCCCCCCCCCCACCCAACACCCCUCCCCACCAAAACAACUUCUACUGUUUCAUUUUUUUUAUGUAUAUAAGUGCUAGCUUUUCUGUUUCGUGGAUUAUAUUGUUAAUUUCCCUCAUCAGACAGUCAACCAACCUUGGAUGAAUGAUAAGUAAUGUAAAUUUUAAUUUAAAAUUUAAAUUUUUAUUAUAUAUCAUGCAUCCAACGACGAUGAUAUAUACACUAUCAAUUUUACUCUUAACGAUUUAAUUGACUAUGAUAUGGUAAAAGGCAUUUGCUUAAGAUGUACAAAGCAACAGUGGUAAGCUAUGAUUAAACAAAGCUGAAGGGGCUAAUUAACGAUAUUGCUAAUCUUGACUUCAACGGGAAUGGAUUAUGGUGACUUCAACUUUGUAUGGAUGGGAAUGAUAGAAUUUAUCCAAUGGGAUUCUGAAAAAUAGGACGAAACUAAUCAGAAUUUGAGACGAGGGGCUUAUAAUUGCAAUGACAAGUUAAUUCUGAUUUAUGAAUUAAUUGGACAUUUAUGCUGUAGGUUUUCCCCGUUGGAAAGAGACUUGUAACAGGAAGGCGACAAGUAUCGCAUUGGCAAUCAUAAUAUUGAUGACUUAUUUACUGAUUUACGUUGCUACAUAAAUAAGUUUUGAUCCUCUCUUUUGCAGUUUAAUUAACAUGGGAGUUCCCUGCAAGAAAUCACCAAAUAAAUUGAAUAUUUUACGGAUUUUCUAAGCUCUAUUUUUUUUUUUUUAAUUAAGAAUGGAGUUACACCUCCAAGUUCUAAAUGCUGUAAACAUGAGAGAUUUCCUGGAUGGCCUAGAAUUUCACCAUCAAACACUGCAUUUGCGAGAUUUAAGUAUCUCAAGUUUUUCAACAAUCCAAGGAACGUGGGAACUUGGAUUCCUGAAAAAUUAUUCCAGCUUCAAUUCAGGUGUCGCAAAUUGGUUAAAUUGACCAAAAAUGGACUUAAUUGGCCUCCCAAGCAAUUUUUGCAGUAAAUAAAUAUAUCAUUUGAACGUAACGGGCUCGCAUUGUGUAGAUCAAGUUUCACCAGACGGUCAGUGGUUUGAUGGUAACCAAUGCCUUCCCAUGAACAACAGUUCUCUCCUAUCCAAGAUGACAGACGAUUUGAUCUGAAUUGAAGAAGAGCUUGUCGUUCACUCUCAAUACAAGAGAAAUUUGAAUAAUUAUAAGCUUGUUUGCUGCUCCCAAACGAGAACUGGCUGGUGACAAGAAUAGAACUGAAUAACAACAGUAUUAGCACAGACGAAGGAGUACAAAGAAGAUGAUGCUCCAUUGGAUUUCUUUUGAUAUUGGUUUAUUUGACAAAGUAUGGUUAGAUUAGCGGUUUCAUUUAUACACCUUUAAAAGCAUCAUUUCACCAUUCUGCGUUUGAAGAACUACAUGAAAGUGAUAAAAUGCCGACGACCGGAAAGUCUUCAUGGAAAAGUCGAGCCAGUGAAGAUUAAGUGUUUAACUGACUACGAUACAGGAAUUAAGAUGCAAAAUUAACAAUAUUCUUCUACUUUUCUUAUCUUCAGCUCUUUUAAUAGUUGGCGAGGCAUUUGCAUUUUAAUCUAAGCUCAUUCUGACGGCUUAAUCCGGUGCAUUAUUUGAUUGGGACCCAUAAACGAUCCAAAAGGGAUUGAAUUGGAAAUAUACUCACAGAUUGGUGAUAUGAACUGGAAAAAAUAGAUAAUGGGAUUCCGAAGACUAGCAUGAAAUCAAUAAUUUGAGGUGAGUAGCUUUUGUUUUACAAGUUAAUUCUGGUUUAUGUUUGCAUUCGCAUAUUCGUUUCCGAUUUGUCAUCGAACGCGCAACAAAAUACACUAUGCUUAGGAGAAAAAAUGAUAAAGGGUUAUUGGAAGACAGAAUUAACUCUGACAAAAAAAAUUUUUCUAACGUGGUGGUUAGAUAGGCAAGCUAAUAAUUUCUUGACUUAAGCUGAUAAUAUCUUGAUUCUGGUCAUUCAAUCUGCCGAUCUAGAUUAAGAUGAUGACGCGACAUUUAGUCGUGCAGAAACUUGACAACGUGUUGUGUGCGACAACUGCAAGUCCACUAUGAUGGCAUAUUAAAUCAAGGUUCAAAAAUAAAAAUUUUCGUAUUAUUAUUUAGCAAUAUUUUACGUUAAGGUUUUAGCAAUUCUAUUUGAUUUAAAUUAUAGUAGUUUUAUUAUUUAGAAAUUAGUAUUUUAUUAGAAAAUUUCUUGUGAUUGUAAGACUUGUUUACCAAAUUACCUAGUCUAGUCUUAUUAUUAUUACUAUUAGUUGAGAAGAAUGAAAUUUGAGAACCAUAUUAUUAUGUGUAAUUAAUAAUAAAUUAUUGAUUUAUUCCUCUUCCCCUAUGCAUAUUUGUGUGUGUGAAAUUUGCCUCCCCAUCUACAUUGGUUCUAUGAAAUUUGUCACCUAUAACUUUCCAUUGGAAUUUUUUCGGGUCCUACGCACUGGACAAUGACCCGCCGUGGAAAAUCAAGAUAUUCUUUGUGGAGACAUAUUCUGCAUUCAACUAAUGGAAAUGUUCAUUUCUUAGCAGCAGCUGGUCGUAAAAUUGAUUUGCUGAUUCACGUUAUCCUACAACUUCAACCCUCCCGUUUGCAAUUUCAAUUAGGAUUAAUCUUUUGUACCAUAAUAGUGUAUAUGUUAACGGGAGUUUGAUGCAUACUAUAUAUGCAAAAUAUUUAUAUUUCGAACUCAAAUUCAUAUCAAUGGUCAUGUAUCCGACCUUGAUGGUAUGUAUCGUCAGUAUAUAGAAAAAUAAAUUAAUGUAAGAAUAUUUGACGGAAAAUCAGCAAACCAAUUGAAAAUUUCACAAAUGGAAAAGAUGACACUUUAUACCUCUAACUUAUGGGGUUACACCAUUUUUGCCUUUAAAGUUUUAUGAAAAUACAUUUAGUCCCAAUAAUUUUAAUUUUUAACUAUUUCAAUACUAUUAACGACAAAUCAUUUAACCUGGAAGGACAAAAAAAUUUUGCAAGUAGUUCAUUUAGUCCUUUAAAUGAACCCCUUUUUUUUCUAAAGCAUCUUUAAUCUCCAAUCUUUUAUUUUAUUCAUGUAGACCUUUUAUUUUUAAUUCUUAGGCUUGGAUGGUUUAAGGAUUGCAGCAAAUAAUAUGCAUCAGUAAAAUUCUUUUAUUUAAUAUAAAUGCUAGAUUUUCUGUUAGUGGUUUAUAUUGUUAAUUUCCCUCGUCAGUCUAGCAAGCAAAUGGUUUAACUAUUUAAUUGACUGCGAUAUAGCAACUGGUAUCUGCUUAAGAUGUAAUGAUUAAACAAAAGUUUGUACAGACUUUGAUUUUUCUUUUUUUAUGUACUUGUUCCUUAUUAAAAUUUGAUCAUUCAAAAGUUUACAUCGUUGAAUAAGAUAUUUGAGCAUUCAGAAAGCAUUUAUACAUAAAGUGAGUUACAUGUAGUGUGGCAAACACCUUAAUUGGAUGACCUCUAUUAGUUUCUCCCAAAGGAGAUGUAUCAUGUAUGUAUGAAACUCCUUUUUCUUUUUUGACUUUUUCCAGCUAAUCCAAAUUUCUCUCUCCAAUGAAGACGUUCUUUGACAUUAAUGUGACAUCAAAAAGUGUUGCCUUCAAGAAAAAAGAAUAGAUCAAAAUUCCAUGUGACGUUAAAUUCAAAAUUCCAUGUAUGAUUGAUGUACAAAAUUCCAAACGAUGGAUUAAUUGUAUACACGUAGUCUGGAAAAUGUUUCCAAUUGGAUGGAGAUUCUCUGCAAUUGCAUCAUACAAUUCAUUUAAUUCAACGAAAUUAAUUAUAAGACUUUGAAAAGUUUACGAGUAAAUGGACACCGUUUUGAUGGAUGCAUGCAUAGCUUCAAAAAUUGACUUCAGCUGAUGUUAUCUUGUCAUCCAAUCUGCAUCUCAAAUUUAUAUGUGGAGGUGUGGUGAAAAUUAAACAAGAAGAACAUAAUUGUACUAGUUCUUAACCAUCACCUUCAGCGGGAGUACAAAUAAUCUGUUGAAAGAUUCUGUAAAUUUCAAAAUUACUUUUGGUAAUUAUAAAAUUAAAGUAAAGAUUUUGUUUUUGAAGAUGCAAAAGAAUUUAGUUUGAAGAUCUAAAAAAUUGUAGUAAACAUUUUGUGCAAUAAAUUUGUAGAAAUAUUGACGGAUAUUGAUGAUUCAUAAACACAAUUUGCAUACAUAGAAUGGCUCAUAUACAAUUCAUUAAAAGUUGCUGUAACUAAGAAAGUGAAAAAAGGAAGAUAAUUAAUUGUUGAAAAAAUGAAUGGAAAAGUAGGAUAUAGAUAAGGAAUUAAUGAAUUACAAGAAAAAAAAAAUUGUCUAAAUUUUAGAAUUAGUAGCUGCUAACAUAUAAUAAUAACAAUAUAAAACAUGAUUGCAAAGAGAUACAUACAUACACUCAUCUAUCCAGAGUUCAACUGUGUAGCGAGGAAUACACUGCUCUAUCGGAGCAUCUGGAUGACAACAACAUCAUCAAUAUCAACUGUGUAGCGAAUCUAUUACGAAUUCAUUUUCCAAAGACUAACUUUUCUGACAUAUUCUGGUUUCAAUGAUGACGAAACUACAAAUACAAAUUAUUGUUUUGGAUUCCACAGACUACAAAAUCGUUCACACAGGGUUGGUGGCUGAUGCUAUUCUUGUUUCAAUAAUGAUGAAACCCGCGGCUCUCUCUAGCACCAGUUUAUAAUCUCAAGUCAAACACUGAAUUGGAAACGUAAUGAAGAUGAACUUUGGGUUUGGUUUGUGAUUUGACCCAACAAUUAGAAAUUAUUACUAUGUAAUAGUAAUGCUAGUGGCAGAAAGAAAGUGGUUCAAAUCCUCUAUCCAAGUUGUCUUUCUACCUCUCUGUUUAAGAUCAGUGUUUUCAGCAUUUUGAAAGGCGUAUUUGGAGCAAGUUUCAGGGCAAGACAUUCUCGAAUUACUCCUGGACAGUUAAACGGGGCGUUAAUAUCAUGGGACACUCGCCCGAAGAAUCGAGGCAAACGCCUGAACGUUUGGGAGAGUUUUUUUUUUUUUUUGAGGCGUAAAAAAUAUAUACAUUUAAAAUCCCAGUACUUUUUUCCUUUUUUUAAAGUUCCAGAAAAACAUCCAAACUGGAUUUUUCCUUCACUUGCCUAAAGAGGUUGAAACCCUCAAACUGAACUUGCGAUUUGUAAGAACUUUUCUUAUAUUAGCCUACAAAUUUAAGUUGGCAAACAUGGAUGUUGGUUUGGAAUUUAAUGAUACAAAGGAGUUGAAAUUUCAAAACUUUGUGCCUCACAUCGAGGAUACUCUGAAAAAAUAGGAGAAAGACACUUGUUUUGAUAGUCAAAACUCACAAGUGUCACAUGCUAGUGCCCUAGAAAAGAGUUUUCACAACUAUAAUCAUUAGUUUGCAAGAUGACAACAAGUUUUUUAUACGAAUAAUCAUCGAAGUUUACAGUGGUUUGUUGGGUUUCUGUUCAUGGGGUGGCAUUAGUUACACAAGUAGGUUUUACUUUAGUCACAUAAGGUUAUAAUUUUUCUUUAUCUUUUUGGGUAUUUUUAAUAUUAUACAUACACACAAGUAGGUAUAUAUAUGUAUGUGUGUGUGUAUGUGUGUAUUUUUAUAUUUUUAAAAUAUUUAAAAAUAAAAAUUUGUGAGGCUUAUAUGCCUCACUAGAACUUUCACCCCAUUUGGACGGACGGACACAGAAUGUCCUGCCCAAGGUUUUCGCCUUUGAAAACUAACGCUAUGUUUGGAUUGCCGGUUUUCGUCGAAAAAUUAUGUCGUUUUUCGUGGUCACAUUUUUCUAUUACCUUUUUCCCUCACAUACAUCAAAUCGCUACAGUAAUUUUUCCAUGAAAAAUCACGGAAAAUGCAAUCCAAACACAACCUAAACUUUGCACAAAGGCAUAGCAAUCGUUCCUUCCUCCACAAUGCACUUUAACUCAAUCCUUGCCAACUACCGAACAUCAUCAUCACCUUCUCCACCAAUCUUAGCUAGUCCCCAUCCCUCCAACAAAUCCCACCCCGAACCUCGCUGACCCAGUUGUCACCACCCUUUCUUUCUUUAGUUAUGCCCAGUCCAUGAUUCUUUAUAUCUACUUUGCUUCCUCCUUGUUUCUCCAUCUUUCUCCUGCUCUUUCUCACUCAGAGGACACACAAACAUAUCUGCAAAGUAUAUCUGCCAGAUAUUUCAACUUUCAACCAACCACCGACAGUUUGUGGGAGUAUUUUAUUGCUAUGAGCCAAAUCGACUUCCCCAUCCCAUAUAUAUAUAUAUAUAUUUUUUUUUUGGGACAAAUCUCUUUGAUGUAAGAUCAUCGAUUUAAUUUUAAUUCCUUUAAUUUAAAAAUGCAUUCCAAAAUAAUACUAAUUAAAGUGGGCUACUUACCCCAAAAAAAAUAUAUUAAAGUGGGCUUCUGGAGGACAAAGAAGAUAAGGAAAAAAAAAAAAGGAAGAAUUCUUAGGCCUGAUGAUGAAGAGGAAGAGAUGAGAGUGGUAGGUUGUUGAAGCACAGCGAUAGUCGUAACACGGCAUCCUUGAAGAUUAGACAGAGAGUUAAAACAAAAUUGAUUUAAAUUUUUUUUUAUCAGACACGAUAAAUCCUAUUCUAUAUUGAAUGAGAGGGAUAAAUCUAAAGAAUUCCAUAAAAAAUCCGAGGAAAAAGUUGAGAGAAAAAUGCAAGUCAUGGAAUUUGAUGCAAAUUAAUUGGUUCAAAAUUGAUUUAAUUAGGCAAAGACAAUUUUUUUUGGCAUCUUCGACAGAGAGCAGCAGCUGGCAGAAUGUAGUGUUUCACGGAAUUAAUGUUCCAAGGACCAUUUUUGGCAUCACGACAAAGAGCAGCUGCCAGAAUUUAGUGUUUCAGGGGAUGUUUAUGGGCGUUCGUUCAGAGAUUAUAAAGUUUUGAGUGACUGAUUCAGAUUGUGAUUCAUAUUCAUAUUCAUGGAGGGGACAGCUAUAAAGCUAUGAAGUCAGUUUUCAUGCAUAGGUACGUACGUGCGUGGCAGCUAAUUCCAUUAUUGUCUAGGGAGGGGCCUGAGUAUUCCAUCACACGCUGAUUCAGCAAAACGACAGGGCGCGAAAUAUUAACCAGGUGAUUUUCGACAAUCGACACCCCCUUCUCUUCUCCCGAUUAAUCCACUCUCCGUCUCAGUGCUGUUUGCUACCACUUUGUAGUGUUUUGUGGGUUUCUCGUGCCGAAAAGUGAAAACCUGAGAACUAGAACGUCCUGGUUUCUUUUCGUUUGGAUUAGCUGUUUUUUAGAAUAUUUUUAAAAAAUUUAUUGUAUCAGAGUUUUUAUAAUAUAUUUUGAAAUAUUUUUAAAAAAUAUUUUAAAAUAUUCAACAGUAUAAAAAUUUUUAGAAUAUAUUUUGAGAUAUUUUUUAAAUAUUAAACAAAAAUUAGAUUACUUUUUAGAAUACCUUUUAGAAUACUUUUUAAAAAUUUUAUAAUAUUUAAAAAAACUAGUUUUUGAAAACAGGUACAUUUUGUUAACUACUAUGUACGUUGAUUAAUAAUUAUUAACUUAUGGAUGACAAGUUCUUGAGGGAUCCACUAUCAGAACUUACUCUUGUUCAGGCAGUUAAGAUAUCCUCUAGUUCACAAGUCCGUACCAAAUUUCAGGCUCUUACCCAAAAACCACCGUUCUUCCGCCGUAAUCAACACCUCAAAAAAGUUUCAGCAAUUGUUUGGAAAGCCAUUUUCCCUCAAAAAUUUUUUACGCUUUUCGUGAUCAUAUUUCUUAAUCAUUUUUUUAUUUUAUAUAUGUCAAAUCGUUACGGUACAUUUUCUUUUACAAAAACUCCAGAAAAUAGCAAUCCAAACAGUAACCGUUAAUGUCCGUUGAACUCCAUUGUUUGUGGAUGCGGCUACUUCCUCCUUUACUCGCCCAAAUGUGGCGCGGGUAUGUGUUGAAGUGGAUUUGUUGAAGUCAUUCCCGUCAAGGGUAUGGGUUGAUAUGGGGGAUGGGAAUGGUUUCUGGCAGGCUCUCAUCCCUGAGAAGCUGCCCAGCUAUUGCGGUCAUUGCUAUCGGCAAGGGCAUGAAGAGGGCCUGUGUCAUGUGAAGCAUCCAGAGCUGCGUCCUUCCAAAGCGCAGCUUAAGCCAAAAACGUUUGCGGUGUCGGAGGUGUUGGGGACGGAGGGUCGGCUGUCAUCUCCUCGCAAGGGGCACAGUCGGGAUGGUGUGGUUGUUGUUGGGGUAGAGGGAGAUGCCGUGCAGCCUGAGGUUGGGGGGCAAGGUCUGGAGGGUGCUGGUCUUGAUACGGUGAUGCUGCAGAGUGUUGCUGCUACUGAAUGUCUGGAGGUGGAGCGCUCGGAUGCGUCGCGGCCUGCUGAGGUUGGGACGCUACCAGGAGAAGUGCGGGAUGGUGAUGGUUUUCUUCAGCAGUAUGGUCUGUCUGCUGCGGCGCUGGUGGAGGGGGUAGUUGAGGCGGCUGCGGAUUCUAUCAUUCACACGCUGGCAGACCAAGUGAUUCAGGAACCUGAGGAGGUGUUUGAGGAGGCGGACACGGCAGCUUUGGGCUGUGAGAAUGGGGGUCUAGCGGCUCCAAUUCUGGUGGACCAGGUUUGGGUGGAGGUGGGGGAUCAACAGGGAGCUAUGGUCGCGAAUCUCAACUUGUCUCCUCGUAAGGCCAGUGUGGAAACGGGUUCGGCCUUGGGGGUUUCGCAGCAGGGGUUGGAGGGGUUGAGGGAUUCUGGAAACUGGCAUAUGGUAGUGAGUCGUCGUGACAGGAAGAAGGGUGGUUCGCCCCCUCCUUAUUUUCUAAGACCGCAGUCAUGAUUAAAGCCCUCUUCUGGAAUGUUAGGGGCGUGGAUAAUGCCCUUACCAUAGCUCGGUUGAGGAAGUUGAAGCAGAUGCAUAAGAUCUCUUUGUUAGCUUUGUGCGAACCGAAGGUGGGUCGCGUGCGUCUUGAUAUUAUUCGUCAAAAGUUAGGUUUCCCCAAGGCUGUCUCUAAUGCAGAGAGUAGGUUGUGGGUGAUGUUUGACCAUGAUUUCAGUUGCGACUUGUUGGCUGCCUCGUCUCAGUUUUUGGAGCUGCGGGUGACUCACUCCGCCUUACGGAGUUCCUUUGUUGCGGUUUUUGUUCAUGCCUCGUGUGUUACCCAAGAGCGUGAGGUGCUCUGGCAUCAGUUGGUGGGGGUCUGCCCACCAGGGGGACCGGUGAUAGUUCUAGGAGAUUUCAAUGUUAUUACUGGUGCCAAUGAAAAGAAAGGGGGGCGUCCUUUUUGUGCGAGGGAGUCGGACUCCUUCCUAGGCUUUAUUGAGGAUGCUGAUUUGGCAGACUUGGGGUUCACUGGAUCCCAGUUUACGUGGUGUAACAAUCGUUGGGGCAAAGCCAGGGUUUGGAAGCGCUUAGACAGGGUUUUCGUUAACCAGGAGUGGUUGAACCUAGCGGUCACCACGUCGGUUGCCCAUUUGAGUAGGGUUGCUUCAGAUCACUCUCCUUUGUUAGUCUCUUGCUCAAUGGCGAGGGGUGGGGUCCCUACCAGUUUUCGAUUCCUUGAUGUUUGGAGGUCGCAUCCUGAGUUCCAGAGUGUGGUUAGGCAGGCAUGGGAGGGGCAGGGUGAGGGGCGGCCGAUUAAAGUCCUACUCAGGAAGCUAAAAGCGGUAAAGCAGGCAUUGCGCAGAUGGAAUAAAGAGGUUUUUGGGAAUAUAUUUGAUUGUGUGAGGGAGCAUGAGGCUAAGGUCUCGGCUCUGGAAUGCUCUUUAGAGGAGGGUCCAUCGGAGGAAGGGCUAUAUCAGCUGGUACAGGCUCAGGGUGAACUCAAGCAAUCGUUGCUUACGGAGGCGGGCUUUUGGCGUCAGAAGGCAUGCUUGCGGUGGCUUCGGGAGGGGGAUGCCAAUUCUAAUUUUUUCCAUGCACAGGUGAAGCAGCGGAGGGCUCGCUCGUUUAUACAUCGGGUGAAAGAUGGUGACGGGGUUUGGACGGAGGAGGCCGGCCGGAUUGAGGAUUUGGCGGUUGCUUUCUUUGAGGGCAUUCUGUCACAGCCUGACCGGGGGCAGGUGGACCCCUCUCUACUAAGGGUGAUCCCGUCGAUUAUUACUGAACAGGAUAAUGCGAGUCUCCAACGGUUCCCCACAGAGGAGGAAAUCAGGUCAGUCGUUUUCCAGCUGGAUGGUGAGAGUAGUUCGGGUCCAGAUGGCUUCAAGGGGACUUUUUUCACGACUUGUUGGGAGAUAGUGAAGGUGGAUAUUGUCAGGGCGGUUGGUGAUUUUUUUGCAGGAGCGGAGCUAUCCUGGGGCUAUACGUCUACAUGGUUGGCUUUGAUUCCCAAGGUUCCCGGGGCUUCCUCUUUCUCAGAGUUUCGCCCGAUUAGCUUGUGCAAUUUUAUCAAUAAAAUCAUUUCCAAGCUGUUAGCGAGGCGCUUGGAAAGCGUGCUGCCAAAGAUAAUUUCGCCGCAACAGAGUGGCUUUGUAAAGGGUCGGCAAAUCUCGGAUAAUAUUUUGCUGGCCUUAGAGAUGUGCUCGGCGUUAGGGAAGAAGGUGCGGGGAUCUAAUGUUGCUCUCAAACUAGACAUGGCCAAGGCGUAUGAUCGGGUAUCUUGGAAUUUCCUCAUCCAAGUUAUGAGACGGUUUGGAUUUGGGGAGCAAUGGCUUGACAUGGUUUGGAGGCUGAUCUCGUCGUGUCAUUUUUCGGUUUUGGUUAAUGGGAAGCCUUGCGGAUUCUUCCAAUCCUCUCGUGGGUUGCGUCAAGGGGACCCUUUAUCCCCGGCCCUAUUUAUUAUUGCAGCGGAGGUUUUGUCUAGGCGCUUGAAUGAGCUACCUCAAGACUCGAGGUUUGUCCCAUUCUUGGUGUCGCGGGACUCUCCGCCGCUGACACAUCUGGCCUAUGCUGAUGACGUCAUCGUUUUCUGCAAUGGUGGAAAGCGGUCCUUGGAGUGUGUCAGGGAGGUGCUACAGGGUUAUCAGGAGGUGUCAGGGCAGCUGGUGAACGUGGCGAAGAGCUGUUUUUUGGUUGGCAAGAAGACUUCGGUGGCUCGCAGGAAGAUAAUUGCUCACGUCACUGGUUUCUGUCCUAGAUCUUUACCGGUCACGUACUUGGGAUGCCCGUUGUUUGAGGGGAGACGAGUGAAAGCCUUAUUUUCUGACUUGCUGACUAAAGUUUCCCAACGGAUUGCCUCCUGGCAUGGUCGGUGGUUAUCUAUGAGUGCUCGGGCCCUAUUGAUUAAGCAUGUAUUGUCGUCCAUGCCUAUUCAUCUUCUUGCGGUGAUAGAGCCCCCAAAGGGGUGGAUUUCUGAUCUGGAGCAGGUUUUGGCGAGGUUCUUUUGGGGUGAGACGGAGUUUGGAGCGAAGCGGCACUGGUCGAAGUGGGAGAAUUUAUGUUUUCCGGUGGAGGAAGGAGGGGUUGGUUUUCGGUCUCUUCAGGCGAUUGUGGAGGCUUUCUCCUGUAAGCUUUGGUGGAUGUUUAGACAUGGGCAAUCUCUCUGGGCGCGGUUCAUGAGGGCUAGAUAUUUCGGGCCUCUGCAUCCAAAUCAAGGUCCGUUUCCUGUCCAAUUGUCUGCUACGUGUAAACGUAUGCUUAGCGCCCGUACAACCAUGGAGCAUUGGUUGUUGUGGGAUCUCUCGAGAGGGGAGGUGGUUUUCUGGUGGGAUAACUGGAGUGGGCUAGGCCCAUUGGCGUGGAGGUUUCCUGAGGAGGCGUCGGAUGCAAGGGCUACGGCUUUUUUACGAGAAGGGAGAUGGGAUUAUUCGGCUUUGGCAUCGAUGCCCGCAGUGAUUAGGGACGCUGCCCAGGGAUCCUUUUUCUGUUUUGGGUUGGAUCCAGAUACCCUAGUCUGGUUACGGGAUCCUUCGGGAGUUUUCUCGAUUAGGUCGGCAUAUCAACUUGUUCGCCCGGCUAGGGCUCGCUCCUGGGUUUUCUCUUUCUUUUGGCAUUCCUUCAUCCCGCGUAAAUUGUCUUUCUUUAUGUGGCGUUUAGUGAACGGCCAGUUGCCGAUGGAUGACGUGCUCGAAAAGUUCCAAAUUCAUGGUCCUUCUAAAUGUCACUGCUGUGUGCUUGGCCAGUUAGAGACGAUGGAACAUGUUUUCUUAACAGGGCAGCUAGCCUCUGCGACAUGGGCGUUUUUUGAGCAUUCGCUUGGAUUAUCGACAUCGGCUGCCACGGUUCGUUCCCGGUGCGCCACUUGGUGGUUAGUCCCCGUGAAAGGUAAGGUUAUACGCUGGUUAAUGCGUAUUCUCCCAAUCCUCAUUUUAUGGUUUCUAUGGCGGGCCAGGAAUAUGUCUAGGUUCGAGGGUCGCAAGAUUGGCGGCUCGCAGGUUCGGGCUCUUAUUGUACAUGAGGUAAGAAUGCUUGUCAGAGCCCAUUUUCCGGGUAUUACGGUGCUUGGCCAAUGGGAUGAACUUCUGAAGGCCCUGUCUGUGGUUCGGAGGGCUUUAACUGCAACGGCGGUUAGGUGGGCUUUCCCUCCGACGGGCUGCUUCAAGCUAAACACUGAUGGUUGUGCCACGGAGCGAGGUAGCGGGGGCGGAGGGGUGAUUAGGGAUUCGUGUGGGAGGUUUAUUGUUGCUUUUGCGGAUUCAUUUGGUGGUGUGGACUCUUUGCAGGCGGAGGCUCGCGCACUCUUCUUGGGGCUUCAAUUGGGGCGCCAAGUAGGGGUCUCUCGGUUAAUCGUAGAAUCUGACUGCCUGGUUCUGAUUAAGUGUUUAAGGGGGGAAUGGGGAGUCCCCGCGGAGAUUCGGCCUAUAGUUCGUGCUAUUCGGAUGGGUGAGCCAAGCUCUCACCACUUCUGCCAUUGCUACCGGGAGGGGAAUACAGUGGCGGAUUCGCUAGCGGCAUAUGGGGCCAUGUCAGGUACUCGAGUUAUUUUCACUAAGGGCUCACAGUUGCCGACUCGUACUAGGGGACUUUUGGCUUUGGAUCUGCAAAAUUUUUGUAACUUCCGUUUUGCUUUUAGGGGCUAAGGCUUCUGCUUUAUCCCAGGCUAUGUUUUCAGUCUUUCAUUAAUAAAAUUUCCUUUUAUAAAAAAAAAAAAAAAACAAACAAAUAUACCUCAAAUUUACAGUAUAUUAGCACAAGAUUAACAACUUCAUUUCAUUUUCAUACAUCAAAACUUUCUCUGGCAUCCUUCACGAUCUCCCUAUAGCCCCUUUCAAUUUCAAGUCUAGAUCUCCCCAUAAGUGCGUAUGGUCUGUGUAUCUGAGAGAAAGAAAGACAGGGACAAAGAAAAAUGGAGAGAGAAAACAGCAAAGAAGGGAGCUAGAAUGGAUAGCCUUACGAGUCGGACAUGAAAAAUAACUUCAAUUCAUUUAUAUGAAAAAUUUUCGCAAGCAAUAACCCAAUCAAACAAUGGAAAAUCAGGAAAACAUUUUCUGGAAAAUAUUUUCCUUCCAAACAAAAAGAUCCCAAUUCCCACCUCGAGUUGAGGAAUCUUAAACCAAACAACAUAUACGAGUUGAGGAAUCUUAAACCAAAAAAAUCAGUCCUAACCUAGUUAUAAUUUUUAGUUGUAAAAAGUAGUUUUCUAGAAAUUAGUUUUACAUGUUGAAAAAAAUUAUGUUUUUAUAAUCUUUUGUGAAAAUACAACAUAGACGAGUAGUUAUUUUUCAUUAGUUACCUUUAAUUAUAAUGAUUAGCAACAAAGCUAAAAAUUCCACAUAAAACUAGAAAAAGUAAUUUUUGAAUAUGGUUAGGCCAUUUUACCCUAGUGUAAGAACAAAAAAGGUAAUAUAAAAGAUGACACAAAAUUUUAACACCGCAACUCCUCCUCCUGUUUUGUUUAUAGUUGGAUAUGAGAGAAUGUUUCGUAAAACAUCAACAAAUAAUAAAACAAAACAAUUUCCAACUUCUUAUUUUUAUUUAUUUAUUUAUUUAUUUUGGCCAGCAAUAUCCAAAACUUGAUAGUUUAUGAUUUAUAAGAUAAGGAACUAAACUAUUUUUUUAUGACAAUAUACAAUGAUCUCCACAUGAGGGACUGAAUUAGUUUUUUGGGGAAAAAAUUGAAACUCAUAUUAGUCAUAGCUGCAUAUGCUUGAUUAAACUGCAAUUACACCCUUAAACAAACAAGUUUUUCUUUCUUUUUUCCUUUUUGAAAAAAAAAAAGAGGGUGAAUAGUAGAUUCCACCUGCUCCGAUCCCCUUAAACAAGCAAGUUCAUACUUCGCUUAUGUGGUAUGUGGUUUAGUUUCUAGAUUACAAUCACACCUCCGUUUGGAGAAAGCAGAAAUACGUCAUUAUUUAAUAUCUGAAUUUGACAUCUACAAUGACAUGUAUAAGCAUAUCCCAAAAAAAAAAAAAAGAUACUGAAUGGAUGGGAGUAGUUCCACUAUUUACUUGAUUAUAACAUUCUUCUAAUGAAAUAUCAUUUUGUCCCCUCGAGCAAAAUGAUGAAUCACUAAUACGACAGUACAUGUGACAUACUGCCACACCCCCGAACCAAAAAAACGAAAGAUUGUGAAACAUUGGGUUUCUACUAUUGUUCACCUUUUUUUACUACGUAUUAAACUUCGAGGAAGCAUCUCACCUAAUUGAUUUUGGCUGAUGAAAAGAAAAGUGAUUAGCUAGAAACAUUAGUGUAGUAACACUAAAAGAAAGAAACGCUGCAUUGGAUUCCCUUUUUCUCUUGUUUGAUUUUGGGGUACGUGUUUGAUAUAGUAGCCAAUAGCACGAUGAGUUCAAGUCAUGACCGCACACUUGCCAAAAAAAAAAAAAAAUCAAAUAAUCAAUUGAUCCAAUUUAGACCGAUAAAUGAAAUUUGGAAAAACCGAUUAAGAUCCAAUUUUAAAUUUUGGCAAAACAGUUUGUGAUUUGAUAUUGAAUUUCGAUUCUCGAAUUUUCGAUUACCAUCGACUGAAUUACCGAAUUUCAUAUUUUAAUUAAAUAUUUUAUAUAUUUCAUGCCUAUUAAUAUAUCAUAUUGCAUAUUGAUGUAUCAAUCAAUAGUGUUAUAAGUUAUAAUAUAUGUUUAUAGACAGAUAUAUGACCUUAAAAGCAUAUUAAUAACUUUUUACAUUAUUAAUUACAUAUUAAAUAUACUUAACUAAUAUAUAUUAGAAAAUCAAUCUAAAACUUUGGAUAUUUUACUGAAAUACUAAUUAUUCAGUCGUAAUCCAAUUUGCAAUAUCCAAUUACUAAAUAAAAGUUUGAACGGUAAUUGGACGUUGACAUUGUUGAAAAAAUUGAAAAAAAAAAUUGAAUUUUUAAUCAAAUUAUCGGCCGAUAAACAACCUAGUAGUCUAGUACCAGUGCGAAACGUACGAAGACACCGCGUGAAGGGCCAUGUGUCAAAGCAAUUCAUGGGCAUUAUUUUCUCUGCAUACACCGAAAAUCACCAAUAAGGUUGAAGCCACCCGAUUCACCCCUAGGAAAUUUCGCCUCUCUUCGUCUCAUCUCGAGCAUUUUCUUAAAGUUGCUCAACUGCAUGCCUACCCCUCCAAAUGCCUUCUCCUCCUUUAGUCAAAAAUCUACUUACUAAUCUUAGGUUAUCCCUUAUUGCCUAUUCUCAAAUAUUAGCUAUGACAAAAUAUCUUUUGGUUAAUUGGCGAUGCAGGUUGGCCGGAUUUUGGCGGGGCAACUUGAUGCCUUUAUUGUAGCUACUAGGUCUACAGCCAUGCUAGCGGCGCCUCUUCACCCUUUCCCAGGCAGAACUGAAACCUUGAUAGAGAAAUUAUUGAACACAUUUUACACUGUUAUUCCGCCCUAAUUUUGGCUACUUACUGUGCUAGGUAUUUAGUUUUUGCUCAUAUUUCGUAUUUGUAUAAAUUGUCGGUGAUUGGUGUACAAAGUGCUUCCGCAAGGCGAAAUUCCAGAAGACUCUCUAUUUCAUGACAUGCUCACGCCAGAAAUUAUAGAGGACACUCAAAGCCGGAUCCACGGGAUUGGUAGCAGCAGGGCUAACUAGGAAAUCAAGCCCACGUGAACCAGACGCAUGGAAUCAAAGCCCUUUCACCAAAAAAAAAAAAAUGGAAUCAAAGCCCAAGCUCCAAAAGAAAGUAAAACUGCCAGACGUUUCUUGGUCACUGUGGCGGCGGCUACAAAAAGAAAAAGAGCCCGGCUACAAAAAGAAAAGGAGGCCAGAUUUACAUCUAAUUGAUGGAUGUUGCUGCAGUAUGUUUACUAGUCAAAAAAUAGGUGUGGAAAGUUGCUGCGGUAUGAUUGUGGCCACAAACAAUAGGAAAAGUGUGUUGGAUGGACACGUAUAAAGAACUUUUUGACAUGCAACCUGAAGAUAGUUGGGCAUUGAAGGGGAUUCCAACCGUAAAUGUGAAAUGUGGAGUGCCUAAAUUGAGCAACUGGCAAAGUGAAAGGGUCUUGCGCAAAAGUAAGGACAAGGAAAAAAGGCGCGAAGCUUGGCGGAGAAGCUAAACACUGUAGGCAUAUAAAAUGAAGAAUUUAAUAAAUUUAGACAUUAAAUUUAUAAUGAAUAAAUUAUGGAUUCCAACCUCAAGUGUUAAAUUUAUAAUGAAUAAAUUAUUACUUUAUUUUAAAUAAAACCCGUAAACCUGGUUUGUUAAAUUAUACCUAUUAUUAUUUAUUAUACAGGUAUAUUAUGAGUACUUAUUAACUAAGGUACUAAGUUUUAAUCAUUAAUAAAAUAUCUUAUCAUUAUUUCAAAUAAACUUCCUAAUACUACUUUGAGAUAAGGUUUUAAUGUAAAAAUUGUACAUGUAUUCCAAAAAAUAGUAAAUUUUGAUCCUUAAUCAUUUUUAUUACCAUGUUAUUAGUAAGAAUUAUUAUUUAUGUAUAAAAACUUACUAUUAUUUGAACUAAACUUACUCUUUUAAAAGUAAGCUUGGGAUAUAAAGUAGUAAUCUAUUUAUUUAAAAAUUAAGUUUAAUAUUUAUUCCAAUUUACCUUUUGAGGUAUAAAAGUUACUAAUCUAUUAGGCUUAACUUACUAUUUUAGAUGGGAAACUUACUUCCAUAAUUUUAGGUAUUAUUCUAUUUAAGUGAAUAGGUCCAACGACAAAUCAAAUGUUCGCUAAAAGUGGAACAAUCUAUUAUAUUAGGUAAAAACUAUUUCGCUAUCAUAACUAUCGUUACUAAAGCAUCUAUAUCUAUAUGUAUUACAGAGGGGGUUUUGGAUAAGGAGCUUUCAAAAUUGUCAAAGGUCUGAAUGCUAUUUUAAUAGAAUUUUACAUUUUUAUAAUUAAGAAAUGUUUAUCUCUUAACUAAUCAUGUAACCGCUCCUACAAAUCCUAUAAUCAUGCUCAUGUUUUUCCCACAUUUUUCCACGUUUUUCUCACUAACCCAUAAAAUUCAAACUCCUAAACUUUAACUAAUAGAUAAUAAUCACCAUUGUAAAAUUCAAAUCUCACAUUUAUUAUUGACAUUUAUCAACUAUUAAUUUAAGAAAUUUGCAACUAUAAAAGUCAAAUAUUCAAAAUUUAGGAGACUAUUUAAAUUACAAUUUUCACAAUUCAACGUAUCUUAUUGUCAUAAUAUAUUUUACUCUUACAAUCAUUCACAAAUUAUAAAGGGAUGCAAAAAAUAAAUAACUUUUUUAAUAAAAAAUUAAUUCAAAGGUAGUUAAUUCACACACACACACACAUAUAUACAUAUAUAUAUUCUCAUAAUAUAAACUAAAAUUAUAAAAAAUUAGGAGGCUAACUUUGUUUUACACAAUAUGAAUUAAAAUUUUUAAAACUUUGGGAAGAGGGGACCUAUGGCCCCCAUUAGCCCCCUAUUUGUUUUGAAGUGUUUGGAUAGCAUAUUUUUUCAAAUAAUAUUUCGCUUGCAUCAUAAACACAUUUUUUAACCCACCUUUUUAUAUUUUCAAUCACCUUUUUAUCUUACAUACAUCACAUCACAAAAUGUACUAUCGUAAUUAUUCCACAUAAUAUUUCAAAUAACACUCUAUCCAAACAAAUUUCAAUAGCAUCUUAAUUUCAAUAUCAUUUUUACUUUUCAAAUUUACAGUUUUAUCCGUGAUUGUAUAGCAUUAUGAUAUAGUAGUAAUACAAAAGAAAUACCAUGUAAAUGAUGAUAGUUUUUUUUCAAAUAAACAAAGUGGUUUACGAAUAUUCCUAUCUAGCGAGCAAAAGGGUAGUUAGGAUAUUUAAAAAUCUUGCUACACAAACAACAAAAGUAAGGUAUGUUAGUGAUAUUUUUAAAACUUUAGGGGUGUCAGGCGAAAUGAAGAGAAACCUCAGGGGAGGUUUACAACAUUGGUUUACUGAAUACACUUAUUUAUGCCAAUUAUACUCUUUAUACUAAUUAUAUUUUUAAACUAAAUUACUAUUUAUGCAUAUUUUAAAACUUCAAAUUUAAUUGCUAUUAGCGAAAUUAUAUUGAUGUGUUUUUAUACGAGUAGUAUUUUAUUAUUUUGGAUACUACUUUAAUUAGAAUUUAGUUUAAAGGCAUUCACUGGAGUUUGGAUGCAUCCAGAGAGCACCGAUCGAUGUAUCUUCAUGCAUAAAUUGGAAUAAAUAUGCAACUUAAUUUUUUUUAAAAAUAAAUCACUACUCUAUAUCCGAAAUUUACUUUUUGGAGAGUAGGUUUAGUUCAUACUAUUUUUCGUAGUAUUUUAAAAUAUAUAAGUACAAAAAAAUUUUAAAUUAUACCUAUAAUCAUGUAUUAUACGAGUAUAUUAUGAAUACUUACUAACUAAGGUAUUAAACUUUAAUCAUUGAUAAAACAUCUUAUCAUUAUUUCAAAUAAACUUCCUAAUACUAGUUUGAGAUAAGUUUUAAAGUAAAAUAGUACAUGUGUCCUAUAAAUCAGGAAAUAUUGAUUAUUAAUCAAAUUUGCCAUGUUAUCAGUAAUAAUUACUAUUUAUGUAUAAAAACUUACUAUUGCUUGAAUGAAGCUUGCUAUUACUUGAAGUAAAAUAGUACAUGCAUUUGCUUGCCUUUUGCUUUGGCUAAUUAUAAAAUUAGACAUAAUUGUAGAAACCUCCUAUAGGUUUUGACAUAGUCAUACGGUCUUCUCUAACAUUUACAAAACUAUACAAAACUCCAAAGACUCUAAGAUUUAUAUUACAAAUUUAAUUCCAACAAAAUUUACUAACAUUAAAAAAAUUACUUUACAUGGGGGAGUGAAUUGAAAAAAUGGGAGUAUAAUAAUAUCCCUUAAUUGUUUAUUCCAUAAAUAUCCCUUAUACAUGUAUGUGAGUUGAAUUUGUUUAAUAAUGGAAAUAAUUUUGGUGUAAUGGGCCAUUUUUUUGUGCAGUUGGAGCAUAUUUGGCCUGAAUAAAGCUAUUUCUAAGAUUUUGCUUGAAUACCUAAAUUAUUUGUGCUGUUGGCAGAUUUACCUUUAAUAUAAUAAUAAUAGUAAUAGAAUUACUAUUAUUAUUCGCUAGCAAAGCACAACAUUAUUUCCUUUCCCUUCUAUAUUCUCUGUUUAUGCAGCACUUCCCCACGACAUUUCUCUACUUUUCAUUGCUCUUUUAUUCACAAUGUUAAUCCAAAUGGAUACGUGAUUUUAUUAAUUUCAAAUGGAUAGCUGAAUAAAACCAAUUAAUUAGUGGCUAUUAAAUGGACAAAUUUCGACUACCUAUUUAUAAUUAAUUCAAUUAGACGUAAAUUCAAAUUCAUUAGUAAGCAAAUGAAUUUGAAUUCGUAUACACAAUAAUUAUAUCAAAGUUUUUGCAAAGCCAUAUCUAUCCAGUGUUUCCUAUUCUUUAAUUUUCAUUUAUUAAAAGUUUUGGAAACAAAAUUGGUUUUCAUUUAUUAAAAGUUUUGGAAACAAAAUUGAUUACAGUAAAACAAACUGCCAACUAUUUAUUAAACACUCAUGUGAAAGUAAUUUAAAAAUUGGUUACCUUUGUCUGCUUGACAUUUAAACCAAUUUUUUUAUCAUAAUUUUUUAUUAUUAUCACACCCAUUCGGUGUGUCAUAACCAGUGCUCAGAAUAAUCUCUGAAGUUUUAAGAACCAUUAUACAACUUUCAAAACAAAUAAAUUCAUUCAAAAUUUUUAUUUGGAAUAAUUUCAUAAAUCAAAUCGCGGUCACUUUCUGUAAAGUAUCACUUUUUCAUAAAAGACCAGCUCUUUAUGGCUUUCAUCCAUUAUAAGAACAGAGUACCCAUUUUUCCAUAAAUAAAUUUAUUUAUCGGAUAAAAUAAAAAAUAAACUUGUUUUUCAUUUCAAUAAAACACCAGCUCUUUAUGACUUUCCGCUAUUAUAAGAACAGAGUACCCUUUUUUCAUAAACAAAUUUAUUUAUCGAAUAAAAUAAAAAUAAAUUCAUUUUUUAAUAAAAGACCAACUCUUUAUGGUUUUCCUCCAUUAUAAAAACUGAGUACCCAUUUUUUCAUAAAUAAAUUUAUUUAUCGGAUAAAAUAAAAAAUAAACUUGUUUUUCAAUAAAACACCAGCUCUUUAUGACUUUCCUCUAUUAUAAGAACAGAGUACCAUUUUUUUCAUAAACAAAUUUAUUUAUCGAAUAAAAUAAAAAUAAAUUUAUUUUUUAAUAAAAAACCAACUCUUUAUGGCUUUCCUCCAUUAUAAAAAUAGAGUACAACACGUUUUUCAACAAAACACCAACUCUUUAUGACUUUUCUCCAUUAUAAGAACAGAGUAUCCAUUUUUUAAUAAAUAAAUUUAUUUAUCAAAUAAAAAAAUAAAUUUAUUUUUUAAUAAAAAACCAGCUUUUUAUGGCUUUCCUCCAUUAUAAGAACAGAGUACCCAUUUUCUCAUAAACAAAAUUAUUUAUCGAAUAAAAUAAAAAUAAAUCCAUUUUUCAAUAAAAUACCAACUCUUUAUGACUUUCCUUCAUUAUAAGAACAGAGUACCCAUUUUUUCAUAAAUAAAUUUGUUUAUCGGAUUAAAUAAAAAUAAAUCCGUUCUUCAAUAAAACAUCAGUUCUUUAAUAAAACACCAGUUAGCGACAACAACUUUAGCAAGAAGUAGAAAGUUUGACGCUAUUAAGAGGCUUAUAGCAAGGAAAAGGACAAUACCUCACAAAAAAUUGGAGCCAUUAUAUACUCUGCGAGGCAAGGACUUUUAUCGCUUAAAAUUCUCGCCAAAAUGAGUGUGGGAAAGCUUCCCUCCAAAUACUGAUUUUAGUGGGCCAAAGUUUCUAUGUUAUUGGUGAGAAAUCAUGGGUGUUUUUUUUGUGAAAAUUUCAAAAUUUUGCUCCCUUCCAAAUUUUAGCAAGCCGCGCAUUGAAAAUUUUUUAACCAUUCCCGGCACAGUACUUGUCAAGCGUAGCACCACAUGAAUUCCAAGCCUUCCAUACUUGCAAGGCUACUUUCCCAAAUAUUAGUUCUCAGAUCAGAGCCCUCGAAAGUUUAAUCGCAACCUCCCCUACAACUUUCUCCUUCUAUCUCUCUUUCCCUCUCUAUUAAUUUUUAGUUUCCCGUAGACAUAUGGUUCCUCUUUUCCUCUCUAGCAUCUAGAUCUGAAUUUAUACAAUCAUAGACACACUUUAAAGACCCUUCCGAUGCAAUGGCAGACUUCAAGGAAAAGCGAUGGUGUAGGUUUUUUAAGCAGACAUGUUAUUUUCAUCUCUGUUUUGUCAAUUGCCUUUUUCUUGCAUUUUUGGUCAAUUUAGCAAUCGCAAGAUAAACUUUUUGAAAUUGUAGGCUUCUACUUCAGUGGAUUAGAGUGAAUGGGCAUCUCAGUUGGAGUAGAGAAAGGGGUCUUUACUCUUAUUAUACAUUAGCUGAUAUCUUUAGUUUAUGGUUUCAUGUCCAAUGUUUGUCAGUUAGUUGACAAAAGUCUUUAAUAAUGGUAGCAUUGUCCCUUUUUUUGUACAUAGUAUAAUAUCUAUGCUAUUUGCUUUCACAUUUCAGGUUACUAGCGCUUUAGGAGUGUAUCAUACACUACUUUCAGUAUGCCAUUCCUAGAUGUUUUAUUUCAGCAUGCUAGACGUUUUAGCUUCGGUGUUCAAGUAUAGUGUUUUGCUGCUGUAUUUGUUUAUAUUUGUGUUUCUGAGUGAACUUCAUUUAUCUAAUGCUAUCUGUGUACAGGUUAACUUCUUAAGCCAAGUUCGUUUAAGUCACGAGGGAGAUGGGCCGAAAGUGGCAAAGCGUUUAAUCGAGGUGUAUUUUGCACUAUUUAAGGUAUGGAAAAAAAAGUGUUGUGCUUGUUUUCUUUGAUGAAAGUUAAGGAUUUCAAAGAUCUAGUCAAUUAACAUGUAAGACACGUUAGUUUUGUGCAACAAGUUAAUAUGCUAGUCUCUGUUUCAGGUAUUGAUUUCUGAUGCCAAUAGGGAGCAUGGGACGAACAAAUGCAGUAAAGAAAAAGCUAGAAAAAUUUCUAGUUCAAAAUGUAAUCCAAAGAAUGCUCCUCCAGAAUCUCAUGUUGAGAUGGAUUCCCGGUUAUUAACAGCUCUUUUAACAGUUAGUAUAGAUUAAUUUCUUUCGCUUCUUUAUUAUUUGAUGAUUGCAAACAUAUAAGUAGAAGAAACUGCUAAAGUAGGAUUUGUAUUUUUUUCUGGGAUCAUGUAGCAUCAGCUAGAAGUUCCAAGGCCAUUUUAUCUUUUGAAAGCGAUAGAGUAAGAAAAUGCUAAUAUUUGUGGUAAGCUAUUGUACAAAUUUAGGCGUACUCUUUAUAAAUGCUUCUAAUUUUUGGCACUUACCAUGUAAUUAUCUUAUGUAGAAUUCUGGCACUGUUUCUUGUUUUUCCCUCCCUAUACACCUUGCUUCAACUAAGUUGCCUUAGAUUAGUUCAAAGACAGUGAAUGUUUUGCAGGUUACUCCUAACUAAUGUUUUGCUCUUUCUCAAGUAUGAAGAAAAAGAUUGUACACUUUAUUUAGUAUAUGUUUGUUAUGAAGAAUCAACUUUUCUCUAUAUAAUUUUUUUUGAACUAAUUCUUCCAAGUUGGUGCUGUGUUUUGUGACUAAAGGAUCCAACUUGAAAGUGAAUUGAAGUAGUUGGGAAAGUGUUAUUGAGAAUUGGUGAUGAAGCAUGCACUAAAUUAAACAUACUUGUGUGUUAAAAUGUGGGUGUGAUUAAUCAAGUGGUACAGGAUUUGUCUGAACCAGUGUGCUUGCAGAUAAUUAUUAUAUCAGUUCAUCAUGCUGCUUGUGGUUAUCUCCUUAUAUAGUGUUGAAAGAUACUUUAGGCACCCUGUAUAAGUUCUCUUUCUUCCAUUGCAGGGUGUGAAUAGAGCGUUUCCUUUUGUUUCUAGCGAUGAAUCUGACAAGAUUAUUGAAACCCAGACGCCAAUCUUAUUUCAGCUGGUAAGCUUAGUUCCUAAUUGCCCAGAAAGAAUGAAAAUUUUAUGCAGAUAGUAUAAUGUGGUGUUCCUCCUUUCAAAAAUUUGUUUGCCCUUUUUUAGGUUCAUUCUAGGAGCUUUAAUGUGGGAGUUCAAGCAUUAAUGCUUCUUGACAAGAUCUCUACCAGAAAUCAAAUUGUUAGUGAUAGAUUCUACCGAGCCUUAUAUUCAAAACUCUUGCUACCAGCUGCCAUGAACUCUUCAAAGGUGAGUUGAGUUGUAGUAGUUCUUAGAAAGUUUCUGCCAGUUUAUUUGUUAUGUUUGUGUUUCAACGCUUUCUGAAGUGAUGCUUUUGUGGUGUGUCAAGUUUACUAUGAUUCGUCAAUGUUCCAAUUGUUUAAACCAUUUAGACGUGAAAUGACAUGAGAUGAGAAAGCAAAAUGAUGGGUAUGCUGUUUUGUUUAAUUGUUCUAAAUGUCUGACUUUUCAGACUGAUAGUCUUCCCGCUCACACAUUCUGUGAUGAACAGUAAAAUUGCUUAAUGCAUGUGGUCUGAUUAUUGAUACGGAUUUCUAUGAGAGCUUAUAUGGAGAAUUUUUGUCAAAAGGCUUCCAAGAGAAUGCAUUGUGUACAGGGCAAAGGAACUAGUAGUUGCAGCACCUAGGAACAGUUAUUUGAAUUCCACUUUCCAACUGGUCAUGCUAAUGAAUUGUUUGUAGAGUAUGAUUGCAUGUACCUGAGCACAAAUACUACACUGGACAUUGUUUCUAAAUGUAAACUAUUGCUGUCUUUUAUAGUUUCCCGCCUCCCCUCCAGUAUCAGAUAUUGUAUCUGAUUAAUGGACUUUUCCCUUGGACAUAAAAACUGAAUUCUUGUUGUCUUUUCUUCUAUUGGCUUGGUGCUGCUGUUCUAUCUUCUAUUGAAAUGCAAGCUUGCAAAUCAACCUGUUUUGGAUUCUUAUUUGACAAUUUGCCUUACAAGUUUUGUGUUUUCUAGUUCCACUUCUAUCUGGAACAUAAUUUCAGCAUGAUCAAGUGGCUUUUUGAAAAUUUUUCCUCACUUGCUCUUGAAUGCUUUCUUUAUUCGUGUAGACUUAUUAGAGAGGGUCCUAAUUGUACCACUUCUUGACUAUGAUAUUUGUUCAAUUUGUUAAUCUUCAAGAGGAAAUAUUUAUUGGGCUACUUCUAAGGGCGAUGAAAAAUGACAUCAAUCUAAGGAGGGUCGCUGCUUUCUCUAAGCGUUUGUUACAGGUUUGUGAUAGCGUUGAUCUUUUGUUUGCUUGUGGUUUUUUACGCAAUUUAGUUCAUUAAGUUAAUAAUUGUCAAGGGAAUCCUUGAUCUCGAGGAAUCUUAACUUGAGAACUAUUUGGAAAUUUAGUUCAUUAAGUUAAUAUUUGUGUUAAAGGAAACAGCCUUGGCGUUACUUUAUAAUUGGUUUCAUGUCAAUUGGGGUCAUAAUGAUUUCUUCAUCUUAAGUACAUGCUACCAACUUAUAGUUUGAAAUUCAGUUCACAUUUUGUACUUGUGGUUAAUAAAAGUGAUCCUUAGCAUUUCUUUUAAAGUCCCUCAUUUUCAUUUCUUUUCAUGCAACAAUAUGAGGAUCAAUGUCUUAGUUGAUAUAUGUAGGCUAAUGCAGGUUUAAUUUAUCUAACUGCCAAUGUAAAUUUUUGUUUAAUAAUUUUUUUUACAUUGGACUCUAUAGGUUGAUGGUGGAUUGUAGUAAACCUGGCUAUGAAGCUCUUAGAAGCUACUUCGAUUAUGGACUUCACCAAUUCAUGCAAACAUGAUACUCAUUAUAUAUCGGCAGAGGGUCUAUCUUAACAUUUGUUAUCCCUGGCAAUUUUGGUUGUACAUAUUAAAGCCUAAUUAGGAUUUGAUUUGAGUAUCUUUGUGCUUUGUACUGUUGAUAGUAUUGGUUGUAAUAUAUUGUUGCUCGUUUUGUAUUUGUAAUGAUAAAUUGGUUUGUUAUUUCGUAUAAAAUUUUGCUAUAUUUCAAUAUUGACAUUAAUGAUACCUCUUGCUAAAAAAAUGGUUGAAAAAAAAAGUAGCAACUACAAUCACAAAGCUGCUUUUGGCAACUUUCUUGCAAGAAAAUCAUCUAGCUGCAUUUGAUUGUCUUUGGUAAGGGGUCGAUGGUUUCUAAUUAGAGAAGAAACUUUCCUGGCCAAAAAUGUUUUAUUAUAAUGGAGAAAAGUCAUAAAGAGCUGGUGUUUUAUUGAAAAAAUGGAUUUAUUUUUAUUUUAUCUGAUAAAUAUAUUUGUUUAUGGAAAAAUGGGUACUCUGUUCUUAAAAUGGAGGAAAGUCAUAAAGAGCUGGUAUUUUAUUGAAAAACGAGUUUAUUUUUAUUUUAUCCGAUAAAUAAAUUUAUUUAUGAAAAAAUUGGUACUUUGUUCUUAUAAUAGAGGAAAGCCAUAAAAGACUGGUCUUUUAUUGAAAAAUAGAUUUAUUUUUAUUUUAUCUGAUAAAUAAAUUUAUUUAUGAGAAAAUGGGUACUCUGUUCUUAUAGUGGAGGAAAGCCAUAAAGAGCUAGUCUUUUACGGGAAAGUGAUACUUUACAGAAAGUGACCGCGAUUUGGUUUAUGAAAUAAUCCCAAAUAAAAAUUUAGAAUGAAUUUAUUUGUUUUGAAAGUUGUAUAAUGGUCAUUAAAACUCCAGAGAUUGACAAAAAAAUUUUGGGGGUACAGAAAAGUAGAGAGAAGAAGGAGAAGAAUUGAGCUUUUUAUCCGUUGCAAUUGUUCCGUUAAAAAUGGCUCCAUUCGAUUUUAUCAAUUUUUUGUUGAGUAAAAUCAUUGUUCUAACGAUCAAUUCUUCAUUUCUCGUUAAUUGUCCUUAAUUGGCCAAAAUUACGAAAUUUUGAGGAUGCAAUAUGUUUGGGGUGAAACUUUGAGGAUGAAAUUGGUCAACAACCCAAAUUUUGAGGAUAAAAAAGUGCAUUUUUUCCUAUAAGAUAUUUAAUCAAAUGUUAUUUCUUGUUUUAAUUUUAGUUAUGACUAAACUACAUAUUUAUCAAAUAGACAUACCUUUAUAAUUAAAGUUAAUAUUUGAUAUUUUAGGAUACCAUAUAUUUAAAUAGAUGAAAAUUAUUUUGAACAUAAUAUAUUAAAAUAAUUUUAUUUGUCAAUCAUUUUGGCCCUCCCUUAAAGGAAAAAAAUCUUGGCUUCGUCACUGUCUAGGAGGAAAUUGGGGCCUAUUGCUAACAAAAGAUUGUGAAAAUUUACCUUUAUAUCCUAAUUAUUUGAAAAAAAAUCUAAUGAACAAAUUUUGCAAAAGAAACCUUGUUUCUUACCAACAAAUUAAGUAACUAAUAAAAUCACCUUUAAUAUUGCUUUAACAUAUUUAAUUUAUGUUAAAUACAAAUUUUACCAAUUUCUCUUUUGUAAAAAUAUAAGUGUAUCACUUUUUCAAUUUUAAUUACAAACAUUUAUGUUUUUUACAUAAAUGUAGUGAUUCAGAGUAAAAUGCCCAUAAAUAGCUAGUAUUUUGUUGAUGUAAUGCAAAAAAUCCAUAAAGAGUUGGUAUGUUAUGGGCGCAAUCUUUUUUACUUUCACAUAUUUAAAAUUUGUUAAAUGCAAAAUCUACUAGUUUUCCUUUCGUAAAAAUAUAAGUAUAAUACUUUUUUAAUUUUAUUUACAAAUAUUUAUGUAUUUUACAUAAAUGUAAUGAUUCAGAAUAAAAUACCCAUAAAUAGUUAGUAUUUUGUUGAUGUAAUGCAAAAAACUCAUAAAGAGUUGGUAUGUUAUGGGCAAAACUUUUUUACUUUCACAUAUUUAAAAUUUAUUAAAUACAAAAUUUACUAGUUUCCCUUUCGUAAAAAUAUUAGUGUAACAUUUUUUCAAUUUUAGUUACAAAUAUUUAUGUAUUUUACAUAAAUGUAAUGAUUCAGAAUAAAAUACCCGUAAAUAGCUAGUGUUUUGUUGAUGUAAUGCAAAAGAAAAAAUCAUAAAGAAUAGGUAUGUUAUGGGCAAUAUAUUUUUUACUUUCAUAAAAAUCAGUUUAUGUUAAAUACAGGACAACCAAUUUUUCUUUUGUAAAAAUAUUAGUGUAACAGUUCUUCAAUUUUAGUUACACAUAUUUAUGUAUUUUACAUAAAUAUAAUGAUUCAGAGUAAAAUGUCCAUAAAUAGAUAGUAUUUUGUUGAUGUAAUGCACGUAAAUAGAUAGUACUGCUUAUGCUUCCUUUGCGGUGUUUUAUUCGUAGGCCCAUUAUAUUUAUGUUAAUUCCAUCACACCCCAAUACAUUUCCAACUUUUGCAGUACGCUACAUUCACAUUUCUAAACCGCGGUUAUAGGUCACCACUUAAUUUUUUAGAAACAUUCCCUUCAUCUUCGUACAUGUCAGGUUGCUACGUGCCAGCUUCUUUAUCAUAUAAUUUACUUUCCACACCUGUCUUUGGAAUAUGUGAAUACACUACAGAAUUUACCCUAAUUGACGGUAAAUUCUGUAGUGUAAUAGGAUAUUUGAAGACAGGUGUGGAAAGUAAAGUAUAUGGCAAAGAAGGUGGCACGUUGCAACCUGACAUGUAUGGACCAAGAAGGGAAUAUUUGUACAAAAGCAAGUGGAAACCUAUAACCGGGGUUUGGAAAUAUUGUGUACUGCAUAAGCUCAAAAUGUGUUGGGGUGUCACGGAAUUAACAUAAAUAUAAAGGGUCUAAAAAUAAAACAUUUGUGAGGAAGCGUAAGCAGUACUAGUUACUAAACAAAGCCAUCGUGGGGCCACCAAAGAGGAAACGUAUUACAUACUAAAGGAAAACUAGUAAAUUUUAUAUUUAAAAAAUUUUAAAUAUGUGAAAGUAAAAAAUUUUUGCCCAUAACAUACCAACUCUUUAUGAGUUUUUUGCAUUACAUCAACAAAAUACUAACUAUUUAUGGGUAUUUUACUCUGAAUCAUUACAUUUAUGUAAAAUACAUAUAUGUUUGUAACUAAAAUUGAAAAAGUAUUAUACUUAUACUUUUACGAAAGGAAAACUAGUAGAUUUUGCAUUUAACAAAUUUUAAAUAUUUGAAAGUAAAAAAGAUUGCGCCCAUAAUAUACCAGCUCUUUAUGGAUUUUUUUGCAUUACAUCAACAAAAUACUAGCUAUUUAUGGGCAUUUUACUCUGAAUCACUACAUUUACAUAAAAUACAUAAAUAUUUGUAACUAAAAUUGAAAAAGUAAUAUACUUAUAUUUUUACAAAAGAGAAACUGGUAAAAUUUGUAUUUAACAUAAAUUAAAUAUGUUAAAGCAAUAUUAAAGGUGAUUUUAUUAGUAACUUAAUUUGUUGGUAAGAAACAAGGUUUCUUUUGCAAAAUUUGUUCAUUAGAUUUUUUUUCAAAUAAUUAGGAUAUAAAGGUAAAUUUUCACAAUCUUUUGUUAGCAAUAGACCCCAAUUUCCUCCUAGGCAGUGACGAAACCAAGAUUUUUUCCUUGAAGGGAGGGCCAAAAUGAUUGAUAAAUAAAAUUAUUUUAAUAUGUUAUGUUCAAAAUAAUUUUCAUCUAUUUAAAUAUAUGGCAUCCUAAAAUAUCAAAUAUUAACUUUAAUUAUAAAGGUAUGCCUAUUUAAUAAAUAUGUAGUAUAGUCAUAACUAAAAUUAAGACAAGAAAUAACAUUUGAUUAAAUAUCUUAUAUGAAAAAAUGCACUUUUCAUCCUCAAAGUUUGGGUGGUUGGCCAAUUUCAUCCUCAAAGUUUCACCCCAAACAUAUUGCAUCCUCAAAGUUUCAUAAUUUUGGCCAAUUAAGGACAAUUGACGGGAAAUGAAGAAUUAAUCGUUAGAACCAACGAUUUUACCCAACAAAAAAUGGGUAAAACCGAAUAGAGCCAUUUUUAACGGAACAAUUGCAACGGACAAAAAACUCAAUUCUUCUCCUUCUUCGCUCUGCCUUUCUGUAACCCCAAAAUUUUUUUGCCAAUCUUUGAAAUUUUAACAACCGUUAUACAAAUUUCAAAACAAAUAAAUUCAUUCUAAAUUUUUAUUUGGGAUUAUUUCAUAAACCAAAUCGCGGUCACUUUGUGUAAAGUAUCACUUUCCCAAAAAAGACCAGUUCUUUAUGGUUUUCCUCCAUUAUAAGAACAGAGUACCCAUUUUUUCAUAACUAAAUUUAUUUAUCGAAUAAAAUAAAAAUAAAUUCAUUUUCUAAUAAAAAACCAGCUCUUUAUGGCUUUUCUAUAUUAUAAGAACAGAGUACCCAUUUUUUCAUAACUAAAUUUAUUUAUCGAAUAAAAUAAAAAUAAAUCCAUUUUCUAAUAAAAGACCAACUCUUUAUAGUUUUCCUCUAUUAUAAGAACAGAGUACCAAUUUUCUCAUAAAUAAAUUUAUUUAUCGGAUAAAAUAAAAAUAAACCCAUUUUUCAAUAAAAGACCGGCUCUUUAAGGCUUUCCUCCAUUAUAAGAACAGAGUACCCAUUUUUUCAUAAACAAAUUUAUUUAUCGGAUAAAAUAAAAAUAAACCCGUUUUUUAAUAAAAGACCGGCUCUUUAGGACUUUUCUCCAUUUUAGGAACAGAGUACCCAUUUUUUCAUAAACAAAUUUAUUUAUCAGAUAAAAUAAAAAUAAACCCGUUUUUUCAAUAAAAUACCAGCUCUUUAUGACUUUCCUCCAUUAUAAGAACAAAGUACCCAUUUUGAAGGCAAAAAGAAAUUUGUUUAUCGGAUAAAAUAAAAAUAAACUCAUUUUUCAAUAAAACAUCAACUCUUUAUGACAUUUCUCCAUUAUAAGAAAAGAGUGCCCAUUUUGUCAUAAACAAGUAACUUCUUAAUUAGAAACCAUCGACCCCUUACCAAAGACGAUCAAAUGCAGCUAGAUGAUUUUUUUGCAAGAAAGUUGCCAAAAGCAGCUUUGUGACUGUAGUUGCUACUUUUUUUUUCAACCAUUUUUUUAGCAAGAGGUAUCAUUAAUGUCAAUAUUGAGAUAUAGCUAAAAUUUUAUAUGAAAUAACAAACCAAUUUGUCAUUACAAAUACAAAACGAGCAACAAUAUAUUACAACCAAUACUAUCAACAGUACAAAGCACAAAGAUACUCAAAUCAAAUCCUAAUUAGGCUUUAAUAUGUAGAACCAAAAUGUCAGGGAUAACAAAUGCUAAGAUAGACCCUGUGCCGAUAUACAAUGAGUAUCAUGUUUGCAUUAAUUGGCGAAGUCCAUAAUCGAAGUAGCUUGUAAGAGCUUCAUAGCCAGGUUUACUACAAUCCACCAUCAACCUACAGAGUCCAAUGGAAAAAAAAUUAUUAAACAGAAAUUUACAUUGGUAGUUAGAUAAAUUAAACUUGCAUUAGCCUACAUAUAUCAAAGACGUUAUGUUUUAAUUGCUUUAAAAGAUUCACUCACUUAGAGUUCAAGUCAACAUUCAUCUAUUAUUUUAGUAAAUGGAAAAUUAGCCUUUGGUUCCCCAUGUGUGAGUUAACACAAGGAACCUCCUCUAUAGUCGCGGGUUGCUUAUAGCUUCCAUCAAUUCUUGUAUUUCUUCUUCUGAAAGCUUGGAUCCCAACCUAGAUAACCUAGUUUUGAGCUCUUCAUAAGUAAUGGUACCACUUCUAUCCCUGUCCAUGUUGUUGAACAUUUGUCUCAACCCCUUGAUUUCUUCUUCUGAAAGGUUUUCUGCAAUAACCUUCCAGUAAUUUCAUGUUUCAGCUAUCAAUAACUCUAGAAAGAGGAAUCAUAAAGCAACAGUAGAAGGGAAAGUACUCUUAUGAAUGACUGUCAAAUGUAUUCACUAGUUCAUUAUGGAAACCGCGCUGUCCAAAGAAAUUUACAUAUCGAUUCAUUACCUUUAAAGCCAGCUUUUUCAGCUUGUUCAUUGCUCUAAAUUGCUUCAUCCUUAUUUGCACAACACUGUCAAUAGGCGUAUCUGAUGCUUCACCACCUUCCUUGAGCCAUUGAUGUUCUGGUUCAUAUAUGUUUAGCCAAAUUUAGAUGAUAAUCUGAAUUAUAGGUAUGCAAUUAUUUGGAGGAUGUAAACAUUAUAUACUAUUUUCUUUCCAAGAAGCGCAAUACAGACAGUGUUAACUACUGCCACUACAUGGAGUGUUAUAUUCCAUACGCUAUUUACUCUCUGUACAAUAUAUAAUAGUUCCUUUACAGCAACAGGUAAACAGAGCCAAAUGACUUGAGAAGGAUAGAAAAUAAUAAUAUUGAAGGUUAAAAGUUUUUACUAUUUACCAAGGGCUUCGGCAGAGGUGAUCCUUUUCCGAGGAUCCAUUGUUAACAUUUUCCUAACAAGAUCCUUUGCACCAGACGAUAUUGAAGGCCAGGGAGAGCUUUGGAAAUCAAGACGCCCCGCUAGGAUUUCAUCAAAAAUGCCUUUGUCGUUCUCUGAAGCACAAGCCAAUAUCACUCAGUAUAGCAACUUAAAAGCUAAAUAGCAAAAAUUAAUUCCCAGUGCUAGAAUUUAAUUCAUUCUUCAUUGCAGCGUAAGAGAAUUAGGGAGUUUGGGACAACAAAAGGGGGUUUGGGACAACAAAAGGGGACAAUUUGGGUUGGGCAACGAGAGGUACGGAGGAAUGAAAACGAGAGUGGUAAAGAGAGGAGAUUGAACAAUACAACAAAACAGGGAAAAAAUCAAAUCAUGGAAGGAAGAAUUCUAGUAUGAAAAUAUGUUGGAGACUACCUGAAAUCUUAGAUCUGAAAUUUUGACGGGCCGUUUUCAUUUUACCUUCCAGUAAGACCCCCUUCUCUACUCCAACUGAGAUGCCCAUUCACUCUAAUCCACUGAGGUAGAAGCCUACAAUUUUAAAAAGUUUAUCUUGCGAUUGUUAAAUUGACCAAAAAUGCAAGAAACAAGCAAUUGAUAAAACAGAGAUGAAAAUAACAUAUCUGCUUAAAAAACUUGCACCAUCGCUUUUCCUUGAAGUUUGCCAUUGCAUCGGAAGGGUCUUUAAAGUGUGUCCAUGAUUGUAUAAAUUGAGAUCUGGAUGCUAGAGAGGAAGAGAGGAACCAUAUGUCUACGGGAAACUGAAAAUUGAUAGAGAUGGAAAGAGAGAUAAAAGGAGAAAGGUGAAGGGGAGGUUGCGAUUGAACUUUCGAGGGCUCUGAUCUGAGAACAAUAUUUGGGAAAGUAGCCUUGCAAGUAUGGAAGACUUGGAAUUCAUGUGGUGCUACGGUUGACAAGUGCUGUGCCGGGAAUGAUUAAAAAAUUUUCAAUGCGCGGCUCUGCUAAAAAUUGGAAAUGAGCAAAAUUUUGAAAUUUUCACAAAAAAACACCCAUGAUUUCUCACCAAUAACAUAGAAACUUUGGCCCACUAGAAUCAGUAUUUGGAGGGAAGCUUUCCCGUACUUCUUUUGGCGAGAAUUUUAACCGAAAAAAGUCCUUGCCCUCGCAGAGUAUAUGAUGGCUCCAAUUUUUGGUGAAGUAUUGUCCUUUUCCUUGCUAUAAGCCUCUUAAUAGCGUCAACCUUUCUACUUCUUGCUAAAGUUGUUGUCACUAAUACCCUUUUUUGUUGUAGUGAACGGAGGAAAAUUAUAAAGAAUUGGUGUUUUAUUGAAAAAUAUAUUUAUUUUUUCAUCCAAUAAAUAAAUUUAUUUAUGAAAAAAUGGGUACUUUGUUCUUCUAAUAGAGGAAAACUAUAAAGAGUUGGUGUUUUAUUGAAAAAACGGGUUCAUUUUCAUUUUAUUCGAUAAAUAAUAUUUUUUUAAAAAAAUGGGUACUAUAUUCUUAUAAUGGAGGAAAGUCAUAAAGAACUAGUUUUUUAUUGAAAAAAGAGUUUAUUUUUAUUUUAUUUGAUAAACAAAUUUGUUUAUGGCAAAAUGAAUACUCUUUUCUUAUAAGGGAAGAAAGCCAUAAAGAGCUGAUUUUUAUUGAGAAACGGGCUUAUUUUUAUUUUUUCGAUAAAUAAAUUUUUUUAUUCGAUAAAUAAAUUUGUUUAUGGCAAAAUUGGUGCACAGUUCUUAUAAUAGAGGAAAGGCAUAAAGAGUUAGAAUUUUAUUGAAAAACGGGUUUAUUUUUAUUUUAUCCGAUAAAUAAUUUUUUUUUAGGAAAAUGGGUACUUUGUUCUUAUAAUGGAGGAAAGCGAUAAAGAGUUGAUUUUUUUAUUGAAAAACGGGUUUAUUACAAUUUUAUUCCAGCCAACUGUGACCCAUUUUCCCACUAACCUAAGGUAGACGGACUAAAUCAUUGAGUUCGUUAACCAGAGUCAAAAUUAACACAGAAGCAACUGACUCAAAUCACUCAAUCCUUUAUGGCUUAUACCAAAUUAAUACUAGAAAGCUUAUUUGAAAUAACAAUAAAAUAUUUUAUAAAUGAUUAAAACUUAGUACAUUAGUUAGUAAGUACUCGUAACAUACUUGUAUAAUGCAUGAUUAUAUGUAUAAUUUAAUAUUCUUUUGUACUCAUAUAUUUUAAAAUAUUCUGUGAAAAAUAUUUUAACCUUUCACAUGACCUUAGAAAAUAAUAAAAUUUUAUCGUAUUAUAAAAUAAUAAUUUUAUUUUAUUAUAUUCAUAGGUGUUAAAUUAUAAAAAUUGUGAUAUAGAAACAAGUGAUAUUCUACGUGUAACUAGGAAAAUUUGUUGUUAUUGUUAUCCAAACUUUCAAACUUUUCAAAAAUUGAAAAUGAAUACAAACUUAUGAUAAGACAAAAUUUUAUUAUAUAUUUUACAAGGUUACUUUUCAUAGUAUUUUAAAAUAUAUAAAUACAAAAAAUAUUAAAUUAUACCUAUAAUCAUUUAUUAUACAGGUAUAUUAUGAGUACUUACUAACUAAGAUUUAUCCCCACAUUUGUAUAGUUUGUUGUGACAAUCAGGUUUAUCCCCAUAUUUGUUUGAGCUUUGAUUACAAUGGAUAUAAGCUAUUCCCUCCAAACCCCAAAUUUUGAAUUAUAACAUUCAACCAAAACAUGUUCAAACUCUCAGGCUCGGUCGUACAAGGACAGUUAGUGUGAAUAUCCGUACUACACACGGUGCUUACAUUAUUAAAAUAAAUCAAAAGAUUAUACCAUUUUAAUUUGAAAAAAGUUAAAAAAAAUUAUACCAACUUAAUUAAAAUUUAAGAUUUGUCUAACAAUAGUUCAAAGUAUGAAAAAAACUGUAAAUCAUUCAAGAAUUGUGUUUUUGUAAAAGAUGGAUCUUAAAAUAAUAAUAAUAAUUUGCAUUAGAAAAUGAAUGAUAUAUGGAUAGAAAUAAAUGUAAUUGCAUGUUUUUUUAUUUAAAAAUGAAAUACUUACCAAUAUUAUGCAUUCGAUUUGAUAAUCUUAUAUAUAUAUGCAUUAUGAGAAUAUAUAUAUAUGUAUAUGUGUGUGUGUGUGUGUGUGAAUUAACUACCUUUGAAUUAAUUUUUAUUAAAAAAAUUAUUUAUUUUUAAUGCCUUUAUAAUUUGUGAAUGAUUCUGAGAGUAAAAUAUAUUAUGACAAUAAGAUACGUUGAAUUGUGAAAAUUGUAAUUUAAACAGGCUCCUAAAUUUUGGAUAUUUGACUUUCGUAGUUACGAAUUUCUUAAAUUAACGGUUAGUUAUUACUCUAAGUGAUAUGAUAAGUGUCAGUAAUAAAUGUGAGAUGUGAAUUGGAAUUUGCAGAUAUCAUUUUACAGGGGUGGUUAUUAUCCGUUAAUUAAAGUUUAGGAGUUUGAAUUUUAUGGGGUAGUGGAAAAAACAUGAGGGAAAUGUGGAAAAAAUAUAAGCAUGAUUAUAGGAUUUGUAGGGCCGGUUACAUGAUUAGUUAAGAGAUAAAUAUGUUUUAAUUAUAAAAAUGUAAAAUUCUAUUAAAAUAGCAUUGAGACUUUUGAUAAUUUUGGAAGCUCCUUAUCCAAAACCCCCUCAGCAAUACAUAUAGAUAUAGAUACUAAACGAUAGUUAUGAUAGCGAAAUAGUUUUUACCUGAUAUAACAUGUUGUUGCACUUUUAGCGAUCAUUUGAUUUAUUGUUGGACCUAUUCACCUAAAUAAAAUAACACCUAAAAUUAUGGAAGUAAGUUUCCUAUCUAAAAUAGUAAGUUAAGUGUAAUAGAUUAGUAACUUUUAUACCUCAAAAGGCAAAUUGGAAUAAAUAUUAAACUUAAUUUUUAAAUAAAUAGAUUACUACAUGAUAUCCCAAACUUACUUUUAAAAGAGUAAGUUUAGUUCAAAUAACAGUAAGUUUUUAUACAUAAAUAGUAAUUCUUACUAAUAACAUGGCAAUAAAAAUGAUUAAGGAUCAAAAUUUACCAUUUUUUGGAAUGCAUGUACAAUUUUUACAUUAAAACCGUAUCUCAAAGUAGUAUUAGGAAGUUUAUUUGAAAUAAUGAUAAGAUGUUUUUAUUAAUGAUUCAAACUUAGUACCUUAGUUAGUAAGCACUCAUAAUAUACCUUAGUAAGUUUAAUUCAAGUAAUAGUAAGUUUUUAUACAUAAAUAGUAAUUAUUACUGAUAACAUGGCAAAUUUGAUUAAUAAUUAAGAUUUAUUGAUUUAUGGGACGCAUGUACUAUUUUACUUUAAAACUUAUCUCAAACUAGUAUUAGGAAGUUUAUUUGAAAUAACGAUAAGAUGUUUGAUCAAUGAUUAAAGCUUAGUACCUUAGUCAGUAAGUACUUAUAAUAUACUCGUAUAAUACAUGAUUAUAGGUAUAAUUUAAAAUUUUUUGUACUUAUAUAUUUUAAAAUACUAUGAAAAAUAGUAUGAACUAAAGCUACUCUCCAAAAAGUAAAUUUCGGAUAUGCAGUAGUAAUUUAUUUUUAAAAAAUUUAAGUUGCAUAUUUAUUUCAAUUUACACUUGAACAUACAUCGAUCGGUGCUCUCUGGAUACGUCCAAACUCCAGUGAAUGUCUUUAAACUAAAUUCUAAUCAAAGUAGUAUCCAAAAUGUAAUGAUUCAGAGUAAAAUGCCCAUAAAACUUAGUACAAGGAUAGCUAGUGUGAAUAUCCGUGCUAUCCAAAAUAUUUAUGUAUUUUACAUAAAUGUAAUGAUUCAGAGUAAAAUGCCCAUAAAUAGAUAAUAUUUUGUUAAUGUAAUGCCCAUAAUCGGUGGCCCUAGGAUGGCUUUGUUUAGUAAUUAGUACUGCUUACGCUUCCUCACAAAUGUUUUAUUCUUAGGCCCUUUAUAUUUAUGUUAAUUCCGUGACAUCCCAACACAUUUUGAGCUUAUGCAGUACACAAUAUUUCCAAACCCGGUUAUAGGUCUCCACUUGCUUUUGUACAAAUAUUCCCUUCUUAGUCUAUACAUGUCAGGUUGCAACGUGCCACCUUCUUUGCCAUAUGCUUUACUUUCCACACCUCUUCUUUGACUACUAAACAUACUGCAGCAACAUCCUUGAUACAUUACCUUUAGUUUCUUUUCUCCAUCUGUCAGAUGUUUCUUUUUCUUUUGACUUUUAGCUCUAGCUCUGGACAAUUUGGGAGUAGCUUUUGAUUGCUAUCCUGGGAAGACGACCUGAAGUUUUCCAUUUUUGUUCCUUUUGUUUCGUACGCCUUUUGUGAGACCUGGGCUUAUACCUUUUGCUUGGGUACAAACACGAAGCAAAGUGAAACGAGACUUUUUCCUCGGUUUCUUCGUUAUUCUGUGUCCCCCAAAUUCUUGGUAAUUAAUUGGAUGAUAUCGAUUAAACCACGUGAGAUUGAUAUGAUGAGGAGUGGUUAGACUUCUCCUCUAUCCAAAGGUCAACGCGAGGGCGCGGUCCAUAACAUCUGUGACAUCUAAUCAAACUUUCAUUAUUUCUUCCAAUUUGUUACUAUUCGUGUGUUUCCUGGAUUAAUUGUUUAUGGUUAUUUUAUUAGUUGAGUAUCAACGGCGGGAUAUUUAAUUUAAUCUAAUAGCCUACUAUCACGUUAAUUAAAUUGAAUCUGUAAUUGUUCGUUUAGUUGACAACUGGUGACAACCACCAUAAUUAGUUUUGUGUUGGGGAAACGUAAGAUCUAAUUCAGAUAAACUCUCUUAGCGUGUUUAUUGGUUAGGGUUGGAUUUUUCUAGCCUUAAUGCAAUUGGAUAAUUAAAUUCCUACGGUCGUAUCUAGGGUUGUUUUCUGGUUAGAGAAGCAGUCAAUGGUCGUACCUUGACUGUCGAAAAAGUAAGGAAGAACUGGCUGUCAGAGCUUGUUGAUAGCUAUAACCAACCUAGUGACGAAUGAAUGAAAUAUCCUUGCAUCGAUGAUCAUUUAAUUGGACCGUGCCUGAAAAGUUGAUCCUUUGGGUAGAAUUUUAUUAAUUGCUAUUUUUAGUAAAUUGUACUUGGUGAGUUAGCUUUUGAAUUUGGUUUAUUUUAUUUUUAUUUGCAUUCCAUCAAAUCUUCCCAAAUUUUGUUCUAUUGACUUGGAAAGAAACAAUUUCCUAUCCAUUCCCUGUGGAAUCGACCCUACUUGCCAUUGUACGCAAAUUUAAUAUUUUUAUAGACAAAUAUGGUGUAUCGGAUCAAACAAACUCUUCGGGAACAGGGUGAAUCAAAUAACCCAUUGCACACCUAGGGUCCCUACUUCAAUAGUUGGAUUUGUUCUAUAAUUAAUUGUGGUGGUAAUUAGGACUUUUUAGUAAUUAUUAUUGUACAGGCUCGACACCUGUCAAACCUUAAAUCAAAGAAAUUGAUAGGAAUCACUACUAAGGUCCUUCCUUUCGGGUGCAAGCGAAACGAGACAAAUCAAGUCGAGUCGAAUUUUGACCUAAUCGAAUUGGACUACUUUUUGUAAGUUCUCACUUGGAACGAGUUGAAAGCUAUGGCAUUAUAAUUAUCAUUAGUGAAGUCCAGUUAUUGUUAGUAGAAUGAUAAUACGCUUGAUAGAUUUUAGUUCUUAGUUUAUCACUUUAUAUACUUAGUCCAGACAUUGAAACAUUAGGGCUUUUAUUCGUAAUGACUCAAUAUGAAGCAUGCCAAUACUCUACACUGAUUAUAGAAAAUGUAAAUCCCUUAAGCAGCAGCAUAAAGUAGUUGAAUGCUUCACAUUACACAAUACCAUUAUUCAGCAAGGAAUAAUUGCGAGUUUGUUGGACUAAACAGUCCAAGAAUUAAUCAAGCUAACCGAUUCAAUUGCUACUCUUGUGGUUCGGUGACAGAUUGUAUUCAGUUUAUUCUUCCAAGCAAUAUACAGUAAGGUAUCUUUUAUAAUUUAUUUCACGACAAGGCAAGUGCUUUUGUCGGACUCAAGACGCGGAUAAUAUGUUCAUGGUUCAGAUUUUAUCCAGAAUGCAAAAAUUUGAAUUGUAAGGGCAAGAAUAACGACAAGUAAUUUUGACUCAACCUGUCUGGGAAUCACUUAAAGUGGGUGGCCCCUGAGCUUGGCUCAGUAGUUUCGAGGAAUCAUCUCACCUAAUUGAAUUUGGCUGAUGAAAAGAAAAGUAAUUAGCUAGAAACUACUAAAGGAAAGAAAUGCUCCAUUGGAUACCCUUUUUCUCUUGUUCGUGUUUGGGGUACGUGUUUGAUGCAGUAGCCAAUAGCUAGUGAGCACGAUGAGUUCAAGUCAUGGCCCGCACGAUAACUUUUCCUGCAAGUCAUGCAGUGACACCUAAAUGCAUGGUGUUUCCCUGCCCAAAUAGAUAUCCAUCGCCGUCUAAAUAUACCGGUUGAAGCACGGAACAAUAAAGACGAGAAAUCUUUUGCGAUAGACUGCUACAAAGACGAGAAAGAGACUGGAAUUGGAUUGUCAAUUCAGCUGGUCAAUUGUAAUUUGGCUUGCUACCCUGGUACCAGCCAGCUAGGGGUGCUCACACUUUGAAAAAAAAAAUCGAAUAAUCAAUUGAUUCAAUUUAGAUCGAAAAUCGGAUGUCGGUAAAAUGGAAUUUGGAAAAACCGAUUAAGAUCCAAUUUUAAAUUUUGGCAAAACAGUUUGAGGUUUGAUAUUGAAUUUUGAUUCUCGAAUUUUCGAUUACCACCGACUGAAUUACCGAAUUUCAUAUUUUAAUUAAAUAUUUUAUAUAUUUCAUGCCUAUUAAUAUAUCAUAUUGCAUAUUGAUGUAUCAAUCAAUAGUGUUAUAAGUUAUAAUAUAUGUUUAUAGACAGAUAUAUGACCUUCAAAGCAUAUUAAUAACUUUUUACAUUAUUAAUUACAUAUUAAAUAUACUUAACUAAUAUAUAUUAGAAAAUCAAUCUAAAACUUUGGAUAUUUUACCGAAAUACUAAUUAUUCGGUCGUAAUCCAAUUUGCCAUAUUCAAUUACUAAAUAAAAGUUUGAACGGUAAUUGGACGUUGACAUUGUUGAAAAAAUUGAAAAAAAAGUUGAAUUUUUAAUCAAAUUAUCGGCCGAUAAACACCCUAGUAGUCUAGUACCAGUGCGAAACGUACGAAGACACCGCGUGAAGGGCGGCCAUGGAUCAAAGCAAUUCAUGGGCAUUUUUUUCUCUGCAUACACCGAAAAUCACCAAAAAGGCUGAAAAUUUCGCCUCUCUUCGUCUUCCUCAUCUUGAGCAUUUUCUUAAAGUUGCUCAACUGCAUGCCUACCUCUCCAAAUGCCUUCUCCUCCUUUAGUAAAAAAUCUACUCACUAAUCUUAGGUUAUCCCUUAUUGCCUAUUCUCAAAAUAUUAGCUAUGAUAAAAAUAUCUUUUGGUUAAUUGGCGAUGGAGGUUGGCCAGAAUUUUGGCGGGGCAACUCGAUGCCUUUAUUGUAGCUACUAGGUCUACAGCCAUGCUAGCGGUGCCUCUUCACCCUUUCCCAGGCAGAACUGAAACCGUAAAUCAAAUAAAUUGAUAGGAAUCACUACUAAGGUCCUUCCUUCUGGGUGCAAACGAGACGAGUCAAAUCGAAUUUGAUCUAAUUGAGUCGAAUCUCAAUUUAAUUUUAUGAAACUCAAACUCAAAUUUGAAUAUUUUCGAGUUUGAGUUCGACUUAGUCAGUUAGAAUUUACUAUUGAUCGACCUCAAUUCGAUCUCGGACUCGAGUUGCUUUCGAUUCGUUUGCAACCCCACCUACUUAUUUGCCUUUUACUUUUCCUCUUUGUAACGUCAGGGCUUAUGGAUUGGUGACAAGGAUUAGUACAGGAGCUCUCAUUGAGUUGAACUACUUUUUGUAAGUUCUCACUUGGAACGAGUUGAAAGCUAUGGCAUUAUAAUUAUCAUUAGUGAAGUCCAGUUCUUGUUAGUAGAAUGAUAAUACGCUUGAUAGAUUUUAGUUCUUAGUUUAUCACUUUAUAUACUUAGUCCAGACAUUGAAACAUUAGGGCUUUUAUUCGUAAUGGCUCAAUAUGAAGCAUGAUAAUACUCUACACUGAUCAUAGAAAAUGUAAAUCCCUUAUGCAGCAGGGAAGACAGCGAUAAGUAAUUUUGACUCAACUAACUUGUACGGGACAAUUUUAACUCAAUUAUAUUCUAAGAGUUUACAAGCUGAUAGUGAAUUAAUGCAACUCAUUGAACCGCUUUUACGUUGCUCAAGAACGGUUUUAUUGAAAAUCGUUGCUGCCCUUUUUCCCUGUUUCGGUAGCAAUUAACUCCUUUCACGAAUCAUGAGAAAAAAUUUACCAGGCUUUCUCUCAUCUACAUAAGCGCUUGUCAGUUAGUACAAGUGGCAGUUGAUGAUAAGCUUAUCCAAGCUUAAUAAUAUUCACAAAAGCAAGUUCAAUAUUUAUCUAUGUCUAUAGAAAAUUGUUGAUAAAAUGACAACCACUUAAUUCUAUCCUUUCGACCCAAAAAAAAGAAAAAAAAGGCAACCACUUAAAAAGAUGUCAGAAUGAUGUCAGAAUUAUUGGCAUGGACCACUCGGGUAAAAACCGGUUGGAUGGAAUAGUCCAUUUCCAAGAAUAGCCGACAAAACGUACGGAGUAGGAUCCACAUACUUUGCUAAGCAAAUGAUCUUGCAAUUAUUCUCCAUUAGAGUGGAUGAGUGCACAACUAAAAAAAUUAAAAUAUUUGUGUGGGUCUAGGUGCACUCCUUUCUGUGGAGUAAACCUUGAUCGGAUCUAAAUUCCAUCAAUUACAAUUUGGUCAGGAAAUGCAACACAGAUAGGCCAAUCAAGAGUGCAGACCUUCAACAAUAUUAUCGUAUUACUUACUACUAGGUGCUCAGUAGACUAUUUGGCGUAUCUAUUCUCAUAUAUAUUGUUUUUCAUACCAAAACAUAUUUCAUUAACGAAUUAUUGAAAAUCAUUCAACACGAUUGAUAUAUAUCAUUGCUUUAAUAACAAAUAAAAACAUGCACUAAAAUCUAGAAAUACGCAGCACAAUUAAAACUUUCAUGCUAAAAAAAAGGAAUUAAGUAACUCGACUCGACUAUUUUACAUCAUAUUAUCCGUUACAGUAAAAAAGACAAACCAAAAGAUAUCGCCAUUCAUUAAAGAUAUCGGAAUGAUUAAAGUUGUGUGGAAAAACUUGGCGACGGGUUAGGUGGGGACAAGUGGACGAUGGAAGUCUCAAUCCGCCAUGGAAAAUUAAAGAUAUUGCUUUUUGAGAAAAUCUCCCUUGGGAGGCAUAUCCUCCUAUCAGCUACAGGAACCGUUCAUUCCUGAGCACCUGAGGUGGCUGUAAAAUGUCGAGAUCCCUAUUGGACAAUUGACCUUUAAAAUGGCAGACUCUAUCAAACCAAUCCACGUCUGUACGGUCGAUGUCUAAAUUUCAAAUGAUGUACUAAUUCCAUACACGUGGUAUUGUGGAAAGUCUACAGUUAGGCAGAGGUUCUCUGCAUCACGCAACUCGGAUAAUUCGUGGAAAUUAAUCACGAGACUUUUUUUCAAUGGGCACCCAUUUUGAUGAGGACACGAGUGAUAUAAAAAUUGAUCAUCUUCGACAACGUAUGAUUGGACUAGCAUUCUGACUCGUGCUAUAUAUAUGAAAGGGAUUAUAUCUUUAAAGAAGUAAUAAAAUUUUAUAUGAUUAAAAAAAGAUAAAAGAAGAAUUCGAGGGCGUGUCAAUGUAAUAUCAAUUAUGCUGAAAUGCAUUAUAUUGUAAACAAAAGCGAAGAAAAAGGAAUUGAAUAGAGUAUGUUACUUUACAUAGGCUACAUGUUUUGUUUUAUUAUUAUUAUUAUUAUAAAGAAAAACUAAAGGCCUAAUGUUAGGAACAUAAAAAACAAAAAAAAUAGCAUGAGAGAAUAAGAUGAAUCUUGUUUUUUAUUAUUAUUGUGGACAAUUUCAUGUCUAUCUAUGUCCAUAAACAAUAAAAAUCUUGUAUUCGUGAUAGAAAAAUAUUAUUGUUACAGCAAUAUUAUUAAGUAAAUUUAAUAGGUAAAAUGGAAAUAUGAAACUAAUAUCGUUAAGUAAAUUUUAUUGUUAAGUAAAUUUAAUCUCAUAAAAUGAUAAUAAAAUGUAAAUCUAAUAUUUCUAUAAAGUAAAUGAGUAAAUUUUAUAUACACUAUCACGAUUGAAUAGAUGACAUAUGAGUAAAUUUUGAAUUUUAAAUUCAAAUUUCGCACAUAUGUCAUAUAUCUAAUAAUGAUAGUGUAUACACUAUCAGUGUAUAUAAGAUUAAUCCAUAGUAAAUUUAAUAUUGUUAAGUAAAUUUAGUCAACUUAAAUCUUUACCAAUUGCUACCUACACUCCCAUUGCCAACUAUUCUUUUCUAUUCCUGAGACUCAUUUUAUUACUUACCUACCACUUUUAAAUAUAUUCAAUGCCAUCAAUGAAAACAUACCAAAAAUUUUCAAAAAAGACCCAAAAAAUACUGCAUAUAAAGAUUUUAAAAGAAUAUUCCCAUUAUGAAAGUUUUCUAAAAGCAUCCUAAAAGUAACCCAUCAAAAUGGAGCCAUACUUUGUGUAAUUUUUGUGAAUUGUCGUUCCUAAACUAAUUUUCAUAAUAUUAAUAUUUUCAAUUGAAAUUUUAAACUUUAAGUAGUUUAGUAUCAUUGCGUAAAUUUACGCUCCUUUUGGAUUGCAUUUUCCGUCAUGUUCUAUGGAAAAAUUACUGUGACGAUUUGAUGUAUGUGAGGAAAAAAAGGUAAUAGGGAAAUGUGAUCACGGAAAACGACACAAUUUUCUGGCAGAAAAUAGCAUUCCAAACAGGAUCUUAGCUUCCUUUAACUUUUUCUACGACCCCACAUCACCACUUUCCUACUUCCUUCUUCCCUUGUCCUCAUACUCUACCUUGCAGCAACCCGAUUCCGUGCUACUUUUCCAUAUCCCCACAACCCCUGAAUGCAAAUCGUCCUUUUCUGUAGAUGCUACAUCUAUAGAGCCAAAUUUUGUGCAUUAUUUUCAAAUUAUCUUUUCUAAACUAAUUUUCCUAGUUUCAAUAUGUCUUUAGUUUAAAUAAAAACUUUAAGUAGUUGCAAAGUAUCCUUCUCCAUUUCUUUAGUCAUAACUAUAACAUAAUUUUAAUUUUGAUUGCUCAACAAAAGAAUAGGUAAAAAUAUUAUAUUUCUUUUUUAUGCUCGAACAAUUCUAAUAGCAUGAAUAACGUCUGAUUAUAAAUAAUUUAGGUCCAAUUUUAGAUCUAGGUCCGGGCCGAAAUUUAGAGCUAUUUUUUAUUUUUUGUGCAUGAUGAUUCUAAAAAUUGAAGUAUCUGAUAAGUAUAUUUCAUUUUUUCUAAAUUUUGGGUAUGAUUUGUAAAUUUCAGUUAGGAAAGCAAUACAAAAAAUAUUUUUUCUCUUCUUGUAUUUUUUUUUAGUCAAUUUUGCCAAUUCGCUAAAUUGUUCAACUAUAUGAUUUGGAAUCUUGUUAUGUCUUUCGAGGAUAGGAACUUAAAUUAGUUUUUUUUUUUUUGGGUAUGAUUUGUAAAUUUUAGUUCGGAAAAGAAUACAAAAAUGUUGAAUAUUUUGUAAUCUUGUGUUGUGUUUGUUAGUCAAUUUUGUUAAUUUGCUAAGCUGUUCAACUUAUAUGAUUUGGAAUAUUGUUAUUUCUUUGGAGGACAAGAACUUAGAUUAUUAGUUUAUGUUAGUCAAAGAUUGUUUUUUAGUUAAUUUUUUAUAUUGAUUAUUACGGAUACAAUUAUUUUUAGUUUCAAAUAUGUAUAGAUAUUUUUGGUAUAUUUAUUUAAUUGCAUUAUUAGAGGGUUGACUAUUGUAGGGCAUGUUUGAAACUAAGUAAAAUAGGGAACAGAAUAAAACUAAGGUGUGCUACAAUACCUAAUCCAAACGUUAUAUUUGGUAUGAUUAAUUAAUUGCAUUUAUUAAGAGAGUGACUAUUAUAUGCCGUGUUUGGGGCUACGUUAAAAUUAAGGAAUUAAAAGCAACAAAGACAUGAAUCCAAACAGAAGACAUGAAUCAAUUUUUGAAAUAAAUAAAUUAAUUAAAAUUCUAGAAAAAUAGGAUGACUAGUUGAAGGCUCAAUAUGUUUUGAGCCUUCAAUAACAUAGGAUUGAAGGGUGGAAUUUAAGAAGCAAAGAGGGAGAAGAGGGUUUUGAGCCUAAACAAGAUCUCUAAUUAUUGAAUUAUCGACCUUAACCAUUAAAUCUUUUUCUCCGUGUUGUAUCACAAAGCGGUUGCACUUGCACCUGGACUGCCACUCAAACUCAUUUGUUGAUCAGGUCAGGAGAUUGGCUUUCAAUGUGGUGGUAUACUAGCUAUGGACAGCAAGGAAUUUGGCUAUGUUUCAGCAGAGACAUAUCUCGGCUGUGGACAUAGUUUCUGCUGUCUUGGCUCCUGUAAAGGAUGUGACAGCAGGUUAGAGGAAGAUCCCUUUAUCUAGAACCAACUGGGAAUUGGCUCUGUGUUUUAGCCCGUGAUGGCUAAUUCGUAUGCUUAAACAGUGAUUAGUUGGAUGUAACUGGAAUCUAUACAUUCCUGUGUACAAGCUUCGCUUCUGUGAUCGGUAAGAACAUGUUUUGCUAUGAGAUUAUUUAUACAUGAGAGUCGCAUUCACACUGAGGGCGAGGAAAAAAAUUUUCUUGCUUAAGACCAAACGUCAGAAGGAUUGAGUGGGAAAAUCUUAACAACUUAACAUAAUUAAAUAAGGGGUGAUUUGAACUUUAUAUUUCUACUAGUAGUGAUAUAUUUGUAACAUAAUUAAAUGGGAUCAUUCCAACUGACAUAUUUUGCAGUUACUUUUGAGGUGGAAGUAUUGAACUUUACAUUUCUACUAUUACUGAUCUAUCGAACUAGGACCAUUCCAAAGUUUUGCACAUCGGUAUGAAUAUUUGUGCACAUAGUAAGGGCAUGUUCUGCAGGUUACUUUAAUUUUUAAAGUUAUAGAGAGAUGGUAAAAAGUGUAAAUUAAAAUUGCAUUUGAAGCAGCAGUGAGACAUUCAUAAUUUAGACCAGGUUAGUAGAAUAGUUGCCCCUACCAUUAUUGCACAUUGAAAGGCACUCAUUUCACUUUAUUGUACCAUAGUUGAAGGAUUUCGUAGACUACUUGAGCACUCUUUUUACUUCAAGAAUGUUCAUGGAAAUUUUACAUUUCAAACAAAACUCCUAGUUUUCUCUUAUCGAGAUUCGAAUUUUGUCUUCCAUCAAUUAUUACUUGAUAUGCAAUUUCUUCUAAAAUCUAGAGGGUGUUUGGAGCACUCGUCUAAUCUAACAGUGAUUCAGUCCCCGUUAAUUUCAAGGAUCCACUUCCCCCAUAGCUGCCGUGUAAUGUCCCAAAAAAAAAAAAAAGAAAGAAAAAGAUCUUUCUUCGUCCAGUUGUGGAUGAGGUUAGGCGAGCACAACGGUAGUCUCUAGCAACAUUAAAACACAAAAAUAAUACCAUUCACCUUUUUGAGAGCAGAAAUGAGAAAUCGUGCCAUUCACGUUUUCUUGUACGGAUGUUUGGAUAUUCUAGAUGCUGAACAUCCACUUGAGAUAAACUCAUCUAUAAAAUGGUCAGUCAUUGUGCAAGUGAACUCACCAAAGCAAAGCUCCAAAAAUCACCGAAAAGAAAGAAAAAAAAAUGGCUGCCUCUUUGCAACCACUGUUCUCAGCAAUGACAUUCCUGUUGUUGAUUGCUUCUCUGAUUGGGUCCUCCGAAGCUGCCGGAAUUGUCCAAUACUGGGGCCGAGGCCAUAAAGAACCAUCAAGUUUGGCUGAGUUCUGCAGGCGAGAAUUCGCUACCGACGUGAAUAUUGCCUUUCUGGAAAAUUUUGGCAGCGGCCAGAUGCCUGAAUUGAACAUAAUUCAUCCUUGGCCGAGCUCAUCAGACAUAGAAUCUUGCCAGAAUAAUCAGACCAAAGUGUUUAUUUCUCUCGCAGGACAACCGAACCUUACUUCCGUCGAAGAUGCGGAAGAAGUGGCAGCCUAUGUCUGGAACACUUACUUAGGCGGUGAAUCAAGCGACCGUCCAUUCGGCACAGCUGUUUUAGAUGGCGUAGAGCUUCACAUCCACAGCGGAAACACGACUUACUUGGAUGAUCUUGCUCGGGCACUUAAGGGAUACCCAAAUGUGAUCUUAGCCGUAGCGGCGGAAUGUCCUAUUCCUGACCCUGCUCUUGACGCAACUAUCAGAACUGGAGUCGUUGAUCAGGUGCGGGUGGAAUUUUUCGACAACCCAUCUUGUCAGUUUGUCCCUCCAAACGAUACCAGUCUCCUCUUCCGGAGCUGGGACAAUUGGUCUGAUUAUCCAGGCGUUAAUCUAUUGUUCCUGGGAAUACCUAUCUCAAAAGAUAUCGCACCUGAGGGCGGUUACAUCCCACCUAAUGUGCUAGUUUAUCAUGUUCUUCCCUAUCUGCAGAACUCUCCUGUUUAUGGAGGCAUCAUGGUUUUCCCCUACCUUCAUCACGAGGUAAAUUUCCAAUCCCUGCUACGGUCCUAUGCUCGUGCUGCCUGAUCAGUUCCUUCCUCUCGAUCGCUAUCUACUGAAGGAGGGAUGAAAUCAAAUGUACUCCUGCUUGUUAAUGCCGGAGACGAAAAUGGUAAAUAAAUAAACAAUGGGUUGGUUAUCCAUGCCCACAUUAAAUAAAAUUGUCGCAUGAAGCUCAAUCGUACGGGUUUGAUUUUGAAUUUCUGUCUGUUCUUCAGCAAAACAUAUGUUAUAUAGCGCGAAGAUUAUGGUUGUUUAUAAGUAUUUUUCUUUCAGUUGUCCUAUGUAUCAUCAUUAGAUAUACAUAUAUAUCCGUUCUCCAGUACAAACAUAUUCACGCAAGAACCUCAAUGGUUAAUUCGGAACAAUAGCUCACGAUGACUUGAAGUCUUCGUGGAAAUCAUUACAACAACAACUACAGAAUAUAAUAGACGUAAAUAUUAAAUGUUAAAGACAAAAUAUGUAAAUAGAUACUACAACAAUAACUACAGAAUACAUAGUAAAUUUUAUCAUCUAUUCAAUCUAUCUUUCUAAUUUCAAAACCUACUCAUCAGCCACCACUAAGUGCAGCCACCACUAAGUGUACACUGCCGACACUAGAAAAUGUGAAUCCCUUAAACAGCAGCAUAAAGUAGUUACAUACUUCAUAAUAUCAUUAUUCGGCAAUUUUUUGGAAUAAACAGUCUAAGAAUCACUUGUGGUUGGCUAACGGAUGGUAUUUAGUUUAUUCUUCUAAAAAUUAUACCGCGAGGUAAUUUUUCUAGUUCACUUUAUAACAAGGCAAGUGUUUUUGUUAGACUGACGAACGUUCCGGAAGGUUCAUGACUCAGAUUUUGCCAAUAACAUAAAAAUUCAUGUUUUUGGAGAUGAUUUUUUUUUUUUUAUCAAGCUUUCUCGCAAGUGACAAUUGAUUAAUAAUGCAGCAAAAGUGACGGGAAUACUACUACCAAAUCAAUAAUAACACUAGCUAAUAAUGAUGUAGUAGUAGUAUUAAGGAGAUGCGUACUACAGUUGCAUGCAGCCUUUCAUACUACAGUCCUCCCAAUCCAGUGACAUGAAAGGGGCGGGACGCUGCAUACAGGCAAAUUACACUUUACCCCCCUAUAGUUUAGUAUUUUUUUGUACAUAACUUUCCUAUAAUUUUAAAAGUUAUAUAUAAUCUCUUCAUGAUUUGAAUUAAAGUAUCAAAGUAACAAAAUUUGCAAUCCAUAAUGGAAUCAAUUAAAAUAUAAAAAAUGCCCCUUUAUAAAGUUAAAAAUUAUCUAUUGACUACAAGCGAGUUAUGUAUAUAUAGUGAAAACAAUAAGGAAGUUACAUAAUAAAACAUUAAAUCAUAAGAGGGUUAUAUCAUAAAAUAUAAAAUCAUACAGGGUUAGAGUGUCAUGCAUAUUAUGUUUAUAUAUGUUGAUCACUUCAACCAUUUGAAUUUUUAAAUAAGAAUAAUUUCGACAUUUUUAUAGGUUCCUUUACAAAUGAUUAUUUCCGUUAUUUUGACACUUUAAUCCAAAUUAUGAGCGGAUUAUAUAUAACUUUUAAAAUUAUAGGGGGGUUAUGUACAAAAAUACUAAAUCAUAAGAAAUACAAUGUAAUUUGCCUUUUUUUUUCCUUUUGUUUUACAUUAAUUUCCAUCUGUUCUCAUAUUCUUGUUUUCUUCCGCUUUCUUUUUAACUAAACAUAAGAAAUUCGUUAAUUGCAUAUUGGAUUACUAUUUUACUACACCGGUAACAACUCCAGCGCGAGAUGCGGGACUCCUCCCCAAAUGCAAUAUAAGUAGCAGUAGUAGGAGUAGCUUGCCCUUUGUGUCAUUCAAGUUCACAAACAUAAUCGACACCUCAUCGAAAACAAAGUCGAAACAGGCUGCCUUAUUUAUGAAACUUUUAUGCAUCUUCAAUUAACUUUAUAACUAGCCAAAUUCAACAUAAAUAAUCCAAAUUCAACAAUAAAUUACUAUAAUUUGAAUAACAGCUUGAAUUUAUGAAUAAAAAUCAAUCAAAAAAGAAAAAAAAAUUCGCAAUUACCAUUAUUGAAUAACAUGACCUUAGAUAUUAAUGGAUAACAAGAAUUUCACUAUCCCUCUAACAAGGAUUUUCAAAGCAUUCCUAGAACUAAUGGCCUGUUUGGCAAAUGAAUUUUUGGCUAAGUUUGUUUCUUACCAAUUUUUUAACAAUUUUAACUACAGUAAUCUCAAAAAACUGCUAAAAAUUUUUAAACUACAUAUUUCAAAAUAUACAAAACACAUAAAAAAAAUUUUCUUCCUCCUUUCUCAUUCCACCCCAACCCACCCCCACCUCACCACUGACCAAGAUUAGCUGGCACCGAAGGCCACCUACUCUCUCUCUCUCUUCCCCACCACCUCUCUCCCCCAUUCUCCCUUCCCCACCAACCUUCCCUUACCCCUUUGCCCAAUCUGGUCGCAUGACUAGAAAGCACCCAGGAAAGGAGGGAGAGGGGAGGGGAGAGAGAAAAGAGCACAAAAAAAUUCUUGUUCCAAUUGGAAGGGAGAGGUGGUAGGGGACGGGGAACGGAGAUGAAGAAGAAAGGAAAGAAAAGAAAAAAAGAAAGAAAGAAAGAAAAUGAAAAAGAAAAAGAAAUAAAAAGAAAAGAAAAAAGUUUGUCAUUUUAAAAAUUUUUGCUACAAUUUUUAUAGUGAGUUACAAUAAAAUUUUAGACAAACAUCUAAAAAACUCAUUCGCCAAACGAGGCCUAAGUUUCACCCAGAUAUUUAUUGGGAGUUAUUUGCCAAAUAGGGCCUAAGUAAUAUCUCAUUCUCUUAUCAAACUUUAUUGGAAUUGCCCAGUUUUUUAAGGUUUAUCUCUUUUUUCACGAAUCUUUAAUUCGUGAUUGGGAUCCGUUCAUAUAAUAUUCCUCAUUGGGAGGAUGUUCAUGAAACCCCUUCUACUCUUACAUGUUUGUUUAGAAGAUCAGGAGGCCUAGGACACAUUUUUAUAGCAUGUCUACCAAUUAAUGAUUGCAAGAAUUAGUUUCUAAUAGGACCAUUUAUGGCAAUCGAUGAGUUAGAAAUUUAAUUUAUGUUCAUUAGUUUUUCUCACAUGGCUUUAUGAUCACUUGAUUUGAAUCUUAAAACUACAGGUAAUUCUAGAUUGAAAAUCAUGAGUGGGUGAUGUUAUUGAAAAGGAUUAUGUCUUGAAGAAAUUUCUAGGUGGUUAUGUUAUAAUAUUUCUAGAUCCACUGUGAUAGCAUGUAGUAUGAAAUAAAUUCGGGGUGGAGCACGGAAUUUACUAAUGGAGUUUUAAUUGAUAGUAGAUUACUUUAAUGAAUAGUAAGACAUGAUUAUCACUUUAGAAAUAACUAAAGUUGAAAUGAAAAUAAGGAUAAUUAAGUGGAAUUACUUCUUGAUGUUUGGAUUUAUGUUGACGCAAGGGAAAUGUAAUGGGCAUUAGGUGUUUGAAAUUUCUAUGGCCUUGUAAAAAGAAUAGCGGAUUUGAACAUGAAGCAACCCUUCUUUGGUCUAGUGAACCGCUUUGAUAUACAGGUGAGAUCUUCUUCGUCCAGUUGGGUCAUUUCCUAAUAUUGGUUAGAGUAAGAGUAGUAAAAGGAGUUGACGAUUGACCAAAAAGGUGAGGAGGGAGGGGGGAACAUGAAUUGUCCUUGAGUAAAUAAUAUCUAUGCUCUAUGUAAAGGUGGAGAAAGCUUUUGUUGUAAAUAUAUGAAGGGGAAGAGGGCUUUUGGUACAAAUAAAAUUUUGUCAUUUUAUAUUAUUUUUUAACUACCCUUGCUAGCUACCCAAUGUAAUCAACUAUCGAUUAUGGUUAUGGAUUACUGCUAAAUAACUAUCUAUUUGUAUACUUAUUUUCAUGAAUUUUCCAAUACCCAUUGUCAAAAAUAUAAAACCAAUUCCUUUGAAAAUGAUUUCAACAAAUUUACUCAAAAUUUUAAUAAUAUGUUUUUUAUUAGGUGUACACAUAUUGGUGUGUGCCCUAAAUACUAGUAGUUUAAUUAAUACUUGUUCAUGUAAAGUGAUAUAAUUGGAAGGGCAGUUUGUUUUUAUGCUAAUCUGGUCAAAUUAAGUUUUGAGAGUGAAACUUAGGUGGGUAGAAUUAAUGUAAUACCUGAAAAUCAUUAGUUGGUAAUUCAUAAGAGUUGUUGGCAGAAAAGCUAGAAUGUAUAUCAAUUAGAAAUUAAACAACUAAAUCAAUUAUUAGCAUAAACAAGUAUAGAAUUCUUCUAAAGUGUUUAAAUCUGUUGACGCAAAAAUUAGAUCAGUACGCAAGAUAAACAACCAAUAAAUUGCUCGAUAUAGAAUCUUUAAUGCAUUCUAAUGCGAAUAGAAAAAUAAUUAUUUCACAUCCUAUCAUCCUUAGAAUCGGUUGUAAAUAAAAAUCAAUAAGAUUCUCAUAGUAUGGAAUGUAAAGAAACAUAGGAAAAUGCAAUGUAAAUAUGAAGAAUAGAGGAGGAUUAUUAGAAAUCAAACUUUUGAGAAAGUAAAAAUAAUUGCCAAUAGAAAGAGAGAAUCUAGAGAAAGCAACUAAGGUUUUGGUACCUAGUUUUUAAGAUCAAGAGUACCAAAAGUUAAGGAAUGGAAAUUUCUGGUCUUCAAUCAAGUAAUAGUUUAUUGGGAAAAUUUCCUUUACAAGAUACUGAUUUGAUGAUAGAAUCAUCUACUGCUUUUGGUGCGUUAUUAUUUUAUUGAUAUAACUUAUUGAGCUAUCAUUUUCUUAUUGAAUAAGAAUCGGUCAAAUCUUUAGAAACGUUUGGAGAAACAAAUUACAAAUUACCAGACUACAAAUUGCAAAUUCUCAAGGAGAGUAUGCUGCUGCUGCGUGAUAUGAAAAACAAAAUAAAUGUGCUUUUACAGGGCAUUACUCAAUGGAAAUUCCUCCUCAGCUGAUUGGCCUUCAAUGCAAGAAUUACGCAGAUUUUGUCAUAGGCAUUUUCCAGAAACCUGAGGUAUGCAUGCAUAGCGCCAUGACUUCUUGAACUGAAGGAUCCCCAAAACUCCCAAUAGCCCGACAGCAUAACCCCGUCCUAUACUAGCAUAAAACCAAGACCAAUUAGACUCGCGUGGCCUAUAUCAUCAUGAAUAUGCCCAUAUUUCGUAGGCAAUUUAUGUUCUAGGCAGUCAUUUGGGAGUGGCUCACCACAGAGUCCACUGUUUCCUUCAUAGAUAGAUGGAUUGAUUAAGGUCUGAAUUUGAUUCCCUGAUGGUAUUGGCCCUGAUAGCUUAUUGUGUGACGAAUUCAGGAAGUUUAACCAGUUUAAAGCAGAUAAGCUUUCAGGGAUUGCACCGAAGAGUUCAUUCAUUGAUAGAUCAAGCGACUCAAGUUGCUUCAAGCUGCCAAUCUUCUCGGGGAUUCUUCCAGUGAAAUGAUUAUGUGAAAGUUCAAAGUUAGCAAAUCAACCAGAUCCAUUAUCCCAUCAGGGAUCUCACCCACUCAAUUAUUUGUCGAGAGGCUUAUGGUUUUAAUGCGCAAAAGGUUCCGAGAGGAGUACUCAAGUUCUCCUCCUCCCUUGAAGUUUUGAAGCCAGGUGAAAUCGCCAAAUGCCCAGAGAUCAGUUCCUGUUUCACUUGAUACCAUCAUUGAGAAGUUGAUAAUACAAUGAGGAAUAGAUCCUGUUAAAUGUUGUGGUUAACUUUCUGAGCAAGAAAAUGUUAGGAGAAAACAGAAAGGGAAUAGAACAAAUUUGAGAGAGAAAGAGAGAUAAAGAGAGAGAGAAUGAAGGGAAUGAGAAAAUAUGAUCUGAAUGAAUUAAGAAUGAAUCGAUCUCAAAAACUGUCUGAACCAAUACAUCCUUCAGUUAUUUAUACAGGAUUGUGCUUAUUUGCAUGCAGACGUCCGGCUAACAGAAAAGAUUCCUUCUAACUAACUCCUCCAGCUAAGAUGCCAGCCUGGCAUAACUGACGAAUGAUCUGCUUGGAUUCUGCCAGGACACAACAUUGCUCCCCCCUUCAAACAAUCCUAGUCCCUAGGAUUCAAUUAUGGAAAUUGCACUCGAAUAAAGGACCAAUCUUCCCAAGUGGAGUUAUCCUUAUUCAAAUUCUCCCAUUCAAUCAGCACUUGCUCAACCUCUUGACCCUUCCUGUAAAUAACUCUCUUGUCCAGAAUGGCCUUAGGAGCUACCUUGAACUCUCCUUCCGCAGUUGCCUCGGGAGGUGUAGGGUGGAUUUGGCUCCCAUUGGCAGACUUCUUGAGAAGAGAAACAUGGAACACAGGGUGCACUGAACAUCCAUCUGGCAACUUCAGUUUAUAGGCCACUGACCCCACCUUCUGCUCAACCUAAUAUGGUCCUUAAUACCUGGCAGAUAACUUUAGGUUUCUUCUCAAAGCCACAGAAGAUUGUCUGUACGGUUGUAGCUUUAGGUACACCCAAUCUCCUUCCUCAAAUUUCCUAUCCGUCCUGCCCUUAUCCGCCAAUUGCUUCAUUCUAUUCUGUGCCUGCAACAAGUUUUCCCUGAGUAAGGUAUUCCAGUUCACUCUUUCUCUGGACCAAUCCUCCACUGCAGCAACUAGUGUCUGCGUAGGGGAUAAAGUGAGUUGUGAAGGUCUGUAUCCAUAGAGGGCCUGAAAGGGAGUCAUGGUCAGGCUAGUGUGGUAGUUGGUGUUGUACCACCAUUCAGAUGUAGGCAGCCACUUCUUCCACUUGCCUGGUUAUUGCAUGCACAUACUCCUAAGGUAAGUCUCCACACAUCUAUUGACUCUCUCUGUCUGGCCAUCUGAUUGAGAAUGGUAUGCAGAAGAGAAGCUGAGUUUAGUGCCUAGCAAUUUGAAGAGCUCCUACCAGAAAAUGCUGGUAAACACCCAGUCCCUAUCAAACACAAUGCAAGAAGGCAGUCCAUGGAGCUUAAAGAUUUGAUCAAAGAAAACUUCUGUGAUACCCUUAGCCGUGUAAUGAGAGGUUAUAGGGAUGAAAUGUGCAUACUUAGUGAGCAUGUCUACUACCACAUAGAUGGCAUCACUGCCUAAGGACUUAGGCAAUCCUUCUAUGAAAUCCAUUGAAAUUUGUUGCCAAGCUUGAUCUGGGAUAGCUAGGGGUUGUAGCAGUCCAGGGUAUAGACAAUUUUCAGACUUGCUCCUGCUGCAAAUAUCACACCUCUGCACAAAAACCUCUAUAUCUUUCCUCAUGUUAGGCCAGUAAAAGAAAGGCUUCAUCCUCUGAUAGGUACCCUGAAUCCUUGAGUGACCACCCCAACAGGUAUCAUGGAAACACGAAAUUAAAUUCUGCCUGAGGUCAGAUCCUGAUCCUACCAAAAUUCUGUCCUUAUGCCGUAUGACUUCCUUUUGGUAAGUGUACUCAGGAUGAGAGUUGGUACCUGUGGUCAAAGCCAUCACCAGUUCCUUGAUACUGUCAUCACCAACAUAACUAUCGCCCACUAGAAAGAGUCACUGAGGUGCUACUGCUGACACAGCAUGCACUUCUGCCACCCCAUUUCCUUUCCCUCCUUCCAUUCCCUCUGUUCUCCUAGAGAGAGCAUCAGCCACCACAUUCUCCUUUCCCCGUUUAUAUUGAAUUUCAUAAUCCAUCCCCAUCAGCUUGGCCAACCAUUUUUGUUGUAAGGGUGUUGUGAUUUUCUGUUCAAGUAAGUACUUCAAUCUCUCAUGAUCAGUUUUAAUCACAAAGUGCCCUCCCAAUAGAUAAUGUUUCCAUUUUUGAACUGCAGUCAUUAAGGACAACAGCUCCUUCUCAUAUAUGGAUAAGGUCUGGUUCUUUCUACCCAAUACCUGACUCAUAUAGGCUAUGACCCUACCUUGCUGCAUCAAAACAGCUCCAAUGGCAGCUUGGCUUGCAUCAGUUUCCAAAACAAAGGACUUAGUAAAGUCUGGUAGUUUUAAGACUGGUGUAGUACUCAUUGCUUCCUUUAGCUUCUGGAAAGCUUGAUCCGCUUCUUUACUCCAAGAGAACUGCCCCUUUUUAAGCAGCUCAGUAAGAGGCCUGGCGAUCACCCCUUAACUUUUCACGAAUCUCCUAUAGUAGCCUGUCAAUCCUAGGAAGCCUCUGAGGGCCUUAACAUGGGCAGGAGUAGGCCAAGAGAGCAUAGCUUCAACCUUUGCUGGAUCAGCCUUCACACCUGUCUCAGUGACUAUGUGGCCUAAAUACUCUACUUGAUUCUGGCCAAAUGCGCACUUGGACAAUUUAGCAUAGAAGGAGUGUGUUCUGAGGGUGUUCAACACUAAGGACAGGUGAUGUAAAUGAGUCGUAAGGUCAGGGCUGUAAAUCAGGAUGUCAUCAAAGAAUACAAGGACAAAUUUUCUGAUAUAAGGUUCAAAUACAGAGUUCAUUAAAGCUUGGAAAGUUGCAGGUGCGUUUGUUAAACCAAAAGGCAUAACAAGGAACUCAUACAAACCAGAAUGUGUUCGAAAAGCUGUUUUUGGAAUGUCAUCAGGAGCCAUUCGGAUCUGGUGAUAACCUGAUCUGAGGUCUAUCUUGGAAAAAAUUUUGGCUCCAUGUAACUCAUUAAGGAGGUCAUCUAUGAUGGGAAUGGGAAAUUUAUCUUUGAAGGUCAAGCUGUUCAAUUGUCUAUAGUCAAUGCAAAGUCUCCAACUGCCAUCUUUCUUUUUCACCAGAAGAGCUGGAGAGGCAAAAGGACUAUGACUUUUCUGAAUGAUACCAGAGGUUAACAUUUCCUGGACUUGUUUUUCUAUCUCUGUCUUUUGUGAAUGGGGGUACCUAUAGGGGGCAAUUUUGAAGGGCCUAGCCUCAGUUUUAAGAGGUAUUUUAUGGUCAUGAGUUCUGGAUGGGGGCAAUGUUAUAGGAUCAGAGAAAAUGUCCUCAUAUGUAGCCAGCAAUUCAGUAAGAGAGUUAGGCAUACUAGUCACCUGACAGUUGUGAACCUUCACCAUGCAGGACUGCUGCAGAGCUUUCCUGACCCUGUGCCUGAUGGCUUUGCCCGCAGUCUCUCCUCUCCUAACUUCACCUGUGCAGUCUCGGAGUCCUCCUGCAAUAGGACCUGUUCUCCCUCCCUGUCAAAGGUUAUCUGCAAUGCUUUGAAAUCAAAUGUUAGGGGACUGUAUUUCUUCAUCCAAUCGACUCCAAUUAUCAUGUCAUAAGGUUCAAGUUCCAAAACAAAUACAUCAUGCUCAAAUUGGUAGCCCUGGAUCUCCCACUUCAUCUGAGACACCCACUGAUCGCAAUGCAAAACCUUCCCAUCUGCAAUUUUGACUUUGAAAGGUCUAUGUUUCCUGAUUUUCUCAGGAUAUAAUUGCGCAACCGUAGGUCGGAUAAAGCAGUUAGUACUUCCUCCAUCCACUAAAACUGAUAGCUGCCGGUUACCAUACAGUCCUUGCAUUUUGAUGGUGCUAGAAGAUAACUCACCUGAGACUGAGUGUAGAGCCAGUACUACUGCUUGAUCUGCACUGGUACCCCUAUACUCUAUGACCUCCUCCUCCUCUCCUUUAUCUGCUCCCUCCUCCUCUACUAGCAGCAUGUGAAGCUCCUUGUUCUUGCAAGUGUGUCCAGGGGAGAAUUUCUCCCCACAUUUAAAACACAAAUGGUUGUCCCUCCUGUACUGAAAUUCUGAAGGCGAGAUUUUCUUAAAGACAGGCUGUGAGUCACUCCUUUUCUUAGUUUCUUCACUAUUAUUUGGCUGCAUCCUCCUGUUCCCAUUGGCACCCAUGUGUCCCCUACUGAAACUAGAUGGCAGCGGACUCCUGUGAGUUACUCUAUUGUUUUUGGAAAGUGCUUCCAAGAGGUGUUCCUUCCACCUAGCCUUUUCAAAAGCUAGCUGAAGAGAGUCUGGUUUGUGCAUUUUCACAGCAGACUUGAUUUCAUUCUUCAAUCCUCCCAAGAAGCAAGAAAUGUAAUAGGAUUCUGACAGAUUGGGAACUUUGGCCAUCACUAAUGCUCUUAGUUCCUCAAAUCUCUCCUGGUAAGCUACUACAGAUGAGGUUUGCUGCAGCUUGUUGAACUCCUCAAUGGCAUCAUCCUCUCCCAGUUCUCUGAAUCUUCUACAGAGUUCCUCCUUGAAUUCGUUCCAACCAACUCCUCCCUUGUCUUUUUUGAAGUUCUGGUACCAUAGAUCAGCUUGCCCUUCCAAGUGCAGUUCUGCCAUAUCUACCUGGCUCUCUUCCGAGACUCUACAAAGGUGGAAGAAUUUCUCGCACUUUCUCACCCAAUCUCUAGGGUUGCUCCCAUCAAAUUGAGGAAAUUCCAGCUUAGGAAUAGCCACUGUGUAGUGAUUCCUUGCUGUUACUCCACCACCAGUUCCUCAUUCGCCCAUUCUCCCAGCUUGAGUCCCACUGUUAUGGUUAGGGCUCCCCAAAAUCCCCCUAUCACCAUGCACACCUCUCGCAAAUGCACUGAACUGGUUAUUCAUAUCAGCCAUGAAUGUCUUCAUUUCCAGUCGAUUGGCUUCCAAUAAUGCCUUCACAUCUUGGAAGUUAUCUCCCAACUUUUCCUCCAGUGCUGCCGUAGAGUCCAAAACGGUCUGGAUCCGUGCUUCCUGUUUUCGUAGCUGUUCUUCGAAGCUCUUCAUCCUCGUCCCUUCGGCCAUGGCUAGUUGCAGCUGAUAGUCCAAGGACCACCAGCUCUGAUACCACUGUUGUGGUUAACUUUCUGAGCAAGGAAAUAUUAGGAGAAAACAGAAAGGGAAUAGAACAAAUUUGAGAGAGAAAGAGAGAUAAAGAGAGAGAGAAUGAAGAGAAUGAGAAAAUAUGAUCUGAAUGAAUUAAGAAUGAAUCGAUCUCAAAAACUGUCUGAACCAAUACAUCCUUCAGUUAUUUAUACAGGAUUGUGCUUAUUUGCAUGCAGACGUCCGGCUAACAGAAAAGAUUCCUUCUAACUAACUCCUCCAGCUAAGAUGCCAGCCUGGCAUAACUGACGAAUGAUCUGCUUGGAUUCUGCCAGGACACAACAUUAAACAAUUAUGAACUAGGUUCAGCACUUGAAGACUUGAGAGCAGGCAGAGCUCAUCAGAAAUGACUCCAUGGAAGUUAUUUGACUGAAAUCUUAGAAACUUUAACUUUGAUAACCUUUCCCCAAUCCAUGUUGGUAAAAUAUCUGUGAGUCCAUUGUCACCGAGAUCAAGAAUUUGUAAAUUUCUCAGGCGCUGCAUUGAGGAUGGGAGCUUCCCAACGAAUUUAUUUCGAUUCAAAUGCAGAAUCCAAAGUUGCCCAGUGAACUCGGAAUUUGACCGCAUAGACUAUUAUUUGCCAAGUUUAGGACCCGCAAGUCUGGCAAAUUUCCCAAACACAGAGGAACUCUUCCAGACAGAAAAUUGUUGGAUAGAUCCAGUUAUUUUAAAUUUUCCAACUUGCACAGGUCUUCCGGGAUACUACUUGUUAAAUGAUUAUCGCUGAGUAUGAGAAUAAAAGUAGAUGCAACAGUUUGACCAACAUCAGGCAAUGGAAUAUGUCCGGUAAGAAAUUUUUGUGAAAGAUCUAAUUUGUAAAUAUAAGAUAGAAAUGAUUUGAGAGAUCCAUCCAAUUUGUUGGACUUUAGAACGAUGCUUGGAGAAUUUCCAUCAGGAGGACUCUCCUUCAUUUGUUUGAACUCCAACGAGUUCCAAGUUAGGUUGUUGUCCGAGAAAUCUACUGAUGCAAUAUCAUAACAAAGCACUCCAAACCAGCUGGGUAUGCUAUCCGAAAUGCUUGCAUUCUGCAUCUCUAACCAUUGAACCUCCUUUUGCGUUAGCAGCCAAGCAGGAAAUAGCGGGCCUACUUUGAUGGAUGACAUCAUAAUUUCUCGGAGUUGAAAAAGAGGAACCACCAGCAGCUCACAUUCAAAGAGAAUAAGUUUUCAGGUAGGUUCAAUAACUUUAGAUCUCCGAGUUUCGCAGAGUGGUUUUCAGAUAAUACACCAGUUAAUGAGUUGGAAGAAAUGUCCAAUACUUGCAGCUUCGGAAGUUAGCCUAUUUCACUCGGUAUUGGCCCUUGCAUGUCAGAUCCAAAUAAUUAAGACUGCUUACAUUGCAAAGUGACUUCAACGUUGAUACAUCAAAGCAGUUUUCCCCUAGAUCGAGAUCAACUAGAGAGGUCAUUUGUUCAAAUAGGCCAUGAAUUGGACCAGAAAGAUGAUUAGAGCUAAGACCAAGAUCAUAGAGACUAGUAAGAUUAUGGAGCCAAGGAGGGACCAUGUGGUCAUUGAAAUCAUUUUCACCGAGCUCAAGGGAAGAAAGAGAUGUGAAAUUGACCUGUGAAAGAUGAGGAUUGAUGAAAAGUUCACAACUAUCUAAUUCCAGUCGUGUUAGUGAAGGAAGCAUGUUAAUUGUCUGUAACCCAUCUUCAACGGCACUAGGAUUCACCCCAAACAGGACUAGGCUUCCCAGAAAAGAGAGUCCAACAAUCCACCUGAGAUCCUUCUUCGUCAAUCGAUUCCACGUUAACGAGGGAGUUACACCUCCAAGUUCUAAAUGCCGUAAACAUGAGAGAUUUCCUAGAUGGUGGGGAAUUUCGCCAUCAAACACUGCAUUUGCAAGAUUUAAGUAUCUCAAGUUUUUCAACAAUCCAAGGAAUGUGGGAACUUGGAUUCCUGAAAAAUUAUUCUUGCUCAGGUCCAGGUCUUGCAAAUUGGUCAAAUUAAUCAAAAAUGGACUUAAUUGGCCUCCCAAGCAAUUUUUGCAAUAAGUAAAUACAUUAUUUGAGUUUAACGGCUUCGUAUUUUGUAGAUCAAGUUUAACGACAUGACUAGUGAUUUUGUGGCAAUCAAUGCCUUCCCAUAAACAACAAUCCUCUCCUAUCCAAGAUGACAAGCGAUUCGAUUCAUCUAUCAACCCAUCUCUGAAUUGAAAAAGAGCUUGCCGUUCACUCUCAAUAUAGGAGACAUUUGAAUGAGUAUAAGCUUGUUUGCUACAGCCAAAUGGAAAAUGGCUAGUGACGAGAAUAGAAUUCAAUAAGAACAUUACUAGUAGUAGAGAUGAAGAAGUGCCAAGAAGAUGAUGCUCCAUUGGAUUUAUUUUGAUAUCGAACUAUAUGAUUUGUACAAGUUUAAAAGCAUCACUCACCGUUGUGCGUUGGAAGAAACUAUGUGAUGACCGAAAGUCUUCGUGGAAAAGUUGAGCCAGUAAACGAUCAAGUAUUUAACUAACUACAAAAUAUAGUAAAACCAAUCUACUUAAGAUGCAAAAGAACCUUUUACUUUUCUUAUGACUAAACAACCUCAAGAGGCUAAGUAAAGAUAUUCUUUUACUUUUCUUAUCGUCAACUCUUUUAAUGGGUGUGGAUCAUGGAGUUGGUGAGGCAUUAUUUGAUUGGGAGCCAUAAACGAUCCAAAAAAGAUUGAAUUGGAAAUAUAAUCACAGAUGGGGGAUAGGAACUGGAAAGAUAGAUUAUGGGAGUCCGAAGACUGGCAUGAAAUUAGAAAUGGAGUAGGCUAGAUAGACAAGCUAAUAAUGUCUUGACUUGAGCUGAUAAUAUCUUAAGAGUCUGGUCAUUCGAUCUGCAGAUAUAGAUUUAGAUGAAGUGAAAUUAAACAAGAAGAUCGGUAAACAAACAUGAUUAAUUUGCGUAGAAAACUUGACCAUCUAUUGCAUCCGACGACUGCAAGUCCACUGGCCAAUAGAAGUCCCGAUCGGCCAUAGAAAAUCAAUAUAUUAAUUCUUCGACUUGGAUAAUUUAAGGACUACACCAAAUAAUUUGCAUCAGUAAAAUUUUUUAUUUAUGUAAGUGCUAGCUUUUCUGUUUCGUGGAUUAUAUUCUUAAUUUUCCUUGUCAGACAGUCUAGCAAGGAAAUCAUUUAAUUAUGGAGUUAACCUUUUAUACACUGACGGAAUAUGUCCUAUUAUCCAAUCUUGGAUGAAUGAUAAGUAAUGUAACUUUGAAUUGAUAGGGUAUUAAUUGUUAGUAAUUUUAUUGUUAAUUUUCCUCUUUGUCCUUGCCAAAUAUUGUUUUAAUUAUUAACAUAUACUUAUAUUUGGUAUUGGGACUAAUUUCAGGAAGUGAAGCAGAAAAGUGCUAAAAAAGGGAGAUCUUCUUGAGAUAAAUACUCCACACGUGGGAAGUUUCUAAAAGUAAAUACAAGUCAGGCUCCACAGGAUGCUACAAACGGAUUUCCUAUAUUUGUGCUGAUGAAGAAUUGACUUGUACUAGGAGUUCUACUAGUAAUAGGAAACAAAAAGAAGGGAACUUCGGUAGGCUAAAGACCUUUUUGUUUUGUUUUCUUCCUAAUCGGGACGGGACCACUGAGAAAAGGAGUUAGUGAUUGUUUAGGGAAUGUUUCACUCAGUUUUUUUCUUGUUCAUGCGUGCCUUCUGUUUGACAUUACUCCCCGCUGGAGAAACAACCUUCGCUUCUUGAUUUUUAGUGAAAAACGUGAUACCUUGGAAAUCAAUUAAUUUGCUUGGAGAUUUUCUUAUGCGGCGUGGCUAAGCUUCUCAUCUAGUCAAGGAUCAACGUGAUAACGCACUCUCGAAUAUCUGUGAGAUCGAAUUAGUUUUCAUGCAUUUCUUAAUUUGUUAAUAUUUGCACGUUGUCUACUUGAAUUUUUAUGUGAUUAUUUUGUUAAUUGGAUGUCAAGAGCCCGAUAUUCAAUGUGACUUAUUAAUCUCCUGCCAAAUUAAUCAAUUAAAUCCGUAAUUGUUUAAUCGGUUAAUAUCAGUGGCAACUAGCAUUUUUACACACUAGGGGAACGUGUAAUCUAAUUUUAAUAACCCUCAUAACGUGUUAUUGAUUGAGAUUAGGUUUUUCUAGUUCUUAGUGUAAUUAGAGAAUUAACUCCUACGGUCAUACUUAGGAGUGUUUUCAAGUUAGAGGUAAUCAAUAGUCGUACCUUGAUUAUCAAUAAAUUAAGGAAAAACUAGUCAUCAGUGCUUAUUAGCGACUAUAACUAACAUGUUAAUAAAAUUAAGUGAACCUCCCUUGCAUCAAUGAUUGGAUGAAUGGAUUGUGUUUGUGAAGUUGUAUCCUUGGCUAGAACUCGUCUUUUAUUGAUUUAAUUCCUGUCUACAAUCGUUUAGUUAAUUAUUUGUUUUUGGUUGAAUUGUUUAAUUGCUCUUAUUCUUAUUUCGACAAAAAUCCCCCAUUGCCAAUUGGGAUUUCAAAGAAACGAAUAUCCCCAAUUCCUAAGAAGACGACCCUGCUUGCCACUGUCUAUUUGUUAGUAAAGUUUGUCAGCUUGACAGGUUGUUGAGGCCUGUGCAAUAAUAAAAAUAAACCUAAUUGCCAAUUCAAAUAACCAAAACUCGAUUCCAAGUACUGGAGUAGGGACUCUAGGUGUGUAAUGGGUUACUUGAUUCACCCUAUUUCCGAAGAGUUUGGUUGAUCCGAUAUACUCGAAUGGAAUGAUUCUUUUUUUUCACAAAUAAUUAUUAAAUUGUAAAUAGGGCAAGUAGAGUCAUAUCCUCAGGGAUUGGGGAUAUUUAUCUCUUUAGAAAUCCAGGGUAACACAAGGGGUGUUUUUGUAUAAACGAUGACAAUUAAAACAAUUCAACUAAAAAUAAAAUAGCAAACUAAAAAUUAUAUGACAACUCACUAAAAUUAGAGCAAUGAUAAUUAAAGAUCUAACCAAGAAAUAACUUCAACAAUGGUUCACCUAAUUGGUCAUCGAUGCACAAGCAAUUCCAAUUAUCUAUUAAUAAUAGGUUAUAACUGCCAAACAAGUGAUGACAGUCAACCCCUCCUUACUGUGUCGGUGAUUAAGGUACGGCCGUUAAUCACUGCUUUAAUUGAGAAAUAAUCUUAAGUACGCUCAUAAGAUUUAAUUCCCCAAUUGCCUUACGUAUUAGAGGAGCCCUAUACUAACCAAAUAACGCACUACCAGGGUUAUUUCAGAUUAGCCCGCGUGUUCCCCUGACACAAACCCAAUCAUGCCAGUUAUCACUAAUUCAAGACAAUUAAACAAUUACGGAUUUAAUGCCCUAAUUGACAAUAGAUUACUGACAGGUGUCGAGCCUGUGCAAUAAUAAUCACCUACUCAAGAAAGAUACAAAUUUUGUAUAUAGCGGUGAGUAGAGUCGAAUCUACAGGGAUUGGGGAUAAUUCGUUUCUUCCAGAGUCCGAAGUAUGAGAAAUUUUUGGAGAAUAUAAAAUAACUAAUUAACUAACUAAUGAAACUACUAAUAGAAUUAAACAAGAAUUAAUCAAUAGCCAAUACGACUUUAGUCAAAGGUGCAACUUUUCAGACACGGUCCAUUCAACUGAUCAUCGAUGCAAAGAUAAUUCAAUUACUCAUUACUAGAUUGGUUAUAGUUGUCAUACAUGCGAUAAACAACCAACCAUUCCUUACUUUUUCGAUAGUCAAUGUACGACCGUUAACUAUUUCUCUAACCAAAAAAUAACCCUAAGUACGAUUGUAGGAUUUAAUUCCUCGAUUGCAUUAAGCAUUAGAAAAGUCCAAAUCCUAACUAAUAAACAUACUACGAGGAUUUGUUUAAAUUAGAUCAUACGUUUUUCUAACAUAAAAUCAAUCACACUAGUCGCCACUGGUAUUAACCAAUAGAACAAUUACGGAUUCAAUCAAUUAAUAUGAUAGUAGAUUAUUAGGUUAAUUCGAAUGUCGAGCCCUUGACAUUCAAAUAACAAAACAAUCAUAAGUAAUUAAAUCAGAAAACGUACGAAUACCAAUGAAUAAAAGAAAUAAGUAAAAUAAUUCGAUCUUACAGAUAUUUGGAACCGCAUCUUCAAAUUAACCCUUGACUAGAAAAAAGGAGUUAGUUCAUCUUCAUGGAAGAAAUCUCAUGCAAAAUUGCAGAAGUAAUUCUCGAAAAUAAAGCUAUGUUUCCGUCAUCCUAAUAGAAGAGACUGCAAAGAAGAAAACCAAGAAACGGCAAAACGAGGCUAGCCCCCACAAGAAUGAAAACUGUCCUAUCUAAAAACAAUGACUAACUCCUUUUUCCCUACAUGGUCCCCACCGGAUAAGGAAAAAACCAAACAAAAGGAUUCCAGCACUACCGAAGUUCCCUUGUAUUUCGUUUUCUAUUGCUAGUAGACUAAUUAGUACAAGGCAACUUUUCAUCAGCAAAAGGAAAGAAAGUCCGUUUCUUAGCACCAUGUGGGCCCGGUUUGUGGAGCUUUUAGAAGCCUCUCAUGUGUGGAGCCUUUACCUCAAGAUGGUAUCUCUUUUUUGUACUUUUGUACUUCAUUUCUUGAAAUUCAGUCCAAAUACCAAAUAUAAGUAUAUGUUAACAAUUAAAACAAUAUUUGGCAAGGACAAAGGAGAAAAUUAACUAUAAAAUUACUAACAAUUAACACUCUAUCAAUUCCCCCCCACACCUAAAUCAUGCUUAUCCUUAAGCAUGAGAAUAAUUGGACUCAACAAUGGCCAGCUCUCACAUCAUCUAUUGCCAAGUUGUGCUUAUACCAAAAUCAAGGUUCAGUGGCUAAAUUUCAAGACAAUCCUCCCGGUUACCUCCUGAAAUCAGAGACUCGUCCAAUUCAUAGUUAACUUGUCCAGGGAAUCAAAAUAUUAAACUAGCAACAGUCAGCAAUUGGUCCAACUAGCAACCAAAAUCUCAACAUUGAAAACCAAGGAUCAACAGACCAACAUAAUCAUAAGCUUACAUAUUUUUCACAUCUGUUCGUUUUCUUUUCUCCCUUUUUUUUUGUUUUUCUAUCCUUUUUUUCUUUUGAACGAAUAAAUGCCCAGUCCCAAACCAUUCAAGUCUUUUGACGCAAACUCUAACAUUUUUAGAUGAAAGAGCCCAGUUACUCAACUUUUCACCGCUUUAGGACCACCUACUCAUAGAUAUCGCCACUUUUUGACGCGAGAGUCGACACUUGUGGUGAAACUCCCGGUUACUGAGUGACGACACUAGCAGAGUAUAGCCAUAUGUUAUGCGCAUAAAACACCAAAAUACCAGACAAUUAAAUAACAUGGCCCACGUCAUCUCUUAAACAUGGAGAACUAAGGUCAACAGGGGACCAAUCCACACAACAGUUGCCAGCAGAAUAUUUACAUUGUCUAAACAAGUUAACCACAAUUCGCACAAAGUCAUCAAACUCACAAUAUUCACCAAGGAAACAUGCUCUUACUUGCCAUUGAAGCCCAAAUUAUAGAAUAAAUCACAUCUAGCAAUAAAAGAAUGAGUUUGCCAGGUAAUUGUUGAUCACCAAGAUAAGCAAUACCAAAAGCAGAAAAUUAAAGAGAUACCAGUCGAACUGCCCCCCUUCCACACCUGAAUGGUACAUUGCCCUCAAUGUAACAAUUAAAUAGCAAAAGCAAGAAGAAGGGCAACGGAACUUCCCUGAAAUCACGGGGACCGUGGCGGGGUCACAGCGGUGGGUGAGGCGUUAAUUGAGGUGUAAGACCCGUGUGGUGCAUAAACGCUUCCAAGUUCUGCAUAAAUGCUGACAAAACUUGCCCACCCCAAAAUCUCAAUAAAUGUCUCCAAUAGGACAAUCAAUUACAUAACUCAACCAACUGAAAUUAGCAAAUGUCCCAAGAAACCGGCAAUUCUAGCAACAGCAGUUCAAAAUGUGGACAACAACUUAAUCACAAGGUUUCUAGCUUUCAAUUAGGCAGCCAACCAAAUAGAAUCAACAAAUGUAAUCAAAAUGCCCCAACCAGUACCACUGGUGCACCUCACAGAUAAUGAAGCAACUCAAAUGGCCAACUAAAUCAACAAAAUGUACAAGGUAAGCACUCGAGGUCAACACAAAUGUCCCAACAAUGCAGCAAUUUCAAAGCACCCGCAGGUUGCUCUCAGCUAGUGAUUCACAAUCAACUUCACAAUCAACUAAAUCUAUGGCAACAAUCAACGUAAUAAAAGCCAGUGUGUCACAAGCAAGCAAUCAGAGGCACACUGGAGCCAACCAAAUCUCAACACAAACCCACAGAAGGCAAUUAUCGAAUGAAUGAGGCAACAAUGUAGCAGAUGAAUCGCAAGUGAGUGCAACAAACAACCCUCAAAAGUGAUGCUCUAAAUACUAAAGUAAGAGUUGAGAGGAGUAAAAAUCAAAUGUCCUUGAAGCACGAGGAUGGCGUGGCAGCCACGCGGCGGCGCUGGCGGCGUGCGACGGUGCACGUCGUCAGUGGCGGAGGUGAACAGCUGCGGUGCUACGCACGUCGUGGAUACGUAGGCAGCAGUGGUGGCUUGAAGGGAAGAGAGGAGAGGCCGUGGGUGGAGGUGGUGUGGUGGCGCGAGGGGAGGCGGUGGACGUGAGGUGGUGUCAGCCGAAGAGAAAGAGAAAGGAAUUAGGGAAGAAGAGAGAAAGAAAAAAGGAAGAAAGAAAGAAAAAGAAGAAAAGGGGAAAAAAUAGUUUUUGGGGGAUUUUUUUUUGAAUUAAUGUUUUUUAAAAUAUGAAUUUUGUACAACAAAACUGAAGGUUGAAACGGAAAAUAUUUUUAUUUUUUAUCUUUCUAAUUUUUUUAAUUAAAAAUUUUUUCUUUUGUUUUUGGGUCAUCAAAUAUGGCGUGGACACGCCAAGAUUAUAAAACAUCUACUGAUCUCAGGAGUCACUGACACAGCGUGGGCACGCCAAGAUUGGUAAACGUCCACUGACCUUGGGAGUCACUUUUUGCGUGCCCUUCUCGCGUGGGCACACCAAGAUUCCCUGUCCUAGUUACAGUGGAGGAAAAUAUCAAGAUCAAUCAGUACCUAAGUGAGAAACGACAAAUUUAAAGCAAUGAACAACGAAAAAAAAGUAAACAAAACCAAUAUUUGGGUUGCCUCUCAAAAGCGCCUUUUUUUUAACAUUUUUGGCUAGACAUUGCCAUAUUUAUUCACGGAAGAUAAAAUCGUGUAGCUCAUUUCAGUGUUUUAUCUUCUAUGUAGUCCUGAUAACCCUCGUAAAUAGUGUAAUCUUUGAGUACAUGAGUUACGGUCUUCCAUGGACUAGUAGAUGGCGCCAAACAAGUCAACAAUAAUCUGACUUCUUUACUCACUUCUCCAUCAAGCACAUUUAUUGGUUCAAGAUAUUUUGUCAUUGCCAUUCUUAAUUUAUUCCUGUCAUGAAAUUCAAAAUUUUCUGGUAUAAUAAAGUCAAUCUCACUAACAGGAAUUGAAGAAUAAAAGUCAGGAGAAUAUUGAUUAAGGAAUGGAGAAGAUGUCACCGCAUUUGGAGAUUGUUCACUGGAUUCAGUCACUUGGACGAGUUGAUAUUGGGGUUUCAUUUCUUGCACCUCAACUUCCUUUUCAAUUGCAUCUUUAGAUCUAUUUUCUUGAGACUCUUGCAGCUCCUUGUCACUUGUCAAGAUAAUUACAUUCUCAUCUUCCUUAAGGUAGAUGAUGGUUUGAGAGGGUAAUUCUUCACAAAUUAGAGAAAUCAAUUUACUCAUUGUAGAUGUCAAUUCACGCCUUCCAUCUUCCGUCUCUUUAAUCAUCCUUUGUGUCUCUUGUUGAAAUUGAUAUGUGUUAGUAGCUAUUAAUUCAACCAUUUCUUCAAGAAACAUACCUGAUAUAGAUGAUGGCUGUUGUUGUUGAUAUUGAUGUUGAAAAUCAAUUGGUUCUGGCGUAUAAUUAAAGCUGGAGUUGUCCCACCAUCUUUGAUCAUACCCAUUUGAAUAAGGGUCAUGCCAUGUUCGAGAUUGAGGUGAAAAAUAUCCAAUCUUAUUGAAAUAGGCAUUCAGGUAAUCUUGAUAUUCAAAGCACAUACUGGUCGAAUGAUCCGUAGCAUAACAAAUUCCACAAGUUGCAGCAGCUAUUCUUUCUAUAAGAAAGGUUAGUGAAUCUGAAUAUUGAUCAUCAGAAAAAGCACAAGCCUUAUUUCCUUUUGUAAGAAUAAAAUUCAGUCUAUCACCAAAAUAAAGACUGUCAGCAGCCAUAAACCAGUAAAAAAAAAUAAGAGAAAAAAAAUGAAAACAAGAUGAACUCAAAAAAGAAACAAAUUAAUCAGGCAUCAGUUCCAGACAACGGCGACAAAAAUUGAUAGGUGUCGAACCCGUGCAAUAAUAAUCACCUACUCAAGAAAGAUACAAAUUUUGUAUAUAGCGAUGAAUAGGGUCGAAUCCACAGGGAUUGGGGAUAAUUUGUUUCUUCCAGAGUCCGAAGUAUGGGAAAUUUUUGGAGAAUAUAAAAUAACUAAUUAACUAACUAAUGAAACUACUAAUAGAAUUAAACAAGAAUUAAUCAAUAGCCAAUACGACUCUAAUCAAAGGUGCAACUUUUCAGAUACAGUCCAUUCAACUGAUCAUUGAUGCAAAGAUAAUGCAAUUACUCAUUACUAGAUUGGUUAUAGUUGUCAUACACGCGAGUCAUAUUCCCAAUUUACAGAACCGGAUUCCUACCAACAGGAUAGUUAACUGCACUAAAUUCAAAUGGCCAUAACUCAAGUUACUAAAGUCCGAUUAAGGCGUUAUCAGGGGUGUUGGAAAGAUAAGAUAUAGUACUACAACUUUUAUGUUUUGGAUAAAUACUGGUUCAGUACAUAUCAUGGUGAAAAGACACGACUAAAUUGGUGAAAUAUCCAAAACUGAUCACUGGAUUCACCUGGGGCAGUCAGGGUAUUUCGGUCUUUUCACAGGUUACGCUGCUCCGAUUGAGCUGAAAUUUUACAGAAAACUAUAAAAACAUCAUUUUCUAUAACUUUUAUGUUUUAGACUAAGCCUAAUUCGGUCUCUAACAUGGCAAACUAGAAUCGGACAGAACAGGGUAUACCUUAACUUCAAUUCUGGAAAUUUGCUAUAAUUAAGGUAUAAAUCUCAUUUUAGCUUGAAAUGAUCACUACCACCUCUUAUACCAACCUAUAUAUAUCAUAUACUACCAAUACAACAAGUAUGAUAAGUGAAUCAUUCAAACCCUAACUCAAAUUCAUUAUCCCAACCAUCCAAAAUCACUUGAUAUAAGUAUUACAACCACAAAUACAAGCUACUAAGUAACUCCAACAUGAUUAAGGAAAAAGAAAAGAGUGGUCAGCCAUAUUACCUCAAAAACAAAGCUUGCUAGAGUUAUUCUCCACUUCUCCUUGAAAGUUUUGGUUCCUUCAGCUUCCCAAGCUCUCAACCUACAAGUUAAUUGGUUUAGUUUUUCUUGGUUUCACUCACAACUCUUGAUUUGAGAUUGGAAAUAGAAACUCUCUUCACUCUUUCUCCCUCUCCUUGCUCUCAGCCAAAUAAGAAAAAAAUGGUGAAGAAAUGAGUUAAAAUGAAAAUAAGAAGGUAAGAAAGUUGGCUUGGUCAAAGGGCCUUAAAUGGCCAACACUUGUCACACUUAGGCUCUCACAAUUUUUUUUCUUUUCUUUCUCUCUUGGGGUCAAGAAUUUUGGCUGUCUUGAAGGGUAUUUUGGGAUGAUUUUUUAUGAAAUAAAAGUAAGGAGAUUGAAGUAAUAAAGUAGUAUUCAAGUGAUGUGUUCAAUCGGUAGCGCGCGAUACCCGUCGGUCCGAAUCGUUUUUUUUUUUUAAAUCGCGUAUACUAGGGUUUUUACUGAUAAUUUACUACCUCAUUAUUACUACUUAUAAUCCCAUAUUUAAUAUCAUUUAAACUCACUCUUAAUCACUAAAUUUGAUUCACCCUCGGUACCGGAUAGUCACCCUACGGAUAGACGUAAAAACCCUAAUUCACGUUAACUUAAAAACGAAAAGGGUGAACCCUUAAUUCUAUAUUCAUUUGCACUUAUUGUGGGGUGAUUGAGUAGUAAGGCUAUUAUAAAGUAAUAUUUGUCAAAUAAAAGGGGAUUUUUAAGAAAAUAUAAGGAAUUUGCACGUCCUCACACUCUCUCCCCCUUAAGAGAAUUUCGACCUCGAAAUUCAUACCUUGAGUUGUAAACAGGUCUGGAUACUUCUCUCGCAUGUCUUUCUCUAGCUCUCAGGUGGCUUCCUCCACGUCAUGAUGUUUCCAUAGAACCUUCACUAGUGGGAUCUACUUGUUCCUCAAGUCCUUCACCUUUCUAUCUAGUACUCGAAUGGGUCGUUCCUCAUAGGCUAAUGACUCAUCGAGUUCAAUAUCUUCUGGUGGCAAACAUGUGAGUCGGAUCUGGAUGGUAUUUCUUAAGCAGAGAAACAUGAAAAAUGUCAUGGAUCCGAGACAAACUAACUAGUAAUUCUAGUCGAUAAGCCACAUUCCCUAUCCGCUGGAGUAUAGUAAAGGGUCCUAUGUAUCUCGAUUGCAACUUUUUCCCUUUUCCUCCUUUAAUCUUUCCUUUCAAUAGAAUAACACGAAGAAAUACUUUAUCCCCUAUCUCAAAUUUCAAGUCCUUUCUCCGAUGAUCGGCAUAGCUCUUUUGUCGACUUUGAACUGUUUGAAACCUUUGACGAAUCACCUUUACCUUUUCGUAGGCUUUCUCAACCCAAGAUAUUGUAGGCGGAUCUAUGAUCUUUCUCUCUUCUACUUUAUCCCAAUGGAGUGGAGAUCGACACCGUCGUCUAUACAAUAUUUCAUAUGGGGCCAUUUGAAUAGACGAGUGAUAACUAUUAUUAUACGCGAACAACAACAACAAGGUUGCGAGGAACUACAAUCUGACUAUCAACAACACCACCACCAACAGAAUAUUUAGCAGCAACAGCAGAACCAACAACAGCAGCAGCAGUAUCAUCAUCAAAACCAACAGCAGUAGCAAGAUCAAUAUCAGCAGCAGCAAAAUCAGCAUCAGAAGUAGAACCAAUAAUAGAACUAGCAAAAUCAACGGUAGCAACAGCAGCAGCAAAAUCAGCAGCAACAGCAGAACCAACAGCAGCAGCGAGCAGAAUCUGCACGCAACAACAAAAUGAAGAAGUUUUACGAAAUCAACAAUACACAAGCCAAGGGACUCGUCAACCCAAAAAGGCAGGGAAACGAAAGUUAACAGAUUCAGAAAAGGAUUAGAUCAAUGCAAAUUAUACAUAUUUAUGUAAAGAACCUCCUUUCACAGUCGAAAAUUGGAGAGGGAGAUAGAGUAGAGAAACAGCUACAAGAGGAGGAACUUCACCUACAACUACCAGAGGACAACCAAGCGUCAAAAGAGGAUCAACAUCUGAAAAUUGAAAAAGAAGUAAAACUAUAGUUAGAUUGGAACAUACUUGAACUACAUUUUGCCUUUCUGUAUCUUGUUUGUUUUGGGUUUAAACAACAAUAUAAGUAAUUUUUCUUUUGAUAUGUUGACAUAUUAGGAAUAUGGUCCAUAUGUACAAAUAAUUUAUUUUAUUCAUUUUGAUGCAGAUUGGUCUAUGUUAAUGUAGCACUUGUCUGUUUAGUUCUUAUAUCUCUGUCAUUGAUGAAAUUAGUAGAACUGAAAUGUGUUAUUUGAAACAUUUUUGACACCAAAUUAUACUUAAUUUCAUGUGAACAAGUCAACUUUUAUACAUCAUUGUUUAUAAUUGAAGGUACAAAAGGGGAUUUAUAAAGCCAUUUGCCCUUUCAAUAUGCUACCAUUACAUCUAACUGAGCACCUAUUCUUCAAUGAUUUUCAACGACCCCAGAAAUUUGUAGCACGCCACCAGAUUUAUCUAUGCUUCUAACAAACAUUGCGAAGACAACUAUUAGCCAAGGCAACAAUACACAUCGAAUGAGUGUCUUAUUGGCUGAUUUGUACUUGGUAAUUUCAGCUUCAAGUGGAUUCAUUUUGGCCUCCAAUUUCAUAGCUUUUGCUUCCCAUUUUCUUGCUACUUUUUCAAAUUCAACUAUUUUUGCCUCCAUUCUAUUGAUCUUUCUGAGUAGACCCAGUAUAAUCAUUGUAGAUCGAGCGCACAUUUCAUCAUCUAUCCAACCCCAAUAGCUACAUCCAUUCUUCAAAACUAAACAAAUUUAUUAUGUUUCUUACACAAUAAUAAAUUAAGUAUCUAGAAAGAUGUUACAAACCUUCCUCAAUGCGCAUUUGGCAAAUCUUCUUCCCGAAUUUUGUGCAGUCCAUGAAGUUAUCAUUACUGUCUUAAUCCCACAAACACAAGUAGGUAGAGGUAGAUGAGGCAUCGAUGUAGGCGACAUGGAUCUUGCUGGCAUGGCUCUUGGUGGCGUUGAGCUUGGUCCUACUUCCUCUAAUCCAAGCUGGGCUUCUUCCAUUUCUUUCUCUCUUGUUGCAGUAGUAGCAGAGCCUUCUUUAGGUUUAUAUAAUAAGAAAAAGAAGAUGUAUGUUGAACUCCCUAAAUUGACCCUUUCUUUUAUCUUGGAAAUCGCGUGGGCAGACAGAUCGGCAAACUUAACAACUAAAUCUAACAGAAUGGUCUCAAGUCUUAACUUUAUACAUUUUAGUGGCCAAAAUUAGACUUUUAAUAGUUGAAUGACCAAAACUCGAUGAUUGCAAAAGUUUAGUGGCCAUCCAGAUAAUUUGCUCAAAAAAAAAGGAUUUGCUUUAGAUUUAUUGGCAUGGACCACUUAGUUACUGGCUGGUUGGAUUAGUCCAUGUCCAAGAAUAAACCAAUCAACAACUUGAUAACUUAGAAGAUAGGAUCCACACGCUUGUGGUUGGAUUAGUCCAUGUCCAAGAAUAAACCAGCCAAAAAUUGAUAACUUACAAAAUAGGGUCCACACACUUUGCUAAGUAGAUGAGCUUGCGAUUGUUCUUCAAUAAAGUGGACUGGUACACACAUUAAAAAGAAAUUUAAACUUUGGCCUGUUUGGAACCUCAAGUUAUUUACAAGUUUGUAUGCUACUAGUUUUUUAAUAACUUUUGCUACAGGAACCCCCAAAAAUUUGUCAAACUUUUUUAUCUACACAAUUCAAAAUACCCAAAACACAAAAAAAAAAAAAAAUUCCCUUCCCUUUUUCUUCUUCUUCCUCCCCCACCCCAACCCACCACCACCUCCGUCGCUGACCACCACUUCCGGGCCGGUUCCGGCGCCGGAAGAGGCCUUCCUUUUUUUAUUCCCUUUCUCCCUCUCCCCCUCUUCCUCCCCCGCCAUCCUUACUUUCCACUCAUAGAGUUUCUAAUCUACACACAGGACUUCAAAGCCAUAUGUGAGCCCACGAGUUCUAUAAAAGCUUGUUCAUUUAAUUAAACUGUAACAAUACAAAAUUGCAUUAGACUGAUCCCAUAAAAUUAUCCCUGCCAAGUUUGUAUGCAAAUCUACCUAUAACACACGAAUUUGGGAAAGAAAUUCAAGAGAUGAAAGCUACUCUACAGUCAGAUUUCGGCCACAUCAAUUACUUUUACCUGAUUUGAUGGCGAGGGUGGCGGGGGAGCGGGAGGAGAGGGAAAAUUGCAAAAAAAAAAUUUGGUACCUGAUCUGUGUGGCAAGAGGAGGAGAGAGAGAGGGAAAAUUAGAAAACAAAAAGUUGGGGAAAGGCUCCUCCAUCGCCGGCAGGUGAAGCAGCGGCAGGUGAGGGAAGGGCAGAGGGGAGGGGGAGGGGGAGAGAAAGAAGAGGGAUGGCGGGGUAGGGAGAGGUGGGGAGUAGGAGAUGGGGAGAGAAAAUGCAAAAAAAAAAAAAAAAAAGUUUUCUGUUGCAGACUGCUUGAUGGCAGUUUCGGGAGAGGAAUAGAGGAGGGAAGGGGAAGGGGGAAAGGGAAGGGAGAAGAAGCGGGAAGGGAGGAAAGAAAAGAAAAAAGAAAGAAAAAAAAGAAAAAGGAAAAAAGAAAAAGAAAGAAAAAAAUGAAAAGGAAAAAAAGUUUUUCAUCUUACACAAAUUUUUCUACAACUUCUACAGUGAUCUACAGUAAAGUUUUAGACAAACAUCCAAACAAACUAAGGUUCCAAACAAUGUUUUAAAAACCGGACCGUUAAUUGAACCGGUGAAGUGAAAGGGUCAAAGUUCAACCGGUUGGACCGGUUCAAUCUCGGUUCAAUGAAUUUUUUAAAAAAUAAUUUAUAUAAAUAUAUAUGUACAAAAUAAGACAUGUAAUGGACUAAUUUAAUACUUUAUAUGAUGAAAAGUUUACUAUUUUUUAAUAACUUGGAUUUUUAAAAAUAAAUUUUUUAAAUUAUAAGUUAAAACAAAUAAAUUUCAUCUCAAUUUCAAUUAUAUCUAAAUCCAACCCAAAAAUAUCACAAUAUUUUGAAAUUAUACAAAAUUCAUGCCUAUGAGAAUUUAAAUUUUAAUUUACGUUUUGGGAUUUAGAGAUUGCAAUUUAAAAAAGGAAGUUUGGAGUUCGAAAAAAGUCAAGAAAAUCGAAAAUAGAAAUAUAAACUUGAUAAGAAACAAAAAAUGAGAUAAAAGUGAGUGGUUGUGGCAUUAAAUAAUUUGGGUUAAAAAAAUAAUGGACAAAAACAAUUUAAUGGACAAAAACAAAAUUAAAAGAUGGAAGAAAACAUCAAUAAAUUAAAAAUAAAGAGGUUUGAUUAAAAAGGGAGUGACAAAAGAAAAGAGGAUAGAGAGAGAGAGAGAGAGAGUUGAAAAUUAAAAAGAAAGAGCCAUGAGAGGAUGAGAUUUUGUAAAAAAAAUGGAAAAAAGAAAUAUGAGUAUUUGCUUUAUAUAAAUAAGUUAUCAAAAAAAAUUAAUAAAAUGUGAUGGUGCAACGGUUAAUACAUUGGUCUUCUAUUACAAAGGUCUUGAAUUCGAAUCUUGAUAGCUGCAUUUAAAAAAAAAAAAAAAAAAAGGAAGGUUGAAAACCGGUUCAAUGGCGGUUUUUUCGGUUCGACCGAUUCUUGACCGGUUUUCUGACAAAGUCAACUAUGGCAUUGAACCGGACCGGUGCCAUGGCCAAUUCGCGGUUCAACCGGUCGAACCGGUCGGUCCGGUCCGGUUUUCAAAACAUUGGUUCCAAACGGGGCCUUUGUUUCAUGAAAACUUUUUACAUUAUUUAUAUGAAGCGUAGAGAUUUUUUUUAUACAAGUAGGUUUAGAUAAAUGUCAUAUUAUCAGUGUUUAAAUUUUGAAUUCAAUUUUUCCUCAUAUAUCAUAUAUUUACACCCGUUAGUAUAAAAAAUCUUUACAGUAAUAAUGUAUACAAUAUUAAUGUAUAGUUGUGUAUAUCUAUACUUCUUUAUGUCAUGAAAACCUUGUUUAACACAUUCAAUGAGACUCGAUAAACUCUUUUUAUUUUGACUUGAUAAAUUUUUAAUAAGCAUAAAAGUUUGGGUGGUUUUUAAACUAUAAAAAGAUUGAGACCAAAAGAGGAAUAAACAGAUCAAGAAUUUCAAAUGUGCAUUUAAAAUUAGGAGAAGCAAAAAAAGCCAAAAUAAAGAGCCUUCAAAAUCUUGACUGCCACAUAAAAUGCUCCAAGUUGGGCAGAAAUUUUGCCAACGUGUUGGGUCUAAGUCCAUCCAUCAAUGGAAGUUGUGACCUACUAUGGAAAAUUUGUGCUGAAUUCAUGGAAAUUUUGAUUCUCUAUCAGUUAGUUAUGAAAUUGAUUUUUCAAUUUACGAUCCUCUCUUUUGUAAUCUAAAUUAAUUCAAAAUUAUUUGUUAAAAUCACUAAACAAUUAGUUGUGAAAUUGAUUUUUUGAUUUACGAUCCCCUCUUUUGUAAUCUAAAUUAAUUUAAAAUUGUUUGGGAUAAAAUCAUUAAACGGAUUGGAAAUUUGUCACAUACCUUAAAGUUGAUAGAUCAACGUUAAAGAAGCAAGCAAAUUAGGUUUCCAUGAGAAUAACAAAUUCUAAAGCAUGAGGGACAAAACUAAAUCUUAAAAAAAAAAGUCCGCAAUGCGUGUUGGAUGGCUACCAAAAAUGGUGCACACUUUGUGGUAAAAAAAAAAAAAAAGAAGCUUUGUGCAUACUUUGAUUUUUCUUUUUAUUUUUUUUGUUCCUGUUCCUUGUCAAAAUUUGAUCAUUUAAAAGUUAACAUCGUUGAAUAAGAUAUUUGAGCAUUCAAAAAACAUUUUAUACAUAAAGUGAGUUGCAUUUAGUGUGACAAACACGAUAAUUGGAUGACCUCUAUUAGUUUCUCCCAAAGGACAUGUAUGUAUGAAACUCCUUUUUCCUUUUUGACUUUUUUGAGCUAAUCCAAAUUUCUCUCUUCUAUGAAGGCGCUCUUUGACAUUAAUGUGACAUCAUAAAGUGCUGCCUUCAAGAAAAAAGAAUAGAUCAGCAACCUGGAAUGAAGAUAUCAAAUCAAGAAAAACGAAGAAACUUGUUUGGACAUCAAUUUUUCAAAGAAAAAUUACUACAUUUUUCGUAAACAUAUUUUCCAAUCAUCUUUUUACCUCAUAUAUAUCAAAUUAUUAUAAUAAUUUUUCGACAAAAAAUCUAGAAAAAUGUAAUCCAAACAAAGCACGUUGCCUUCAAGAUCAGGAAGUCCAUGUGUAGCAUUUCAAAGGGGUUAGGAUAAUAGGUUUAGGGUUCCAAUACUUUCAAUUGUUGAAGGGAUCUCUUCCAAGCAAUGAACUGUUCAUGCCUCUGAUUUUUUUUUUUUUUUGGUCGACACAAGGGUGUCCGGGUCAAUCCUUACGGGGCCCAACUAAUCCCCUGCGGCCUGGGCCCGGCGCCCCAACCCGGCCCGAACACGUUAAGUGCGCGGAGGAAUCCAGCGGAGCGGAGACUCGAACUUGUGACCUCAAGAUUCACUGGUCAGACGCGUUCAUGCCUCUGAUUAUAUGAGUCAUUUUAGAAGGAAAACAGAUAAAGCCACCCUAUUGGGCGAUGACGUUAAAUUCAAAUGAUUGACGUACAAAAUUCCAAACGAUGGAUUAAUUGUAUACACGUAGUUUGGAAAAUGUUUCCAAUUGGAUGGAGAUUCUCUGCAAUUGCAUCAUGCAAUUCAUUUAAUUCAACGAAAUUAAUUAUAAGACUUUGAAAAGUUUACGAGUAAAUGGACACCGUUUUGAUGGAUGCAUGAAUAGCUUCAAAAAUUGACUUCAGCUGAUGUUAUCUUGUCAUCCAAUCUGCAUCUCAAAUUUAUAUGUGGAGGUGUGGUGAAAAUUAAACAAGAAGUUCCUGUGAAACUAACAUGUUCAAUGGGAAUUUAAUUCGAUCAAUUAAAACUUGGCCUUUAAACGUAAGCCAACAAGAGUCCGAUCUUCAAUAACAUAAUCGUACUAGUUCCUAACCGUUACUUCAACCGGAGUACAAAUAAUUUGUUGAAAGAUUCUGUAAAUUUGAAAAUUACUUUUGGUAACAAUAAAAUUAAAGUAAACAUUUUGUUUUUGACGAUGCAAAAGAAUUUAGUUUGAAGACCUAAACAAUUGUAGUAAACAUUUUGUGCAAUAAAUUUGUAGAAAUAUUGACGGAUGUUGAUGAUUCAUGAACACAAUUGACAUACAUAGAAUGGCUCAUAUAUAAUUCAUUAAAAGUUCCUAUAACUAGGAAAGUCGAAAAGGAAGAUAAUUAAUUGUUGAAAAAGAAGAAUGGAAAAGUAGGAUAUAAAUAAGGAGGUAAUUAAUUACAGGAAAAAAAUAAAAUUGUCUAAAUUUUAGGAUUAGUAACGUCUAACAUAUAUCAAGCCAAAUACUAUAAUAACAACAUAAAACAUGAUUGCAAAGAGAUACAUACAUACACUGAUCUAUCCGGAGUCCAACUGUGUAGCGAGGAAUACACUGCUCUAUUGGAGCAUCUGGAUGACGACGACAUCAUCAAUAUCAACCAACUGAAUCUAUUACAAAUUCAUUUUUCAAAGACUACAACUUUUUUUGACAUAUUCUGGUUUCAAUGAUGAUGAAACUACAAAUACAAAUUUUAGUUUUGGAUUCCAUAAACUACAAAUUCGUUCUCACAAGGUUGAUGGCUGAUGCUAUUCUUGUUUCAAAAAUGAUGAAACCCGUGGCUCUCUCUGGUACCAGUUUAUAAUCUCAAGUCAAACACUGACUUGGAAACGUAAUGAAGAUGAACUUUGGGUUUUGUUAGUGAUUUGACCCAACAAUUAGGAAUUAUUAUGUAAUAGUAAUGCAGUGGAUAAUUAAAAGGGUUUACAUGUAGAGAAGCCAGGGGCAGAAAGAAAGUGGUUCAUAUCCUCUAUCCAAGUUGUCUUUCUAACUCUCUGUUUAAGAUUAGUGUUAUCAGUGUUUUGAACGGCGUAUUUGGGCAAGUUUCAGGGCGAGCCUUAGAGCAAGAUAUUCUCAAAUUACCCUUGGACGGUUAAAUGGGGCGUUAUUGUUAUGGGACAUUCGCCCCAAGGAUCGAGGCAAACGCCAGACCGUUUGGGCAAAUUUUUUUUUGAGGCAUAAAAAAAAUAUACAUUUAAAAUCCCAGUACUUUUUCCCAUUUUUUAAAGUUUCAAAAAAAAUCUAAACUGGAUUUUCCCUUCACUUGUUUAAAGAAGUUGAGACCCUUAAACUCAACUUGCAAUUUCUGAAAGCUUUUCUUAUAUUAGCCUAUAAAUUUAAGUUGGCAAACAUGAAUGUUAGUUUGGAAUUUGAUAAUAAAAAAGAGGUGAAAUUUCAAAACUUUGUCCCUCACAUUGAGGAUACUCUAAAGAAAUAUGAAAAAGACACUUGCUUUGAUAGUUAAAGCUCACAAGUAUCAUUUGCUAGUAGUUUAGAAAAGAGUUUUCGCAACUAUGAUCAUUAGUUUGCGGGAUGAUAAUAAAGUUUUUUAUGCAAAUAAUCAUCAAAGUUUACGGUGGUUUAUUGGGUUUCUGUUCAUGGGAUGUCAUUAGUUGCACAAGCAGGUUUUAUUUUAAUCACAUAAGGUUAUAAUUUUUCUCUAUUUUUUGGAUAUUUUUAAUAUUAUAUAUAUACACACAUUUAUAUAUAUAUAUAUAUAUAUAUGUAUGUGUUUUUAUAUUUUUAAAAUAUUAAAAAAUAAAAAGAAUGCCCUGCCCAUGACUUUCGCCUUUUAAAACACUGUCUAGCCUAAACGACACCAAUUGGAGCCGGAAAACUUUGAUGACGUAACUUUGCACAGAGGCAGAGCAAUCGCUUCUUCCUCCACAGUGCACUUUACCUCAACCCUUGCCAACUACCGAACACCAUCAUCACCUUCCAUCCCUCCAACAAAUCCCACCCCGAACCUCGCUGACCCGGUUGUCACCACCCGUUCUUUCUUUAGUUAUGCCGAGUCCUUGAUUCUUUAUAUCUAGUUCGCUUCCUCCUUGUUUCUCCAUCCUCCUCCUGCUCUUUCUCAGUCAGAGGACACACAAACACAUCUGCAAAUUAUAUCCAACCACCGACGAGUUUGUAGGAGUAUUUUAUUGCUAUAAGCCAAAUCGACUUUCCUAUCCCAAAACUGACUACGAGAUGGCAAUAUAUAUUUUAUUUUGGACAAAUCUCUUUGACGUAAGAUCAUCGGUUUAAUUUUAAUUCCUUUAAUUUAAAAAUGUAUUCCAAAAUUAAUAGGGGAUGUUCAAACAUCUAAAGAUGUGUUUGGAUUGUAAUUUUUCAAAAAAAAAAAUUAUUACGUUAACAUAUUUUUUAAUUACCUUUUUAUCUCACGUAUAUCAUAUCGUUAUAGUAAUUUUUCUACAAAAAGUCUAGAAAAAUGUAAUUCAAGCAAGACCUAACUUAUCGGGAGGAUAAUACUAAUUAAAGUGGGCUACUUACUCAAAAAAAAAAAACUAAAGUGGGCUUCUGGAGGACAAAGAAGAUAAGAAAGAAGAGGAAGAAUUCCUAGGCCUGAUGAUGAGGAGGACAUGGGAGUGGUAGGUUGUUGAAGCCUUGUGGGUUGUGUUUGAAACUGAAAGUUAGGAAAGGAGGAGUUGAGACUUGAGACAUGGCAGAGAGUUAAAACAACAUUGAUUUAAAUUUUUUUUUCUUAUCUACACGAUAAAUUCUAUUCUAUAUAUAUUAAAGAAGAGGAAUGAUCCAUGAAGAAUCAGAGAAGAAGUCUAGAAAAGAAUGCAACCCACGGAAUUUGAUUCAAAUUAGUUGGUUCAAAAUUGUUUUAAGUAGGUAAGUGUAAGCACAAAUUUUAUUGCUUAAAAUGAAAGACAAGAAAACUUGCACAAAUAUCAAAUUUAUUAAAUCAAACAAUAGGUGGGUUACAAUCUCUGGAAACUCUUGAAUCAAAGAAUUUAAUCCCCUGAUUCUUUUCUUCGAAUAGCUUCAAUUGAAGGGCCGUAAAUACUUGUUCUUCAAUCGAAAGGAUGUUUCCUACAAUUUUGGCGUAGAAAACGAUUAAUUUGAUGACGGCGUCACACACUUGGAACUUCAAGUCUUUAACACCGAUAGCAGGAGGAUUUGUUUGAUUUGACUUAGACUUGGAUUUGAGAAAGAAAGCUCUUGAGAGGAUUUGACAGAGUUUCUCCGAAUGUUAGGAAUUUUUCUCAUCUAUUUGCUUUGAGGGAAGACCUUUAUUUAUAGCCAAAAAUAUGUAGGCUAAAUCUUCAAGAAAACCCUCCAGAAAUCUUCCUGCAUUUUGGGUAACUUGUAACUCAAGAAACCUAUUUAAUUUGGGCUUAAAUAGUGGGCAAACCCAAAUGGUCCAUGGUGAAUUAAUAAAGCAAUCAAUUCACUCUAAGUUAAAUGACCAUUAUGAAUUUAAUUUGAUUUAAUAGCCCAUAUAAUAUUGGCCCAAUUUGUCAGUCCAAAACAUAAUGGACUUCUAUAAUUUAAUUUAAUUUAAUCAAGAUCAAUUUAAUUUAAAUAAAUCUCGAUUAAAUAAAUUAAAUAAAAUUUCUUUGUCUACAAAUGCCCCCACUUCAAGGCUCAAUUGAAGCUUGCUUGUCAAGGAUUGUAAUUGAGACUUGAAGUAAUUGAUUUCUUCUUUUUUUUUUGUAUAUAAAAGAAAGCCAAUUCAUUUGCUAAUUUGAGCUGGGAUGAAUACAUGCAAUUCAAGAUCAUAUUUAUGAUCAAAAGUCCCCACGGUCCAUGUGUCAUAUGAGGUCUAUGGCGAGGUGCAAUACAUAGGAUCAUUCCCUAUACAAUCACAAUGAAUUUGCUGCCUGCAAUUAAUCUCGAACCUGCAAUUGGGAUCCUUUCAUGACCAUUGCACCACCAAAACAUUUAAUAAUCAAAGCACGGAAAUCAAUUUGUUCGAUGGACUUCCCAUUCAAUAUUCACCAUAAACUCUAGAGAACGGAAACACGGUGCUAAGAUUAGGAAAUAUCUUCAUACCUCCGCACUCAAAAUUAUACGCAGCAGAUAUUAAAUCGAGCUGGUAACUUCAAGCAACUUCCAAAUUCACGACGCUGCUAUAGUCAGCCUUCGCAACUGAACCAAAUUGAUUUGAAAAUAGAAUCAUAAUGGCCGUGGCUUCAUUUUUUUUUUUUUUUAUGAGACCACCUUCCAUGUGAUUUGCGGUUGAUUCUAUGAAACUAAGAAAACCACUUUCAAUCAUUUCCAUCUUCCAUGAUGCAACAAACCAGUAAUCGUCCAAAUCGAGGCUUGAAAGGAAAAGGUACCAAAACCCGAACUAGGCAAUGCAGGUUCAAAUUCCAAUAGCUUUUUAACUUCAAUGUAGAUCUUUUGAAGUUGAUAUGUAACUUCUAAAUUAGCUAUUGGACCCAUAUUUCCAAGUUGCAUGAUUUCUAAAAUAACCGGAACUUGCCAAAUCUUGGAUGAAGCAUUAGUAGGAAGCUUGCUUAACACUCCAAUUACUAUAAGCAAUCACAUGCAACUUCCUCAUAUUUUAAGCGUAGCCUUUGUGGAGAUUAGGGAUGGCAAUGGGAGCGGGUGCCCGCGGGAGGCUCCCGGGGCGUGGGUUGGGGCGGGGGCGGGGGGGGGGAAUUUUUUCCCCCCGCUUAGAAAUGGGGCGGGGGGCGGGGGAGUAUACCCCCGCCCCAUCCCCCGCCCCGCCACUCGCAAAAAAAAAAAUAUAUAUAUAAUUAUAUAUAAUAUGUAAUUUAAUUAGUUAUAAACUUAUGAUAAUGAUAUUAUUAGUUAGAUGUAUUAUAUAAUGUAUAUUAGUAUAUGUAAUAUAAUUAAUAUUAUCAAUUAUACGAAUAAUUAGACAUGUCUACUAAUAGAAUUUAUUAAUUAGUUAUACUAAAUUUACUAAUACAUUUAUACUAAAUUUCUAAUUAUACUUAAUAGAAUAACACUUUUUUUUCUGAAAAAAAAGCACAAACACAAUAAUGAAUUAGUGAUUGUAUUUGUACCAAAAGUGAAAACUUAACUAUUUAGUUGUAUUUAUUUCAUCAUGUUGGAUUGUAUUCAAAUAAUUUUUGUUUGAUUGUUUUUAUGAGUUUCAAUUGUAAAAUUAAAAUGAAUAAUAACUUGAUGAUGUGUUGAUAUUUUAGUACUUGAUUAUUUAUUAAAAUUUAACUAUAAUAAAAUUUUAUUAACCUAGCAGGAAAAAUUUUAUUAACCCCGCAGAUGCCCUCGCUGGGGAAGCGGGGCGGGGCGGGGACGGGGUGGGGGGAGUGGGAGGCGGUGGACGGGGCGGGGGCGGGGGAAGUUUGUAGGUAGCGGGGCGGGGGAUGGGGGAGGGGUCCCCCGCCCAACCCCGCUCCAUUGUCAUCCCUAGUGGAGAUUAAACCCAAGCUAUUGGAAUCGUAUCAUUGCAGUGCCUUGCUAGUCACCAAAACGAAUUUAUUGCCCGGAUGGUAGCCCUGUUGACUUUUAGAAUCCCAAAUGUCCCAAGAGACUAGUUAUGAAUCUUUAGGCAACUAAGCUUUUGGGCAAUUUACUCAAGUAGACAUGUAUGGCUCCACUUUCCAAACUUCUCACGUAUCUAGGAAUGUAUUGAAACUAGAAAGUGCUUAAACCAACCUACGGCAUACACGAGCUUCUUAGUAAUGUGGUACUCUCCAAAUUUUAACAGCUUCCUAAUUCGAAUACUGCUAAAAUUUUCCAUGCAACUUUAUAUAAGAUAUUUCCUUGCUUCUAUAUGAGGAGACACAACCUGCACGACACAACUUGCAAAGUUUUCCAGUUUGCUUGGAGACUUACAAUUUACGAAGUCUUCUAGCUUGCGCAGUUCUCCAGCCUUCGUUUAGACCAAAAUUUUCCAGCUUUCUUGGGAAAUUUACAAUUUGCGAAGUCUUCUAGCUUGUGCCGUUUCUAGCUUUCGUUUAGACCGAAAUUUUCCAGCUUUCUUGGGGAAUUACAAUUUGCGAACUUCACCCCCAGGUAACUCGCAAGCUCACCUAGAAACUUUCUUACUAAGAAAUUUAAUUUUCUCACAUUUGUGCCGCUGCUGACUUUUAAAGUUCUUCCUUUUUUGUUUUUGAACUGGUUGCCAUUAGGAAUUCGAUCUUCUUGCACUAGUUGCUUGUUCAAUUGACCCAAUAAGACUUAGUGCACAUAGGGACUGCAUGGCUUUGAUUCAUGCUUGACCCCCUGUCUCAAGUCAAUUUCGGACUCCAUUGUCACUUUGCAUGUGAAUUGGCAUCAUAUGAAGAUACGAAAUUUAUAAGCACCAAUUCCUUUUAUUUUUCUUUUUGUUUUUUACUGCCGGACAGAACUUGGCUCAUCAUAAACCUGCAUAUUACACGUUCUUUUGGUCCUUGAAAUCCGUAUUGCAUGACCUUGCAUUGAACGAAUGGCAUAGCCGUCUCAAGACCAUUGGAUACAGUAACUUGCCAAAUGGUUUCUUCGUGCUAUUAUUCAUUAAUAAUUGGUCCAAUGCCAAAUCACUCAAACUUCAUUUGUUGCUUUGCAUGCAAGCCACGACACUUACAAUCGGGCCAAGUCCAUAGUUUUUUUUUUCAUGUCAAUUUAAUUGAUAACUGACAUGAAGUGUUCACCAACACAUGCAUUGCAACUUUCUCGGAAAUGCGUCUUUCUCAUGAGUUUUUUUUUUUUUGUUGCAGCUUGUAUUGAUACCCACUGAAGCGAGUUGACGUUCCAGUUGUGUUUGGCACUUUAUAGCUCGUGGAAUUCAAAACGCUAAGGUAGCUCACAUGCCUCAUGAUUUUCACUUCUUGUCAAUGCCGAUUUUUUUUUUUUUGAUGUGAAAGAAGGAUCCCCGACACAUCCUGUAUGGCGGACAUUUAAUUUGAAGAAGGCGCAACCGCAAACUCCCACGAGAGCCAUAUUAUGGCUUGAGGAGUACAAAGGAAAUGGUACAACCAAAAUUUGAAGAUGGCGCAACCGCAAACUCCCACGAGAGCCAUAUUAUGGCUUGAGGAGUACAAAGGAAAUGGCGCAACCAAAAUUUGAAGAUGGCGCAACCGCAAACUCCCACGAGAGCCAUAUUAUGGCUUGAGGAGUACAUGAAGGAGAUGACGCAACCAAAAUUUGAAGAUGGCGCAACCGCAAACUCCCACGAGUGCCAUAUUAUGGCUUGAGGAGUACAUGAAGGAGAUGGCGCAGCCAAAAUUUGAAGAGGGUGCAACCGCAAACUCCCACGAAAGCCUAUUAUGGCUUGAGUACAAAGGAGAUAGCGCAGCCAAAAUUUGAAGAUGGCGCAACCGCAAACUCCCACUAGAGCCUAUUAUGGUUUGAGGAGUACAUAAAGAAUGAGACACGAUUACCCACUUCAAUAAAAACUUACCCAAAAUUCAAGAAGCCUUUUACUGUCUUCGACCAUGUCAUUUUAACCAAACUUUCUUUUUUUCUUGCUUUUGUUGCAGGUGAGUCUUGAUACAAUGGUGGUAUUCAAGAAAGUCACAUCUUUAAACGAAAAGUAUCUCCUUAUCGCUGACAGCGAUGGUGACUCUGGUAACAAAGGAACGAAAUUAUUGGUGCAUCCCCCCAUACAAGGAACUUACUCUGAUAAAUGGCCUUCUCACCAGUACCCAAAACUGAAGGACUGGUCACUUGAACUUUCUCAAGAUGAUGGCACGAAAGUCCACUCCUUGAGAUCCCUUAUUCAUAAUAAGGAGCCAAGGAUAACUCCCUUUCAAACCCUUGGCAGGCGGAUCAUAGAUCGAGAUGCACACUGGAGCCCUUCCUUGCGACUCAAUGGUGCAUUCAGUUACAUCGAGAAUUAUUAGGAGUGGUUGGAGGAUAUUCUCGGGAGGAGCAAACAAGUGCUCCGUGAAAAUUAGUUGUUUGACGCCUUAUAUACUUCACUUUUCACAUAUGAUAGGAAUUCCCAUGUACUUAGGGCAUUCUGCGAGGCGUGGUGCCCGGACACUAAUACCUUGCAUACAUCUGUCAGGGAAUUGUCUCUCUCACUUUGGGACCUGCACAAGUUAGGAGAACUUCCAAUCAUCGGGAGUAUUUAUGAAGAGGUAAUCCCAUGUACAGAGGAGCUAACUGGAGUAAAUGAAAAGAAAUUAAGGCAUAUUCCACAAAGCUGUGAGUAUUUGUUUGCAGCCUUACAUCAUCUUCAACAUGGAGAAUCCAACAAAACUGGAGUUUCGGCUGCCCAAUGGAUUAAGUUCUGAUUUAAAGGCAAAACCAGGUACUCAGAGCCAAAGCAGAGAAGGAUAAAGAUGGCAUCCCGUGCUCAAGCGAUCCAAAAUCUGGAUGGCGAAAUUGGACAACCACGCAAAUUUUCAAGUCAAGUCAAGACAAUGGCGUAUUUGAUACCAUCAGAAUUAAACUUCACUUGCAGGAAGAGACCUAUCUUGCAACAUUUAUAUCUUGUUGGCUCUGUGUCUUUGCUUUACCAGAUGAGGACCUACAUUAUAUUAGACCAUCUACUUUUAAAAUGGCUAGUAUAAUGGCUGUCGGUGGUAAGACUUGCCUUGCUGUUCCUGUCCUGUUAAACAUAUAUCGUGGGCUUGAUAAAAUUUCAAACUCAGCUACCCCAGGGUAUGCACAUGCAGCUUUUCCGGUGCACUAUGUAUAUGCUUGGUUAGCGAGUUAUUUCUCUACUCAUUACUCGACUCCAAAUAUCAUGCCUGGACCCACCAUGAUCAACUAUGAAGGGGGUGCACGAUACUUUGAUGAAAAUAGUGCUCGUGACCUCAUUCAUGAGGAAGACAAAGCAACUUGGGGAAUCACUUCUCUUGUGAAGAAUCGCAAUGAACUUUUUAUUGACAAUGGCAAAUUAGCGAAUCUCGAACUAAGUUAUUUUGUAAGCGCCUGCUCAAAUUACUUAGUUUUACAUGCUGAAGGGGAUUUCCUUGUUGAGCCAUAUAGUCCAUAUAGAUUUGCGCGGCAAUUCGGUUUUUAUCAAGUUCCUUCACAGGAACUCGGGGCAGAUGUUCGUUCCACAAGUUAUGACUUGAGUCGAAUACUCUGGCGCACUGCCAUUCGCAGUAAAACUGAGUCAAGGGAACUUUUCCCUAACUAUCCCUUGAAUGCUAGCAAACACACAUCUUCAGGCUUUCAAACAUGGUGGGCUAUGGUGCAUGAUGAUCAUCUCCUCAAAGGGCGUGAUGCUUUGAUUAAGAGUGUCCAAUCAAAUGGGGAGCAGAAGAAGUCGAAAGGGAAGGAACUUGCAAGUUUGAACAAUCCUUCCAAGGUUGGCAAUAGUUUUGAGAUGAAGCAAAAGACUACGAGAAGUGAGAAGGAAAUUUUGAAGAGUUCAAACAACAAGGCUACUACCCCUGAGAACCUUACUCCUAAUGAAGAAUUUUCGAAGGGUACUUCAUUUCAUCUUCCUUCAAACAUUGUGAAGGCUAUUGAUCAUGAUUCUUGUAGUUUACAUGAGAAGGAGCGGAGCGAGCCUUUUAAUGAGGAGGAUGAGCAAUCCACCAGCACGGAUCAGCAUUGGAAACGCAAGAAGUCCAAGGUAAUGACUCUCCCCUUGGAUGAUAUUGGUUUGGAUCCUAAAGAACUCUUUAAAGACAUUCCGGAUAUAUCUGUGCCUGGUAUAAGCCGUGCCAAUAUUGUAAGGACCCUCCUUGUUUUCUUUAAUCUAGCAUUUGAAAUUUGCUUGUUAAUUUCACAUUCAUGGUUUGUCUCACAACAUUUUCCCUACAGUUGGAUGAUCAAGACUUGAUCUUCAUUGAUGAUGGAGAACCAAGUCAAGUAUCAGUUGAAGGACCUACUGCAUUUGAACUUUUGGCCAAACAAGUGGUCAGUUCUACCCAACAAAAGAGCGCUAGUGAGAAUUCCAAAAAGGCAGCAGAGGAUGGAAAUGUGAUUUAGGAAAUCAUGCCAUAGAAGGCGGAGCAUAUGACUCCAUCGGCCAAAAGGAAACUCAAAGUUUUUGAUCCACCAUCGUGGCCAAGGGCACCUCGAGUGUCUGAAUUUUGCCCCUAAAGUGUGAUCUCAACAUGUCGUCGAGACUAUAUCCAAAUGUUGUGGAAUAACUUGAGGGUGAUGAUAUCUCUAACAAUCUUAGAGCGCAUGCCUGCUCUUGAAAUGAAAGCAAGUGAAAUCAUGGAGGAAAUGCAAAGUUUCAAUGCCACGGAUAUCUCAAAUUUGCAAGACCUUUUGAAGUCUUUCUUUGCAAAUGCAGCUCGUUACGUCGCAAUGAAAUCUUCUCUUUCAAAUAAAAUUUCAGCUGAAUCAUAUGAUGAGUUGCUCUCUACGGCCACCCAACAUCUUAGAAAUGCUCAGAGUAAGGAGAAACAAUAAGCAGAAAAGAUCUCAACGCACAUAUUGAAACUUAAGGAGUUGAUCGCGAGGAAGUAGAGUUAAGGAAGCGACUUGAGUUCUUGGAUGCUCACAGAAAGGAGACACUUUCACGGCUACGAGAAGAGCAAGAUGAGCUUACCCGAGUGCAAGGUGUGAUGGUCGACUUACAAAAUGAAGUUCGAAAGAUUGAGAAUUCCUCGCCCCUACUUGCUGAAGAGAGUCAAACUUUGGACAAGAUGCAAGUAUUACUUGAAAGCAACUGAAAGGAGCUGUCGUCAUUUGAAUUCUAGGAAUAGUUGCAAUCUUUCAUUUUGUUUCAAAUUUCAUCUUUUGUUACCUUCUCAAAGCGUGUAGCUAUGAGCACAAACAUUUCAUAAUGAAACUUGAUUUUUUUUUCAUUCUUGCAGGCGUCCUCGUUUUUCCUUAUUUUUUUAAUAGCCACCAUUUUAGGCUAUUAACUACAAUACAAACAAUUCCAUAUUUGCAUAAUUUUGAUCACAUUUGAAAAGGUAAUUAUCCAAAUAAUUUAGAAACCUGAAUAAUACACUUUCAAGUAUAUGUCACAAAAUAAUUCGAACUGUCUUAAAGAGAACCGCUCUUUUUUUUCGCAACAAAAGAAUCAUCCGGACAAAGAAUUUAGUUUUAUAGGAUUGUAACUGAACUUAGAAGUUGCCCUCUAAGCUACCUACGUAUCCCAAAAGGGAAUCAAGUCACACGUAAUUCCUACCGUUCACAGUUUAAACUCUUGCGGGUCAGGAAUAUCUUUUUAUUUUCCACCUUAAAUUUGAUGGAGUGUUUCAGCAGUUUAACCACGUUCUACACUAUUGGUGAUUGUUGUCCACAGUUUUAGCUCAUGCGGGUCUGGAGCAACAUGCAGUUUAGACUCAUUCAUCAUGGAGUACUUCAUUUUUUUUUUAUCUAUGGCAUGUAUAAUUUCAUGAAUUUUUCAUUUAUAGGACCAACUUUCACGCCAUCUUUGUCCACCAAUUUGUACGCGCCAUUCAAGUAGACUUCUCAAAUAAUGUAUGACCCAUCCCAUUUGGAGACGAAUUUGUCUUUAGUGCGAUGAGUCAUAACUAUUGGCUUUCGAACAACAAGUACCAUGUCUCCAACUUAAAAGAAGCGACGCCGAACUUUCUUAUUAAAAGCUCUAGAGAGACGGGCUUGAUAGCAUUCCAGAUUUUGUUGGGCCUCCAAUAUCUUUUCGUCUAAAACUUCCAAUUCUUCAAGGCGCAGGCGAAUAUUUUCUUCCUCCGUGAGCCCUUCUUGGAUAGCAAUUCUCAAAGAAGGGAUUUGUUGUUCAAGGGGCAGGACAGCUUCUACACCAUAGACUAAGGCAUAUGGUGUGGUUUGCGUUGGAGUUCGAUAUGUGGUGCGAUAGGCCCAAAGAGUUUCGCCUAUCCUUUCGUGCUAAUCCUUCUUUGAUUUUACCACCACUUUCUUCAACAAGUUACAUAAAGUUUUGUUGAAUGCCUCUGCAAGACCAUUGGCGGGGGCAUUAUACAUGGAGGACUUGCGUUGCUUGAGAUUAAAUUUUUCACACAACUUAUCCAUCAAGCUAUUGGAGAAGAAUUUUUCGUUAUCAGUGAUAAUGUAUCGGGGAACUCCAUAACGGUAAAUAAUAUUCACACGAAUAAAAUUUACAACAUCUUCCCUUCUAACUUGCUUGAGCGGUAUGGCUUCAGCCCAUUUAGAAAAGUAGUCGGUCGCAGCCAAUAUAUAUAAGUGUUGACCGUACGACUUUGGUAAUGGCCCCACAACAUCAAGACCCCAAGCAUCAAAAGGCCAAGAAGCAACGGUCGGGUGUAACGGCUCAGGUGGUUGAUGAAUGUAAUUUGCAUGAAACUGGCAAGCUUGACAUCUUUGAUCAUAUUCUAUGCAAUCUUUGACCAUAGUAAGCCAAUAGUAGCCCAUCCUUUUAAUCCGAAAAUGUAAUUUGGGACCGGAUUGGUGAGCUCCACAUAUUUCAGAAUAUGCCUCGUGCAUCACCCGAUAUGCCUCGUCUUCGCUUAGACAGCGCAACAGUACACCUUCAAAUAAUUUUCAGUACAGCGUAUCCUUGUACAAGAUAAAACGAGGGGCACGACGACGGAUGUCAGUUCUCCUACGUUGCUACUCAGGUAAGUUUUGAUAUUUGAAAUAAUCAACGAGGGGUUGUCUCCAAUCUUCUUUGUCAAUUUCAUAGGUUGAGACCACAUGAGCGUCGCCUCCUUCAAUAUUUUCAUUAUUAAUUAGUGAUGGAACUACCCACUUUUGGCAUACACGAACUUGUAUCUCAUAAUCCGGCAUGACAAGUGAAGAGGCUAGCACAGCUAAUGCAUCAACUUGUUUAUUUUCCCUUCUAAGAACAUGCUUAAUACUUGCACCUCCAAGCCGCUUCAUAAGUCGCGUUGCAUAUUUGUGAUACGGAAUUAAUUCGAAUUUUUUGACUUCAUAACUUUCCAAGAGUUGGUUAACUACCAAUUGAGAGUCACCAUAGAUUUGAAGUUCCUACUGCUCCAUGUUAGCAGCUAUUUCAAGUCCGAGUAUGAAAGUCUGGUACUCAGCGACAUUGUUUGAACAAUGUUGAUUUAGGGUAAAAGAGUAUAAUAAUAUCCAUCCAUCAGGAGUCACGAAUACAAUCCCCGCUCCAACCCCAUGACGAUGAGCAGCACCAUCAAAAUACAUUGUCUAUGGUGGGCGAAUUUCAAUAAGGAGUACAUCCUUAUCUGAUAGGUCAUCACUUAACUCCCAUUCAGCAGGUAUCGGGUGAUCAGCAAGAAAAUCCGUCAGAACUUGUCCUUUCACAGUUUUUUGAGGCACAUAAAUAAUCUCAAACUAUUGUAGCUGAAGAUACCAUCUAACUAAAUGAUCGGAUAAUACUGGCCUGCUCAUCACAUACUUUAUGGGAUUCGCCCUGGAAAUGAACCUCACACUAUGUGCUUGAAAGUAAUGUUUUAAUUUCUGUAUUGCAAAAAUAAGAGCUAAACACAACUUUUCAAUCGACGAGUAGUUUAGCUUGUUAGGGGUCAUCAUUUUGCUUAAAUAAUAAAGGGCAACCUCUUUUCCUUCAUUAUUUUCUUGUGUAAGCAAUGCCCCCACUGAGCAUUCUUGUGCAGCAAUAUAAAGAAGUAAUGGCUUUCCCUGAUUAGUGCAGCCAAAACAGGUGCUUUCAUAAGAUAAGACUUAAUAUUAUUGAAUGCAUUACUACAAGUCUCAUCCCAUUGAAAUGUCACAUCUUUCUUCAUCAAGCGACUAAAUGGUUAACACCUUCCUGCCAAAUUUAAGAUAAAUCUCCGCAGAUAAGCUAAUCGCCCUUGAAGAAUUUUCAAUUCAUGAAUGUCACGAGACUCAUGCAUCCUCAAUAUAGCAUCAAUUUUGGCCUGAUCAAUUUCAAUACCUCGAUGGCGAACCACAAAAUCAAGAAAUUUCCCUGACGUGACUCCAAAUGCACACUUGAGAGGGUUCAUUUUGAGUUGAUACCUUCUCAACCGAUCAAAUACUUGUCUCGAGUCCUCCAAAUGAUUACUCCUUUUCUUUGAUUUAACAACUAAAUCAUCCACAUAACAUUCGAUAUUUUUAUGAAGCAUGUCAUCAAAGAUGCUUUGCAUUGUUCUUUGAUCUGUGGCUCCAACAUUUUUGAAACCAAAGGGCAUUACUUUAUAACAAUAAAUACCUUUAAGAGUACGAAAUGCAGUGAGCUCCUCAUCCUUAGGUGCCAAUCGAAUUUGAUUAUAUCUAGAAGAGUCAUCUAUAAAUGACAGAAUUUCAUGCCCAGUAGUUACAUCAAUCAUGAGUUUGGUGAUCGGUAAAGGAAAGUCAUCUUUAGGACAAGCAUUGUUAAGAUCUCUGAAAUCGACACAGAUACGAAUUUGUCCAUUCUUCUUUCGCCCGGGCACGAUAUUCGAAAUCCAUGUGGGAUAUUUAACUUCACGAAUAAACCCGAUUUCAAUAAGGUUAUUGACUUCAAUUUCGAUCAACGGAAUCAAAUCGGGUCUAAAUCGCCGUUGUGCUUAUUUCACCAGUCGAACUCCCUUUUUAACAGCCAAAUAGUGGACGGCCACUUUUGGGUCUAAAUCCAGCAUUUCUUUAUAAGUCUAAGCAAAAACAUCUCGAUACUCUUGCAAGAGGUCAACAUAUGCCUUCUCUUCGUCAGGACUUAGUGAAGCAUUUACAUAUAUUGGAUGUGGGUCCUCUGAAAUACCAACAUUGAUCUCCUUUAGAUCAUCCACAGUGGUCUUAACACCUUCCUCCAAUUCAGGUGGAGCGUCUUCAGCAUCUUCUUCUUCUUCAGGAGAGUCACCGUCAAUUGUGGUUAUAUAAUUGCAUGAAGCAACACUCUCUUCAUCAUCCUCUUUUGCCCUUGUGUACACCACGGUAUGCUCCCUGACCCUCAAUUCAGUCCCACACUUUAUUACAAGAUCUGUGCAUCUUCUCAUUCUCGAAGGAAUGAUGCUACCAAAUUUAUGAGAACAAUUAGAAGGUUCUUCAAGAUUUUGCAAUGACUUUGCUAUCUUUCCCUUACUCUUAUAGGAGUUUUGAGGUUUUCGUCUUCUUUGCGGUCCUAACCUCUGAAAAACAGAUACCCGUGGAGCUUUAUUCUCCUUUUCGUGAAAAGUUUGAAAUCUACCAGCUAUUUGAGAAGACUCAUCCUCUACAGUAAUAUAUUGGCUACUAGCUCUAUUGAUCUUGAUACGGAUUGGUGUAGGAGAGGAAUAGCCAAGACCAAAUUUGGGAUUUUCAACGGCAUAUCCUUUUUCCUUCAACAUCUUUUGGGUAGGAUUCAACCCAUGCAUCAUGCUACUAGUAGAUUGACCGGAUGGAACAUUUAACAUAGCAGAUUCUUUGAGAUCGUAUCCAGUAUUAGCGAAAAGCUUAUAAGCAAUGGGAUCAAAAUCGUCUUUGGUUCUUGACUUUGGUAUGGUGUCUUGUUCGACUUCAGAUUCUUUACUUAAAAGGUUAGGCCUUUUAAGUGGAGGAAAUGACACCUUCUUUGUAUCAAGAUGAACUACCGGAAGAGUCAAACCUUUUAGAAUUUCAUACUGAAUUGCAAGUGACUGUUCUUGUUCCAUUCCUGACUUGGGAGGGUAACGAAAGACAACUGAUUCAUUGUUUGGCAAUGAAACAUCAGUUUCUUCAUGAACUUCCUCUUUUGUUUUCAGAUUUAUCACUUUCUCCCCUUUUACACUCGGAGAUUUGGGGUUCUGGAUUUUAUCCACAGAUAGAGGUUGCUCAGACUUAUCCUUCGCAUUGUGCCUUUUGAUGUAAAAUUUGGCAUCAGCGAUAUACGCUUCCGCCUCAGUGAAAGGAUUGUCAUCGAUUUUCACACUUCUUGCUACCCCAUUUUGACAGUACUUGGAACAUUGAUGAAGAGUUGAUGGUACAGCUCCAUUUUCAUGAAUCCAGGGCCUUCCCAACAGUAUAUUGUAUGUUGUUUUAGCAUCUAUUACAUACAACAGUGCUCUGGACGUCAUGUUAUCAAUGACUAUCUCCAAAUUUAGUGAUCCAAGAGCUUUUUGCCCUCCUUGAUUAAAACCUUGAAUCAUCAGUCGACUAUUGGAGAGUUCAUCAACCGGGAUGCCGAACUCUUUCAGAGUCUUUAAAGGAAGAAUAUUGACUGCAGAACCUCCAUCUAUCAAAAUUCUAUUCACUUUUUGCUCAUUUGCAUAACCAGUCACAAACAAAGGGCGGUUAUGCGGUGUUGACCCAAGCAACAAGUCUUCACUAGUAAAAGUGAUACUUGUGACGUUCACCUCUUCAUUGCCGGUGGGCACACAAUUUUUUCAUCGCUGAUAGGCACACAGGCUGCCUUACAGAGAGAUUCGCCAGUAUCAUCUCUUUGUUCUUCACUAUGAUCUGCUCACGUUGCGUGACUUGCAACUACAUCAAUGUCAAAGAACUCCUUAGGCAUGAAUUCCUUUAAAGUGGCAGGUGUUCGCGACUUUUGCUUGAAGAUUCGACCUCCUUGAAGAUUAUGACAGUCAUUAUUUUUCUUUACGUCCUUCUCUUUCCCCUUCCAAAUCAUCAUACUUCUUAUUAAGACCUUGUUCGCCUCACUAGAUGGACAAGAUUUUUGCCUCCUUCUUCGCGUGACUAGAGUCCAUCCUUCAUCAUCUACAUCAAGUUGUGACACCUUCUCGUCUUCACGUGCAUGUUCUUGAAAAGUUAAAGGAGCACCUUCUUGUUCGAUUUCCAUGGGAUCCAAUGAACCAAAUUGAAUUGUUGGCAAUACCGGUACCAUGACCCUUUUAAUCUCCAUGGACUGCAGGGAAUCAAUGGACGUUUGAUUCACACUUGCCUUGUCUUCUUCAAGAAGAAUUUUCCCUUGUCUCGCCAACUCCAUUACUUUGUCUUUGAAGACAAAGCAUUUUUGAAUGGGAUGCCCAACCAAUCGGUGAUACUUAUAGUAAUUUGGAUCAUCAGUGUUCCUAGACUCGUCAGGUCGCUUCAUCUCAGGAAGCGUGAUCAAAUUUAUACUUAACAGAUCGUCAAACAUACCAGGGACAUCAGAAUCAAGGAAGGGGUACUCUUUAUCUUGCAUCUCCUUGAGAGUCGGUUUCCUCUUUCCUUGUUCUUGAUGUGCAUUGAUCUUCCUGUCUUUCUCUCCUGGCAGUUUUGGAAACAACUUUAAAAGGCGUUACACUUGUAGCUAUAGCCUCCUUCUUUUCAUUUUUGAAUGGUGGCUUGUCCCCUUUCCUCGCUUCUUGUUUCUCCUUAGCCUUGUGAGGGUCAGGAACUGGCGGUUCUUGUCCAUCAAGAUUAAUUUCCAACUUAUGGGCUUUUGUGGAUAAUUCAUCAAAUGUUUCUGGUUGCACACCUUGUAAGAUGUAUCUGAGUCCCCAGUGCAUACCUUGAAUGCACAUUUCGAUCGCGGAAGAUUCAGAAAUUCGAUCUUUGCAAUUUAAGUUUAGUUUCCUCCAACGGUCGAUGAAAUCAAUGACAGGUUCAUUCUUCCAUUGACGUGUAUUAGAGAGUUCAGUCAUGCUGACAGUUCUCUUUGUACUAUAGAAGUGACUAAGAAAUUCAUGUUCUAGCUGCUCCCAACUGUAAAUAGUCCUAGACUCCAAAUCCGUAUACCAGUCAAAGACAUUACCCUUCAGCGAGCGAACAAACUGCUUAACGAGCAAGUCGCCAUCAGUGCCUGCAUUGUUGCAGGUUUCCACGAAGUGUGCAAUAUGUUACUUGGAGUUGUCCUUGCCAUCGAAUUGUUGGAACUUGGGAGGUUGAUAUCCCACGGGCAUCUUCAAACUUUCCACUCUAGCAGUGUAAGGUUUGGUGUAACCACUAUAUGAUUUGGCACUUCCACCAAUCUUGUCCUUGAUUGUGCCUUCGAUAAACUCUUUCAAAUUAUCAACAUGAAUAGUGCCAUCAGGGGAGAAUGAAACUUCUUUCGUGGCUUGUGACUUCGCAUCCUCUUUCUCCUUCUCCCUUGACGAUGAGUCACCUUCAUCUUGUACGUUGGAUUUCUGUUUGGACAUACUAAGGCUAUUUUCGCCUAUAUUUUCCACCAUAGCCAUUAAUUUGACUAUUUUGGCAUCUUGACUUUGAGCAUGCACUACUAGCCCUUUGACAAUUUUGAUCAGAUUCGAAAUCUGAUCUUCCACAGUGGUGGCAUUGGUCAUCAUGACGGGCAUCACCAUAGAGGCAGCCGAAUCACUUGGGCUACUAAUAGAUUCAUCAUGGGUUCCUUUCUUGCUAGAAAGUAUCUUGAGAUUUGUUUCUUCAGUCACAACGUUCGCCUUAGUCUUCUCUGCUAAGUUCUUGGCCUUGCUCCUUGUCAGAGGUGCAGUAUACUGCGUCUCUUGAGUGGUUGUGACAUCAGUAACCAAGCCUUCAAGAGAAAAGUUCACCUUCUUGAACUCCAUUGAAUUUUGAGACUGGUAAGUUGUUGGAAGAAAAGAGAUGAGAGGCAGAAAUUGUCCUACUGGGCGUGCCAGAAAUUUGUAAGCACAAAUUUUAUUGCCUAAAAUGAAAGAUAAGAAAACUUGCACAAAUAUCAAAUUUAUUAAAUCAAACAAUAGGUGGGUUACAAUCUCUGGAAACUCUUGAAUCAAAGAAUUUAAUCCCUUGAUUCUUUUUUUCGAAUAGCUUCAAUUGAAGGGCCGUAAAUACUUGUUCUUCAAUCGAAAGGGUGUUUUCUACAAUUUCGGCAUAGAAAACGAUUGAUUUGAUGACGGCGUCACACACUUGGAACUUCAAGUCUUUAACACCGAUAGCAGGAGGAUUUGUUUGACUCGACUUGGAUUUGGAUUUGAGAAAGAAAGCUCUUGAGAGAAUUUGACAGAGUUUCUCCGAAUGUUAGGGAUUUUUCUCAUCUCUUUGCCUUAAGGAAAGACCUCUAUUUAUAGCCAAAAAUAUGUAGGCUAAAUCUUCAAGAAAACCGUCCAGAAAUCUUCCUGCAUUUUGGGUAACUUGUAACUCAAGAAACCCAUUUAAUUUGGACUUAAAUAGUGGGCCAACCCAAAUGGUCCAUGGUGAAUUAAUAAAGCAAUCAAUUCACUCUAACUUAAAUGACCAUUAUGAAUUUAAUUUAAUUUAAUAGCCUAUAUAAUAUUGGCCCAAUUUGCCAGUCCAAAACAUAAUGGACUUCUAUAAUUUAAUUUAAUUUAAUCAAGAUCAAUUUAAUUUAAAUAAAUCUCGACUAAAUAAAUUAAAUAAAAUUUCUUUGUCUACAACAAGCACCCUUUUUUUGGCGUUUUGACAUAGCGCAGCAGCUGGUAGAAAGUAUUUUGUUUCACGUAAUUAAUGUUCAAGGACCAUUUUUGGCAUCUACGACAAAGAGCAACAGCUACCAGAAUUUAGUGGAUGUGUUUGGAUUAGGAAUAUUUGAAAUAAAAAAAUUUACGUCACAAAUUCGAAUCGCCUUUUUAUCUCACAUACAUCAUAUUAUAGAAAAUAUUACAGUAAUUAUCUCAAAUAAAUCAUCCAAAUAAACUCCUAUCUAAACAAACUCGGUGUUUCAAGAGGGAUGUUCAAGGGCAUUCGUUCAGAGAUUAAAAAGUCAUAUUCAUAUUCAUGGAGGGGACAGCCAUAAAGCUUGUGAAGUCAGUUUUCAUGCAUAGGUACGUACGUGCGUGGCAGCUAAUUCCAUUAUUGUCGAUGGAGGGCCUGACUAUUCCAUCACACGCGGAUUUAGCUAAAUGACAGGGCGCGAAAUAUGAACCAGGUGAUUGCCGACGUCCCCUUCUCCUCUGGAUUAAUCCACUCUCAGUCUCAGUACUGUUUGCUACAAAUUUGUAGUGUGUUUUUGCGGGUUUCUUAUGCUGAAAAGUGAAAACCUGAGAACAAGAACGUCCUGGUUUCUUUUCCUUUAUUGUGAGGAAAACAGGUCAACUUUGUUAACAACUAUGUACGUUGGUUAAUAAUUAUUAACUUGGGGAAUUAGCCUUUGGCAGGAUCACAAAUUCUUGCGGGAUCCACAAUGAAAAUCUUAAAUUUUACUACAUAUCUUAUCCAAAAAAUUAAAGAGAGAACAUAUAUUAGAUUUAAUGUAAAUAUAUUUUCAACAGAAAGCAUCUUCCAUGGAAAAUUUUGUCCGGAAAAAUAAUUACUUUCUCCGUAUUUUUCCCGUGUUUGGGUAAUUUGUCCAAAUAGUUUCAAGACAAAACUUUCUCUCUUGUUCACGCAGUUAAGAUACCCUCUAGUUCAUAAUUCCAUACCAAAACUCGGGCUCUUGCCUAAAAUCCACCGCCCUACCACCAUAUAACUAACACCUCAAAAAUGUUUCAUCAAUUGUUUGGAAAGCCAUUUUCUACCAAAAAAUUUUUACGUUUUUCGUGAUCAUAUUUUUCAAUUAUUUUUUUAUCUUACGUAUAUCAAAUCGCUGUAGUACAGUUUUGUAUAAAAACUCUAGAAAAUAGCAAUCCAAACGAUAACAGUUAAUGACCGUCGAACAAACAUGCCUCAAAUUUACAAUAUAUUAGCACAAGAUUAACAACCUCAUUUCAUUUUCAUACAUCAAAACUUUCUCUGGCAUCCUUCACGAUCUCCCUAUAGCCCCUUUGAAUUUCAAGUCUAGAUCUCCCCAUAUGUGCGUAUGGUCUGUGUAUCUGAGAGAAAUAAAGAUAGGGACAAAGAAAAAUAGAUAGAGAAAACAGCAAAGAAGGGAGCUUUAAUGGAUAGCCUUACGACUCAGACAUGGAAAAAAACUUCAGUUUAUUUAUAUGGAAAAUUUUCGCAAGCAAUAACCCAAUCAAACAAUAGAAAAUCAGGAAAACAUUUUCUGGAAAAUAUUUGGCUUCCAAACAAAAAGGGAUUCCCAAAUCCCACCUCGAGUUGAGGAAUCUUAAACCAAACAACAGGAUGCAUAGAACGAACACAAUGGCAACUAUAUAUGAAUGGAGGUAAACAGGUGAUACAGACGAGACAUUGGCAAAACCGACAACACGAAGAGGUCCUUUGGAAUUGGGGAUUAGUUCAACAACGUUGUAUUUGUAUCGGCCACAGGAACCCAGGAAGUGCUCCUUGGAAGAUGCUACCUUGAUCUAUAUCACAUAACUACAGAACUUCCCACAUUCUUUUGUCGUCACACAAAGUGGGAAAUAAUCUUGACUCAAAUAAUUAGUGCUUGGGCCCCAUGCAUUUAUGCUUAGUUUGGCGAGUUAUGUAGGAGGUUAUGGGCAAAUUAAUGUUAAACCAAUUCAUAAUAUAGUACUGACACGUUUGCGCUUCAUCUUUAAUUCUUUUUGAACGUCCAAUAGCAUCAUCCAACGUGUUGAUUAUGGCAAAAUUUUACUAUUAUUUCUAAAUCAUAUGUAAAGUGUAGAUGCCCUUUAGUUUUUAUUAUUUAAAGAUCAUCCUUUACAUUAUUUAAAGAUGACCUACCUCUCCAACCCUCCUUCUUCUUCCCUCUCCUCCCCUCUUCCCCGCCACCUCCUCCAUAAGUGAAAAUUCAAUGCAAUAGUUGACAACUGAAAGACUAAAUUAAUACUCUAAAGUAGAAAUCUGGCAUUAUUUUAGACAAUUUGAAAAGCUAAGAGACCAACAAUAUUGUAGUUUUUAAAUAAAAAUCAUACUUGGGCCAUUUUUGACAAAAGAAUUUGCAGAAACACAAUUUGGAUUUGUUUGGAUAUGAGUUUAUUUAGAUGAUUUAUUUGAAAUAAUUACUAUAGCACUUUUUGUGAUGUGAUGUAUGUGAGACAAAAUAAUAACUAAAAAGAUAAAAGAAUGAUUGAAAUUUAUGAAGUAAAUUAUUUUAUCUCAAAACACACUGAAUUGUCUCUAAGUUGUGGUGUUUAAGUAAAGACCAAAAAAAUGGAUGAAUGGUACUCCGUACGAUUUGAUUAAAUUGUUUUCCGAACUUUAAUAUGGAUAACGAUUUUCGAGGAACAACGAAUCAGAUGCUGAGUGACUGGUACUCAUUAUUGUGACUCGAUUCUAACAGUUCCAUCAGUAGAUGCAAUGCCAAUUUAACUUCGUUCCCAUGACCUCUCCCCUGAAAUGUGUACCUGGAAAGGGCUUUUUAUCACAUACCAUCAUCAACCUCUAUCUUCACUGUAAAAUAAUUUUGUUGCACAUCUAUGUUAGCUUUAAGUUAGUUUAUUUUAUUUCUUUUAAAUUUUCUAAUAAUAAUCUACAGAUUUUGUGGCAAUAUAAAAAAAUAUGGAGAAUGUUGGCUUUAAGUAAGUUUUCUCUUUGCAAUUUCACGAAGACGACUUAAAAGUCUUCAUGGAAAAAAAAUUUGAAAUCACGGUGGAAAAUCAUUGCGUGCUUGUGGGAGAAAUCCUUGGUGACAUACAGAUUAAAAUAGAAACAUUGAUUCAUUUUUAUUUGGAUUUAGUUUGAUAUUGAUACUUACAUUAUGAUAAAAAAACAAAAAAAUCAGUCCUUACCUAGUAAUUUUUAGUUGUAAAAAUUAGUUUCAUAAAAAUUAGUUUUACAUGUUGAAAAAAAUUAUGUUUUUAUAAUCUUUUGUGAAAAUACAACAUAUUUGACCAAUUUGUUGAAAAUACUACAAAAGGUUUGUCAAGGGGUAUGGAGACAUAGCCAGACCCGUGACCAAUUUGUUGAAGAAGGACAUAUUCCAAUGGAGGGAGGAGGAUUUAGAGAAAGCUUUCCGGGAGUUAAAGGGAGCCAUGUGCAGCACACCUAUAUUAGCAGUACCUAGAGCUGGCAAAAAAGCCCAACCCGUCCAUUAAUUUUAAAGAAUGGGUUGGAUCAAUUGGGUUAUGGGUUUUUUUGGGUUGGGUAAGAAUAACCCAACUUAUUCAUUGAGCGGGUUGGGUUUUUUAUUUGGGUACCCAAUACCCAACUUAUUUAAAAGUAAUUCAAAAUAAUAAAUACAAUAUUCAAUACACAUAUGCUCAACUAUUUGUAUUUGGACAUGUGUUAAUAAUGCAUUGAUUAAUUUGUAUUCAAAAUUCUCAUAUAUAUAUUUUCAAUCAAUUUUUUUAACUUUUAUUUAAAAGAAAAAAGAUGCCCAAGAUGACCCAGAUGACACUUGACAGCCACCAUCUUUAUUUUCUUUUAAAUCAUGUCUCCACCUGAUUUAUUGGUCUGAAGAUAAUUAUUCAGUUCUUUCCCUCUCUUCUUUUUCUCCCCUGAUAAUUUUUUUUUUUAAAAAAAUCCACAAUACUUUUUUAUUGCUGUUUAACAAAAAAUUACAAUUGAUCCGCAGGUAGUGAAACAAAUACUAACAUAAAUUUAAAGUACUAAAUUGAUAAUUUGUUAAAAGGCAUUUAACUCUUAAAACUGAUUUAUAAGUCGUGAUUACUACAAUCAUUCUAGAACAAGAGUAUUUACUUAUUACAAGGCAUAUGGACUCUAUAUGUUGAACAGGACACAAAUAAAGAGAAUACCUAAUACUAAUACUAGAACACCGUUUCACAUACGUAGUCCAAAAGCAUUUUCUUCAAAUCUAGCUAUUCUAACUGAUACAGAAUUUUUGGUCUUGAUAUCUAAUGCAUAAACUUUGCAAAACAAUCUGGAAUUUCAAAUUCAAAUUUUAUACAGUUGUCAUUCAUCCAACGCUGAUAGUGCAUACACUGUCAGUGUAGGAAAGAUUAAUUCUUACUUUUAUUAUAUGCUACAAACAGAUAUAGUAGUAGUAUUACUUUUCUCGAUCAGGUAUUAUAAUAUUAAGUAAUCACAAGAUUCCUAAUUUUUAAAAAAAUUUUAAUAUAAGAAGUGAGUGUGUGUUUGUGUGCAUGAAAAUAUAUUUAUAUAUGUGAAAAUAUGUUUAUAUGUGUGAAAUUUUUUUUUUGUGUGUUAAAAUGUAUGUGAAAAAGUUUAUGUAUUAAAAUGUAUUAAUUAAUAUGUUGGGUCAUAUUUGGAUCAUGGGUUUGAGACAACCCAAUAUGACCCAACCCAAAAUCAACCCAACCUAAAGUUGGGCGGGUUGGGUAUAACCCAUUUAAGUGAAAAUCCAAUAUUAACCCGCCCAAAAUCCGCCCAACCCGUCCAAUUACCAGGUAUAGCAGUACCUGAUUUCUCUCAGCCAUUCAUCAUUAAGACAAAUGCAUGUUAUAAUGGCAUAGGGGCUGUAUUAAUGCAAAACAAGAGGCCUGUAUCCUAUUUCAGUUAGGCAUUGGACAGAAGAAUAUGGGGCUGUCCAUAUAUGAGAAGGAGCUGCUGGCAUUAGGGGUGGGUAAAAAAUCCGAUCCGAUCUGAAACUCGACGAACCGAACCGAACCGAACCAAAAAAUAGGAUAUCCGAUCCGAUUUUUCUUAGCGGGGCAGAUGCGGAUCGGGUACCUGUAAAAACGGAUAUGGAUACGAAUACGGAUCAGUAAAAUAAAAACCCGCGGGUACCCGACCCGCAGGGUAUAUUAUAUAAAUAUUAAAAAAAUAAGGGUUCAUCAUAUAAUUUUUAUAAUUUUUAAUCCUAAGUGUAAGUAAAGUGGUUCACAACCUCAUAUUCUAAUCUCAUAUGAUCCGUCUCUCCUCAUCUUGUCUUAAAAAAACGAAUAUUCUUGGUGAAACCUGAACUAAAAUGAACAAAACAAAGAAAAAUUAGUGAAACUCUAUCAUAAAAAUUGUUCAUCCUUUUUCAUUUUUAUUCUACUUCCAUCGAUCUUUCUUGCAAAUUUUUCAUCAAUUCAAUCAAAAAUUUGUGUUUGGAGCUCCAAUUUUCUAUUAGCUAGAUAAUUAAAACAUUUGUGUCUUUCAUUUAUUUAUUUGUUUUAUUGCAAUUGUGUCUCUUAAAUUUGUUUCCUUUAUUUUAGUGCAAGAAAUUUAUUUUUCUUUUUCAUCCCCUUUAAUGCAAUAAGGUCUAUUCCAAAGAUGUAAGAAAGUUGGUGAAAAUUUUCAAGAUUAUUUUGAUUAUACUUCAAAAAUUAUUAGCUCUAUUCAAUUCUUUUCCAAACUUGAUUCCACAAUCGACUCAUUUUGGAUGCAGUCUUGUACCAUAACAUCCUUAAGGAAGUUGGAAAAGUUGCCAAAUACUUAUUAUCCUUGUGAUUGUUAUGUUAUAAAAGGAUGAAAUGUGUGAGAAUUGUGAUGUACUCAAAAUUAUCAUAAAAUUUCAUUUUAUCUAUUAGAUAUUAUAAUUCUAAUAUGUACUAAAUUUAUGAGAUCGGUUUGAUUAUUGGAUGACAUGUGUGAGAAUGAUGACGUAUGGAUUUUGAUUAUAAUAUUUCUACCAAUGUUAAUUAGAAAGCAUUUUUUAUUGAAAAAUAUGUUGAUAUUAAGUGGAAAAAAAAUUUUAUUGGAAUUUUUUUUUAGCGGCGGAUACCCUAUGACCCGCCCCUUUUUUUCGGGUACUCGAAAAUAUUAGGAGCGGGUUAGGGUCGCAAAAUGGCUGAUCCAAUAUUUUAGGGUUGGGUCAGCCAAAACGUAUAAGGAGCGGGUAUCCGACCCAUGCCCACCCCUAACUGGCAUUGGUGACUGCUGUGACUAAAUGGAGACACUACUUGGAGGGGCACCACUUCAUCAUACACACUAAUUAUCAAAGUUUAAAAUAUUUGUUGGAACAAAGGAUCACUUCCCCUCUCCAACAGAAGUGGCUCACCAAGCUACUGGGACUAAGCUAUGAAAUUCACUACAAGAAAGGGAAGGACAAUAUGGCAGCUGAUGCCCUCUCCAGAUAGGGCAGGAAGGAAACAGGAGAUUGCACAGCCAUUUCAUGUGCAGUGCCUACCUAGAUCAGAGAAGUGAUUGAGAGCUAUAAGGAAGAUGAAUGGGUUCAAGAAACCAUAACCCAAGUGCUGCUGACUCCUACCCAAGUACCAGACUACUCCUAUCAUGAUGGAGUUCUCAGGUACAAGAAGAGGCUAGUGGUCGAAGGACAGGGAGACAUAAGAAAGAAACUCAUCACUGCUUUGCAUGACUCUCAAAUAGGGGGGCAUUCAGGUUAGCUUCAUGAGAGCUAAACAACUAUUUUAUUGGCCAGGGAUACACAAAAAAAUAAAGAAGUUAGUCCUGGAAUGUGACAUCUAUAGAAAGUGUAAGGAUGAGCAUGUGACCUACCCAGGAUUGUUACAACCUCUCCCUAUCCCAGAGCAUUCAUGGAGCCAUGUCACCAUGGACUUCAUUGAGGGUUUACCAAAAUCAGAAGGGAAAGACACUAUAAUAGUAGUUGUAGAUAGCUUUACCAAAUAUGCCCAUUUCAUCAGUUUGGCACAUCUUUUUGAUGCCCCAAAGGUAGCCAGACUCUUCAUUGAUCAUGUCAGUAAGCUACAUGGGAUACCCUAGAGCAUGCUGCCAGACAGAGAUAGGAUAUUUGUCAGCCAAUUCUAGGGAGAACUAUUCACUAUGUUGGGAGCUAAACUAGAUUACUAUUGGCUUGUCAAACUAGUAAAAAUAAAAGUUCCUACUCUAAUAAUAUGGAUUUGAGUAUAGCGGUGAGUAGGGUCGUAUCCACAAAGACUGGGUGAUUUAUUUGUUUGUGAAAAAUGGGGGAUUAGAAGAAAUUAACUAAAUAGAUUACUUGAAUAAAAAUAAAGACAAUCUCACAAAACUAAACCAAGAAUAGGCAACACUCUAGUCGAAGGUCUAAUUUUCACUUUGGUUCAUUUAACUGAUCAUCGAUACAAAGGUGAAAUCACUUAUUCAUAAAUAAACUGGUUAUAGUUGUCAACACACUCUAACAACCUGCCUCUCCUUAUUGUUUCUAUAACCACAACACGCUCUGUGGCUAUUUCUCUUGCCAAUUAAGCAACCCUAAACAAGCUCUUAGGAUUUAACCUAUUGACAGUAUUAAUAAUUAGAGAAGCUACCAAUUCUAACUAACAAAUACACAAACUCGGUUCAUUUAAGUUAGAUUAUAUAUUCCCGUGACAUAAAUUCAAAAGUCUCUUUUACAAUCGAAUUUUAUCACACGCCACAAAUACUAAAACCAUCAAACAAUUACGGAUUUGAUAUUUUAAAUGGCACUAGACUAUUUCAACAAUUAGAUAUUGAUCACGUAUUUAACUGUAGAAAAUAAUCAUAAUCAUGAAUGAACAGAGAAUAUAUAAAUACUCAUAAAUAAAUAAAGCAAACAAAUCAAAUUAGAUCUCACAGUAUAGUCGAACCAAAGGUUCAAUUAUCUUUCAACCAAAAAAGAAAUUAGCCGCUCCUCCCAGUAGAUUCACGGCCACAAGAAAAUACUAGGGUUUAUUGUAGAGAAAAAGAAGAAAAAGAAUGAGAGGUCUUAGUGAUGGCUCCCCUCUUUUUCUUAUACUCCUACGAGAUUAGUCUAAUGCCACAGGGAGAAGGAAAACGUCUCCUAAAACGAAAAGACUUUCUUUUCUAGUCUUAUUCUUACUUAAACUAACAAAGUAAUUAAAAUUCAAUAGGCUAAUUACUUUCCAAAUGGAAUGCAUCACUCCACAAUUGAUCAGACUUCCAAUUUGCGUCUAAUGUAGCAACAAGGACACGACAAGUGCAAUCCCGUGGGUUCCAUCUUUCACUUGGUCAUAUCACGUGCCCACGUCUUAUAGAGUGCAGUCUUCUAAAAUUCAGCUUUAAUGCCCUUUUUACUCCAUUCUCACCAACAAUUCCUAAAAACAAUACCAAAAAUCAAAUAUGAGUAAAAUUUAUCGAUUAACACUUUAUUUUAGCAAAAUAAAGGGGAAAUUAUUCACAAAUUAUAUGCACAAUUAGCCAUUUAACAAAUUCCCCACACCUAGACAAUGCUUGCCCUCAAACAUUUACUACCCAAGAAUCACAGUCUAGAUGGCAAAUAUUUCAUAGCACAAUGCAUACUAACACAAGUAUCAUGUCUUCUCAACAAUUUUAUCCAAAUCAGGAUGCACAAGAUUCAACAGUUCUCACAUAGAUAAUAGUGUAUACACUCUGCACUUAAGUGUUUAAGGGGAUAUUUAACACUCAAAUCAACACCAUGAAAUGACAUUAUCAUAAGCUUGUUAAUAUAUCAUAUUUCCACCACUUAAAAUGAAUUCAAUCCAAAAAUCAAAGGCUCUUUAUAAGGGUUGUAACGGGGCUUGGGUUAAGGGUUGGAUAAAAGGGAAUUAUUUAGGUGUACAUAUAUCAAAGGAAACAUCCAUAAUACUCUGCCUGAAAUCAAACUCCUUUGUCAUUCACCUGUAUAGCUGGCUUCCAGGUAUGUCAAUAACUUCAUUAAACUUGGCAAGUGCAAACGCAAUUUGGGCAUUAUCCCAACUACCACAAAACAACACAAGUGCACUUCACAACAAAAAUUUUUUUCUUUUUCUUCUUUCUUUUUUUUUCAAUAUUUGUUUUUGUAUUUUUUUUCAUUUCUCUCUUUUUUUUAUUGCACAACAUAACUACCACACUUGCCAACCAUAAACGUACUUUUGGAACACAUUUGGAAUUUUCAUGCAAGAAUAUUAAUGUAUUCCUUUGACACAAGGUUCGAAUGAGAAGGUUCACACGAAAAAGGUUUCAGGUAACAAAUUUGGCUAUUAAACAAAGCAAAGGAUUGAGCCUCAAACAUAGUUAACUAUGGGUAAACAUAAUUAGGAAAGGCAUUUGGAAAGUCAAAAAUGGUCAAGCCUAAUUGCCCUUAUAAUUUUAAUACAUCAAAUUCAAGCAUGAUCUCAACAUGCAUAACAAAACAAAUUCUAGAAUGUCAGAUCAUAUGUGAUAUCACUCAACAAAAGAAGAUAGAGCAAAUUUAAUUGUAAGUGCUCCUUAGGCACGAAAACUUACAAAUUAGUUAAAAUUAUAUCAAAUCUUGAGCAUCCAUCAUUCAAAUCAAUUGCAAGAAAAUUACAUACUCAUGCUAAUAACAUUACACUAUUCAUAUUUGCAUCUUGACUGCUUUUGUAAAACAAAAGAAUCUCCAAACUAGAUUUGAAAAAUUUUCAUGACAAAUUUUCAUUUAUUUUCACUUGAAAGAUCCCUUCCCCCACACCUAAAUCAAACAUUGUGCUCAAUGGAUGAAACUUAAGUGCAAAAAGAAGAAAAGAGGACUUCCCUGAUUAUUGAACUAAACAUUCGGGAGGGAAUAAGUUGCUUAAAAAUUCAAUGUAGGCGAAGCACGUAGUGAGGUUCAACUUGGGGUCGCAAUGUUGGAGGUUUUGUUGUAAGGUGUGGGCACGUUGUAUAAGAAAUAGUCUUCUAUCCAUCCAAUCAUAAACACAAACAAUGCCUUCUGGACCUAGAGCGUGGGCACGUCUUGUAACAGAUAGUUGUCAGUCCAAUCCAACCUAAAACGAACAAUGCCCUCUGAACAUAGAGCGUGGACACGUCUUAUAACAGGAAGUCUUCUGCCCAAGAAAUUUUCACGCAAUCAAAGCGAAACUUUCAUGAGUGCGUCCACAACCUAUAACAAAAAGCCUUUUGUCAAAAAGAAGCGAAAUAAACUUAACUUCCACAUAAAAAAAAGAAUGCAAAAAUGAUUCAAAAUUGAAACUCUUGGGUUACCUCCCAAGUAGCGCCUUUCUUUAACGCCUUUGGCUAGACGAUACCAUGUUCGAUCAAGGGGGAUAAAAUCUUUUAGCUCAUUUUAUUACUUCUUCCUCGUGCCAAUAAUUCUUAAGCAAACGAGCUGCUUUGUUUCUCAGUUCAAGAUGUUUGAUUAUUGCAACUCCUAUCUUAUCCAAGUCAUCCACCUCAAAAACUUUUAAACCCUCACACUUAGGAGGUAAUUUUUGUUGCAUUACGGCUGAAGCAUUUUCCUCCAUACAAAUUUUCUCAUUGCAAUUCAGCUCCUCAAAUUUGUGAAACAUUUUCAGAAUUUCUAGCUCCUCCUUCUCUUCAUUGGAUCUAGUAAAUUGAUCAGGGAAUGAAGGAUGUAUCACCACAGUUGGGGGUUGUUCAUUAGACUCUUUCAUUGAAGAAGUUUGAGAUUGGGAUCUCAUUCCUGCUUUCUCAACUUCCUCUUCGAUUACAUGCUUGAAUCCUACUUUUUGAAACUCUUGCAGUCCUUCAUCACUUCUCAGGGUCAUUGCACUCAUAUUUUGUUUGGAAUUGAUAAUGUUCUGCGAGUGCAAUUCUUCUAAAAUUUGAGACUCCAAUCGGCUCAUUGUAGUUGGUAGUUGACUCAAUUGAUUCUCCAGGUUUCGAAUACUCAUUCUUGUCUCUUGUUAAAAUUAUUGUAUAUUAGUAGCUAGUGAUUUAACAAUUUCUUCAAGAGAUAUACCUGACCUAAAAGUUGGUUGUUGCUGUUGAAUAUUUGGUGGCCUCGCUGCAUAACUGAAGCUAAGGUUAUCCCUCCAUUCAUGAGUAUACAUGUUGGAAUACAAAUCAAUCCUCAUUUGAGGUGGAUUUGGAAAUCCUCCGACAGCAUAAACUUGGGCAUUCAAACCAUCUUAUAAUGUGGGACACAUGUUACUUGGAUGAUUCGAGGUAUAACAUAUUCCACACAUUUUUCUUUGUUGUACUUGCCCUUCAACCAACUUUUCUACAAGAAAUGUUAGAAAAUGUAAACGUUGAUCAAUAGAAGAGAUACCCACAUUAUUAACCCUCCUGUGAAUGAAAUCUUGUCUAUCACCAAAUUGUUGAGUAUAAGUAGCCACAAACUAACUCCAGAAUAAGGGAAAAAUAAAAUAAAAAUAAAUCAAAAAAAAUAAAUCAAUAAGGCACCAGUCCCCGGCAACGGCGCCAAAAUUUGUUGGCUUGUCAAACCAGUAAAAAUAAAAGUUCCUAAUCUAAUAAUAUGGAUUUGAGUGUAGCGGUUAGUAGGGUCGUAUCCACAAGGACUGGGUGAUUUAUUUCUUUGUGAAAAAUGGGGAAUUAGGAGAAAUUAACUAAAUAGAUUACUUGAAUAAAAAUAAAGACAGUAUCACAAAACUAAACCAAGAAUAGGCAACACUCUAGUCGAAGGUCUAAUUUCCACUUUGGUUCAUUUAACUGAUCAUCGAUAUAAAGGUGAAAUCACUUAAUUCAUAAAUAAACUGGUUAUGGUUGUCAACACGCUCUGACAACCAGUCUCUCCUUACUGUUCCGAUAACCACAACACGCUCUGUGGCUAUUUCUCUUGCCAAUUAAACAACCCUAAACAAGCUCUUAGGAUUUAACCUAUUGACAGCAUUAAUAAUUAGAGAAGCUACCAAUUCUAACCAACAAAUACACAAACUCAGUUCAUUUAAGUUAGAUUAUAUAUUCCCGUGACAUAUUCAAAAGUCUCUUUUACAACAGAAUUAUAUCACGCGCCACAAAUACUAAAACCAUCAAACAAUUACGGAUUUGAUAUUUUAGAUGGCACUAGACUAUUUCAACAAUUAAAUAUUGAUCAGGUAUUUAACUGUAGAAAAUAAUCAUAAUCAUGAAUUAACAAAGAAUAUAUAAAUACUCAUAAAUAAAUAAAGCAAACAAAUCAAAUUAGAUCUCACAGUAUAGUCGAACCAAAGUUUCAAUUAUCCUUCAACUAGAAAAGUUAGCCGCUCUUCCCGGUAGAUUCGCAGCCACAAGAAAAUACUAUGGUUUAUUGUAGAGAAAAAGAAGAAAAAGAAUGAGAGGUCUUAGUGACAGCUCUCCUCUCUUUCUUAUACUCCUACGAGAUUAGUCUAAUGCCACAGGGAGAAGGAAAACGUCUCCUAAAAGGAAAAGACUUCCUUUUCUAGUCUUAUUCUUACUUAAACUAACAAAGUAAUAAAAAUUCAAUAGGCUAAUUACUUUCCAAAUGGAAUGCAUCACUGCACAAUUGAAGACUUCUAAUUUGUGUCUAGUGUAGCAACAAGGACACGACAAGUGCAAUCCCGUGGGUUCCAUCUUUCACUUGGUCAUAUCGCGUGCCCACGUCUUAUAGAGUACAGUCUUCUAAAAUUCAGCUUUAAUGCCCUUUUUACUCAAUUCUCACCAACAAUUCGUAAAAAUAAUACCAAAAAUCAAAUAUGAGUAAAAUUUAUCGAUUAACACCUUAUUUUAGCAAAAUAAAGGGAAAAUUAUUCACAAAUUAUACGCACAAUUAGCCAUUUAACAAUUACAGCACAGCUUACCACCCCCAAACUAAUGGAGAGACUAAGAGAGUUAACCAGGUGCUAGAAAUGUACCUCAGAUGCCUAACUCAUUUGGAGCCUAAGGGAUGGAACCAGUGGCUAUCCUUGGUAGAAUGGUGCUACAACACCACACAUCACACGGCCAUUCAAAUGACCCCAUUCAAGGCUUUAUAUGGCAUUUCCCACCCCCUCAGCUAGCUAUGGGACCUUAUCUACAGACCAAAGUGGCUGUAGUUGGAGAUUACAUCAGAGAAAGGCAACAGAUGGACAACACGCUAAAGCAGAACUUGAAGCUAGCUCAGGAGAGGAUGAAGAAGUAUGCAGAUGAAAGGAGGAGUGAGAGGGUAUUCAGUGAAGGACAUUAGGUGUAUCUGAGACUAUAACUGUAUAGAUAGAGCUCAUUAGCCCUGAGGGGAUACACCAAACUCUCAGCUAAAUACUUUGGCCCCUACAAGGUAGAAGAGAAGAUUGGUAAUGUAGCUUACAGACUAAAACUGCGUGCCACCUCAAAGGUGCAUCCUGUUUUCCACGUGCCCCUACUCAAGAAAAAGAUCGGAGACAAGGUCACACCUACACUCCAGCUGCCAGAAAUAGAUGAAAGGGGUCACUGGAAAGUGGAGCCAGUAUCUGUGCUUAAUAGAAGAAUAGUGAAAAGAAGAUAUGCUGUUGCAGUUCAAUGGUUGAUUCACCGGUGGGGCACGGAUCUUGCAGAGGGCACAUGGGAAUAUGCUGAAGAAAUCGAAAGACAAUUUCCCAAGUUUCAAUCUUGAGGACAAGAUCGCUUCUAAGGGGGGAGUGUUGUAAUGAAGUCAGGAAAUAGCUGUGCAAGAAAAGGAAGGAAGGCGUGAAGGAAGAAGAAAGGAAGGCGUGGAAAGGCGUGGAAGUUGCAGGAGGAUAACAAGAGAAGGCGUGAUCAAGAAACCACGCCUUUGCUAGGUUCACGUUGUUUUUGCUGAUGCUGGGGACCAGUCUAGCUAAAAGAUCCCCUCGAACAUGUAUUAGACGCUCAUUCGCUCUUGGAGGAAGUUAGUUAGAGUAGCAACAGUAUAAAACGAGAGGAUCAUGCAAUUGUCAUUAGCUUUUUGAGAAAUUUGUUAUUGUAAUCAGAGAAGGAAUAUCCUCUCUGUCUUUUUUUCUUCUUCUUCGAGUUUUCCUUCGGUCUAUUUCCCCUUCUCCUCUUUUCCCGCCAAUCCUAUUUCUGUAACUAAAUUUUGAGAUUCAUUAAUGCAAUGGAAUUGUUUGUUUGAGUUCAUCUGAAUUUGUGAGUUAUUGAAUCAUUUCCUUAAGUUCAUUUCCAUUUCCUGCAAAAAAUUCCCGAUUCUGGACCAUAACAACUACAUAACAGCUUGUCGUCAUUUAGUGCAAGUAGCAGUUGAUAAUAAGCUUAUCCAUUGCAGUCACGUGACACGAAUAAUUUCCGCAAAAGCAAGUUCAGAUAAAGGCAUCAUUUAUCUAUGGUUUUCUAGAUGUCUAUAGAAAAUUGUUGGCUCUGUUUGGAUUAGCCAUUUUUGGAGGUGUUUUUCAAAAUUUUACUUUAGCUGUGUAUAUGAAAAAUUUUUACUGUAGAUGUUUUUUGGAUUGUUUUUAGAGGUAUUUUUAAAAAUAUGUUUUUGAGAAUUUUUAUAAUUUUUUUGGAAUUUUUUAAAAAAAUUUUACACGACCCACCAUUAUCCUCUCCCUUUUCCUUCCCCUCUCUUGUUUUUCUUCCUCUCCUCCUCCCCUCUAUUUCCUCCCCCUCCUCCUUCUCCUCCUCCCUCUUUCCCCUCCCUUCUCCCCCCCUCACCUCCUUCCCCCCAACCCUAAACCCCUCUCCUGCUCUUGGGUGGUGGCUGCGAUUUUAGCCACCACUUUAACCACGACCAUCUUGGUCGCGAUCAAAUCUGAUCGUGACUAAGAAGGUUACGGUCAAUCGAGGGGAAGGAAAUUGGGGGGGGGGCGGGGAAAGGGAAAGAAGAAAGGAGAAAGGAGAAAGAGAGAAGAGAAGAGGAAAAAAGGAAAAGAAGGAGGAGAAAGGGAGGAAAGAUGGGUGAAGAGAGAGAAGAGAGGAGAGAGGAUCGUGGGUGUGGGGGUGGUGGCCAUGGCAGUGGAGAAUGAUGGGUAGUUGUGUAUUUUUUUAUAUAUUUAGAGUUAUUUUUGAUAUAUUAUAUGGAUAUGAUAUUUUUGAAAUUAUUUUUAUUGGUGUAUUACUGUAGCAUUAUAGAUGAAAAAUUAGCAGUUGAUAAAAAGACAACCACUUAAAAUAGUUUUCCCAUAAAAUAUGUCGAAUGAUGUCAGAAUCACUGGCAUGGACCACUUGGGUGAGAACCCGUUAGAAUAGUCCAUUUCCAAGAAUAAGCCGACAAAACGUACGGAGUAGGAUCCACGUACUCUUUGCUAAGCAAAUGACCUUGCAAUUGCUCUCCAGUCAAUUGUUCUCCAUUAGAGUGGAUGAGUACACAACCAUAAAAAAUUUAAACUUUGUUUCGCAGAACUCUUUACAAUGCAUGUGUGGAUCUAGGUGCACUCCUUUCUGUGGAGUAAUUCUUGAUCGGAUCUAAAUUCCAUCAAUUAUCAUUUGGUCAGCAUAUGCAACACAGAUAGGCCAAUCAAGAGUGCUAAAAAUCGUCCAACAACACGAUUGAUAUACAUCGUUGCUGUUUUAAUGUCAGAUAAAACAAGCAUUAGAAUCGAAAUAUGCGACACAAUUAAAACUUCCACAUCAAAAAGGCCAAAAAAAGAGGGGAAAGAAGAAGUAACUUUAGUAACUCGACUGAACUAUUUUACACCGUGCUGUCUGUGACAGUGGAAAAGGCAAACGUAAAAGAUUUCGCCAUUCAUUAAGAUAUCGGAAUGAUUAACCGGUGUGGAAAAAAACCUGACGACGGGUUGGGUCAUGGGUGGGACAACUGGACGAUGGAAGCUUCAAUCCGCCAUGAAAAUUGAGAGAUAUUCCUUUUGAGAAAAUCUCCAUGAGAGGCAUAUCCCGCUCUCACCUAAAGUCCAUCAAUUAUAAUUUGGUCAGCACAUCCAACACAGAUAGGGCAAUCAAAAGUGCUGAAAAUCGUCCAGCAGCAUGAUUGAUAUGAAUCAUUAUCUUAAUGAUAGAUAAACAUGCACUAAAAUCGAAAUAUGCAACAGGAUAAAACUUUGACGUUAAAAAGAAAAAGAAAAAAGUAACUCCAGUAACUCGACUGGACUAUUUUAAGAUAUCCCAUUCAUUAAAAAUAUCUGAAUGAUUAAGUUGUGUGGAAAAAAACUCGACGAUGGAUUGGUUGGGACAAACCACUGGGCCAAUGGCUCAGUGGCCACCAGGGAGGGACUUAAGUCCCUCCUUGGGCUGUAGGUGAGGGUUCAAAUCUCACCUGCAGCGAAAAAAAUCUAAGAGUUGUGCCAUAACACUCUCUUGAUUUAGUUGGGUCUGUAUAUAUAUUAGGCCCUACAACAGCAUUCUUAGGCUCCCCCUCCCCCUAGAUUAGGAUAGAGUAGGUUAUACAAAUGUAUCGUUGCUCACAAAAAAAAAAAAGAUUGGUUGGGACAAUUGGACAAUAGAAGUAUCAAUCUUUUUUUUUUUCAAAACGAUAACUGUUGUAUAACAUAUUCUAUCCUAUACUAGACAAGAGGGAAGCCUAAAGAAGCUUGUAUCCGCCAUGGAAAAUUAAGAGAUAUUCCUUUUGAGAAAAUCUCCUUGGGGAGCAUAUCCUGCUCUCAGCUACAAAGAACCGUUCAUUCCUUUGCAGCUGAGCUGGCCGUAAAAUGCUGAGAUCCCUAUUGCAUAAUUGACAUUUAAAUCCCAGACUCUAUCAAACCAAUCCACGUCUGUACGCCCGAUGUCCAAAUAAUUACAAAUGGUGUACCGUUGCCAUGGAGACGCGCGCGAUUCAAAAAUUGAUCAAUCAAAAGCUGCCCUUUAUAUGUAAAGCCAGAAAGAGCUAGAUCAUCUUCAAACGCAUAAUUGUACUUAAAAUUUUUUUUAUUAUUGUGGACAAUUUCAAGUCUAUCUAUGUCCAUAAACAAUAAAAUCUUGUGUUUGUGAUAAGACAUCACCUACCUUUUUCAACCUACAUUUUUAUAGUUUUAACCACAUUUUUAUCUCACAUAUAUUAUAUCAUAAAAAGUGCUACAAUAAUUAUUUCAAAUAAUAUUUUAUCCAAACAACCGGAAACUUUGAAAAAGAUACCUUGUUUUUAGGAUCCUAAAAGACCAAAAGACGGUGUAGUACCCAUUAAAGCCUUUCAGUUGCAAAGCAGGCACCAGGGGAAGAUCCGGUGAGGCAAAACUCCUAAGCACAAGAUUCCCAUUUUCAUAGCAUCAGAAGGAAAAUUUGGAUUUAAAGCAAGGAAGGUAAAAUCUCAGUUAUCUUUCUUAAAGUAUCUAGUAGUCAUUUCUUAAAUUCCAGUUAAUCAUCCUGAUAUUUUAUAUGAAUUUUGAACCGCCUUUUCAAUUUACAUCCACUCAAGAAAACGCAUACAGAUUAGCAUUACAAACCCUCAGACAACCAGAUACCUAUUAUUAUUUUGACAAAAUUAUAGAGGAAAUUGAAACAACAGACCAGUGUUUAGCACACAUACAAAUAGAAGACGCUAGAUUAUCUAAAGUAGCACACCACCAUCCCGCAUCAUUUCUAAAAAAUUUAAGACAAGCAAAAAUAGAUUUACUUUGGCAUAAAUACUCUGAAUUAAAAUCAAUAGAAAGACAAAAGUUAGAAGAACAAGAAAAAUAUAAAAAUAAAAGGAAUUUUUGUAAUAAAGUUUGUAGAACAUUUGAUUAAUCACGUAGGUCUUUAAUUGGAGCCGUAGAAGUCCAACUUUAUAGCUUUAUAGCUUGUCCAACUUUAUAGCUUUAAUCACAUAGGUCUUUAAUUGGAGCCGUAGAAGUCCAACUUUAUAGCUUUAUAGCUUGUUUUUUGUAUCAGAGCUUGCCUUCCCGGUGAGCCUGAUUCCUUAAAGUCAAAAAUAGAUAAAAGAUUAGAAUACUUAGAUCUAGAAAUAAAAAAUAAAUCUAGGAAUAUAAUAACUUUAGAUAAUCAUAAGCAUAUUUGUUAUUUUCAGAACACCUAUAAACAUACCUUACAUAGUAAAGAAGAUAAAAAUUAUAAUAGCCUUAUUGAUCUAGUAAUAUCUUUAGGAGAGUCUUCAGAGAAACAUAAAGAAAAUAAUUCUCGGAUAAUAGAAAAUUUAUUAGAAUCAAUAAAGAAUAAAAAUAAAGUAAUAAAGACGCUAGUAGAAAAUCAGGAUUACUUAAAGGAACAAAAUAAUAAAAUAAUAAAAAGAAUAAAAUAUUUAGAAGAACUAAAACAAUUAAAAAUAGAACAUAAAAUUAAUACAGAAAAAAUAACUAAAGAAGUAUUAGAAGAAAUAAGACAAAAAUCUGUAGAAUUAAAACAAUCUUAUAAUCAAGUAGAAGUACUAUUACAUAAAAUAGAAAAAAUCAUUUUAAGUUAAUAUAUGAGUAGUAAUAGUAAUAAGCCACUUCCUUCACAUUAUGUCUUUUAUCCAGAUUAUCUGAAAACAUUAGAAGAAUUAAAAUAUUAUCAUCAAGACUCGUUGGGAUUAACAGAUUAUUCAGGAGCUAUUGCAUCAGAUAAAAUAUAUCCUAAACAAAAUAACUCUAUAAUAGCAUUAUUAAUAUCCUUACAUAAAAAAGUAGAUACAAUAACAGAAAAGGUCAGAGUCUUACAAAUAGAUAAGUUUGAAAAAGAUUUGGAAAAAAUAACGGACCAAUUUAAAAGAUUACAUGUAACAAAGAAAGAAAGUAAACCACAUCUUAGUAAUAUAUUUUCAGUCAAUCCUAAACCACAAAAAUUUUAAAAGAUGGCUAGUAGAACAUCAUUUUCAGGACCUAGUAGAACAGUCAACGAAAACACACAAGUAGGAACUAGUGUAUUAAAUAUAGGGAGACAAUUAAGAAGGAGUAGGAGCAUGCAUUUAGAAGAAGCAAUAGACGUAGAUAGAGACUUGGAAAUAUACAGGAAUAAUGAAAUAAGUUUAUUAAACCCAAGAACUUUGUACUCAGUAGGAUUUCUUAGAAUUAAUACAGGAUUAUUUAGACAAAGCAGAGAAGAACCAGUGAGCGCAUUAAAUAACCCCGUAAAUCUUAGAAUGAUAAUACAACAAAGCAUAAACCAAAUUAGAAGACAGUAUACAUAUAUGCAGAUAGGAUUAAUAGUUAUAGGAAUUAAAGGACUAACAAGGAAAGGAUUAGGGAAAAAAGUAUUAUUAGCAGUAUUAGACAAGAGACAUAAAAAAGUGGAAGAUGCAUUAAUAGCCAGUAUAGAAGUAGAUAUGAAUCAGAACGGAGGAAUAUUUUAUUGCAGCCCAGAUUUUAUGAUAACCUUAGAAGAUAUAAAAAAAUCUAGAAAUAGGAAUACAAACUAAAGGAUAUGAAAAUUUUCAAGAAGAUAAUUUAACAAUAAGUAUCAGAUUUAUAAGAAGAUUAACAAAUAGUAGUAAAACCAGAUAUAAGGUAGAAAUAAAGCCAAUAGUAGAGGCUAUGGCAAGUAAAGGAAUAAAAUUAAUAAAACCAAUAGAAGUAAGUUCAGAAAACUUGGCAGGAGAAGAAUGGGAGAUUAGUAAAUUUAUAGAAGAAAAUAAUCCAAUGGUACCAAAAGAUAGUAUAAUAUAUAAAAAUAGUCAAGGAAGAACAAGCCUUAGGUUUUUUAAUUAUGAACCAACAGCUUUAGGAACAGAUAACGAAGAAAUAGACAAAUCUGACAUAGAAUCAGACCUUAUCGAAAUAAAUUUAUUAGAAGAAGAAUUAAUAGAAAUAAAUCAUAGGAUUCUUUAUCCAAAAGAAUUAAAAAUGGACUUAACAGAGAAAGAACUAUUUGAUUUAGAAAGAAAAUUAGAAGCAAAUGGACAAAUAGCAUUAAACGAAGUAUUAUACUGUGAUAACGUAGGAAAUAUUAGAGUUAAAGAAGAAGAAGAAAAUUCUGAAGAAGAUAAUUUAGAAGUAGCCAGCAUAAUGUCAUAUAGAGAAUUAAUGGAUCAACAACAACAAAGUGGUGAAAGUAGUAACAGGUCAACAGAUAUGCAGACUGAUCCUAGUCACACAGGAAAUGUUAGAACAUAUGAACCAGGACAACCACCCAGAAUAGUCUAUAAUGAAUAUAGAGAACCAGAGGAAAAAUAUAGUUCUAGGGGAAAAAGAAGACCAUUAGAAUUAGAAAUAAAAGAGCAUUCAGUAGAUGAAGGAAAAACUUUAAUGUUAACAUCUUACGAUCCACAAAUGAUAGAAGAUGUAAUAGGAAGCUGGAAAGCUAGAGUAGUAAGAAAUUAUAUACAAAAAGGAUUCGAUCAUAACGUAAUAGAAAUGUAUACAUAUUUAGAAACAUUUUUAGGAGGAGUAGCAAGGGCAGCAUGGGAAGCAUUUAAACAAAAAUUUCCAGAUAGGUUACAACAAGAUCAGGCACAUGGAGUCAAUCCAAUGAAUUUUGUCAACCGAGUAGAAGAAAUUCUAUUAGCAACAAGCCCAAACAGAGGAGGAGUAAUGACACAGAUAGAAUCAGUAAGAAAACUAGAACAAUUAUCAAUUAGAAAUUGGAAAUAUAUUAAACCUUUUUUACAAGACUUUUUAUAUUAUAGUUGUUUAGCAGGAUGUUUUUAUGAUGAAGGAAUUAUAGAAAAAUUAUUUGCAAAAUUACCAGACGACUUAGGAAAGAAAAUAUAUACCUUAUAUAAAGCAACGCCCAUGGAACCAACAUUAAAAAAUGUGAGUACGGCAGUAAGAUUUAUAAUCAAUAGACUAGUAGAAGAAUGUACUUUUAUAAAAAUACAAAGACAAUUAAAAGGAGAAUAUAGUUUUUGCUCAGAAAUAUACACACCACAAAAAUAUGGAGAAAAAGAUAAAGAAAAAAGAAAAUAUAGAAAGCCUUAUAAAAAUUAUAAAAGAUACCCUAGAAAACAAUAUUAUCUUAGGAAAAGCAAAGCUAGAAAACCAUUUCUCAAAAAAGAACACCAUGUUAGAAGAUAUAGACCAGAAAGAACUUAUGGAAAUAGAUUAUCUUGUUUUAUUUGUAAACAACCAAAUCAUUUAGCAACAAAUUGUCCACAAAAACAUAACUCUUUUAAUAGAGAAGCUCACUUAAUAGAAUUAUUUUCAGAAGAUUUAAUAGAAAUAGAUGAUAAUAUACUAGAAACAGAAAGUAUUUAUAGUAUAGUAUCUGAAAACUUAGAUUUAACAGAUUUUAUAGAACAAGAAGACACAAGUUUUAUAGAUGAAAUUUUAGAAAAAUCAGAAGAUAGAACUAUCAUGGAUAAUAUAUAUUUAGAAGAGAUGAAAGAAGAUUUUAAAAUGUUAGAAGAUUUAGAACUAGUUGAAGUAGAGUGUAUCCAUAAAUGGGAACAUAGAAAAGGAAAUUAUAGUAAAGCAUGCUAUAACUGUAAUAAAUAUCCGUCAAUAGAAUUAAGGUUUCAAUGUCAGUUAUGUUAUAUAGAAGGAUGCAAAUUCUGUUUAGACAAAUUUACACAGGAAUAUGUUUUAAUAGAAAAUAUUAAUAAAGAAAAAACUGAAGAAAAUCUGCCUUUAGAACAUUAUUUAGAAAGAAGGAUAAGGAUUUUAGAAAAUAAAGUUGAACAUUUAGAGCAAAAAAUAGAAAAAUUAAGCAAGGGAAAAACAAUAGAAAACGAAGUAUCCAUUGAAAACAUAGAUCUAGAAAUAUUCCCUGAAAUAGAAGAAAUAAAACAUAAUUAUGAUCUAGAAUUAUUACAAGCAGGAACAUCAAAUAUAACAUCCAUAGAAGUAAAAACUCGAAUAAAAAUAGGAGAUUUUGAAACACAAUUACUAGCAGUAAUAGACACAGGAGCUAGUAAUAUAGUAAUCCAACAAGAAUUAAUUCCAGAAAAAUAUUAUGAAAAAGCAUACCAUAUUAGAACGGCUAGACAAAUGGAUGGAAGUACAUAUACAUAUGAUACAGCAUUACAUAAUUCUUUAUUGUUUUUUGAAAUUGAUAGCAUACACUGUACACAACCAUAUCCGGUAACAGAAAUAUAUAUUAGAAGUUUUCCUUAUCAAAUGAUAUUAGGACUAUCAUUUAUUUUACAGGCAUAUCAUGGCAUGAUUCUUACUAGAACAGGAUUAACAUUCCUGAGGGAACAUUUUUUACCAUAUAAUACUUUUUUAACAAGCAAUAAAUUUAAAAUAAAUAAAGAUAAUAAAUUUACAAGACUCUUAGGACUAGAAGAAAAAGAUAAUUGUAAAUGUGAUAUAAAAGGUAGCUGUAAGAAUGAUUCAACCCAAGAAUAUAGGGGGAAGAAUCAGAAAACUAAUUCUUUUGACAAUAUGGAGAUGACUGGAGAAAGACCUUUAUAUUCGUCACAAAGAAUUCAAAACUGUUUAGAAGACAAAGAAUUUGAAGAAUAUUUAGAGAUAGAAAAUUAUGACACAAUAGAAACUAUUUUAAAUAAUGAAAAAUUAUAUGAUCUGUUAGAAACAGGACAUAGAGAUAUAGACCAACUAAUAAGUGAAUUAGAAAAAUUAUAUAGAUAUAUUUUCAGUAAAUUUGAUUGUAAGUCAGGAUUUUGGCAGGUAAAAAUGCAUAAAGAAAGUAUAGAAUGGACAGCAUUUACAUGUCCUUUAAGACACUAUGAGUGGUUAGUAAUGCCUUUUGGGUUAAAAAAUGCACCAGCCAUAUUUCAAAGAAAAAUGGAUAAUAUUUUUAAUAAAUAUAAAGAUUUUGUCAUAGUAUAUAUAGAUGAUAUAUUAGUAUUUUCAAAAAGCAAAGAAGAACAUGUAAGCCAUCUAAAAUUAGUUUUCUCAGAAUUUAUUAAACACGGAAUAAUAAUCAGUAAUAAAAAAGCACAAUUUUUUAGAAAAAAUAUAGAAUUUUUAGGAACAGAAAUAGGACAAGGAAAAAUAAAAUUACAACCACAUAUUUGUAAAAAGGUUUUAGAAUUUCCAGAUAAGAUAGAAGAAACAAAAAAACUUCAACAAUUCUUAGGAUUAUUAAAUUAUGCAAGACCUUUUAUUAAAAAUUCAAAUAAUCUAGUAGCACCAUUGUAUAAUAAAACCUCUUUAAAAGGACAAAAAUUCUUUAAUAAAGAAGAUGUCAAACUAAUACAAGAAAUUAAACAAACAAUAGGCAAUUUACAUGAUCUAAAAUUACCAUUAGACACAGAUUACUUGAUAAUAGAAUGUGAUGGCAGUAGUACCGGAUGGGGAGCAGUUCUUUUUGCAAAACCAAAUAAGUAUAGCAGUAAAAAUAGUGAACAAAUCUGUAGAUAUGCUAGCGGUAAAUAUAAGGAAAAAGGCAAUAGGAGUAGUAUAGAUAAUGAAUUAUUAGCAGUAAAAUAUAGUUUAGAUAAUUUUAGACUUUUCAUAAUCAACAAAUCUGAAAUAACUAUUAGAACAGACUGUGAAGCAAUAAAAAAUUUUUUUGAUAAACAUAAUGAAAAAAGAAGUUCUACUAGAAGAUGGUUAAAUUUUGUAGAUAGUAUUAUUGGUAAUGGAUAUAAAGUAGUUUUCGAACACAUUAAAGGUAAAGAUAAUAAUUUAGCAGAUUUUUUAUCACGACUUUUUAACGAUUCUUCUGAUCUCUUAGCAGAUGGCAUAUAACUUCCAGAAAGUCAAAAUUGGCCAGUGGGAACUUACAAAGUACCCUAAAGGUACAAGUCUACAUUUCCAUAGCCAAGAGGAAGGUAAUUUAGAAGACAUCCAGCAGGAUAUCUUAAAUAACCUCUGGAAUAGCAGAAAUAGCACUGAUAAAGUUCGAAAUCUUAAUAUCUUAGCAUUUUAUUUUAGUAAUCUUCCAAAACAAAGUUUUUCAUAUUACGUAGUGGUAAAAGGAAAAAUACCUGGAAUCUAUUCUAAAUGGAUUUCCGUAAUAGAACAAAUAAAUCAUUUUCAUAAUCCUUUAUGGAAAGCAUUUCAUAGCAUACAGGAAGCAAUAGAAUUUGCUAGACAUAAUAUAGGAACAACAUUUUAUGUAGAUCCUAAGGCUAGCAUGGACAGCAUGAGGGCUCCAGUAUAUCAAAAUACAGAUGCCCCUAGUAGCAGUAGAAAUUAUCAAUAUGCAUUAGAAAAAGAUAACACAAAUAGAAUAGAAUUUUGUAGACAUUGUAAGAGCAUGGAGCAAGCUAUUAGAAGUUUAAAUUUAAAGUGUAGAAAUUUUGAAGAAGAAGAUCUUUCUCAAAAAGAAAAGAUAAAAUCUUUAACUGAACAACUCAAAAAAAUGUAUAAGAUCUCAGGCUCACAAGGAGAUACUAUUCUUUCACAAAUUUCUGAGAUUGGGGAGCUCAAAGGAAGGUUGUCUCAUACAGCAUCUCAAAUGGCCAGUUCUUCAUCCGGCCCAAUAAAACAGACAAUUUUUAUAAAAGAAAAGCCCAUUUCAGAAAGACCAUUUGAAUUUCUUAAGCCCAGAAUAUCCUUUAAACCAUAUCACCUACUUAGUUUCCUCCCUUUACAUAUCCAAGAAAUUAUUAGCCAAAAAACCCAAGCCCAAUAUUAUUCAAAAUUAAUGGCAGUCCAACAAUACUUUUAUGAAAUAGCAAAAGACCCAAUUAGAAAUACAGCAGCCAUUAGACUACACCCAUCUUUCUUCAUCGACCCAGAAAAACAUUGCCCAAACAAUCCAGAAGCCUGUGACCACCAGAAAAUAAAUAGCCAUUGUAUACAUACACUCAGUUAUUUUUUCCUCAGAGCAACUAUUAUUUUAUCAAAAUAUUCAUCCCCAAAGAUACUAAGAGUAAAUGGGGAAAGAGUUAUUUUAACACCACAAUUUCUUAUGGAUGCCGGAUUCCUGGAAAAAAUUAUUGUUACAAAUCCAGAAGAUACUCAUUGUCUUGGAACUCAUCUCGGAUACUUCAUCAGAAAAAUGUUAGACUAUGGACAGUGGGCAACUGUACAUAUCAAAUCCGCAUCAGCAGAAUGGAUAGGACUUUUUGAUAUAGAACCAGCAAUACAUAGAAUGAUGAUUACAGUCAGCAAUAUACCACCAGCAAGGAGAACGACAGAAGAACUAGAGAAAAUCAGCAGCAGUCUAGUGGAAUGUCCAUUAGAAUUAAAAGAACAAUUGAUAAAUGCUAAAAUGAUCCAAUUAGCUUACAGACAUUUCAUAGAUCAAUGGGAAAAUGGAAUUAGAUUAGUAUAUGAAAAUAAGAUACAGAAGCUAUAUGUCCCAUACAGGUUUAAGUUAGAAAAAGAUUUCACUAUAAGCACCAAUUAUCCAGAAGUUUUUGAAAAAUAUUUAGAAGGAUAUUAUAUGAGCACAGGAGCAAGGCAUUUGGAUAUCGAACCAGAUGAAGAAUAUAAUGAUGAUCAUUAUUGGGAAACAAUGGGACCAGAAGAAAUGAGCAACAUCGAGAAUAUGAUGGAAGGAUAAUUCUUCGGCCAUCUUGUCUAGAGCUAUAAUGCAUAGACCGGUCAUAAAGCUUUUAUUGUAUAGUUUGGCCAAAUUACUUUUCAAUGUAUAGGAUGGUCAUAAAGCUUUUAGCCUUUAUUAGCUGUCAGCCGCAUUGUAUAGUUAGGCAAUAUUGAUUGAUGUUUUACGGAUUUCAGUAGGUUUUAAGUCCGUAAAAGUUAACAUGUCAUGUCCACGGACUUUGAGUCAAAAAUUUUAAGUCCGCACAGUUUGCACAAGAAGUCUAUAAAGGCAUACGUCCCAAACCAAUGUUGGGUACGAUGCACUUACACCCUGUAAAUUAAACCAUCCAAUAAAAACUCCAACUUCAUACGUUCUUUAGCAGUUUUUACAAGUCUUUAGCUCUCUCAUAUUGCUAGCAUAAGACGAAAGAGAAAUAAGAAAGUAGAGAUUUAGGCAGCCAACCCUAGAUUAGAUCCAAACAACCGGAAAUUUUGAAAAAGAUACCUUGUUUUUAGGAUCCUAAAAGACCAAAAGACGGUGUAGUACCCAUUAAAGCCUUUCAGUUGCAAAGCAGGCGCCAGGGGAAGAUCCGGUGAGGCAAAACUCCUAAGCACAAGAUUCCUAUUUUCAUAGCAUCAGAAGGAAAAUUUGGAUUUAAAGCAAGGAAGGUAAAAUCUCAGUUAUCUUUCUUAAAGUAUCUAGUAGUCAUUUCUUAAAUUCCAGUUAAUCAUCCUGAUAUUUUAUAUGAAUUUUGAACCGCCUUUUCAAUUUACAUCCACUCAAGAAAACGCAUACAGAUUAGCAUUACAAACCCUCAGACAACCAGAUACCUAUUAUUAUUUUGACAAAAUUAUAGAGGAAAUUGAAACAACAGACCAGUGUUUAGCACACAUACAAAUAGAAGACGCUAGAUUAUCUAAAGUAGCACACCACCAUCCCGCAUCAUUUCUAAAAAAUUUAAGACAAGCAAAAAUAGAUUUACUUUGGCAUAAAUACUCUGAAUUAAAAUCAAUAGAAAGACAAAAGUUAGAAGAACAAGAAAAAUAUAAAAAUAAAAGGAAUUUUUGUAAUAAAGUUUGUAGAACAUUUGAUUAAUCACGUAGGUCUUUAAUUGGAGUCGUAGAAGUCCAACUUUAUAGCUUUAAUCACAUAGGUCUUUAAUUGGAGCCGUAGAAGUCCAACUUUAUAGCUUUAUAGCUUGUUUUUGGUAUCAGAGCUUGCCUUCCCGGUGAGCCUGAUUCCUUAAAGUCAAAGAUAGAUAAAAGAUUAGAAUACUUAGAUCUAGAAAUAAAAAAUAAAUCUAGGAAUAUAAUAACUUUAGAUAAUCAUAAGCAUAUUUGUUAUUUUCAGAACACCUAUAAACAUACCUUACAUAGUAAAGAAAAUAAAAAUUAUAAUAGCCUUAUUGAUCUAGUAAUAUCUUUAGGAGAGUCUUUAGAGAAACAUAAAGAAAAUAAUUCUCGGAUAAUAGAAAAUUUAUUAGAAUCAAUAAAUAAUAAAAAUAAAGUAAUAAAAACAAGCUAUAAAGCUAUAAAGUUGGACUUCUACGGCUCCAAUUAAAGACCUAUGUGAUUAAAGCUAUAAAGUUGGACAAGCUAUAAAGCUAUAAAGUUGGACUUCUACGGCUCCAAUUAAAGACCUACGUGAUUAAUCAAAUGUUCUACAAACUUUAUUACAAAAAUUCCUUUUAUUUUUAUAUUUUUCUUGUUCUUCUAACUUUUGUCUUUCUAUUGAUUUUAAUUCAGAGUAUUUAUGCCAAAGUAAAUCUAUUUUUGCUUGUCUUAAAUUUUUUAGAAAUGAUACGGGAUGGUGGUGUGCUACUUUAGAUAAUCUAGCGUCUUCUAUUUGUAUGUGUGCUAAACACUGGUCUGUUGUUUCAAUUUCCUCUAUAAUUUUGUCAAAAUAAUAAUAGGUAUCUGGUUGUCUGAGGGUUUGUAAUGCUAAUCUGUAUGCGUUUUCUUGAGUGGAUGUAAAUUGAAAAGGCGGUUCAAAAUUCAUAUAAAAUAUCAGGAUGAUUAACUGGAAUUUAAAAAAUGACUACUAGAUACUUUAAGAAAGAUAACUGAGAUUUUACCUUCCUUGCUUUAAAUCCAAAUUUUCCUUCUGAUGCUAUGAAAAUAGGAAUCUUGUGCUUAGGAGUUUUGCCUCACCGGAUCUUCCCCUGGCGCCUGCUUUGCAACUGAAAGGCUUUAAUGGGUACUACACCGUCUUUUGGUCUUUUAGGAUCCUAAAAACAAGGUAUCUUUUUCAAAAUUUCCGGUUGUUUGGAUCUAAUCUAGGGUUGGCUGCCUAAAUCUCUACUUUCUUAUUUCUCUUUCGUCUUAUGCUAGCAAUAUGAGAGAGCUAAAGACUUGUAAAAACUGCUAAAGAACGUAUGAAGUUGGAGUUUUUAUUGGAUGGUUUAAUUUACAGGGUGUAAGUGCAUCGUACCCAACAUUGGUUUGGGACGUAUGCCUUUAUAGACUUCUUGUGCAAACUGUGCGGACUUAAAAUUUUUGACUCAAAGUCCGUGGACAUGACAUGUUAACUUUUACGGACUUAAAACCUACUGAAAUCCGUAAAACAUCAAUCAAUAUUGCCUAACUAUACAAUGCGGCUGACAGCUAAUAAAGGCUAAAAGCUUUAUGACCAUCCUAUACAUUGAAAAGUAAUUUGGCCAAACUAUACAAUAAAAGCUUUAUGACCGGUCUAUGCAUUAUAGCUCUAGACAAGAUGGCCGAAGAAUUAUCCUUCCAUCAUAUUCUCGAUGUUGCUCAUUUCUUCUGGUCCCAUUGUUUCCCAAUAAUGAUCAUCAUUAUAUUCUUCAUCUGGUUCGAUAUCCAAAUGCCUUGCUCCUGUGCUCAUAUAAUAUCCUUCUAAAUAUUUUUCAAAAACUUCUGGAUAAUUGGUGCUUAUAGUGAAAUCUUUUUCUAACUUAAACCUGUAUGGGACAUAUAGCUUCUGUAUCUUAUUUUCAUAUACUAAUCUAAUUCCAUUUUCCCAUUGAUCUAUGAAAUGUCUGUAAGCUAAUUGGAUCAUUUUAGCAUUUAUCAAUUGUUCUUUUAAUUCUAAUGGACAUUCCACUAGACUGCUGCUGAUUUUCUCUAGUUCUUCUGUCGUUCUCCUUGCUGGUGGUAUAUUGCUGACUGUAAUCAUCAUUCUAUGUAUUGCUGGUUCUAUAUCAAAAAGUCCUAUCCAUUCUGCUGAUGCGGAUUUGAUAUGUACAGUUGCCCACUGUCCAUAGUCUAACAUUUUUCUGAUGAAGUAUCCGAGAUGAGUUCCAAGACAAUGAGUAUCUUCUGGAUUUGUAACAAUAAUUUUUUCCAGGAAUCCGGCAUCCAUAAGAAAUUGUGGUGUUAAAAUAACUCUUUCCCCAUUUACUCUUAGUAUCUUUGGGGAUGAAUAUUUUGAUAAAAUAAUAGUUGCUCUGAGGAAAAAAUAACUGAGUGUAUGUAUACAAUGGCUAUUUAUUUUCUGGUGGUCACAGGCUUCUGGAUUGUUUGGGCAAUGUUUUUCUGGGUCGAUGAAGAAAGAUGGGUGUAGUCUAAUGGCUGCUGUAUUUCUAAUUGGGUCUUUUGCUAUUUCAUAAAAGUAUUGUUGGACUGCCAUUAAUUUUGAAUAAUAUUGGGCUUGGGUUUUUUGGCUAAUAAUUUCUUGGAUAUGUAAAGGGAGGAAACUAAGUAGGUGAUAUGGUUUAAAGGAUAUUCUGGGCUUAAGAAAUUCAAAUGGUCUUUCUGAAAUGGGCUUUUCUUUUAUAAAAAUUGUCUGUUUUAUUGGGCCGGAUGAAGAACUGGCCAUUUGAGAUGCUGUAUGAGACAGCCUUCCUUUGAGCUCCCCAAUCUCAGAAAUUUGUGAAAGAAUAGUAUCUCCUUGUGAGCCUGAGAUCUUAUACAUUUCUUUGAGUUGUUCAGUUAAAGAUUUUAUCUUUUCUUUUUGAGAAAGAUCUUCUUCUUCAAAAUUUCUACACUUUAAAUUUAAACUUCUAAUAGCUUGCUCCAUGCUCUUACAAUGUCUACAAAAUUCUAUUCUAUUUGUGUUAUCUUUUUCUAAUGCAUAUUGAUAAUUUCUACUGCUACUAGGGGCAUCUGUAUUUUGAUAUACUGGAGCCCUCAUGCUGUCCAUGCUAGCCUUAGGAUCUACAUAAAAUGUUGUUCCUAUAUUAUGUCUAGCAAAUUCUAUUGCUUCCUGUAUGCUAUGAAAUGCUUUCCAUAAAGGAUUAUGAAAAUGAUUUAUUUGUUCUAUUACGGAAAUCCAUUUAGAAUAGAUUCCAGGUAUUUUUCCUUUUACCACUACGUAAUAUGAAAAACUUUGUUUUGGAAGAUUACUAAAAUAAAAUGCUAAGAUAUUAAGAUUUCGAACUUUAUCAGUGCUAUUUCUGCUAUUCCAGAGGUUAUUUAAGAUAUCCUGCUGGAUGUCUUCUAAAUUACCUUCCUCUUGGCUAUGGAAAUGUAGACUUGUACCUUUAGGGUACUUUGUAAGUUCCCACUGGCCAAUUUUGACUUUCUGGAAGUUAUAUGCCAUCUGCUAAGAGAUCAGAAGAAUCGUUAAAAAGUCGUGAUAAAAAAUCUGCUAAAUUAUUAUCUUUACCUUUAAUGUGUUCGAAAACUACUUUAUAUCCAUUACCAAUAAUACUAUCUACAAAAUUUAACCAUCUUCUAGUAGAACUUCUUUUUUCAUUAUGUUUAUCAAAAAAAUUUUUUAUUGCUUCACAGUCUGUUCUAAUAGUUAUUUCAGAUUUGUUGAUUAUGAAAAGUCUAAAAUUAUCUAAACUAUAUUUUACUGCUAAUAAUUCAUUAUCUAUACUACUCCUAUUGCCUUUUUCCUUAUAUUUACCGCUAGCAUAUCUACAGAUUUGUUCACUAUUUUUACUGCUAUACUUAUUUGGUUUUGCAAAAAGAACUGCUCCCCAUCCGGUACUACUGCCAUCACAUUCUAUUAUCAAGUAAUCUGUGUCUAAUGGUAAUUUUAGAUCAUGUAAAUUGCCUAUUGUUUGUUUAAUUUCUUGUAUUAGUUUGACAUCUUCUUUAUUAAAGAAUUUUUGUCCUUUUAAAGAGGUUUUAUUAUACAAUGGUGCUACUAGAUUAUUUGAAUUUUUAAUAAAAGGUCUUGCAUAAUUUAAUAAUCCUAAGAAUUGUUGAAGUUUUUUUGUUUCUUCUAUCUUAUCUGGAAAUUCUAAAACCUUUUUACAAAUAUGUGGUUGUAAUUUUAUUUUUCCUUGUCCUAUUUCUGUUCCUAAAAAUUCUAUAUUUUUUCUAAAAAAUUGUGCUUUUUUAUUACUGAUUAUUAUUCCGUGUUUAAUAAAUUCUGAGAAAACUAAUUUUAGAUGGCUUACAUGUUCUUCUUUGCUUUUUGAAAAUACUAAUAUAUCAUCUAUAUAUACUAUGACAAAAUCUUUAUAUUUAUUAAAAAUAUUAUCCAUUUUUCUUUGAAAUAUGGCUGGUGCAUUUUUUAACCCAAAAGGCAUUACUAACCACUCAUAGUGUCUUAAAGGACAUGUAAAUGCUGUCCAUUCUAUACUUUCUUUAUGCAUUUUUACCUGCCAAAAUCCUGACUUACAAUCAAAUUUACUGAAAAUAUAUCUAUAUUGGAUUCUAUUUAUUAACUCAUUUUUAUCUGGUAUAUCAUAGCUAUCUUCUUUAGUAUUAUCAUUUAAUCUUUUAUAAUUUAUUACCAUUCUGCUUUUUCCUCUAACUAUUUCACUAUAUUUUUUAACUAUAAAUGCUGCACUUCUGUGUGGACUAGUACUUCUUCUAAUUAUUUUUAACUUAUUUAAAUCUGCUAUAUGCAUUUCGAAUUCUUUUAUAUCAUCAUUAUUAGCUUCUAUCUUUGCUGUGCUAAUUUUUAAAUUUGGAUUUAAAAUAUCUAACUUACAUUCUGUUUUGUCCUUAUCCCAAUGAAUAGUUGGAUUUUCUCCAAAAAUUUCUAAUUUUUCUAAUUCACUUAUUAGUUGGUCUAUAUCUCUAUGUCCUGUUUCUAACAGAUCAUAUAAUUUUUCAUUAUUUAAAAUAGUUUCUAUUGUGUCAUAAUUUUCUAUCUCUAAAUAUUCUUCAAAUUCUUUGUUUUCUAAACAGUUUUGAAUUCUUUGUGACGAAUAUAAAGGCCUUUCUCCAGUCAUCUCCAUAUUGUCAAAAGAAUUAGUUUUCUGAUUCUUCCUCCUAUAUUCUUGGGUUGAAUCAUUCUUACAGCUACCUUUUAUAUCACAUUUACAAUUAUCUUUUUCUUCUAGUCCUAAGAGUCUUGUAAAUUUAUUAUCUUUAUUUAUUUUAAAUUUAUUGCUUGUUAAAAAAGUAUUAUAUGGUAAAAAAUGUUCCUUCAGGAAUGUUAAUCCUGUUCUAGUAAGAAUCAUGCCAUGAUAUGCCUGUAAAAUAAAUGAUAGUCCUAAUAUCAUUUGAUAAGGAAAACUUCUAAUAUAUAUUUCUGUUACCGGAUAUGGUUGUGUACAGUGUAUGCUAUCAAUUUCAAAAAACAAUAAAGAAUUAUGUAAUGCUGUAUCAUAUGUAUAUGUACUUCCAUCCAUUUGUCUAGCCGUUCUAAUAUGGUAUGCUUUUUCAUAAUAUUUUUCUGGAAUUAAUUCUUGUUGGAUUACUAUAUUACUAGCUCCUGUGUCUAUUACUGCUAGUAAUUGUGUUUCAAAAUCUCCUAUUUUUAUUCGAGUUUUUACUUCUAUGGAUGUUAUAUUUGAUGUUCCUGCUUGUAAUAAUUCUAGAUCAUAAUUAUGUUUUAUUUCUUCUAUUUCAGGGAAUAUUUCUAGAUCUAUGUUUUCAAUGGAUACUUCGCUUUCUAUUGUUUUUCCCUUGCUUAAUUUUUCUAUUUUUUGCUCUAAAUGUUCAACUUUAUUUUCUAAAAUCCUUAUCCUUCUUUCUAAAUAAUGUUCUAAAGGCAGAUUUUCUUCAGUUUUUUCUUUAUUAAUAUUUUCUAUUAAAACAUAUUCCUGUGUAAAUUUGUCUUAACAGAAUUUGCAUCCUUCUAUAUAACAUAACUGACAUUGAAACCUUAAUUCUAUUGACGGAUAUUUAUUACAGUUAUAGCAUGCUUUACUAUAAUUUCCUUUUCUAUGUUCCCAUUUAUGGAUACACUCUACUUCAACUAGUUCUAAAUCUUCUAACAUUUUAAAAUCUUCUUUCAUCUCUUCUAAAUAUAUAUUAUCCAUGAUAGUUCUAUCUUCUGAUUUUUCUAAAAUUUCAUCUAUAAAACUUGUGUCUUCUUGUUCUAUAAAAUCUGUUAAAUCUAAGUUUUCAGAUACUAUACUAUAAAUACUUUCUGUUUCUAGUAUAUUAUCAUCUAUUUCUAUUAAAUCUUCUGAAAAUAAUUCUAUUAAGUGAGCUUCUCUAUUAAAAGAGUUAUGUUUUUGUGGACAAUUUGUUGCUAAAUGAUUUGGUUGUUUACAAAUAAAACAAGAUAAUCUAUUUCCAUAAGUUCUUUCUGGUCUAUAUCUUCUAACAUGGUGUUCUUUUUUGAGAAUGGUUUUCUAGCUUUGCUUUUCCUAAGAUAAUAUUGUUUUCUAGGGUAUCUUUUAUAAUUUUUAUAAGGCUUUCUAUAUUUUCUUUUUUCUUUAUCUUUUUCUCCAUAUUUUUGUGGUGUGUAUAUUUCUGAGCAAAAACUAUAUUCUCCUUUUAAUUGUCUUUGUAUUUUUAUAAAAGUACAUUCUUCUACUAGUCUAUUGAUUAUAAAUCUUACUGCCGUACUCACAUUUUUUAAUGUUGGUUCCAUGGGCGUUGCUUUAUAUAAGGUAUAUAUUUUCUUUCCUAAGUCGUCUGGUAAUUUUGCAAAUAAUUUUUCUAUAAUUCCUUCAUCAUAAAAACAUCCUGCUAAAUAACUAUAAUAUAAAAAGUCUUGUAAAAAAGGUUUAAUAUAUUUUCAAUUUCUAAUUGAUAAGUGUUCUAGUUUUCUUACUGAUUCUAUCUGUGUCAUUACUCCUCCUCUGUUUGGGCUUGUUGCUAAUAGAAUUUCUUCUACUCGGUUGACAAAAUUCAUUGGAUUGACUCCAUGUGCCUGAUCUUGUUGUAACCUAUCUGGAAAUUUUUGUUUAAAUGCUUUCCAUGCUGCCCUUGCUACUCCUCCUAAAAAUGUUUCUAAAUAUGUAUACAUUUCUAUUACAUUAUGAUCGAAUCCUUUUUGUAUAUAAUUUCUUACUACUCUAGCUUUCCAGCUUCCUAUUACAUCUUCUAUCAUUUGUGGAUCGUAAGAUGUUAACAUUAAAGUUUUUCCUUCAUCUACUGAAUGCUCUUUUAUUUCUAAUUCUAAUGGUCUUCUUUUUCCCCUAGAACUAUAUUUUUCCUCUGGUUCCCUAUAUUCAUUAUAGACUAUUCUGGGUGGUUGUCCUGGUUCAUAUGUUCUAACAUUUCCUGUGUGACUAGGAUCAGUCUGCAUAUCUGUUGACCUGUUACUACUUUCACCACUUUGUUGUUGUUGAUCCAUUAAUUCUCUAUAUGACAUUAUGCUGGCUACUUCUAAAUUAUCUUCUUCAGAAUUAUCUUCUUCUUCUUUAACUCUAAUAUUUCCUACGUUAUCACAGUAUAAUACUUCGUUUAAUGCUAUUUGUCCAUUUGCUUCUAAUUUUCUUUCUAAAUCAAAUAGUUCUUUCUCUGUUAAGUCCAUUUUUAAUUCUUUUGGAUAAAGAAUCCUAUGAUUUAUUUCUAUUAAUUCUUCUUCUAAUAAAUUUAUUUCGAUAAGGUCUGAUUCUAUGUCAGAUUUGUCUAUUUCUUCGUUAUCUGUUCCUAAAGCUGUUGGUUCAUAAUUAAAAAACCUAAUGCUUGUUCUUCCUUGACUAUUUUUAUAUAUUAUACUAUCUUUUGGUACCAUUGGAUUAUUUUCUUCUAUAAAUUUACUAAUCUCCCAUUCUUCUCCUGCCAAGUUUUCUGAACUUACUUCUAUUGGUUUUAUUAAUUUUAUUCCUUUACUUGCCAUAGCCUCUACUAUUGGCUUUAUUUUUACCUUAUAUCUGGUUUUACUACUAUUUGUUAAUCUUCCUAUAAAUCCGAUACUUAUUGUUAAAUUAUCUCCUUGAAAAUUUUCAUAUCCUUUAGUUUGUAUUCCUAUUUCUAGAUUUUUUAUAUCUUCUAAGGUUAUCAUAAAAUCUGGGCUGCAAUAAAAUAUUCCUCCGUUCUGAUUCAUAUCUACUUCUAUACUGGCUAUUAAUGCAUCUUCCACUUUUUUAUGUCUCUUGUCUAAUACUGCUAAUAAUACUUUUUUCCCUAAUCCUUUCCUUGUUAGUCCUUUAAUUCCUAUAACUAUUAAUCCUAUAUGCAUAUAUGUAUACUGUCUUCUAAUUUGGUUUAUGCUUUGUUGUGUUAUCAUUCUAAGAUUUACGGGGUUAUUUAAUGCGCUCACUGGUUCUUCUCUGCUUUGUCUAAAUAAUCCUGUAUUACUUCUAAGAAAUCCUACUGAGUACAAAGUUCUUGGGUUUAAUAAACUUAUUUCAUUAUUCCUGUAUAUUUCCAAGUCUCUAUCUACGUCUAUUGCUUCUUCUAAAUGCAUGCUCCUACUCCUUCUUAAUUGUCUCCCUAUAUUUAAUACACUAGUUCCUACUUGUGUGUUUUCGUUGACUGUUCUACUAGGUCCUGAAAAUGAUGUUCUACUAGCCAUCUUUUAAAAUUUUUGUGGUUUAGGAUUGACUGAAAAUAUAUUACUAAGAUGUGGUUUACUUUCUUUCUUUGUUACAGGUAAUCUUUUAAAUUGGUCCGUUAUUUCUUCCAAAUCUUUUUCAAACUUAUCUAUUUGUAAGACUCUGACCUUUUCUGUUAUUGUAUCUACUUUUUUAUGUAAGGAUAUUAAUAAUGCUAUUAUAGAGUUAUUUUGUUUAGGAUAUAUUUUAUCUGAUGCACUAGCUCCUGAAUAAUCUGUUAAUCCCAACGAGUCUUGAUGAUAAUAUUUUAAUUCUUCUAAUGUUUUCAGAUAAUCUGGAUAAAAGACAUAAUGUGAAGGAAGUGGCUUAUUACUAUUACUACUCAUAUAUUAACUUAAAAUGAUUUUUUCUAUUUUAUGUAAUAGUACUUCUACUUGAUUAUAAGAUUGUUUUAAUUCUACAGAUUUUUGUCUUAUUUCUUCUAAUACUUCUUUAGUUAUUUUUUCUGUAUUAAUUUUAUGUUCUAUUUUUAAUUGUUUUAGUUCUUCUAAAUAUUUUAUUCUUUUUAUUAUUUUAUUAUUUUGUUCCUUUAAGUAAUCCUGAUUUUCUACUAGCGUUUUUAUUACUUUAUUUUUAUUCUUUAUUGAUUCUAAUAAAUUUUCUAUUAUCCGAGAAUUAUUUUCUUUAUGUUUCUCUAAAGACUCUCCUAAAGAUAUUACUAGAUCAAUAAGACUAUUAUAAUUUUUAUCUUCUUUACUAUGUAAGGUAUGUUUAUAGGUGUUCUGAAAAUAACAAAUAUGCUUAUGAUUAUCUAAAGUUAUUAUAUUCCUAGAUUUAUUUUCUAUUUCUAGAUCUAAGUAUUCCUAGAUUUAUUUCUUGACUGAAAAUAUUUCUAGAUCUAUGUUUUCAAUGGAUACUUCGCUUUCUAUUGUUUUUCCCUUGCUUAAUUUUUCUAUUUUUUGCUCUAAAUGUUCAACUUUAAAAAGUAAUAUUGUUUAUUUUUUAUUGUUAAGUAAAUUUAAUCUCAUAAAAUGAUAAUAAAAUGUAAAUCUAAUAUUUCUAUAAAGUAAAUAAAUAAAUUUUAUAUACACUGUCAGCGUAUAUACUAUCACUAUUAGAUAUAUGACACAUGAAUAAAAAUAUCUAAUGUGUCAUAUAUCUAAUGAGUAAAAUUAUCUAAUGAGUAAAAAUGUAAAAAUAUCUAAUGUGUCAUAUAUCUAAUGAGUAAAAAAUCUAAUGAGUAAAAAUAUUGAAUUUUUACUCAUGUGUCAUAUAUUUAAUAGUGAUAAUAUAUAUAAGAUUAAUCCAAAGUAAAUUUAAUAUUGUUAAAUAAAUUUAGUCAUCUUAAAUCUUUGCCAAUUGCCACCUACACUCCACCGCUUCCUACUAGCCUAAACGCACAACCUUGCGGUGGACCCAUCACCAACUAUCCUUCGCUAUUGCCGAGACUCAUUUUAUUGCUUACCGACCAUUUUUAAAUGUAUUCAAUGCCAACAAUGAAAACAUAACAUGCCAAAAAUUUUCAAUGGACCCCAAAAAUACUACACGUAAAGAUUUUAAAAGAAUAUUCCCAUUAUGAAAAUUUUCUAAAAGCAUCCUAAAAGUAACCCAUCAAAAUGGAGCCACACUCUGUGUAACAUUUGUGAAUUGUCGUUCCUAAACUAAUUUUCAUACCUUUAGAUUAGCUGUUUUUAAGGGUAUUUUUGAAAAAUUUUACUGUAACAGAGUUUUUAGAGUAUGUUUUGGAAUAUUUUUAGAAAAUAUUAUGGUAUAUUUAAGAGUAUAAGAGUUUCUAGAAUAUAUUUUGGAAUAUUUUUAAAAUUUUAAAAAAAAUUAAACUAAUUUUUAGAUUACCUUUCAAAGUACUUUUUAAAAAUUUUUAUUGUAUUUGAAAAACUAGUUUUUGAAAAACACUCCCAUCCAAAACUAGUUUUUAAUAUAAUUUUUGUUUAGGGAUAAUAUUAGAUACCUCCCCUUAGGUUUCUCUUAAUAUCACCUGAUACCCCUAAGGUUUCAAAAAUAUCACUUACCUCCCUUACUUUAGUUAUUUGUGUAACAAAAUUUUUAAAAACCUAAACUACCCUUUCACUUACUAAAUAAAAAUGAUCCUAAGUCACUUUGUUCACUUCAAGAAAAUCAUCACUUCAAAAGCAAUCUCUUGUAGUACUACUACAUCACAAUGCUACACCCUAUAAAAAUAUAAAUUUGAAAAAUAAAAAUGAUAUUUGAAAGGAAAUACAUUUGUAUCAAUUUAAUUCGAUAUGUUCAAAAUCGAUUUUUUAUAAAUUUACAUUUUUUCCACCAAUUUCUUUACCCUUGCUCAAACCAUUAAAUUAUACCAAUUAUUAUAAAAAAUCAACUCAAAAUAAGCAAAUAAAUAGUACCCCACUUUAUCACAAUCACAAAAAGUAAAAGAUAAAUAAAAUUUAAUUUAUUAUAAUUUAUAAUAUAAUAUUGCAUAUUCAUCCAAAAAAUAUGAGGAAGAGAGAAUGAUGGAAAAAAGAGAAAAAGAAGAAAGAUGACUUCCAUUUUUUUUUUUGAGCUUCAUUUAUUUAAUAUGUUGUAAAUUAUGUGUUAAGUGAGGGUUAGUAUAGUCUUUUUACAAUUAUUAGGGGGAAGUAAGUGAUGUUUCUAAAACCUCAAGGGUGCUAAGUGAUAUUAAGAGAAACCUCAAGGGAGGUUUCUGAUAUUAUCCCUUUUGUUUAACAAACAUCCUUAUUCUUAAUUUCAAUUGGAAGUUCAAACUUUAAGUAGUUUAGUAUCAUUCCGUAAAUUUAGGCCUUGUUUGAAUUGUAUUUUUCUGAAUUUUUUUGUAGAAAAAUUAUUAUAACGAUUUGAUAUGUGUUAAAUAAAAAGAUGAUAAGAAAAUAUGUUCACGAAAAAAGUAAUAAUUUUUCUUUGAAAAUUUACUGUCCAAACAGCCUUGGCUUCCUUUAACUUUUCCGACAAUCCCUGCCUGUCAGCUUCCUGCUUCCUUCUUCCCUUGUCCUCAUACUCCACCUUGCAACAACCCCGUUCCAUGCUACUUUUCCAUAUCCUCGCAACCCCUGAAUGCAAAUUGUCCCUUCUGUAGAUGCUGCAUCUUUGGAGCCAAAUUUUGUGCAUUAUUUUCAUAUUAUCCUUUCUAAACUAAUUUUCGUAGUUUCAAUUUGUCUUUAGUUUAAAUAAAAACUUUAAGUAGUUGGAAAAUAUCCUUCUCCAUUUCUUUAGUCAUAACUAUGAUAUAAUUUUGAUUCUAAUUGCUCAACAAAAGAAUAGGUAAAAAUAUUAUAUUUCUUUUUUAUGCUCUAACAAAAUCUAACAAUUCUAAUAGCAUGAAUAACAUCCGAUUAUAUAUAAUUCAGGUCCAAUUUUAGAUCUAGGUCUGGGCCGAAAUUUAGAGCUAUUUUUUAUUUUCUGUGCAUGGUGAUUCCAAAAAUUGAAGUAUCUGAUAAGUAUAUUUCAUUUUUUUAUUCUGGGUAUGAUUUGUAAAUUUUACUUAGGAAAGCAAUACAAAAAAUAUUGAAAUUUUUGUUGUUCUCUUUUUGUAUUUUUUUCAGUCAAUUUUGCUAAUUCGCUAAAUUGUUCAACUAUAUGAUUUGGAAUCUUGUUAUAUCUUGGAGGAUAGGAACUUAGAUUAGUUCCCUUUUUUUGGGUAUGAUUUGUAAAUUUUAGUUAGGAAAAGAAUACAAAAUUGUUGAAUAUUUCGUAAUUUUGUGUUGGGUGUGUUAGUCAAUUUUGCUAAUUUGCUAAGCUGUUCAGCAUGUGUGAUUUGGAAUAUUGUUAUUUCUUUGGAGGACAAGAACUUAAAUUAUUAGUUUAUGUUAGUCAAAGAUUGUAUUUUGGUCAAUUUUUGAUAUUGAUUAUUAUGGAUACAAUUAUUUUUAGUUUCAACUACGUAUAAAUAUUUUUGGUAUAUUUAUUUAAUUGCAUUGUUAGAGGGUUGAACAUUGUAGGGAUCUGUUUGGACAGCGAUUUUCUUCAAAAAAAUUGCUACGUUUGCUGUGAACACAGUUCCCUAUCACUUUUUUAUUUCACAUAUAUUAAAUCGCUACAGUAAUUUUUCUACAAAAAAUUCAGAAAAAUGCAAUCCAAACCAGGCCUAAGUAAAAUAGGGAAUAGAAUAAAACUAAGGUAUGCUACAAUACCUAAUCCAAACCUUAUGUUUGGUAUGAUUAAUUAAUUGCAUUUAUUAAGAGAGCGACUAUUAUAUGCCAUGUCUGGGGCUACGUUAAAAUUAAGGAAUUAAAAGCAACAAAGCAAUGCAUGACAUUAUGGUGAAUCCAAACCGAAGACAUGAAUCAAUUUUUGAAAAAAAAAAUAAAUUAAAAAUCUAGAAAAAUAGGAUGAGUAGUUGAAGGCUCAAUAUGUUUUGAGCCUAUUGAGCCUUCAAUAACGUAGGAUUGAAGGGUGGAAUUUAAGAAACAAAAAGGGUUUUGAGCCUAAAAGAUCUCUAAUUAUUGAACUCUCAACCUUAACCGGUAAACCUUUUUCUCCGUGUUGUAUCACAACGCGAUUGCAUUUGCACCUGGACUGCCACUCAAAACUCUUUUGUUGAUCCGGUCUGGGGAUUGGCUUUCAAUGUUGUGGCUAUGGACAGCAAGGAAUUUGUCUAUGUUUCAGCAGAGACAUAUCUCGGCUGCGGACAUAGUUUCUGCUGUCUUGGCUUCUGUAAAGGAAGUGAUGACAGGUUAGAGGAAGAUCCCUUUAACUAGAGCCAACUGGGAAUUGGCUUUGGAGCUUGGCUUGCCUCUGCGUCUUAGCUCGUGAUGGUUAAUUCGUAUGCUUAAACAGUGAUUAGUUGCAAGUAACUGGAUUCUAUGCAUUCCUGUGCACAAGCUUCACUUCUGUGAUCAGUAAGAACAUAUUUUGCUAUGAGAUUAUUUAUAUAUGUGAGUCACAUUCACAUUGAGGUCGAGGAAAAAAAAAAUUUCUUGCUUAAGACCGCGCGUCACAGCACCAUCACAGCUGUUGAAUGAAGGAUUGAGUGGGAAAAUCUUGACAACUUAAACAUAAUUAAAUAAUACCAUUCACCUGUUUGAGCGCAGAAAUAAGAAAUCAUGCCAUUCACGUUUUCGUGUACGGAUGUUUGGAUUUUCUAGAUGCUGAACAUCCACUUGAGAUAAACUCAUCUAUAAAAUGGUCAUGUUGGAUCCUUAAUCCAACAUUGGACUUAUAUGUGAAUAAUUAUGUAUUGCAAACUGUCAAUUAAGGUUAAACCCAAUUAAAGUGAUCAAAUAUAGUUUGGAUUUAAUGUAUCUAAUAGGAUGUGGGCCCUUUUAUGUGUAGAAACUUAUGGGCUCCUAUUUCAAUGAUGGGCUGAAAUAGGGCUCCAAAGGUAACAGGAAUGUUACCUAUAAAUAGGGUUAUGGUCCCCAAGUCACAAGUAUCGUUUUAGUUGUAGUAUUUCCUAAUACCACAAAAUACAUCUUCCCUGAUAUCCCAUCGUCAGGAUAGAUACCAGAGAGAAACUAAAGGCCUCUCUCAAAGGAUUGGUGAAUACCUGUUGACCUGGAAGGCCACCCCAAAUAUCUAAGGGAUUCAAGGAUCAAGUUUAUCAAUAUGGAUUCAGGUACGCUUCCGCAAUUUUACAGUUAAUUUAUUUCUUAAUAAUCGCCAUAUAGAUCUUGGGUUUAAAGGUGAUGGAUUUCACCAGUGGUUAGAUUUAGAUAACCACACUAACAAGUGGUAUCAGAGCCCAUAUGGUUGAUUAUUGGGAAAUAAUUUGGAUUUAGAAAUUCAUAAUUUUUGAGUUUUUGUUCAUAUAGAACUAUGAUUAAUUUUGGCUUUGCUUGCACGGCUAACAAGUCUUUGUUCCGUGGUUCAUUGUCAAGUUCAAUAAUUGUUUCAUGAUACGGCUUCAUGUUUCGGAUUUGAUAUUUAUUUUGGAAGUCUCGGUUGCUGAUGGUAUGAAUUGCUGUGAUAAACAAUUGUUGUUCUAAUGGCACGCAGUGUGAUUUCAUCCAUAUUGAUGUCUUUAUGCUUUCGUACAAUUACAUCAGAUAACUCAUGAAUUCGGUCAACACUUGAAGUUAGUGGGCUCCAUGAAUUCUUACAUAUGAAUUGAUAUGAUAUUUAAGUGGGCUCCAUGGUAAUCAAACUUUAGCCACGGUUCAUUGGUAUUUUAGUGUGCCAACUUCCUUUGUAAACCAAUUUGGUUUCUGGCUUCGGGAGGUCUUUCGUCUUUUUCCCUGGUUUUAAGAAUUAAAAUUGACAUGAAAUAUCCUGAGUUUCAAUUUUUGUCCAUAGUAUUAAUUUAGUUAAUACUUGAGUUGUUUGACCUGUUUCUUUGUUUAAGGAUAUAUAUGCCUAUAUUUAUGUUAAGGAUAUUAGGGUUUCUUUAAUUUAAGUGAACCCUAAUAAAGCUAAUAAGAUAUUUAAGCCCUACAAAGUCCAUAUGUUUGGCCCACUAUAUAUAUAAUUUUAUAAAGUAUUUAUGGACUUAAAAAAAAAAAAUUGGGCUUGAAUAAUAAAUUGGGUCAAAUUAUGGAUAUGGACCUUUGGUCCAAUAAGUUUUGAUUCAAUUAAUUGUUUGAUCAGAGUUAACUAAAGUUGACUUUGAUCAAAAUUUUGAUUAAUUUGUAUAAUUUUAAAUUUGAAUAUUGGUAUGAUUAUAUAUAUUUUGGAAUGAAUUAAUUGAAAUAAUAUGCCACCAAAGUGACCUCUAUUAUGAAAAUUAAUUUAUUUUAGAAUAUAACUAGUUGAGUACUUGUAAUUUUAUGAAUAUUGAUCGGCCCAAAGGAAGGUCCAUAUUUAAUAAAAUUACAUGUGCACUUGUGGUAAUAAAUACGUGAUAAUUAUUUGGAUUUUACAUGUGAUUUAUAAAUUGGCCCAAAGGAAAAUUUAUUUUUCGACAUGUUAUUAUUAUCAGUAUUUAUUACUGCACCAAGAUAUCACUCAGAAGUUAAUAUUUUUGUCCAAAGACGAAAUAUUAAUGGAAUAUCGGUAUCUUGAGAUGGGACUGCCAUUAUUUGAAUUUAUUAUUGUUUUGAUUUAUGUGAGCUUGUUUUAAUUAUGUUAUGUUUUCUGUUCAGUUGCGAAUGAUCUUACAAAUAUUACUUCCAAUAUCAAUAAUAUUCCUAUGCUGAAUGGCACAAAUUUCAAGUCCUGAAAAGAAAAUCUCUUGAUAGUACUUGGAAUAAUGGAUCUCGACCUUGCGUUAAGGAAUGAUUCACCCCCACCUCUUAUAGAUCAGAGUACCUCUGAUGAAAAGAGAAAUAAUGAGAGGUGGGAGAGAUCAAAUCGCUUGUGUCUGAUGAUCAUUAAAAAGGCCGUUCCAGAAGCAUUCAGGGGAACAAUGUCAGAAACGACUGUAACCGCUAAAGAGUUCCUUCAGGACAUUGAAAAAAGGUUUGUCAAGAACGAAAAGGCUGAAGGUAGUACGCUCUUGACACGCCUUGUUUCAAUGAAAUAUAGUAAUUUGGUUUGUUCUGAAGUUAAUUUAACUUCGGUACCUAGACACACAUGGUGGUUAGAUUCUGGUGCAACAACUCACAUCAGUGUGUCUAUGCAGGGUUGCCUGAAUUGCCGAAAGCCUAAUGAUAGUGAAAGAUAUAUCUACGUGGGCGAUGGCAAAACAGUUCAAGUUGAGGCAAUUGGAGUUUUUAGAUUAUUGUUAAAGACCGGAUUUUAUUUGGAUCUCAAUGAGACAUUUGUUGUACCGUCUUUUAAACGGAAUUUAAUUUCUAUUUCUGCUUUGGACAAAUUUGGUUAUUUUUGUUCAUUUGGAAAUGGAAAAUUUGAAUUGUUUCAUGAUUCAAAAUUGGUUGGUUCUGGUUCUUUAAUGCACUACGAUAAUCUAUAUUUAAUUGACACAAUUACCUCAUUUAAUGAAUCUCUGCAUUUGAGUACUAGAGGAGUUAAAAGAAAAUUAGCCAAUGAGAAUUCAGCUGCAUUAUGGCACAAGAGAUUGGGACAUAUCUCCAAACGGAGAAUGGAAAGGCUUGUGUCAAAUGAAAUUCUCGGUCCCUUGAAUUUUACAGAUUUUAAUGAUUGUAUUAACUGUAUAAAGGGAAAACAAACCAAUAAAAGGAGAUUUGAAGCCAAUAGGUCCUUAGACGUCUUAGAACUUAUACAUACAGAUAUUUGUGGACCAUUUCCUACAUCUGCUUGGAAUGGUCAACAAUAUUUUAUAACGUUCAUAGACGAUUUUUCAAGAUAUCGCUACAUAUAUCUCAUUUCUGAAAAGUCACAGUCACUAGACGUGUUCAAAAAUUUUAAGGCCGAAGUUGAGAAUCAACUCAACAAAAGAAUUAAAAGCGUCAAAUCUGACCGUGGUGGUGAGUACUAUGGCAGAUAUGACGGUUCAGGUGAACAACGUCCAGGACCAUUUGCUAAAUAUCUAGAGGAAUGCGGUAUCGUCCCACAGUACACUAUGCCGGGUUCACCCACUAUGAAUGGUGUAGCUGAAAGACGAAAUAGAACGCUUAAAGACAUGGUAAGGAGUAUGAUAUGUCAUUCUACUUUACCAAAGUCACUCUGGGGUGAAGCACUUAAGACUGCAGCAUAUAUCCUUAAUAGGGUUCCAACUAAAGCAACUAUCAAAACCCCUUAUGAGCUUUGGACAGGGAAAAAGCCCAGUUUAAAGCAUCUACACAUUUGGGGAUGUCCAGCUGAGGCAAGGCCUUAUAGGCCUAAUGAAAAGAAACUGGACUCAAGAACGAUUAGUUGUUAUUUUAUUGGAUACUCUAAAAGAUCCAGGGGUUACAAGUUUUAUGAUCCCACAGCCAAAUCAAUUUUUGAGACAGGAAAUACUCGGUUCUUUGAGGAUGUCGAGUUUGGGGGAGAAAAUACAGUAAGAGACAUUGCCUUUAAAGAGGAAUAUAUUAAUAUUCCCACAGGUGUCAUUGCUCUUGCUCAGGACCCUAUUCCUGAACUUGAUCAUGGCAUAACAAAUCAAGACAAUGUUGAAGAGCAAACUGUUAUAGAAGAACAAACUCUUCCUCUUCAAGAAUCAGUGCCAUUAAGAAGAUCCACUAGAGAAAUGAGAAGUGCAGUGCCAGAUGAUUACAUUGUUUUUCUCCAAAAACAUGAGGAUGACUCUGGAUUGAUGGAAGAUGAUCCAAUCAACUUCCGUCAAGCCAUGAAAAGUUCAAAUUCUCAAAAGUGGGUCGAUACAAUGAAUGAAGAGAUUAAAUCCAUGAAGGAUAAUGACGUUUGGGAUCUUGUCCCAUUGCCAGAAGGAGCGAAACCCAUUGGUUGUAAAUGGAUAUUUAAAAUCAAGAGGGAUUCGAAAGGCAAUGUGGAAAGAUACAAAGCUCGUCUUGUUGCUAAGGGAUUUACACAAAAGGAAGGUAUCGAUUAUAAAAAAACCUUCUCUCCAGUCUCUUCAAAGGACUCUUUUAGAAUUAUCAUGGCAUUAGUGGCAUAUUUUGAUCUUGAGUUACAUCAGAUGGAUGUAAAGACAGCGUUUCUCAAUGGUAACAUUGAUGAGACGAUUUAUAUGGUGCAACCAGAAAACUUUGUAUCUGGAGAUCCAAAGAAUAUGGUUUGCAAACUUAAAAAAUCCAUCUAUGGGCUCAAACAAGCGUCUCGACAAUGGUAUUUCAAAUUUCAUCAAGUGAUUAUCUCAUUUGGUUUUGAGAUGAAUCUAGUAGAUGAUUGCAUAUACCAUAAGUUCUGUGGGAGCAAACAUAUUUUUCUGGUAUUAUAUGUUGAUGACAUUUUGCUUGCCAGUAACGAUAUUGGUUUAUUGUAUGAAACCAAGAAAUUUCUAAUUAAGAAUUUUGAGAUGAAAGAUCUUGGUGAUGCAUCUUUUGUGUUAGGCAUACAGAUACACCGUGAUCGCUCUCGGGGUAUUUUAGGACUAUCACAAAAGGGUUAUAUCGAAAAGGUCCUUAAAAGGUAUGGCAUGCAAAAUUGUAAACCAGGUGACACCCCUAUGGCUAAAGGAGACAAAUUUAGUCUUGAGCAGUGUCCCAAGAAUGCUUUUGAGGAAAAAGAGAUGCAAAAGAUUCCUUAUGCCUCAGCAGUGGGGAGUCUAAUGUAUGCUCAAGUAUGUACGCGUCCGGAUAUUGCGUACAUUACUGGAAUGUUGGGUAGAUAUUUGAGUAAUCCUGGAUUAGAUCAUUGGAAAGCAACCAAACGGGUCUUACGAUAUCUAUAGAAAACAAAGGACUACAUGCUCACGUAUCGGAAGUCAGAUGAGUUAGAGAUCAUUGGAUAUACUGAUUCCGAUUAUACUGGAUGCAAAGAUACUAUGAAGUCAAUGUCAGGCUAUGUCUACUUGUUGGCUGGAGGUGCCAUAUCUUGGAAGAGUGCUAAACAGUCCCUAAUAGCAUCUUCCACUAUGGCUGCAGAGUUUAUAACUUGUUAUGAGGCAUCCAAUCAGGAAAUUUGGCUGCGAAAUUUCGUCACAGGAUUACGUGUAGUGGAUGGCAUUGAAAGACCACUCAAAUUAUUCUGUGACAAUAAGUCAGCAGUCUUAUAUUCCAAUAACAAUAGGAGCUCGACCAAAUCUAAACAUAUAGAUAUCAAGUUCCUGACUGUUAAAGAAAGAGUGCAGAAUGGACAAUUAUCAAUAGAGCACAUCGGGACAAACUCCAUGGUUGCGGAUCCGCUUACUAAGGGAUUGCCACCCAAAAUGUUUCAUGAGCAUACUGCUCAUAUGGGUGUCGUAUUAAAUGAUGUAUAGUUUUAGUGGGAGUUUGUUAUUUUAAAUGCUCUUAUGAUAUUUUUCAGUUAUUAAGGAUUUAAGGAUAUUUUAUGCAUAAAUAAAGUUUGGAUUUAUUUGCACUCUAAUUUUGGUAUGGUUUGAUCUCAUAAAAUUUAAGGUGGACCAGUUGGAAAUAGGCAUGUUUUGGUCACAUUACAUGAAAUUUUUCAUGCUACACAUCCACAUCAUAAUUCAUGUCAUUCAAUUGCAUUGAUAUAUGUGACCAUUGAUGGGUCGAGUUACGAAAUUGUAACAAAGGCCGCUUUGAUCCUAUAUUGGUGUAAUUGAUGGACCGAAUUGGUUGCAGAUACAUUGUGAUAAUGACAGUAAAGUUGAGCUCAUACGGUUAAUUGCAAAACAUAAUUAUAAGGUUACACAUAUAGUCCAAGUGGGAGAUUGUUGGAUCCUUAAUUCAACAUUGGACUUAUAUGUGAAUAAUUAUGUAUUGCAAACUGUCAAUUAAGGUUAAACCCAAUUAAAGUGAUCAAAUAUAGUUUGGGUUUAAUGUAUCUAAUAGGAUGUGGGCCCUUUUAUGUGUAGAAACUUAUGGGCUCCUAUUUCAAUGAUGGGCUGAAAUAGGGCUCCAAAGGUAACAGGAAUGUUACCUAUAAAUAGGGUUAUGGUCCCCAAGUCACAGGUAUCGUUUUAGUUGUAGUAUUUCCUAAUACCACAAAAUACCUCUUCCCUGAUAUCCCAUCGUCAGGAAAGAUACCAGAGAGAAACUAAAGGCCUCUCUCAAAGGAUUGGUGAAUACCUGUUGACCUGGAAGGCCACCCCAAAUAUCUAAGGGAUUCAAGGAUCAAGUUUAUCAAUAUGGAUUCAGGUACGCUUCCGCAAUUUUACAGUUAAUUUAUUUCUUAAUAAUCGCCAUAUAGAUCUUGGGUUUAAAGGUGAUGGUUUUCACCAGUGGUUAGAUUUAGAUAACCACCCUAACAGGUCAGUCAUUGUGCAAGUGAACUCACCAAAACAAACCUGCAAAAAUCACUGAAAAGAAAGAAAAAAAAAUGGCUGCCUCUUUGCAACCACUGUUCUCAGCAAUAACAUUCCUGUUGUUGAUUGCUUCUCUGAUUGGGUCCUCCGAAGCUGCCGGAAUUGUCCAAUACUGGGGCCGAGGCCAUUCAGAACCAUCAAGUUUGGCUGAGUUCUGCAGGCGAGAAUUCGCUACCGACGUGAAUAUUGCCUUUCUGGAAGAUUUUGGUAGCGGCCACAUGCCUGAAUUGAACAUAAUUCAUCCUUGGCCGAGCGCAGCAGACAUAGAAUCUUGCCAGAAUAAUCAGACCAAAGUGUUUAUUUCUCUAGCAGGACCAUCGAAUCUUUCUUGCGUCGAAGAUGCAGAAGAAGUGGCAGCCUUUAUCUAGAACACUUACUUAGGUGGUAAUUCAACCUUCCGUCCAUUCGGCACAGCUGUUUUAGAUGGCGUAGAGCUUCACAUCCACAGCGGAAACCCGAAUUACUUGGAUGUUCUUGCUCUGGCACUUAAGGGAUACUCAAACGUAAUCUUAGCUGUAGCGGGGGAAUGUCCUAUUCCUGACCUUUUUCUUGACCCAAUUAUCAGAACUGGAGUCGUUGAUCAGGUGCGGGUGGAAUUUUUCGACAACCCAUCUUGUGAGUUUCUGCCUCCAAACGAUACCAGUCUCCUCUUCCGGAGCUGGGACAAUUGGUCUGAUUAUCCAGGCGUUCAUAAAUUGUACCUGGGAAUACCAAUAAACUCUUCUAUCGCACCUGAGGGCGGUUACAUCCCACCUAAUGUGCUAGUUUAUCAAGUUCUUCCCUAUCUGCAGAACUCUCCUGUUUAUGGAGGCAUCAUGGUUUUCCCCUACUUUGGUCACAGGGUAACUUUCAAGUCCCUGCUACGGUCCUAUGCUCGUGCUGUCUGAUCAGUUCCUC